GACAUCUUCGAGAAGCUCGCCGGCGAGUCCGCCAAGCUCGCCCGCUACAACAAGAAGCCCACCAUCACCUCCCGGGAGAUCCAGACCUCCGUCCGCCUCGUCCUCCCCGGCGAGCUCGCCAAGCACGCCGUCUCCGAGGGCACCAAGGCUGUCACCAAGUUCACCUCCUCCUAGAUUGACUAUGCGUCGCUUGUUGUGAUAGAUGUAGUUGGCUGCUGUUAGUCGCUGACUCUGCUUAUGUAUCUGCAAGUAGUGGUAGUAGUAGUCGUCUGUGUGCUGGCUGAUUGCCAACGUUUCGUUGGCUAGUUGGUUGUUAGAACUGAAGUUGCUGAUCCAUCUGAAUGUUAAUGUUGCCAGUCGUAUUAUUACUGAAUUUCAUGGGAAUCGCUGAAUGUUUGCUGACGCCUUGUUGGUAGUGAGAACUGGAUGCUGUGGUCAGAGAUUCAGAAAAUAAUUUUACUAGGUGCGUAAACUAUAUGUCAUGAUUGUGCUUUCAAUUCGUAGCAUUGCAAGUUAAGUUUGGGGAUUCCUGAUUAGGUGCAGAACCCUGUGUUUUUUGAUCUGUCGGUCUUAAACUCCUGUUGCCACUGAGUGUGAUUAUUCCUUGCAAAAAACAGAGUGAGGAUAAUUAACGUGGCAAAAUAAGAACAACCCAACUUAGGAUAUCAGCAACUAUACAUAAGCGCGUUUCUCUGAAAAUAGCAAAUGUGAGUUGUUUUCUAGAAAAUGAAAUGCAGGUUGCCGUCCAGUUCUUGUACCGAGUGUGCACCUGCAUGAUGGAGACGGUGUGAAAGGUGCAGCGGUGGUCUCCGCCGGUGACGUCGCCCUCAGAAUCUUCACCCCCGCGUCUCCAACAAGCUGACACCACGCCGUCCAGGAAACCGAUGGAUGUAAAACAGAGCAUAUAAGUAAGUGUUUGUGUCAAUGUAAAAGGAUGCAUUAAUUUGGUCAUCUUUUGCUUGCCCAUGAAUUGCUUUAGAACGCAGAAAGAGACAUCACCUUCGCCAAUUUUCAGCUGCCAGUUUUGUAAAUCUUAGUCAACCAAGAAUUACCAAAACCCGAGUUGCUAGAUGUGGUCUCUCCUUUUUCAUAGUCUUGGAUUAUUUCUUAUCUAGUACUUUCCUUAAGCUUCGAUUGAGAAGUCCAAAUACAAGCGCAUGUGGAUAUAGGCAUACUGAAACAGAAGUGAUACAGAUGAUGCAACUCAAACUCGUCUAUCAACAAUAUCUCAUGUUGUGACUAACGCAAAAGCAUGUAAUCCAGCGAGCCGACUUAGGAAUCAUACUGAGUGGCAGACAUCACAAGAAGAACUCGUAUAUAUUAAUACAAUUAUCUGAUGACAGGAUUUGAUAAAUCUACCACAGCAAUUGGAAGGUGUUGCACAGAGUUUCAGGGGUAGAAGCGACACAUGAACUCUUAACAAUAAAGCCCCCGAAUAAUAUACAAAUCAUAUACAACCUAAGACCAAUCAAAUAGUUUGUCAGGUUUUGAUAAUUGUUGAAUCAAGCACCAAACGCCGCUGCACCCAUUGGCUCGCACAUCAAGCUUACCAACUAGUCAUCGUCGCCAAGGAUUUUUUGUCGAAAGAGACCCUCUGCCCACUGGAAUUGCCAGAAAAGAUCUUCAGACGAAAAUGCCAAAAAGGACCCCCUCAGCCGUGGCGGCAGGCGCGGCAGGCGACACGUGGCACCUGCCACCACGGCUGAUGGCGGCGGGCCCUGCCGCCACGCCUGCAGGCGGCCGCCGGGGCAGAACGGGCUAUCACAUAGUGUCGCGUGCCGGGACAGAACGGGCAGGCCCGAUGGGCCCUCCCACCACAAGAGGAGGCGGCCGACGCUGCUCCUGCCGCUCCCAGGCCGACAGGCCUUGCUGUUCGCUGGCCCAGCCAAUGGGCCAUGCCGCCACUGCGCGAGGUGGCAUCCAGCUGCACGCGCGACAGGCACCCUGACGCCUGACGGCGCUGAUUCCCACGACAACGACAGCGACAACGAUGCUGACGGCGUUAAUUCCCACAGGUGGGAAUAUGGACGCUGAUGGUGCUACUGCUUUUGCCCGGGAAUCACUCCUGCUUUUUCUUCUGUCCGGGAAUCACUCCUGCUUUUGCUUCUUUUGCUUGAGCGGAUGCGACGGCACUGCGGGAGCAAUCCGAGACUGUGGGAACUUGUUGUGCUGACACUACAGUGAUCCUAAAAUUUCCCGCCUAAAAUUUCAUCUGUUCGCGCUUAUUUUCUUGUCAUCAUUUGUCGUCUGAGCUUAUAAAAGGAGACACCAAGGCUCUCGUCAUCCUCGUCCAGCCAUCCUCGAAAUCGCCACUGCACAAAGUGUGUAACAUAUUUUUUCAGUCGAUAUGAGUUUGCUUUGCUCGGAUCAAAGCAUUAGGCCGAGGAAAAUGAAGAAUGCAAGUUUGCCUCCGGGGGUGGCAGUCCUACGGUGUUGGUGUGGCGAUCUUUGCAAGGUGAAGGAGGUGACGGAUUUUUCAAAUUGGUUGGGCAUGAAGUUUUUCAUGUGCACCAAUUAUGAGGAAGAUCCACCCGUAGCUAUUUGAGAGUACGACAAGGCUCCGGUAUGCUUUAACCAUCAUAAGUAGAUAUUGUUGGUAUUUUGAUUGAUUCUUUAAUAACAUUCUUGUUUCUUGUUGUAGUCUCCUCCGCCUCUCUGCAUGUACUAUCGUUGGAUUGACACGGAGAUGCCGACUUGGGCAGUGACUGAGAUUCGUGAAAGAAGUCGCUGUGCAUGGAAUAGUUUCUAUGCGGAAAAGCGACGCGAGAAGGCAGAAGCUAAGGAGAAAGCAGAGCUUGUGUGUGAGAGAGAGAGAGUUAAAAGAAUACUAUGCGGAGCAACACCAUUUUUUUCCAGGAUUUAGGAAAGAGAAAUAGGGAAGAGGCUCGUCGCAUAAAGGAGCAGUUCGUGAGGCGGAGAGACAGAGAAAAAAAGAAAGAGCUCGUGAGGCCAAGGCAGCAGAAGAAGCUGGCAAUGGAAAAGGAAAAUAUCCACGCUGGACUCAGUAGAUUCCUGUGGUAGUAUUUUUAAUUUCGCAAUCGUUUGUAUCUUAAUUUCUACAGUUUAAUGUAGCUUUAUUUUAGUAGUUAAAUGUAGCUUUAUUUUAAUAAUAUGAUGUAUCUUAAUUUCAGUUGUACCAUUUCUUAAUAAAAAAUAAUAUAGUAAUACAAUAAAAUGUAGCAUUUUAUUUCCCUCCACUAAUUAUCGAACAUCGUGCAAAAACUACAACAUGAAAUUAAGAUAGAAUAUAAUGCCCUACAAUAAGACAAUACAAACUAAUAAUGCAAGUACAUCUGAAUUAAACGGGACCGGUGCAUUUUUAUUUUAGCAUACAUAGAUAUUUCAUACAUAACUCGGGAAGUCUGAUACUGACAUAUGUAGAUAUAAUGGGUCGCACACGUAGAUAGAUGAAUCACCCUAGUCGACAACGACCACAUGGCCUUUCCUUAGGACCGAAAAGUGACAAGCAAUUAGGUGGUCAAGUUAGACGAAGACCGCGACCGUACUCCACUUGGUCUUCCUGUGUCUAUGACUCCUGUGUAGGUGGUGGAGUCUGUAAUCCUUGUUGCAAACCUGAUGCGUAAUUGUAGGCGUAUGGUUGUGACUCCUCGGGGAUAAAAGAUGGGCCAAUAACGUCCUCUGUGAAGAAUUCUGUAACUAUUGCUUUAAUCGUGUCGCCAUGAUCAUGUGAUGAUCCCCAUAUGCGUGUGUUGAAGCCACGUUGGGUGGCCUCACGUCCCAAUUACGAUCAGGUAUGUCCUGCAUAUAGAAACAUUGUAAACAAACCGUUAGAGGAUAAUAUGUGAUAUCACUAUAAAUGCAUUAAAAUAUAAACAUGACUUCCUGAUCAGAUCCCUUGCAUGUACUGUCUGACCAUUGUACGUGGUACUGGUUUAAAUCUGGGACACGAGUCUCCUCGGGCAUGGAGAUCCAUCGCGUGGAGAGAUACGGCUAAGAUCCCUCACCUUGGGUGUAUGCGCCAUAUCCUGUGUACGCACAUGGGUUUGGGGAAAGAUACUGCUCGGUCAUCGAAUCCAAGUCUGUGCCAUGGUCGUGACAUGUCUGCCCUUGACAAAGCUGCACCGAAGAAGAGCGAUGCAGUGGCAGAGAUGAGUCAUGUCGUGGCAAUGUCGUUGUAGUACUCGGACCCUCCCCCACUGCCCAUGGCUUGUACGCGCCUUGCUCGGUCUGGACGACGGCGCCGCACUCGGUCUGGCUGACCUCGGUACUGGCAUGUUGUAAGCUCCAGUGACAACGUUGUCGCCUCUACCACAUUUGAACUUUGUUGCCACGUAUUCUUGAAAACGUUUCUGGAAUGACUUGCGAGCUGGUCCCCUGGGCGACAUGCUUUUCGUCGCCAUCUGCCCUACUUCGUUGCAAGUUUCAAGCUGGAAAAUAUUGGGUUGUUAUUUGGUUGAAAUGAUUAUGAAAUGAUGUACCUGAAAAAAUUACGAGUGAUUACCAUCUGGUCACGAUAGUAAGCUGCAUGCAACUCAACAUGUCUCUACAUCUGCUCCUCCCGUGUGAGAUUUGUUGGUAUCAUAGCUGGUUGACUGGUCAGGCUAGUACGUGGGCUGAUGCAGUACCACUGCUUGUACGCUUGAGCUGUACUUCCAUCGUACGGUCUGCAAAAUUAAAUAAUUGCAUCAACCGUUGUGAUGAAAGCAAAGCAUCUUCACACAUCGUAUGGUCAUCGUAAUAAAAUAAUAUAAAUAAAAUGUAACUAAGUUGAUGCACUAUAUAUGCUAGUGCUUCAUUUUUCCACUUGUGUACCCAUUGAAUGUUGUGUUCCCUCCAAUUGUAAGAACUUCAAUCGUGACCCAUAUUGGUUAGCCUGCAAAUUAUGUAACAAAGUGUGAGUUUAGUAAAUUAAAAAGGACACUAACAAUUUAGGGAGGUCACAUCUUACUUAUGGGUUUCCUCGUCGGUACAUCUUGGAAAAGGUGGUGGAAUCUCCUGAUAGAGACCGAACCGUCUCAUGAAACGCUCUGGGUUGUAAGGCUCAACACACCACAAGAACAAUAAGUAGCAAUGAGUCAGCCAGAAUGCACCAUCGCUCAACAUGCCUGCUGUGAUGGGUCGUAUAUUAAAGACCAUAUGUAACUGCUCCUGAGUCCAUGGGUUCCAUGUGAUUACAGCCUCAUUAAGUACCUCAAACUGCUGGUGGUAUAUAGGGUAACAAUUUUUCGCAAUAUUUGGAGACCAAUGUUUCCGUGCCUUUGUCCACCUGGUGGCCAUAGUUACACUGGUGCCCUCGCUACAGUCGUAUGGGUGUAUGGGAUUUAGUAUACAAGGUCGUCCUACAAGGAGGUAUUCCCAGGACCACAACUGUAGAAACUCGUAGGCGACACAAAGUAAGGGAGCUUUUUGUGCAAAGGAAGUUUUUUGUGUGGCAGCACACAAGCCUCUAUAUGUAUGAGAUAACAUGACAGAAUCGAAGCUGUAUUUUAGCUGCUCAGGUAAAGAUUCAUCUACCAUCUUCUCUACAAUGUAGAUGAGACGAGGGAGAACUAUGUCCCCGUGUGAAUUUGGAAACAUAACCCCGAGGAGCCACAACAAAUACGCAAACAUAUGUCUUCUCGUCUCAGAAUCAAUGUAGCUAGAUAAAAUAUGAAAGGUAUCAUGAAGCCAGGAGAGUGGGAUGCCACGAGGGCCACCAUAACAUUGUGAUUCUGGCAUUUUCAUCCCAAGACGGUUUGAUAUAUUUAAUGCCCAAGAUGGAGACACUCGUGGAGAGACUAACGGCUCACCUCUAAUUGGUAGAGCAGCGAUCAUAGAAACAUCUUUCAGUGUAGGUGCAAGCUCCCCAAAACGGAAGUGAAAGGUGUGGGUUUCAGGUCUCCACCGGUCAACGAGGGAUGUCAAAAGGGAUGGGUCCGAACAUAACUGGUCUUUGCAUGAUGUGAGCCUAGCAAAAGCAUGUAGUCCAUAAGCGUCAAUGUGAGGCACGAGAUAAAUUUUGUAUUGGCCAUAUUUUCUUUACGGUUCGAAGUCUGAAACUCCGAUAACCAUGUUUCUUAUUUGGGUUCAAAAGUAGGUGGCAACGGUGGCCGACGUCAUGGGGCCCCUCCAAAAGCACUGCCACUUCAACCAUAACCUGCACACAAACAUACAAAUAAAAAUUAUGAGGAAGACACAAAUAUAAAUGCAAAUAAAAAUUAACUUAAAAAAUACAAAGAGAUACAAUUUGCAUUAAUUAUCCAAAGUUAACAUCACGGGUACAAUAAUACACUGAGAUUCCAUUUAAAUUAAAUAUAGGUACAAUAACACAAAGAGAUUCAAUAAUACAAAGAGAUUCAAUUUAAAUUAAAUAUAAUAAAAAUAAAAAUUAUGAGGAAGACAUAAAUAUAAGUAGAGAUAGUGAGUACAGAUAUAUCAACAUCAUGUGGUGUUGUUCGCUCGAUACGGGCAUUCUCUACGUGAAUGUCCAGGACACUUGCAAACGCGACAUCGCCUUGGUUCUCCCAUCUGGCUAUGGUCCAUGUCAUUGCAAUGACGUCUAGACUGACGUCGUCCCUUGGCGGUUCUCAUCAAGUCGGUGUUCGGAACCCAUUUCAGCCCAUCUGGCCACAACAUUUUGUAGUUCAUAUCAAUGCCCCAGGCCCAGAACUCACCGUUCCAAGUGUUGUACAGAUUGUACAUGUUGAAGUACGGCGAUAUAUAUGGCUCGACACUGAUUUUUUGAUCUGCAGCCGCCCAGAGCACAUGACUACAAUGGUAUCCCUCAAGCUUGGGCUUGUUACACAUGCACUCACAGGACGUUGGGCUGAGGGUGACAGCUUGGUUUUUUGAUCCUCUGUGGUGACCCUUAACAUACUUGGCUCACAGAUGGACCUCCCACUUAUUCCUAAGUGCGUCCACUUUCCUGCAGCCAUGGCUUUGGGACUUCUUUGCUUUCUCGUCCAGAUGUCUGUGCAUCUUCUUGGACCAUGGCUUGUUCAAUUCAACUUGUGCAUUGGCUACAGUAACCCUGUCUGCAAAGUAUGACAUGGUCCGGUUCCAAGUUUCUUCACUUAGGGCUAUGAUAGGCAGGGCUCUCACCCCUUUAAGAACACCAUUGUACACCUCUGACAUGUUGCUGGUCAUUAUUCCAUACCGAGCCCCGGUGUCAUGAGCCUGCGCCCACUUUUACAAAUCAGGGCAAUUCUCGCCGAUCCACUGGCUCAAAUUUAUGGGCGUCCUACGGCCCCUCCGGUCUUCUCUCUACGGCAAGGCCGCACGCUCGAUCUCACCAUUGAUACCUGCCCAGAUGGCAUUCAUUUUGGCUUCAGUUUUCUGCAUGCACAUCCUCUUAAAUAACUUGAACCAAUCCUUGUUCUUCAAUUUGGAGUAAAAGUUUGCUGCCAAAUGCCGCAUGCACCACCUUCCCUCUAGAUCCGACCACCCCCACUCUUCUGACGACUCCUUAAUUAUGUCGAGAGCACUUAAUAAUCUUGUGUUGCGAUCAGAGAUGAUGCAAACACCUUCACGCUCUUUCAUGACACCCAUCUUCACGCAUCUCAUGAACCACAACCAGCUAUAUUUGUUCUCGCUCUCGACCAGUGCGUAUGCAAUAGGAAGAAGCUGAUUAUUUGCAUCUGCUGCAAUUGCCACCAAUAGUGUGCCCUUAUACUUUCAAGUGAGAAAGGUACCAUCAACUGAUAAUACCAGGCGAUAGUGCCUGAAGGCUUGUAUAGUCUGGGCGAAUGCCCAAAAUAAGCGGUCUAGGAUUAGCUCACCCGGGUUCAUUGGGUUUGGACGUUCUCUCCGCCAAACUUGAGUCCUCCUAUUAGCACUUGCUAUCUGAUGAAGCAUUCUGGGGGCAUAAGAAUAGGCCUCCUCAUAGGUUCCAUACAAGUUCUGGAAUAUCUUUUCCUACGCACGCCUAGCCUUGCUGUAGCUGACAGGGAAGCCAAUCCGAUCUUCUGCAUCUUUUUGCAAAGCCCUAACACUAAUGUUGAGACUUGCCUGCACAAUCGUUUCCAUCACUUGUGCCACAUAUCUUGGUGUCACAUUGGAGUGAUUUGAAAGAGUCCCAUUUUGCUCAUAGCUAUGCUCCACUAUUUUUGUGAUAGGCCAUGACUGACAUACCCCAGGCUUCAGUCUAGCGAGAACUCUUCCACGACAGCAUUUCACGGUGUGGACGCAUAUGACCUUCAACUCUUUUUUAUCAGACUGCUUCACUCUAUGCUGGCAGUGGAGGGCGAUUGCAUAGCUAUGAAUUGCCUGGUAAGAAGACUUAUUGUCUCGGAAAACCUGCCCAACCUCUAGUCUCCCCGCUUCUAGGCCAGAAACAGAGUAAAAUUCAUUGGUGAUGCUCAUAUCCUGUAAAAACCCAGGUUGUAGUGACGCUGCGACCGCCCUUUGGGGAGGAACAUCUUCUUCUUCGCUUGACUCGGAAGACGUGGAAAAGUGAUUGUCAUCAUCUAGCGCCUCCGGCAAUCCCUCCACGUGUUCGCUCAUGUCAACAGCGGCAGACCAAUAUCCUGUGUCAUACACAGGCUGGCCGCCCGUCGGUUCCAAUGGGCCAACGCUAGGGGCUGAUGUGAUGGCCAACUCGACCUCACCACCCCUGCUACUGUAUUCGACAACAUCAGUGACUAAAAUGAACUCCACAUACACCAUCAGCUGACCAAACAUUGAGUUAUUGGGACUGCUUGCAAACCUCAUGAAUGACCCCAUGACUGAUCACCUGUGACAGGCUGCAAACCCCAAUGGGUAGUUGUCCCAUCAUUUCCCCCGUCCACAAUGAAGGCCUCCAUUGUCAUUUCCCCCCUGCAUCCCUGGGCCAAACACCGCUCGGAUGCACCUUCUCACUACCGCGUAGCCCAUGUUCACCAUGUGAAAGAUCGUGGAUGUCGCCUAGAGGGGGGGGGGUGAAUAGGCACUUUAAAAUAAUUAUGGUUUAGGCUUGAACAAAUGCGGAAUAAACCUAGCGGUUAAUUUGUCAAGCACAAAACUUAUAACAACUAGGCUCACCUAUGUGCACCAACAACUUAUGCUAAGCAAGAUAGACUACAAGGUGAUAGCAAUAUAUAUGACAAGAAACAAUAUGGCUAUCACAAAGUAAAGUGCAUAAGUAAAGGGCUCGGGUAAGAUAUAACCGAGGCACGCGGAGACGAUGAUGUAUCUCGAAGUUCACACCCUUGCGGAAGCUAAUCUCCGUUUGGAGCGGUGUGGAGGCACAAUGCUCCCCAAGAAGCCACUAGGGCCACCGUAAUCUCCUCACGCCCUCGCACAAUGCAAGAUGCCUUGAUUCCACUAAGGGACCCCUAAGGGCGGUCACUGAACCCGUACAAAUGGCAACCCUUGGGGGCGGUCACCGAGCCCGUACACUUUGGCAACCCUUGGGGGCAGUCACUGGUACCCGUAAAAUUGCUCGGGGCGAUCUCCACAACCUAAUUGGAGACCCCGACGCUUGCCCGGAGCUUUACACCACAAUGAUUGAGCUCCGAACAACACCAACCGUCUAGGGCGCCAAGGCACCCAAGAGGAACAAGCUCUCGGGUGCCCAAACACCCAAGAGUAAUAAGCUUCUCAACUUGAAACUUCCACGUAUCACCGUGGAGAACUCAAACCGAUGCACCAAAUGCAAUGGCAAGGGCACACAGAGUGCCCAAGUCCUUCUCUCCCAAAUCCCACCGAAGCAACUAAUGAUAGGGAGGAAAAUGAGAGGAAGAACAAGAAGAAGAACUCCAAGAUCUAGAUCCAAGGGGUUCCCCUCAUGUAGAGGAGAAAGUGAUUGGUGGAAAUGUGGAUCUAGAUCUCCUCUCUUUUUUCCCUCAAAAACUAGCAAGAAUCCAUGGAGGGAUUGAGAGUUAGCAAGCUCGAAGAAGGUUAAUAAUGGGGGAAUAACACGAGCUUAAGAGAUAAGGUUCAUUGGGGAAGAAGACCCCCUUUUAUAGGUGGGAAAAAAUCCUACCGUUAUCCUCAUAGACCGCACAGAGCGGUACUACCGCCGGAGUGGUACUACCGCUCGUCCUCACGGUACUACCGCAAAGGGUAGCGGUACUACUGCUUGCGAGUGGUACAAAAAAAAAAUACUUCCGUGUCUACCUCCACAGGACUUGGGACGAGUUUUUGGGUCCGGAGCGGUAGUACCGCUGUAGGAGCCGCGAUAGUACAGCUGUAGGAGCCGCGGUAGUACCGCUCUGGAGCGGUAGUAAAAAAUUACAUCCGGUCCAGUUCGCAGUAGUACCGCUGCAGCCUUUUCAGAACACCAAAACUGCCACAACUUUUGCAAACGGACUCCGAAUUCGAUGAAACCAAGUUUAUUGGAAAGCUAGCGACAAGGCCUAACACAAUCUUGAGAGAAAUAACAAUAAGAAGCAAAUUAGAAAAGGCCCAAAGAAAAUGACGAGAACCCUUCCUCGAAUAGGACUGGUAAAACCUCCAACACCGAAAACAUCAUAGAAGACGCAUGCGAACUCCGUUUUCGAUGAACUCAAGCUUGUCAUCAAGAUGACCAUAAGCUCUAAAAAUCACAAAGAAAACCAAACAAGAACCAAGAAACAUGAUGCAAGGAUGCAAUGGUUUGAGCUCUCUACUAACAAUACGAUCAAGCUACGAACUUGAGAGCCCCCCUUGAUAGUACGACAAACGAUCCUAUAACCCAGUCUCCCAACUACCACCACGAGACCGGUAAAAUAGAAAACCUAUCAAGGGCAAACCUUUGCCCUGCACAUGGUCCACUUGAGCUAGAGGAUGAAGAUCUUGACUCCCUCAAGUUGGACCACCUUUCUUGAUUGCGUUGGCUCGAUGAAGACUAGAUGAUUGCUCCCCCAUAGUCCACUAUGGGUGAGCCACUCUUCGACACAUCUUCACAAGUCCAUUGAAACCAUAAUGGAUGGCAAGAUUCAAGCACUUGAUCUCUUCGUGAUGCUCCACUUGAACUUGCACACGGCAAUCUUCAUGACGAUCACCACUUGAUGUCAUCCUUUCCAUGGGUUGUAUGAUAUCUUCCUCUUGACGCAAGCCCAUGGACACGUACCUAACCCCACAUAGAACUCUCACAUAGACCAUGGGAUCACUUGAUCCCUCUCGGUACAUCUUCUACGCUUGUGAGAAAUCUUCUCUCUUCAUAAAGAUGAUGUCUUGAAGAUACACAUGAAUGUUCACACAAUCUUCUCUUCUUCUUCAAGACAUACUAGCAAUAAGCUCAAUACUCACAAGACCAGUCUUUGGAUAAUUCCUUAAUAGCACCUUGGUUAACUCAUAAACUCCUUGAAACUAACACAUGUUCUUCAAGAAAAGCCUAUGGACAAAACCUUCAAAUAUAACUCAAGGCAACCAUUAGUCCAUAGAGAUUGUCAUCAAUUACCAAAACCAAACAUGGGAGCAUCGCAUGUUCUUUCACCAUGUCUCUCACUACAACUGUAGUCAACCCGCACAAGGACACAUCCACCCCGAAAGAACGGUCGUGUAAGACGUCCCCAUAGUGCACUAACAAAAUUUUCAUAGUACCUAACCAACAUCCAUAUUUACAUUUCAAAUAAUUAGUAACUAAACAUUUAGUAGUAGUAUGAUGAUAACAUUCAAUAGUAAUACGACUAAAAUAAUAACUGUAUUCGUUACAAAUAUUCACUUUGUUUUUAUAAUCAUUUGCUUAGACUUUAAGGGGUUGUUUGGUUAAUGAGUAUUUCAAGAUCUAUUUUUCUCUCAAACUCGUCUACCAGCAUAUAACAAACUAAAACACUGUUUGCUUUUCUCUAACUACCCCAAAAAUAUCCUAAACGAGUUCUCGUAACAUGCAAAAACUAAGCUUUUAAAAAAACGACUUUUGGUAAAACUGAGGGUAAUUACUCGCUAUCCAAACAACCACUAAACAUAAUAGUACGACAAUAACAUUUUAAUAUCAUAUGAGUAAAACUUUUAAUAUCUUCCUGUUUUUUAUAAUUUUUUCAUAUCAUACAAUAUUUAUCAUUUAUUUACAAAUAAUAAUAUUCGUAGCGGCAUGCACAUUAUUCACAACAGUACAUCAAUAUAAAAAAUAUUAACAUAAUUACGACAUGAAUAAUGGGCUUGCAAAUGCAAUUAAGCAUCAAAAUAGUUUGAAUAAAUAUCCGUCACCAGUACUAUAUAAACGGAGUCAACCUAUUAUCACAUGAACAUCAUAUUACGCACGGAUUUUUCUGUCUGCUAUCAAAAGUAUGAAAAUAGCACUUGCAUAUAUGUGGUCAUCACCUCAAAAGGGACUGCAAACACGGAAACAUCAAUUUCUUCAAUCAUGUCAUCUCCUCCUUGUUUGCUACUAAGAUGAAUUGUUUUACCUAAUAACAUACAUCAUUAAGUACAUUAGCACGUAAUCUUAACAUAUAAAAUUUAGAUUAUUGCGACAUAACAAAGUAGACCUACGGUUUCCUAACUAUAGACUUAGUAAUAAACAUACCACAUGAAAUGAACAAUUGCAUUGCAAUUUUUUCUUAAUUACCAUAUUAAGAUCUUCUCGCAUAUCAAUACUAAUGGAUGAAGCUAACAUUGAUACAACAUCUUCAACCUACUCUUCUAAAAAAAGUAUAAAUGCAACAUCUGUCAUUUGAAAAUUUUCCUAACUUCUAUGCACUAACAUCGCAUAGCUAAUGACAAGCUAAAAGACUAAAUAAUUACCACCCUGCAUGCACAAAAAAAUCAAUGUAUUGCAAAGCUCAUACCUUGAUCUUCAACUUCGUAGUUCACUUCGCUAGGCAAAUCCUACUCCUGAAGCUCUAAAUGACUCCAAAAAGUGAUUAAAUAAUGCCUAACACAACAAAGAACACAUAGUUAUGAACUAAACAAAAAGAGUGAAAACAUCAUGCAUGUGAACGAAGCCAACAAAAAUGGAUAGACCUUACCUUCGUCUAUCUUUUCUUCAACUUCAGCAUAUUCCAAAUCCAACUCUAAAUCGCCCUAAAUCACAAGUGAAAGUGCCUAGUGAGUUUUUCUUUCUCUCUGUUCUUACAUAGUCAGAGAGCAGAAGAGGAGGCCAGAGACAGUGUGCUUGCACAUGGAGCAGAAGCACAAUAUAUAAAAGGAAGAGGAUACCUGUAGUGUCGUUACAACAGGAUAAACUCACCUACCGCAACCUUAGAUUCCCGCAACGAGCGAGUGUAUUUCUGCAGUGCUGUCGCGUCCUCUCAAGCAAUAACCAGUGCUGAGUGAGUGAUUCCCGCAGUGACAUCGCGUCCUCUCAAGCAAAAGGCAGUUGAGUCCCUAGGCAGCACCGCAGCAGAAUCAGUGCGAGUGCAUACAAAGCAGUCGCAAAAGCCAGCUCCCGGGAAUCAUCGCAAAUAAAGAAAUAAAAGGCGCAGAUUCCCGCCUGUAGUAUCGGAUUCCCGCGCGCAUGGGAAUUAGCAUCGUCUGCAACAGGGACGCUGUCGCCGCACAUGCAGCAUGAACAGUGUCGCUGCCUCCUGUAGUGGCGGCAUGGUCCACACCUUGUCACGCGUGCAACAUGAGCUGUCUGGUCGGGAGCGACAAUAGUAGAGGCGGCCGCCUCCUACGCUGGCAGCUGGGCCCACCUGCCCUGCCUUGUUCUGUCUCGGCUCAUGCAACUCCAAUUUCAUGUUUUACUCAGGGCGGCCGCCUGCAUGCGUGGCGGCAGGGCUCACCGCCUCCAGGCGUGGUGGUAGGUGCCACGUGUCGCCUUCCACGCCUGCCGCCAUGGCCGAGGGGGUCCUUUUUGGUCAAAUUCAUCCGGAUUGGGGUCUUUUUUGGCAAUUCCAGUGGGCAGGGGGUCUCUUUCGACAAAAAACCAGUCGCCAAGGACGUUGUGAUACCUCUAAUUCUAUUAAACAUACUAGAGUUAGCAUGAAAGGCAAAGGAGGAUAAAGCUGAUAACACUUUUGGUGGACAUUUUUCAGAUGCCUAGCCAUCUCACUAUAAAAAAUAUACUUUCGUGAUGAUACGUGUUUGUCACAGUAGGUCGCGUUUUCUGUCAUGCAUGUACAUCCAUGACGAUUUUAUGACAGAAUCAAGAUAGUCAUACCUGUGCUGUCGUUGAAGUGUUCCAUGACAUUACCAAAAUUAUCAUCACGGAAGUGUCCACUUCCAUGACGAUACAUCGCGCGUCACAGAAGUGCUUUCGUCAAGGGUGACCAACACGUGUCAUCCAUCGUAACGGAACGCUGUUAAGCUAUCGGGUCGGGUUUUGGAUCCGAUAACCCGUUAAUAGCCCGGACCAAUGGGAAAUUUCCACGUGUAAAAUUCUGAUUGGCCGGAGGGAACACCUGUCAGCUCAUCAGUGGGCCAGAUGUCGCCUGUCCAUUGGAGGAGACAUGCCUAUGAUAUGUCGACACGUGGCUGGGCCCAACAGAGGCCCAUAUAGGUUAAAAAGGCCGGCCCAGUCAAAGGCCCAUAGUACUUAAUCAGGUACUAGUGGGCCAACCCAAUAACGGCGUGCUUAAUAAAGGCCCAUUUACGGCCUGAAGCCACAUCUUGCCCGUUAAUUGUUCGCCCAAUAUUUGGGCCCAUUUACGGCCCUAAGCCAGAUCUGGCCCGUUAAUUGUUCGCCAAAUAUUUGGGCCCAACUACAACCCAGUGACUUUUGGCCUGUUAGAGACUCGAUGUAGACAUGGGCCCAUUUCAGCCCGGUUUGACUUUCGGCCUGGUAAUGGCCCGUGCUGCCCAUGGGCCAUAUAUGGUCCGACGGGACAUCGGGCCCACUAACGGCCCGUGCUAAAGGUGGCAACAGUUAAGCCCAACAUGACUUUGGGCUUGUUAAAGGCCUGUCGCGUAAUUCGGCCCGUUGAUGCCUGUACUAAGCUUUCGACUUCUUAAAGGCCCAUGAUAUCUGUGGGCCAACUAAGGCCCGAGAUAUGUUUCGGCCUGGUAACGGCCCGUGAGCUAACUGGGCCCAAAAAGGCCCGGUCUACAUUUCAACCCGCUGAAGGCCCAUCGACGACUAGUGAAAAUUGAGGCCCAACAUGCAUUUCGGCCUGCUAAAGGCCGGUGGUUUCAUCUGGGCUGUAACAGGCCAGUACAAUAUUCAGCCUGUUAAUGGCCCAACGCUACCUGGGCCAAACUAAGCGCUGGGUCGACAAAAGGCCCAACUAAAAUAUAGGCUGGUGUAAGUUGUGGGCCAGGUGCAAUGUGUGAAGGCCCCAAUCAUUCGGGCCCAAGAAAGAUGCAGGCCGGCCCAAUUAUGGCCCGCUUAAAACCUGGCCCGUUAGAGUUGAAUGUUUCGGCCCGGUCAACUACAUCUGACUUUUUUUAGAUAGCGAAUGAUGGCAGUAAUUAGUAGGAAUUAAGAACAAACAUACUCUAUACAAUAAAGAAAUUACGGCAUAGUAACUAAGAAUAAACCUAAACUAUACAAUAAAGGAUUUAAGGUAUAUUACAUCCACUAGGCAUCGAAGUUCGCCACCAGUGAUCAUAAAGCGCAACAAAGAAGCCGAUUACAAAAACUGGGUACCAUUGCAGCGUAACAAAAUAAUACUAAACCGAGACCACUUCCAAGACAGUUCAAGAAAGGUUAGCCUUGCGGGGGAACUGCUGCGCAAGCUGCUGAGCAAGGCUGUGAGACCGGCCUAGCAUGUCGGUCAUAGCUUCCAGGUGUAGCUGUUUAGCGAUGAGGUUCUCAUUGGUGUUCUCCGCAAUCUUUCUUAGAGAUAGGACUUCAAGUCGAAGUUGAGUUGCAGAAUGCCUUUCUGCUAGAACUUGGGACUGAAGAAGUUGAACUGAUUCAGACAACGAAUUCUAUGAGCUUGUCUGACUGCUAGUCUCAAGUAACUUGAACACAUCAUGAAGACAAGACUUUGGGGUUGUCUCGCUAUCUUUAAGAUGUUUUGCCUUAUUUGCUGCAACAUAUGUUGGGUUUGUCUCACAACCUUCAACAGACUUGUGCAUGCCAUUAGGCAUAUCACCCUAAAACAAAGCAGAGAGAUGACAGGUUUUGCAUGUGUAUAAACAAAGAUGAUAACUGUGCUGUCAAUUCCAUCCAGUUUCAAAUUAGAAAAUAAAGAGUAAGUUCAAAAUAUCAAUAGCAUAAUUUGGCAUUGUUCAUAAUGCGGGGAUCUUCACCACACUACUGGAUUACCAUGUCAACAUAACAAGCAUAGAUGAAGGGUAAACAAAAUCAUUUAUCUAUUUUGGUUAAUGUGCAUGUCAUGUUGUUCAUAUCAUGAGCCACAUCAGUAAGAUAAAACAGGAGAUGACAAGGUGCAAAUGUGGGAUGCUUCACCACACACUGGAUUAUAGAUCCACAAAAACAAGCAUACAUAUAGGGAGUAUUUAGUAAUGUGCAUGGUAUGAAUAAGGAAUUUGGUUUUACAAGUAAAACUUAGAACUUACGGUUCUUGUGAACAUGCAUUUUGGUAGAAACAACAAACUAAACAGCAGUAAACGAUAGGGAGUAUGAGCAAAUUAAAUAGCAGUUGAGGAUAAAGGCUUUAGAAGGACCGACUUACAUUAAUAGUUAACACCGGCUUUAUAAUGCCCUUCUCCAUGUCAAGGGAAGGAUAACUCAAGAAUUUCAGCCCAGAAUCUUCUUCAUAAGCAUUCUCUGUACUCUACAUUUUGUAGAGAGUAAUUAUAGAUAUGAUAAUACUGGAAGGGAUAGAGGAUAAUGAAGAUAAGAUGCGGAUUGAUGCUACAUAAUCAACUACCAAUCCGUGGAAGUACAACCAUUACGGGACAGAAUGUACUGACAAGAGUAAUGGGCUACACUUCUGCACUGGCAUUGUCUGUGUAUUCUACUUGUUGGUAAGAUUAAAUAUAGAUCUGAUCUUUUUUAGUAAAUGGUGGGCGAGGGAGAUAAGAUGCAGAAUGCUACACAAUGAACCAAUCCCUCUUCCCAUAAUACAAGAGUGUUUUGAACACUGGUGUACUGUACAAAACAUUCUUAUAUUAUGGGACGGAGGGAGUAGCUGUUAAUGUAAGUACAGUGAUAGACCACGUUAAGUCCUUACACUACAAAAAAAUACACUGCCGUGAUGAUAUGUGUUUGUCACAAUAGGUCACGUUUUUUGUCAUGCAUGUACAUCCAUGACAAAUUUAUGACAGAAUCAAGAUAGUCAUACCUGUGCUGUCGUAGAAGUGUUCCAUGACAUUACCAAAAUUAUCAUCACGGAAGUGUCCACUUUGAUGACGAUAAAUCACGCGUCACAGAAGUGCUUUCAUCAAGGGUGACCAACACGUGGCAUCCACCGUAACGGAAUGCCGUUAAGCUAUCGGGUCGGGUUUUGGAUCCGAUAACCCGUUAACAGCCCCGACCAAUGGGGAUUUUCCACGUGUAAAAUCAUCAUUGGCUGGAGGAAACACGUGUCGGCUCACCGUUGGGACAGAUGUCAUCCACUCAAUGGACAGAAGGCGCCUAUGAUACAUUGACACGUGGCACGGCCCAACAGAGGCCCAUUCCUGUGAAAAGGCCGGCCCGUUUGACUUGGUCAAAAGGUGGCGGGCCGGCCCAUGGAAAGCCUGUUAACGACUUGUUCGCAUAUAACCCAUUUACAGCCCGCUAACCCAAGGCCCGUUACGCCCUAUCCGAAUUAGGCCCAGUAGCGUCAUCUGGGCCAUCCAAUAUGAUUCCAGCCCAUUUUCACUUCUGGCCCAUGUAUGGCCCAUGACGUCUUUCGGCCCAUAUGAGGCCCUAUGUAACUCUUGGCCUAUUAACGGCCCGUGGUGAAACUGGCCCGCAAUGAACAGUGUAUCACUUUACACCCAUUAACGGCCCGUGGUGAAAUUGGCCCGUAAUGAACAAUAUAUCACUUUAUACCCAUUAAGGGCCCGUUACUCAGUUGGGCCGUUUCCAGCAAAUGUUAUCUUUCGGCCUUCUCAGAGCCCAUUUAUUCUUGGGCUCAUUUCCAGCAUUUGUUUACUUACGGCCCGUUACUGUCAUUUUCUGCUUGUGGGCCAAAUUCAGCCCGUGGUUACAUCAGCCCGUUUGUGGUCCAUUAAUACGUUGGGCCGUUUUCAUAGCGUCAUCAAAUACGGCCUGUUAACGAUGGCCCAUUAUGGUCAUACGGCCUGUAUAAGGCCCAUUGAUGAUACGGCCCAUAGAAGGCCCAUUGUUUCUACGGCCCAUAGAAGGCCCAUUGUUUCUACGACCCGUAGAAGGCCCAUUGUUUCUGCGGCCCGUAGAAGGCCUACUGUUUCUACGACCCGUAGAAGGCCCACUGUUUCUACGUCCCGUAGGAGGCCCUGUGCCACUACAGUAAAUAUUAGCCCACGGUUAUUGUCGGUGUCAAAACCAGCGGAUGUCGGGUAGGGGGUCCCGAACUGUGUGUCUAGGCGGAUGGUAACAGGAGACAAGGGACACGAUGUUUUUACCCAGGUUCGGGCCCUCUCGAUGGAGGUAAAACCCUACUCCUGCUUGAUUAAUAUUGAUGAUAUGGGUAGUACAAGAGUUGAUCUACCACAAGAUCAGAGAGGCUAAACCCUAGAAGCUAGCCUAUGGUAUGAUUGUUGUUCGUCCUACGGACUAAAACUCUCCGGUUUAUAUAGACACCGGAGAGGGCUAGGGUUACACAAAGUCAGUUACAAUGGGAGGAGAUCUUCAUAUCGUAUCGCCAAGCUUGCCUUCCACGCCAAGGAAAGUCCCAUCCGGACACGGGACGAAGUCUUCAAUCUUGUAUCUUCAUAGUCCAGGAGUCCGGCCAAAGGUCAUAGUCCGGCCAUCCGGACACCCCCUUAUCCAGGACUCCCUCAGUAGCCCCUGAACCAGGCUUCAAUGACAACGAGUCCGGUGCACAAGUUGUCUUCGGCAUUGCAAGGCGGGUUCCUCCUCCGAAUACUUUAGAGAAGAUGUUGAACACAAGGAUAGUGUCCGGCUCUGCAAAAAAAAGUUCCACACACCCCGUAGAGAGAAUAAUUUCUGCACAAAUCUAAUCUGCCGACGUAUUCCGCAGCGUGACAUCACGCCACGGUCAAGCCUUUAUUCGAAUCGUUUUACUGUUCCACCUCAGCAUGUUUACCGAGGCGGUUUCCUUGGCACGUCUUGUCAAAGCAGAGAUCGUGUCCCCUUAUUCCGGGAUUCUCAUCAAUACAGGCGUGGGUAACCCAACCGUGCCUUUUGGUAUGACUCUCUAAUUGAAAGCGAGUCCCAAACGGUUAUGGGGAGGGCUCUUGGUAUUCAACCCCUUUAUAAAGAGACCAAGGCUCGACUCCCUUCUCUUUCAAUCCAAUCGAAUCCGCCCCUUGCCUCGAGUUCCAACACUCAAAGCUUCUAGUUUUAAGCGCUUCGGACCUUCAACGAUGUCCGACUCCUACCUUCAAGGUCGGUGGAUGCCUUCCUCCAUUACGGAAGAAGACGUGCGAAAGCUGAGAGAUGCCAGUUAUCUAACCGGCGAAAUCUCGCAUAGGCUGCCUGCUCAAGGGCAGUCCAUUCCCUCUCCCUAGCCCGGUGAGAGCGUGGUGUUCACAUCUCACUUCCUUCGGGGGCUAGGCUUCCCGAUUGAUCCCUUCAUGAGGGGGCUGAUGUUCUAUUACGGGCUGGAAUUCCACGACUUAGCUCCGGAGUCCAUCCUCCAAAUUUCAUCAUUCAUUGUCUUGUGUGAGGCCUUCCUCCAUAUCACCCCUCACUUCGGACUGUGGCUUAGAACCUUCAAGGUAGAGCCGAAGAUGAUCGAAGGGCAGCACGCUGAGUGCGGAGGAGCUAUCAUAAGCAAGAUAGCCGGCGCUCCAUGGCCCGAGGGCACUUUCCAAGAAGAGUUCGGCUUAUGGCAACGGGACUGGUUUUACAUCACAGCCCCCAGGGGCACCACAUGGGUGGCGCCACCUGCUUUUCGCUCGGGUCCCCCACCAUGGCGAGCAUCAUGGGCCAAUGAAGGGCUUAUCUGGGGGCCAUCCAAAGACGUGCCCCUACUGCAGGACCGCAUUCGAGAUCUUCUCGAAAGAGAUAUUAACUUGACCGUGGUGGCGCAAGUCAUUCUGAUUCGCCGCACGCUGCCCUACAAACGUCGCCCUCUCCGCAUGUGGGAAUUUAAUCCGGAGGGACUGUGAGUCCUCAGACAUUUUAUGGGCGCGACGCCCGUGGAGAUGUACAAAUUGUUCUUUGGACCACAAGCAAGGUGUCCGGACUUGUCCGAGGACGCAUGUCUGAGCUGCAAUCGCCAGGAUGCUAAGGUAAGUAGCCUCGUAUUUGGACACACCAUCCGCAUUUUCAUCAUAAAGUGGCCCUUUAACAGAGCUAUCCUUUGAAAAGGAGUGGAUAGCGAAGGCAAAGCUUAUCAGGUGUCCAGCCCCCCUGCCCGAGACCGCACCGGAUCCCGUGUUAACCAGGAUGCUGGAGGUUAUGCUUUCGGCAAAGGGCGAAGAGGGGAACCAAGGAGCUGCCGCCUCCACGAAGGAGACUGUUAGGAAGGGAGGAAUCGAGAAUUCCCCCAACCUGGGAAAGAAAAGAAGUGCCUCUGAAGACCCGGAGGGGAUGACCUCGAAACGGGGGAAGAAAUCUUUGUCAAAGGAUCCAGCACCGGAGACUGCCUUGGCCGCAUUGCACCCUCAAGGGGAUCAGCUUUCCUCCGAGCCGUAAGUAAAGAGAGGGGUUCAAAAAUUAGUGGCAUCCCUGUUUUAUUUCUGAGGAAGAUAACCAAAAUAUUACCUUGCAGUUCGGAUCUCAACCCUUCUCAGCAGAGCUCGUCUUCAGGGGAUCUUCGUCCGGAGAUGAUGGAGAGCGAAACGCCUCCCCUAGCUGCAGUGACUUACGAGGCAGGCGACCCCGAGGUGUCGUCCCGGCGGGUUUCUUCAAGUCCGGAUCCUGAAAAAGGUCGUCGGGCUAGUCCCGUGCCCUCUAGUGCGCGGUCGGAGAGGCUGAGGGAUCUGCUCGGGCGAGCAUCCGUCUUAGAAGAACACCGUAUGUUGAUGAACACGGUGAUAGAAAGGAUUUCAUUCGCGGAAAGCGGAUUGUACGAGGCCGCCAGGAGUUUACUGACAGGCUUUGAGGUACGUGAAAAGGUGUACCUUUUGAUAGAGCUGCAUAUAUAAAAUGCGCCCUGUAUAAAUAGUAGCCCCUGAGACUCUGUGUGUCGUCAAGAGUGAUGGCGCACAGAGGAUCAUAACCCCAGGUAUAAAAUGUCAACUUUUUAUGAAGGUGGCGAGGCGUUCGGUGGCUAGCCGGACUGAUGAAUCUGCCGAGCUAAAGCGGCAACCUGACGUGGCGGAUGCCGACAUCGCGCUUGUAAAUAAGUGGCUAGACGAGGCACAAGGUAUGCUCCACAGACAUCUGAUAAGAGGAGUGCGAUGCUCGUGCCUUACAAUAUAUGUGCUUAAUGCAGAUAGUGCUGCUGCCGUGGAGAACCUUCGGGCGGAACUUGCCCGAGCCAAGGAGCAAGCAAGGAAAAGUGAUGCGGCUGCCGUUAAGGCGGCUGAAGAGCCGAAAGCCGAACAGGCUGCUCACUGCCAGAGCAAGAAGGUAAUAGCCGAGAUGGCUAUAAAAUUGAAGGAUGCUGCCGACCGCUGUAAAUUUCUCGAACAAGAAGAAAGGGCGGCUCAGAAGGACCUUGAGAAGAUCACUGCCGAGGCCAAGGAUACUCGCUCUGCAAUGAGAGCUAUGAAGGAGGAGCUGCAUCAGGCCGGAGAUAUCAUGGCUUGAAGGCCCUAUAUGCUGCGGAUGAAGUUCGGGGAUCCUAGGUAUGCUCCGUUAGACCGACAGUGGAGUGCGGAAAACACUUAUCUGGAUUUGGCAGCGAGUGCGGCAGACGCAACCGAACACUCCGAGGUCGAGGUGACCAUAAAUUGGAAGAACUUUUUUGGUCGCAGUUCCACAAUCCCGAACGCCCACUUUUGGUAUCCGACCAUUUGGCCGCCUGGGCGGAGCUGAACAGGUUAUCCGGACUCGCCAUGAAGUAUGUUGCGAGUCGUUUGUGGUCGGGAGAGCCAGAGCCGAAGAGUUAUUUUGGAUUGGUGCAGCAGUUCCUUGGUUCUAUGCCGCAUGUUGAUGCAAUGAAGAGGUCGGCGUGCAUAGAGGGUGCACAAAUGGCUCUUGCCCAUGUCAAGACAUACUGGGCGGAUAUGAAGGCCAGUGUUGUUGCAUCCCGGGAUUCGGACGAAGGCCGGGUACCUGCCAGACACUACUUUGAGGAAGUUCUUCCUGGCGCUCGUUUAAUAGAAGCGCAAUGCUCGAAGGAUGUUGUGUUUGAAUAGCAUGUGCUAUUGUAAAAGAAAUAUUUUGAUAGAAUAUAAAAGCUUUUUAUACUUGUGCUUGCAAGAAUUAUAAUACCUCCUGUGCGGCUGUUAAUGUAUAUGUGUAUAUAACCUGAAAGAUGGCAGUCGUUGGCUUCAGCCCCCACGCAUAUAAUGCGGGGGUGUUCGCAAAAAAGGCGCCUUUUCACACUUAAUCCAACGUCUUGGUCCUACAAAGGAGGUGAUAGCGCGGCGAACUAGGCAACCGGACUAUAAUGCUUUAUCACUUUCACUUAGCCAUAGGAGUUUGACAUUGGGGCUACUCAAUAGCCCCUAAAGGCAUUGCGCUCGCCCGAAUUCGGGGCACGUGUGUGCCUGACUGGGAAGUGGUCCUUCGUUAAUGUGGAGGAAUCCUAAAGAUUCCGAGAGUCAUCGAGUGGUUGACCAGUCUCUCGCUAUAUCAUGACAGUCAAUUUUCGGCUUUCUCUACUGAGGUGCUCACCAGGCCGAACCGGGGCACAAUCACAGUAGUUCUCCCUGUGCCGCAUUAGCCGAUAUAACGGAACGUAAGGCAGCAAAACACAGGAGCCGGGCAAACCCAACAUUUGACCAAAGACAUGAUUCGGAGGUGAUGCAUAUAAGGCCAAACUCGCGACGCCGAACACUCCCUAAGGUAUUCAGUCUUUAUGAAGACGGGCCAAAAUAGAGCCCUUGGUAAAAAAGCCCCUGGUGUCCCGGUACGCGCAAAAUUCUGGCGUGGCCACAUGCCAAGACGCCAGCCUCCUCCUCGGUUAUAGCAAAAACCGGGGGAUGUUGUCAACAAGAGACAGUAAAAAAGGUUUACGCAGGGUCUUAAUCUGAAAAGAAUCCUUGAAACGGGUCCCUACUGCACGUCUGUGCCUGUGUCUCCGUUGUGCCGUAUCCUGGACGGGCGUAGCACGAUGUUUGUCUGCGAAAGAGAGGAACUUAGUAAAAAAUAAGCGUGCGAGAAAUCUAUAUUAAAAUAAACAAAAUAUAGUUGGAGCAAGAAAUGAGCCGUAUUGUCUCCUGGCAUGAACACGCGGAGCCCCUUGUACAGGGUUAUGCGGCUAUUAAGCCUAUGUAGGUUUACGCCGGACUCGUCGAGCUGUGUCCGGGAUAGUAGGGCUGGAUUAGUGUGCGGCUGUCCAGGCGGCCGCACCAUUACCCAUACUUUGGCGGUCAAUUGAUAUUCCCCUGUAAUGAGAUGAUGCCUCGUGGGCCGGGCAUUUUAAGUGUAAGGGAUGCAUAAUGCGGUAUUGCAUUAAAGCGAGCGAAAGCUUCACGUCCUAGUAGCGCUUGAUAGCGACUUACGAAUGGGGCGAUGUGGAAUGUUAGCUUUUCGCUUCGGAAGUUGUCGGGUGAGCCGAACGUGACUUCUAACGAAAGGGAACCCAUACUCUGGGUAUCUGGACCCGGUGUGACUCCUUGAAAGGAAGUGUUGCCAUGGCGGAUUAUAGCUGGGUUUACCCCUAGUUUGCGGAUUGUGUCCUGAUAUAACAGGUUUAAGUCACUGCCGCCGUCCACAAGGACUUGUGUAAAUUGGAGUCCGUCAAUAAUCGGAUUCAAGACCAAGGCAGUCCAGCCUGCGUUCCGGGCCCCUCUGGAGUAAUCCUGAUGAUCAAAGGUGAUUGGUUGUAACAACCAGCGGCGGUGCUCCUCUGGGGCUGGCCGUAUGGCGCGUGUCUUCGUAAGCGCCGUUUUGUUUUUCGCUUUUGUCAUCUGAAGUGAAUUUACUGUCUUGACUUCUUGUGGGAACUUCUUUUGUUCUUCAGUGUUCUUCUUGUGGGGUGCGUCGUCGUCCUCGCUUGGUGUGUCGAGCCCCUUGUGUUCGACGUUGAGUUUGCCGGACUGCUUCAAGACCCAACAAUCUCUGUGGGUAUGGUUUGCAGGUCUCCCGGGAGUACUGUGGAUUUGACAUAUUUUGUCCAGGAUUUUGUUGAGGUUAGACAGCUCGUCCCUGUCAUCUUUGGGUGGCGGCUUUUUCUGAUUUUGCCGAGAGCUUUUGAAUCCGGUGUUGACUGCCGUGCUCAUCGGGCUAUUAUCCUUGAUUCGGCGCUGUUCUUUGUUACGGCGCGGUUUCCCGUUUCCAUCUCUGAGUUUGGAUGUGCUCGGGUCGCUGGUGCUGUUUCUUGCCAACCAGCUAUCCUCUCCUACGCAAAAGCGGGUCAUGAGGCUUGUUAAUGCGGCCAUUGUUCUUUGCUUUUCUUGGCCGAGGUGUCUGGCGAGCCAUUCGUCUCGGACACUAUGUUUGAAAGCUGCUAGGGCCUCGGCGUCUGGAGAGUCGACUAUCUGAUUCUUCUUAGUAAGGAAUCUGUUCUAGAGUUUCCGGGCUGACUCUCCGGGCUGCUGAGUUAUAUGACUCUGAUCAUCUGCAUCCGGAGGUCGGACAUAGGUCCCUUGAAAAUUUGUCUGGAAAGCAUCCUCGAGCGCUUCCCAACUUCCCAUGGUGUUUUCGGGGAGGCUUUUAAGCCAAUGCCGGGCUGGCCCUUUGAGCUUAAGGGGUAAGUAUUUUAUGGCGUGAAGGUCAUCUCCUCUGGCCAUGUGUAUGUGGAGGAUAUAAUCCUCGAUCCAGACUCCAGGGUCUGUUGUUCCGUCGUAUGCUUCUAUGUUCACGGGCUUGAAUCCCGUUGGAAAUUCAUGAUCCAACACCUCAUCGGUAAAACAUAGGGGAUGUGCGGCGCCCCUGCAUGUAGGUGUGCCCCGAUGUUUGGAUAUUUUUUGCAUUGCAUUGCUCACUGGAGCUUGCUUUCUUGGCCCAUAGAUGGAUCUCGUUGGGCCAGUUUUUUGAUGCGAAUCCUUGGGCGGAUCGCGCGCCGUAUUGAGUGCGACGCCCUUUGUCGCUUGAGAUCGAUCGUGGGGUCGUCUAUCCGACCUUGUGGCCUCCUUGUUUUUUGACUGUGGGGGCUCUAUGGCCUCUUCAUAAAAUUCCGGUACUAGUUUCCGCUUCGGAUAGCUCUUUGUGUGACGACUGUUGCCGUACUUGUGUGCGGUAUUGAGUACUUUGCCCCAUCUGAUCCUGAGUGCAUCUUCCGCUGUUUUGAGCCUCCGCUUCUGCUUUUUCAGGUUACGUGCAGUGGCAACGAGCCUUUGGUGGAGGUUCUGAUGUUCCAGCAAUUUGUCCGGCGUGAGGUCGUCCGGACUAUUAUCUUUCCCGGGGAUGGGUUGUUCGGAUUGUCCGCCCUGUUUGGACGGUUGCUCGAUGGUAUGUUCGUCUUCCGUUGAUCCGCCCUGCUCUAUGGCUGGGUCUUUGUCGAUGUGGGGCUUGGCGUGGCGCUUACGCCGCCGCUUUGAUUGUUUUUCGAGGGAGCGAUCCCUGUUUGCGCCCUUUUGAUCCUCGUUGUCAUUUCUUUUAGGUGUGUCCACCAUGUAUACAUCGUAUGAUGAGGUGUCUUUCCAGUGCCCUAUAGGUGCUGGUUCUUGGUCGUCUCCUCCAUCGGCGUCCAUACCGUCGAUGUCUUCGGAGUCGAAGUUGAGCGUGUCGGUUAGAUCGUCGACAGUGGCUACAAAGUUGGUGGUGGGUGGGUUUCGAAUUUCUUCAUCGUCCGCAUCCCAACCCUGCCGACCAUAGUCCGGCCAGGGCUCUCCUGACAAAGAUAGAGACUUUAGUGAAUCCAGGAUUUCGCCAAAGGGCGAGUGCUGAAAGACGUCCACGGCGGUGAACUCCAUGAUCGGAGCCCAAUCGGGUUCAAUCGGAAGGGGUGCGGAAGAUUCGGAGUCCGAAACGGAGUCCGGCACCUUGGAGUCACGGCCUUGCAAAGGACUAGGCUGGUAUUCGGCUCUAUCGCCAUAGAGAUUGCGGAGCCUGGGGCGGUGUCCAACCGUCUGUCCCCGACUAGCAUGGUCGGCUCCGAGCUAAUGGUCGGAGCGGACACAUGAGUGGCACUUUGGGCGUUGUCCGGCGACAGAGCUAGAUCAUGCCCAUCGGGACAGUGUGGCGCGCUCGGUCGUGGCUCGAAUCCGUCGAAGAUCAAGUCCCCGUGGAUGUCGGCCGUGUAGUUUAAGCUUCCAAACCUGACCUGAUGGCCAGGGGCGUAGCUUUCGAUCUGCUCCAGAUGGCCAAGCGAGUUGGCCCGCAGUGCGAAGCCGCCGAAUACGAAGAUCUGUCCAGGGAAAAAAGUCUCACCCUGGACCUCGUCGUGGUUGACGAUCAAAGAAGCCAUCGGGCCUAAAGGUGACGACACAGAGGAACUCUCAAUGAAAGCAGCAAUGUCGGUGUCAAAACCGGCGGAUCUCGGGUAGGGGGUCCCGAACUGUGUGUCUAGGCGGAUGGUAACAGGAGACAAGGGACACGAUGUUUUUACCCAGGUUCGGGCCCUCUCGGUGGAGGUAAAACCCUACUCCUGCUUGAUUAAUAUUGAUGAUAUGGGUAGUACAAGAGUUGAUCUACCACGAGAUCAGAGAGGCUAAACGCUAGAAGCUAGCCUAUGGUAUGAUUGUUGUUCGUCCUAUGGACUAAAACUCUCUGGUUUAUAUAGACACCGAAGAGGGCUAGGGUUACACAGAGUUGGUUACAAUGGGAGGAGAUCUUCAUACCGUAUCGCCAAGCUUGCCUUCCACGCCAAGGAAAGUCCCAUCCGGACACGGGACGAAGUCUUCAAUCUUGUAUCUUCAUAGUCCAGGAGUCCGGCCAUCCGGACACCCCCUAAUCCAGGACUCCCUCAGUUAUUGUGGCCUAGUUUUAAAAAGAACUGCACUGACUACACGCAAACAAAUAAACAAGACAACAAGGAAAUAAAUAAGGAAGCAACUUAUGCUAGGCUAUCACGACUGUUACACAUAUUACAUCCACUGGGCAUCAAAGUUUGCCACCAGUGCAAAUAUAGGGAACAAAGCAACAUAUCAUAUACACUGGUUGUCAAAGUUGGCGACCAGCGCAAAUAAACGCCACAACAAAACAAAUCCAGAACUGAAACCACUUCAGAAGAUCUCAAGAAACAAUAUCCUGGGUACCCAUAAUGCUGGCAAGAUGCUUAGCAAGCUUAUUAACUUUCUCUUGUUUGGUGCUUAAAUCCUCCAGCGCUUGCUGUUGCACCAGAAAAUAUGCAUCUGAAUUCUGCAGGGACUUCCUCAGUCUUUCAGCUUCCUGUCGCAGCACAUCUGAUCGAUGUCUUUCAACUUGAAGUUGAGACUCAAGAAGAUGAACUAAUUCAGGCAGCGAGUUCGAAUAGCUUGUGCCAGCAGUAGUGGCCAGUAACUCGAACACUACAUCAAGACAUGACUUUUGGGUUCCCUCACUAUCGUCAAGAUAGUUUUUAUCAGCUUUCUUGGAGACCAACAGGGAUGUCUCACUAUCUUGAACCUUAUUUGCAUUACUUCCUUUACCAUUGGAUAACGCAGUACUGUUCUCCAAUAUUUUGUCCGCAUUCUAAAAGAGAAACAAGCAGACACAUCACAUGUUUACCAUGUUGUAUAUGAAACUCAUUUUGGUAAAUGAGUUCAGUAGUAAAGUGGACAGGAUAACAACAUGAAACAAACAUAUAUCUAUGUACCAUGGUCACUUUAUGGUCUAUAUCAUUCUAGUUUUUGUUGCCAAAUCAAGAUAGAGACACAGUUCAAAUAAUAUUUGUUCAAGACAAAGCAGAAUAGGCAGAAUAUAAGUGUGGGUAACUAUAGAGCAAUAACAACACUUGUAAUGUGCAUGACAUGAGAACAUAACUGUUUAUUCAAUUGAAACUGAAAUCAACAUAGAGCAGGUUACAACAGCAAACCAGUUAAAGAAACAGGUUUAAAACAUACCUGUUGCACCAUUGGAGUUUCAAUCCAUCCUUCAAAUUUGAAAAUAGUUGGUAUGAGUAAAUACAGUAAUGCAAGAGCAAAGGAGUAUGAACCAUAGCUACAGAACCUGACCUGAGAACAAAUCUUCUUCUCCUUUAAGCAUUGAGUUGGGAUUCGGAGUGGUGGUCCUCGUGCUUUGGGCACUGCAGCUCCCUUACUAACCGCUCGUGUUUGGGUGCUCAGUGGUGGAGACGGUGCUGUGUCAACUGGAACUGUGUUACUAUUUGUCGGGGUUGGGGUUAGAAGGGGUGUAGCUGGUUCUCUGUCCAACUGGGUAGGGGUACAGUCUGCAAGGGUCUGGGUUAUGUGUGGUGGAUCUGGUCCUUGGGCAAGUACAACCGUGGUUCUAUCUGCAUCAACUGGUAGCACUAUCUUUUUUUAACACCGUGUUGUUACUCCGUUAGAUACUGCCAUCACGCUCUCCAAUUCAAAUGGUUGAUAAACAAGAAAAGUAAUUGAAAGUAUAGACAUUGUAUGAUAGACUGGUGCAAUGGAUAGUGGGGAAUAAAAGAGGGCAUGAAAUAAUACAUAUUUAUGUUAUCUAACCAAACAGGAUAGCAUGACACAAUUUCACAUAUAUGAUGGCUAACUAAAUAGGAUAAUGACACAAUUUCACAUUAUGAUGGCUAACUAAAAAAUAUGGAAAGACAUAGUUCAAAAUAUGAGACUAUGUAAACAUGAUGACAUGACAUAACUAUAUAAUGUGUUUAUUAAAUAGGUUCGCAUGCCAUAAUUCACAUACAUUCAUGGAUAGAAUGCCAUAAUUCUAAAUAUGAUGACUGUAAACACUAAACAGGAUGAGAUGAUAUAACUAUAUGAUGUCUUUAUUAAAUGGGUUGCCAUGCCAUAAUUCAGAUAGAUGAUGUGUAUGUACUAUGUAAACAUGAUGGCAUGAUAUAAUUCAAAUAUAUGAUUUAUAUAGUAAGCAGAUGGCAAUCUAUAUAUGAUGUAAAAACUAAGCAAUGCAAGACAACAUGCAUGACAUGGGUAAUAUAACCCUGCCAUGUUUGAGCAUAGACCUCAUGGGGGGAAAUAGGACUGGUCAUCAGUCUCUGAAUCAUCCUCUGAGGAGCUCUUUGUAGCUAGCAAGAUGUCUGCUUCAGAAGGUAGCAUUGUCUGCUCUGAAUACCUUGUUUUCACUCCAGAUACUUCCAUCACCGCUUCAAAUGGCUGAUGCACAGUGUCGGUGUCAAAACCGGCGGAUCUCGGGUAGGGGGCCCCGAACUGUGCGUCUAGGCGGAUGGUAACAGGAGACAAGGGACACGAUGUUUUUACCCAGGUUCGGGCCCUCUCGGUGGAGGUAAAACCCUACUCCUGCUUGAUUAAUAUUGAUGGUAUGGGUAUUACAAGAGUUGAUCUACCACGAGAUCAGAGAGGCUAAACCCUAGAAGCUAGCCUAUGGUGUGAUUGUUGUUCGUCCUACGGACUAAAACUCUCCGGUUUAUAUAGACACCGGAGAGGGCUAGGGUUACACAGAGUCGGUUACAAUGGGAGGAGAUCUUCAUAUCGUAUCGCCAAGCUUGCCUUCCACGCCAAGGAAAGUCCCUAUCCGGACACGAGACGGAGUAUUCAAUCUUGUAUCUUCAUAGUCCGGGAGUCCGGCCAAAGGUCAUAGUCCGGCCAUCCGGACACCCCCUAAUCCAGGACUCUCUCAGUAGCCCCUAAACUAGGCUUCAAUGACGACGAGUCCGGCGCGCAAAUUGUCUUCGGCAUUGCAAGGCGGGUUCCUCCUCUGAAUACUUCAUAGAAGAUGUUUGAACACAAGGAUAGUGUCCGGCUCUGCAAAAAUAAGUUCCACAUGCCACCGUAGAGAGAAUAAUAUUUACACAAAUCUAAUAUGCUGACGUAUUCCGCGGUGUGACAUCAUGCCACGGCCGAGCCUUUAUUCAUUUUACUGUUCCACCUUAGGACGUUUAGCGAGGCGGUUUCCUUGGCACUUCUUGUCGAAGCAGAGAUCGUGUCCCCUUAUUCCGGGAUUCUCAUCAAUACGGGCGUGGGUAACCCAACCACGCCUUUUGGUAUGACUCUCUAAUUGAAAGCGAGUCCCAAACGGUUACGGGGAGGGCUCUUGGUAUUCAACUCCUUUAUAAAGAGACCAAGGCUUGAUUCCCUCUUCUUUCAAUCCAAUCGAAUCCGCCCCUCGCCUCGAGUUCCAACACUCAAGGUUUCUAGUUUUAGGCGCUUCGGACCUCCGACGAUGUUCGGCUCCAACCUUCAAGGCCGGUGGGUGCCUUCCUCCGUUAUGGAAGAAGACGUGCGAAAGCUGAGAGAUGCCAGGUAUCUAACCGGCGAAAUCUCGCAUAGGCUGCCUAUUCAAGGGCAAGCCAUUCCUUCUCCUUAGCCCGGUGAGAGCGUGGUGUUCACAUAUCACUUCCUUCGGGGGUUAGGCUUCCCGAUUGAUCCCUUUGUGAGGGGGCUGAUGUUCUAUUACGGGCUGGAAUUUCACGACCUAGCUCCGGAGUCCAUCCUCCAAAUUUCAUCAUUUAUCGUAGUGUGUGAAGCCUUCCUCCAUAUCACCCCUCACUUUGGAUUGUGGCUUAGAACCUUCAAAGUAGAGCCGAAGAUGAUCAAGGGGCAGCACACCGAGUGCGGAAGAGCUAUCAUAAGCAAGAUAGCCGGCGCUCCAUGGCCCGAGGGCACUUUCCAAGAAGAGUUCAGCUUAUGGCAACGGGACUGGUUUUAUAUCACAGCCCCCAGGGGCACCACAUGGGUGGCGCCUCCUGCCUUUCGCUCGGGUCCCCCACCACGGCGAGCGUCAUGGGUCAAUGAAGGGCUUAUCUGGGGGCCGUCCAAAGACGUGCCCCUACUACAGGACCGCAUUCGAGAUCUCCUAGAAAGAGAUAUUAACCUGACCGUAGUGGCACAAGUUAUGCUGAUUCGCCGCACGCUGCCCUGCAAACGUCGCCCUCUCCGCCUGUGGGAAUUUAAUCCAGAGGGACCGCGAGUGCUCCAACAUUUUAUGGGCGCAACGCCCAUGGAGAUGUACAAAUUGUUCUUUGGACCACAAGCAAGGUGUUUGGACCUAUCCGAGGACGCAUGUCUGAGCUGCAAUCGCCAGGAUGUUAAGGUAAGUAGCCCCAUAUUUGGACACACCAUCCGUAUUUUCAUCAUAAAAGUGGCCCUUUAACAGAGCUAUCCUUUGAACAUGAGUGGAUAGCGAUGGCAAAGCUUAUAAGGUGUCCAGCCCCCCUGCCCGAGACCGCGCCGGAUCCCGUGUUAACCAGGAUGCUGCAGAUUAUGCUUUCGGCGGAGGGCGAAGAGGGGAACCAAGGAGCUACCGCCUCCACGAAGGAGACUAUCAAGAAGGGAGGAAUCGAUAAUUCCCCCAACCUGGGAAAGAAAAGGAGUGCCUCUGAAGACCCGGAGGAGAUGACCUCGAAACGGGGGAAGAAAUCUUUGUCAGAGGAUCCGGCGCCGGAGACUGCCCCAGCCGCAUUGCGCCUUCAAAGGGAUCAGCUUGCCUCCGAGCUGUAAGUAAAGAGAGGGGCUCAAAAAUUAGUGGCAUCCCUGUUUUAUUUCUGAGGAAGAUAACCGAAAUAUUACCUUGCAGUUCGGAUCUCAACCCUUCUCAGCAGAGCUCGUCUUCAGGGGAUCUCCAUCCUGAGAUGAUAGAGAGCGAAACGCCUCCCCUAGAUGCACCGACUUACGAGUCAGGCGACCCCGAGGUGUCGUCCCGGUGGGUUUCUCCAAGUCUGGAUCCUGAACAAGGUCGUCGGGCUAGUCCGGUGCCCUCUGGUGUGCUAUCGGAGAGGCUGAGGGAUCUGCUCGGGCGUGCAUCCGUCUCAGAAGAACACUGAGGGAGUCCUGGACUAGGGGGUGUCCGGAUAGCCGAACUAUCAUCAUCGGCCGAACUCCAAGACUAUGAAGAUACAAGAUUGAAGACUUCGUCCCGUGUCCGGAUGAGACUUUCCUUGGCGUGGAAGGCAAGCUUGGCGAUACGGAUAUGUAGAUCUCCUACCAUUGUAACCGACUCUGUGUAACCCUAGCCCUCUCCGGUGUCUAUAUAAACCGGAUGGUUUUAGUCCAUAGGACGAACAACAAUCAUACCAUAGGAUAUCUUCUAGGGUUUAGCCUCCUUGAUCUCGUGGUAGAUCUACUCUUGUAAUACCCACAUCAUCAAUAUCAAUCAAGCUGGACGCAGGGUUUUACCUCCAUCAAGAGGGCCCGAACCUGGGUAAAACAUCGUGUCCCUUGUCUCCUAUUACCAUCCGCCUAGAUGCUCAGUUCGGGACCCCCUACCCGAGAUCCGCCGGUUUUGACACCGACAUUGGUGCUUUCAUUGAGAGUUCCUCUGUGUCGUCACCGAUAGGCUCGAUGGCUUCUUCGAUCAUCAACAACAACGCAGUCCAGGGUGAGACUUUUCUCCCCGGACAGAUCUUCGUAUUCGGCGGCUUUGCACUGCGGGCCAAUUCGCUUGGCCAUCUGGAGCAGAUCGAAAGCUACGCCCCUGGCCGUCAGGUCAGAUUUGGAAGUUUGAACUUCACGGCUGACAUCCGUGGAGACUUGAUCUUCGAUAGAUUCGAGCCACAACCGAGCGCGCCGCACUGUCACGAUGGGCAUGAUUUAUCUCUGCAGCCGGACAGUGCCCUAGAGGCCGCACACGAGCCCGCUCCGACCCUCGAUUCGGAGCUGGCUGCGCAGAUCGAGGACGGGUGGCUAGACACCGCCUCGAGGGCUGCAACCUCUACGGUGAUGGAGCCGAAUACUGGCCUUGUCCCUUGUGAAGCUCGUGACUCCGAGGUGCCGGACUCAUCGCCGGACUCCGUACCUCCCGCGACUCCUCCAAUCGAAUCCGAUUGGGCGCCAAUCAUGGAGUUCACCGCUGCGGACAUCUUUCAACACUCACCUUUCGGCAACAUCUUGAGUUCGCUAAAGUAUCUCUCGUUAUCAGGAGAGCCCUGGCCGGACUGCGGUCAGGACGGUUGGGAUGCGGACGACGAAGAAAUUCAAAGCCCACCCACCGCCCACUUAGUAGCCACUGUUGACGAUCUAACCGACAUGCUAGACUUCGACUCCGAAGACAUCGACGGUAUGGACGAUGAUGCCGGAGAAGACCAAGAACCAGUGCCUACUGGGCACUGGAAAGCCACCUCAUCAUAUGACACAUACAUGGUGGAUAUCCCAAAGGAUGGGAAUGGCGAAGGAAUAGCGGAGGAUGACCCCUCCAAGAAACAGCCCAAGCGCCGGUGUCAGCGGCGCCAGUCUAAAUCCCGCCACAGCAAGAAUGGAGAUUUCGGCACCGGAGAUAAUAAUAACCCAGACAGUGCCGAAGACAACCCCCUCCAGCAAGAUUCAGCACAGGAGGACGGAGAAGCCAGCCCUCAUGAGAGAGCGGCAGACGAAGAGGUAGAGGACGAUAAUUACAUGCCUCCCUCCGGAGACGAGGCAAGCCUCGACGACGACGAAUUUGUCGUGCCUGAGGAUCCCGUCGAACAAGAGCAUUUUAAACGCAGGCUUAUGGCCACGGCAAACAACCUCAAGAAAAAGCAGCAACAUCUUAGAGCUGAUCAAGAUCUGCUAGCCGACAGAUGGACUGAAGUCCUUGCGGCCGAAGAGCAUGAGCUCGAACACCCCUCCAAAAGCUACCCCAAACGCAAGCUGCUCCACCGAUUAGAGGAGGAGGCAUAUAAAUCUGCAUCACCAGCGCACAAUACGGCUGACCGACCACCCCGUGGCCGCGACAGAGAGGCCUUGUCGGUGUCAAAACCGACGGAUCUCGGGUAGGGGGUCCCAAACUGUGCGUCUAGGCGGAUGGUAACAGGAGACAAGGGACACGAUGUUUUACCCAGGUUCGGGCCCUCUUGAUGGAGGUAAAACCCUACGUCCUGCUUGAUUGAUAUUGAUGAUAUGGGUAUUACAAGAGUAGAUCUACCACGAGAUCAAGGAGGCUAAACCCUAGAAGCUAGCCUAUGGUAUGAUUGUUGUUCGUCCUACGGACUAAAGCCAUCCGGUUUAUAUAGACACCGGACACUACAAGAAAUAUGUCAACUUAUGACCUUUUGUCAGUGACCCUGGAAGAAUUGGUCAUAGAUUUAUGACCAUUUGAGACCAAUUGGUCAAAAGCUGUUCGAGGGGCUCCAAACCCUAAACCAUUGCGACCAUUUUGGUCAGAAAGGUCAUAAUUUCCUUACAUGAAAUGGUCAUAAAGCUAACAACGCUAGUCCGCUGUCUUAUUUCUAGUUGUUAACGACCAAUAUAGAUGGUCAUAGCCUUGUAAAUUGUGGUGGGUUGCUAUGACUAGGCGCCACCUCAUUAGUUUUGCCUAUGUGUCAUGUCCAUGUGGCAGUUUUUGCCCUAGGUUGUGAAGCAACCUAUAUUUCUGUCAUUCCCAAAAUUCCCAAAAAAAUCUCAUAAAUUCUUUGGGUCAUAUCUUCGUCAAAUAUGUAAAAACCUUCCUUGCCUAGUUCAAAAAUAAUUCAAAAAUAUUCAUUUUCCUAUUCUGUUCAGAGUAACAGUUCGUGAAGGAAGUACCACUUUGGCAUGUCCAAAUAGUAUCCAUUUUCUAUAGUACUUUCCUAUGCCCAAAUAACCAUCCUCCACCAAAUGCCAGCUCAAUCCAUUCAUUAUUUUGAGCCGAGCUUCAACAUUCGUAUUUAUGUCCAGUGUGGUAGUUUGCAAAGCAAGUACCACCUAGGGUCCUCCUUUUGAGCUGAAAAUUUGUGAAGACGGUCUUCUUAGUAACUGAUCAUCCUCAGCCAAAACUCACGCCCAUUAGCCAUGUACAUUUCCCGUACCGCUAAUCAAACACUUGGCCGCUAAUUCAUGUUUGAGCAUCGAUCGGUCUCCUCGUGAGAAUAUUAUGUUGUAAUUUUGUUCCUAGCACCUACCUGGGGAGUGCUCAACCCAGUAGACAUGCCUAGGCUGCCCAAAACACAUGGCAACGCCACGGUCACGCGGUGACCACGCGACGGGCAUGCGAGUUUACGCGCUCUAGAGUUGGGGCCCUCGGCCACCGCCCAAACCUCGACGUAUCACCACCAAAAAAUGUAUUUAUGAUUAAAUAGGUACUUAUGUAACUAGAAAUGAUUUUUGGAAAAAAUAAAUAGCAAACUAUGAGGCAGCUGCAGUUCAAAUUUGACCCGCUUCCAACUGAAUCGGCGGGAAUUUGUCUUUUUCACCAGAGGUGGAUCAAAACUUUUGACACCCAACCAUUUUGUCAAUUGUGCAUUAAAUAUGUCCUAAUAUUUUAUAAAAAUGAUUUGGUACAAUUUUGCAACAAAUAUAUGGUAGGUCCUUCACAAAAAAACCUUAUUUCGGGCACUCGAAAAAUGGAAAAUGAAUUUUCCAUGCAAAGAAAAUGAAAACUCCCUUUGGCAACAUUGUUUGGAAUUCCAAGAUGCACCCUUGUGCACAAUAUGAGAUCAUUUGAACAAACUAUGCCAUGAAUGUGACCAUGAGAUUGAGCGUUUGGGUUGAAAUCCAUGAAUCUUCACACAUGAUAGCUCAUUUAUGAGAACACUUUUCUAAAAUAGUUUCUGUAUUACAAGAUUAUUAUUUUUCCUGGAAACUUGGUCACACAUAAUGACACAAUGCGAAGGUUUUCCAAUUUUUUGAUUUUUUUUGAAUUUUUUAUGCCCGUUUGAAAAUGCGGUCAAAACGGCGGGCUUGACCGUUCCUAGCUAGUGGUUGAAUCUUGGAAAACUUUUGAUGUUUCUCUGAUUAAAUAGAUACUUAUGUACCUAGAAAUGAUUUUUGAAAAAAAUAAAUAGCAAACUAUGAGGCAGCUGCAGUUCAAAUUUGACCCGCUUCUAGCUGAAUCGGCGGGAAUUUGUCUUUUUCACCAGAGGUGGAUCAAAACUUUUGACACCCAAACAUUUUGUCAAUUGUGCAUUAAAUAUGUCCUAAUAUUUUAUAAAAAUGAUUUGGUACAAUUUUGCAACAAAUAUAUGGUAGGUCCUUCACAAAAAAACCUCAUUUCGGGCACUCGAAAAAUGGAAAAUGAAUUUUCCGUGCAAAGCAAAUGAAAACUUCCUUAGGCAACAUUGUUUGCCAUUCCAAUAUGCACCCUUGUGCACAAUAUGAGAUCAUUUGAACAAACUAUGCAAUGAAUGUGGCCAUAAGAUUGAUCAUUUGGCUUGAAAGCCAUUGAUCUCCACACAUGAUGGCUCGUUUCUGAGAACACUUUUUAAAAAUAAUUGCCGUAUUACAAGUUUGUUAUUUUUCCUGGGAACUUGGCCACAUAUGAUGACACAAUGCGAAGGUUUCCCAAUUUUUUGAUUUUUUUUGAAUUUUUUAUGCCCGUUCCAAAAUGCGGUCAAAACGGCGGGAAUGACCGUUCCUAGCUAGUGGUUGAAUCUUGGAAUUUUUUUGGUGUUUCUUUGAUUAAAUAGAUACUUAUGUACCUAGAAAUUAUUUUUGGAAAAAAUAAAUAGCAAACUAUGAGGCAGCUGCAAUUCAAAUUUGACCCGCUUCCAGCUGAAUCGGCGGAAAUUUGUCUUUUUCACGAGAGGUGGAUCAAAUUUUUUUACACCCAACCAUUUUGUCAAUUGUGCAUUAAAUAUGGCCUAGUAUUUUAUAAAAAUGAUUUGGUCCAAUUUUGCAACAAUUAUUUGUUAGUUCCUUCACAAAAAAACCUCCUUUCGGGCACUCGAAAAAUGGAAAAUGGUUUUUUCGUCCAACGAAAAUGAAAACUUCCUUAGGCAACAUUGUUUGCCAUUCCAAUAUGCACCCUUGUGCACAAUAUGAGAUCAUUUGAACAAACUAUGCCAUGAAUGUGGCCAUAAGAUUGAUCAUUUGGCUUGAAAGCCAUUGAUCUCCACACAUGAUAGCUCGUUUCUGAGAACACUUUUUUAAAAUAAUUGCCGUAUUACAAGUUUGUUAUUUUUCCUAGGAACUUGGCCACAUAUGAUGACACAAUGCGAAGGUUUCCCAAUUUUUUGAUUUUUUUGAAUUUUUUAUGCCCGUUUUAAAAUGCAGUCAAAACGACGGGAAUGACCGUUCCUAGCUAGUGGUUGAAUCUUGGAAUUUUUUUUUGUGUUUCUCUGAUUAAAUAGAUACUUAUGUACCUAGAAAUGAUUUUUGGAAAAGAUAAAGAGUAAACUAUGAGGCAGCUGCAGUUCAAAUUUGACCCGCUUCCAACUGAAUCGGCGGAAAUUUGUCUUUUUCAUGAGUGGUGGAUCAAAACUUUUUGCACCCAACCAUUUUGUCAAUUGUGAAUUAAAUAUGUCCUAGUAUUUUAUAAAAUUGAUUUGGUACAAUUUUGCAACAAUUAUUUGGGAGGUCCUUCACAAAAAAACCUCCUUUUGGGCACUCGCAAAAUGAAAAAUGGUUUUUUCGUCCAAAGAAAAUGAAAACUUCCUUAGGCAACAUUGUUUGCCAUUCCAAUAUGCACCCUUGUGCACAAUAUGAGAUCAUUUGAACAAACUAUGCCACGAAUGUGGCCAUAAGAUUGAUCAUUUGACUUGAAAGCCAUUGAUCUCCAUACGUGAUAGCUCGUUUUUGAGAAUACUUUUUUAAAAUAAUUGCCGUGUUACAAGUUUGUUAUUUUUCCUGGGAACUUGGCCACAUAUAAUGACACAAUGCGAAGGUUUCCCAAUUUUUUGAUUUUUUUGAAUUUUUUAUGCCCGUUUCAAAAUGCGGUCGAAACGGCGGGAAUGACCGUUCCUAGCUAGUGGUUGAAUCUUGGAAUUUUUUUUGUGUUUCUCUGAUUAAAUAGAUACUUAUGUACCUAGAAAUGAUUUUUUGGAAAAAAUAAAGAGCAAACUAUAAUGCAGCUACAGUUCAAAUUUGACCCGCUUCCAGCUAAAUCGGCGGAAAGUUGUCUUUUUCAUGAGAGGUGGAUAAAAGCUUUUGACACCCAACCAUUUGGUAAAUUAUGCAUUAAAUAUGUCCUAGUAUUUUAGAAAAUUGAUUUGGUCCAAUUUUGCAACAAAUAUAUGGUAGGUCCUUCACAAAAAAACUCUUUUUGGGCACUCCAAAAAUGGAAAAUUGAUUUUUCGUUAUUCAAGGAAUAACACUACUAAUUAUUUGAAAACUUAACUAACAUUGUCAUAAAAAGAGAAGGAAACUUACCAUCGGGCAUCGUGGUGCUGCGUUGGAGCUCACGCUGCAAUGGAGUUUCGCCGGGCGCUGUGGUGCUGUGUUGGUAGCGCCUAUUGUUAAUCAAUUACGACAAUUUUAGAUGGUCAUAAGCCCGCACUUCGUUCUGAUUGGUCUAUGGGCAUGUCACGCGGAUCAAGCAUUACAGACCGUCGGAUACUGCCAGAUCCAACGGCCCACACCCUCAUCCUCUCGCCACCCACACCCACCCGAAAGCAGCUCCCCUCACCUACACCACAUGUCGUUGAGGACACUGACAUGUGGGCCUAAUUCCUCGCGGGCCCACCUAUCAGUGGAUGAAUGCCACCACUCACCCACCGCACACCACUCACCCACCGCACACCACUCCUCCCCCUCUCCCCCGCACACCACUCCCCCCCACNNNNNNNNNNNNNNNNNNNNNNNNNNNNNNNNNNNNNNNNNNNNNNNNNNNNNNNNNNNNNNNNNNNNNNNNNNNNNNNNNNNNNNNNNNNNNNNNNNNNNNNNNNNNNNNNNNNNNNNNNNNNNNNNNNNNNNNNNNNNNNNNNNNNNNNNNNNNNNNNNNNNNNNNNNNNNNNNNNNNNNNNNNNNNNNNNNNNNNNNNNNNNNNNNNNNNNNNNNNNNNNNNNNNNNNNNNNNNNNNNNNNNNNNNNNNNNNNNNNNNNNNNNNNNNNNNCACGAUCCGCAGCCCAAACCCUAACCCCUCUCCCCUCUCCCUCCAUUGGACCGCCGCCGCCACCUACGGCGGCCGAUCCCGCCGCGACCUCCCCUCCCACCUCAAGCCGCUCCUCCUCGCCUUCGUGGACGACCACCUGCUCCCGCCGUUCGCACCCGCGCUGCUCGUCAUUGCCUCGGUCCUCGCCCGCGGAUCGCAGAGCAUCUCAUGGCAUUCCCGGCGCGGCCAGCCUCCGUCUCCGGCCCCUUCGGCUCCGCCGCCGACCUCGCCAUCUUCUCCACUCUGACCACGACGCGGCGGGCGGAUCCAGGCCGUGCGAGCGAGACGGCGGCCAGAUCCUCGAUGGCGAGGACACGCAGCGGUCCCCGCCGACCAAAUCAGGUCCGUCUCCUCCCGCAGCUGAGUUGUUUUACUGGCGAUUUUCCUCGCAUGGCCACGACCUCUGACCCCUUCUCAUUGAUUUGCUCGGGCUGCCGCCUCUCCCACCAUCGAUAGUGCGUGCUCAACACAGAGAUCCGCCGCGCCAAGGCCAAGCUCCUCAAGGAGGAUCCACCCAAGCUACACGCCGGCCACAGCCCCCCCUCCCCAUGCAGCAGCUGUCGCCGCCGUGUACCUCGACAGAUCUGCCGCCCUCGACAGCGUCAGACGAAGGCGGGGCCUCCGCCACUGCAGGCACAGUCGCCUCUGCCGCUGCGGUCCUCAACCGACCCUGCCGCCCUCGUCCAAGGCAUCCUCGUGUGCAACACUAGCUCGAUUAGGUGAGCUCGCAUGGCCUUGUUCACUCAGUUUUCUACAUGCGCCUGAUCCAUGCAGGUCAGGGAUCAGUGAUUGAAUUGUUUAGACACCUUUUUUGGAUAAAACUUGUUUAUCUGUGUCGUCAUUAAAGAAGGAUGAAGAUUUGCACCUUUGGAUUAGUGAAUUAUAAAGAGAAGUGAACAUAUAAAUAUAGGCCAAUUUGCUAGCAUUCUGGUGCUUAUCAACACUCGAAAUCCGCUUGUCUAGCUUCAACCUAUCUUGCUUUGCUAUGAAUAUUCCUUUGGGAUGACUAAAACUGGAGCUAUACUAGCCUAUCUCUGCUAUGUUCCAUCCACUGUAUCUGUUUAACCAACCUGAUCCUCCAAACAUAAAAGCUCAAGUGUGUACUGAAUCAUGUGUUAUUUAGUUAGCUGAGCAGUAUCUUUAGUUUUCUAAUGAUUGCUCAACUCUCAAUUCUGAAUAAAUAAGUAGCUGACCCUAUUGGUUCUUUCUUUCUUCAGGGCUAUGAGUUGAUGGCCACGCUACUGUUUUGCCCUACUUGAUAAUUCUUUUACUGUCCGGUCUGCUCUGCUCUACAUAGUUUCCAGUUGCUUAUAAAAUGAUAAAACUAUGGUGAUGUGAGGUCCGCCAAUGGUUUGUAAUUUUGGUUUCAUCCCCAACCUCUCCAGCUAGCUUCUUCUUCACAUCAUAUCAUAUUUGCACCUGCUGCUGCUUCAUGGAUUGGAUGGUCACCUACUAGCUAAGUAGAUUAGCUUGUAUUGCCAUCGAAUUAGUCAAUAUUGUUUCACUUGGCUUGUUUCUUGUACUAGGUCUGUCAAUUACAGCAUAAACAAACAAAUUGCUUAGCUCUCAACUAUGAAUACAUAGCUAGCUGAACCUGUUCUUUCUUUCUCUCUAAAGAGCUAUGACUUACAUGGGUCAAGCUGCUGUUUUUCUGUGCUCGAUGAUACUAUUGCUGCCUGUAUACUGAUACAUGUGGUGAUAUUUACCCGAAUUGAAGUUGUGAAUGUACCAUUAUGUUCCUGCUCACAAGCAUUUGAUCUCUACUGGAAUAUUAGUGUUUUUUAUGGGAGGAAUAUCACAAUAGUAGUGCAUUUCCCUGCUGUUUUAUGGGAAGCCUCCUCCCAUUAUCACAAUAUCACAAUACUGUAGCCAUUAAAGCUUGUUCAUCUAGAAAUUUUACAUUACAUACAUUGUGCUAUAUAUAGUGGCCGUUCAAACUUGUUAAACAACCUUCUGUUGUUGUUCCUGUAAUCUCUGAUUUGUAGCAUUGUUGGUUUUGCUCUUUUUUUUGUCUUAAAACUUGAUGGGCCAAAGAUCCUUUGUUUGUAUGUUAUCAUCACUAUGAUCUUCAGUUUUCCAUACACUGUGAUCUUCAGUUUUUCAUUGCGUGUUUUUUCUGCAGUUUGCUUGGUGUGUGGACAGGGCCAAAGGACAAGAUGCUUCAAUCCGGCGAGGACAGAGCCAAAUGACCAAAGUUUGUUCAUCUGUUGCCAAGGUGACCCCUCUCCUCCUCCUCUCUAUUUUUUGUUCAUUUUCUCAUAUGAUCUGAUGCGUGCUCUCUUGCUUGGUGUGUGUGCAGUUUGGUACCAUCCCGUGGGGAGGGCCAGGGACAAGCUGCUCCGAUCCGGCGAGGAUGCCCACCAUCUAUUGUUAAGGUGAUCUCUCUCUCUACACAUAUAUAUAUAUAUAUAUAUAUAUAUACAUAUCCUGUUAUGAUGAUUCUCAGCCCCGCCCCACCUUUAAGCUAUGCAUUCAGAAGAAACAUUCUAUAGUAAAGUAUGGGGUUGUUGAUUAAACUGCUGCUAUGUUCACUUCAAUGAGAAAAAGUGUAGUUAAUUCAGGUUGUGAACAUUUCUUAGCAGUUAUAUUAAGACACAUACUGUAUGAGAAAAACUGCUGCUGUUGUGUUCACUUCAAUGAGAAAAACUGCUGCUGUUGUGUUCACUUCAAUGAGAAAAACUGCUGCUGUGUUCACUUCAAUGAGAAAAACUGCUGCUGUGUUCACUUCAACUGAGUUACUCCUUUUUUGAAUGGAAUGUUCAUAAUAUAUUGUCUCCAGUUUUUCUAAUUUUUAUCAGCUGAUUCAUGUAACAGGGCGUCCGUGGAAGGCCCAGUCCUGACUCUCCAGUGAGCCGGCAUUUGAUCGCUAUUGAAGGAGCUACAUGUAGAAGAAGAAAAUACUUGUAGAGCUUGUAACUGAUUCCCAUAGUUGUAGAGCUUGUAUCAGCUAAGCUUGUAUUACGUGUAACUUGUAGAACUUGUAAAUGCUACAUCUUGUAGGACUUGUCAUUUGUAGAGCUUGUAAAUAAGCUUGUAUAUGCUACAGCUUGUAGGACGUGUCAUUUGUAGAGCUUGUAUUGAAUCUGGCUAUUGUUAUUUGAAGUAUCUUGUGUGUUCUUCCUUGCCAAUUUAACUACUAGUUAUUUUCUUAUUGUCAAAUUGAAAUAUGAAGAAUCUGGGCCUAAUAGCUAGGACCCACUUAUCAGAACCUGACAAGUGGGAUCUGUUUGACUAGUGGACCCAUUUUAUAAAAAAAACUAAAACUGUUGUACAAAAAGGCCAUGACCCAUAAAAUAAAAAGGCCAAAUUGUUGGGCUAGGCCCAUGUAGCUAGAGAAAAUUAAUAGAGAAAAUAUAUAGUAAAAAGGCCGAAUUGUUGGGCUCGGCCCAUGUAGAAAAUCGAAUUGGACCGGGCUGAAUCUUGUGCCACAUCAGCUUGCCACGCUGGAUGCCUACGUGGCCUGGGGAGGUUGCUAGUGACCAAAACGCCACAGUAGGAAUAUUUUGGUCGUAAACGUCUUUGACCAUUCCAGAAGAAAGGUCGCUAUAGUCAGUUUACGACGGCCAGCUUUUGACCUUCUGUUUUUGGUCACAAAAAGGUCGUAAAUGGAAAUUUGUGACCUUUCAGUGACCAAUAGUGGUGGUCACAAGUUGACAUAUUUCUUGUAGUGGGAGAGGGCUAGGGUUACAUAGAGUCGGUUACAAUGGUAGGAGAUCUACAUAUCCGUAUCGCCAAGCUUGCCUUCCAUGCCAAGGAAAGUCCCAUCCGGACACGGGACUAAGUCUUCAAUCUUGUAUCUUCAUAGUCUUGGAGUCCGACCGAUGAUGAUAGUUCGGCUAUCCAGACACCCCCCAGUCCAGGACUCCCUCAGGCCUCUAGGCCCUCCACUAGAACCGAACCCCAGCGUCGCUCGAAAAGCACAAGGCCAUAGGGGAACACUCUGGACUUGCGAGAUAUAUUGGAGGAUAAGGCAAGACAAUCAAGAUCGAUCUACGGAUCGCGUGGGCGCCCCAUAAUACGUGACGACAACCGCCGCGCCGGACACAGCAAGUCCGGCCGGGCCGAACACAGUAGACAAAGCUCUUUUGAGCUUCGUCGUGAUAUAGCCCAAUACAGAGGCGCCGCACACCCACUAUGCUUCACAGAUGAAGUAAUGGAUCAUCAAAUCCCCAAGGGUUUAAACCCGUGAAUAUUGAAUCUUAUGAUGGCACAACAGACCCCGCGGUUUGGAUCGAAGACUAUCUCCUUCAUAUCUACAUGGCCCACGGUGAUGAUCUUCACGCCAUCAAAUACCUCCCACUCAAGCUUAAAGGACCAGCUCGGCAUUGGCUUAACAGCUUGCCAGCAGAAUCAAUUGGGAGUUGGGAGGACCUGGAAGCCACAUUCCUUGAUAACUUCCAGGGCACGUAUGUGCGACCACCAGACGCUGACGACCUAAGCCAUAUAAUUCAGCAGCCAGACGAAUCGGCCAGACAAUUCUGGACACGGUUCUUAACCAAGAAAAAUCAAAUCAUCGACUGUCCGGAUGCGGAGGCCCUUGCGGCCUUCAAACAUAACAUCCGCGACGAGUGGCUUGCCCGGCACCUGGAACAGGAAAAGCCGAAAUCCAUGGCAGCCCUCACAUUACUCAUGACCCGCUUCUGUGCGGGAGAGGAUAGCUGGCUAGACCGCAGCAACAACCUCAGCAAAAAUUCUGGCAGUCCGGAUAUCAAGGACCGCAAUGGCAGGUCGCGUCGCAACAAGAACAAACACCGCAUUAACGACGACAAUAAUGAGUAUACAUCAGUCAAUGCCGGAUUCAGAGGCUCUAAACCGGGUGAGCGGAAAAAGGCAUUCAAAAGAACUACUCCCGGUCCAUCCAAUUUGGACCGAAUACUCGAUUGCUCGUGCCAGAUACACGGCACCCCCGAAAAGCCAGCUAACCACACCAACAGGGAUUGUUGGGUAUUCAAGCAGGCAGGCAAGCUAAUUGCCGAAAACAACGACAAGGGGCUGUAUAGAGAUGACGAGGAAGAGACCCGACCGCCGAACAAUAGAGGACCGAAGGGUUCCCCCCCCCCCCCACAAGUGCGGACGGUGAACAUGAUAUACGCAACCCACAUACCCAAAAGGGAGCGGAAGCAUGCACUCAGGGAUGUAUACGCGAUGGAGCCAGUCGCCCCGAAGUUCAACCCAUGGUCCUCCUGCCCGAUCACUUUUGAUCGAAGGGACCACCCCACCAGCAUCCGCCACGGCGUAUUCGCCGCAUUGGUUUUAGACCCAAUCAUCGAUGGAUUUCACCUCACCAGAGUCCUGAUGGACGGCGGCAGCAGCCUGAACCUGCUUUAUCAGGAUACAGUGUGCAAAAUGGGCAUAGACCCCUCAAGGAUUAAACCCACAAAAGACGACCUUUAAAGGCGUCAUACCAGGUGUAGAGGCCAAUUGUACAGGCUCAGUUACACUGGAAGUGGUCUUCGGAUCCCCGGAUAACUUCCGAAGCGAGGAGUUAAUCUUCGACAUAGUUCUGUUCCGCAGCGGCUAUCAUGCUCUGCUCGGACGUACCGCAUUUGCAAAGUUCAAUGCGGUGCCGCACUACGCAUACCUCAAGCUCAAGAUGCCAGCCCCUCGAGGAGUCAUCACGGUCAACGGAAACACUGAACGCUCUCUCCGAACGGAGGAACAUACAGCGGCUCUCGCGGCAGAAGUACAGUGCAACCUCUUAAGGCAAUUCUCGAGUCCGACCGUUAAGCGACCGGACACGGCUAAACGCGCUUGGAGUAACCUACAAAAAGACCACCUGGCAUGUUUCGAGCACGCGUAGCAAUGCGACCCCAACCCCAGCCCUUGCAAAAUUGCAAGACUGGUCCAUCGCGUACAUCAUUAUGCUCUGGAGAUACCAUGGGCAUAGGGGGAGGGGCACGACCACGAUAGGCCCAGAAUGCGGCUUAACCACACCAUGGGCUCUCAAGUGUGUCGUUCUUUUUUUUCUCUCUUUUUCUUUUUUUACCCACACGACUCCUUUCAUCAGAGGCCCUGUCCGACAGUAACCUGCCGAACUCACGAUGCAACAACCAGGGAAGGAGAAAGGCUACGACGAAUAUCCAGGUGGUCUCCAUUACGAGCAUUAAAUCUGUUUUAUACACCAUUCCGCAGCCUACCCCUGGAGGGGGACAUGUUUAAUAGUCCCAUUCCUUGCUUACCACACUAUUUGUAUCCUUCUGCAUUCACGGCAAUAUUUCUUGAAUAAACAAUGCAGCACCUUUUUGCUUAUAAUUGCAUUUCUUUCUUAUACAUAUGUUCAUUUAUGACAUGUUGCAUCCGUACACUUUGGUACGGCUAAAUACACCAGGGGCUUAUGUUUCCCGCAUCAUGGUGUGAUAAGUCCGAACACUUUCACAAGUGCGGCACCCCGAACUUAUAGCAUUAUAUGCAUCGGCUCCGAAUCAUGUCUUGGGUCAAUAGUUGGGUUUGCCCGGCUCCCAUGUUUUGGUACCUUACGUUCCGUUGUAUCGGCUAAGGUAGCACUGGGAGAACCACUGCGAUUGCGCCCCAGUUGAGCUGGGCGAGCGCCUCAGUGGAGAAAGCUAAAACUGACCGUCAUGAUGAGGCGAGAGCCGGUCGCUGUUCGAGAGGUUUUUUUCGAGUCCCUAAAGGCUUAUGCUGCUUAGAGCGAGGACCCGGAUUUGUCCGGCCCAGGCGUGGAUAGCGCCCCAAAUUCGGCCUUCCGAACACUAGGGGCUUCGCCGAUAUUUAAAAUUAUAGAAUUCUAUGGCUAAGUGAGAGUGUUCAAGCAUUAUAAGUCCGGUUGCCUCGUUCGUUGUGUUGAGCGCCUCCCUAGAUGGACCCAAAAAUGGGAACAAGAGUGCUCAAAUUUAUCCCGAACAGCCCAGCACUCGUGGCAUGGGGGCUGAAGCCGACGAUUUGCCAUCUCUCAGAUUUGAUAAACGGCCGCACAGAAGGUAAUAUUUUAAAUUAACAAGCGUUGCUUAGCGCAUAUGAACAAAGUUUUCAGUGCACAGGAUAACAAAAUGCGAGUCUACUCAAAUAUUACAUCUUUGGAGCACUCACCUGCAACAAUGCGGGCACCCUUCAGGACACUCUUAUAAUACAUCUCGGGCAUGCGAUACUCCUUGCCCGGCGGUGGCGCGUCCGUCACAAGCUUCUCAGCAUCCAUCUUGCCCCAUUGCACCUUUGCGCGGGCAAGGGCCCGACGGGCACCUUCAAUACAGGCAGAGUGCUUGAUGACUUCAACCCAUGGACACGCAUCCACCAGCCGCCGCACCAGGCCGAAGUAGCUCCCAGGCAUGGCCUCCUUGGGCCACAGCCGAACUAUGAGGCCCUUCAUGUCCUGUUCGGCCACCUUCUGGAGCUCGACCAGCUGCUUCAGCUGGUCGCUAAGGGGCACCGGAUGUCCGGCCUCAGCAUACUGAUACCAGAAGACCUUCUCCGUUGAGCUCCCCUCCUCGGCCCUGUAGAAAGGGGCAGCAUCGGACACGCUGCGGGGCAGAUCUGCGAACGCUCCUGGAGAGCUCCGAAUUCGGGUAAGUGAUAGUAAUUCACACUCACAUGCUUGCUUUGCAUGAAAAAUGCCUUACCCGCCGCUAUUUUCUUCAACGCCUCGAUUUCCUGGAGGGCCUUGUAGGCUUCGGCCUUAGAGGCUUUGGCACUCUCAAGAGCCGAUGCAAGCUCGGACUCUCGAGUCUUCGAGUCGUGCUCCAAACUCUCAUGUUUUUCCACGAGAGCCUGGAGCUCUUGCUGUACCUCCGCCACCUGCGCCUCCUGCUUCUCUCGCUCGGUGCGCUCCGCGGUCGCAUUACAUUCGGCCAUGGACACCGCCUUCUUCAGGGUCGCCACCUCGUUCGUGGCCCCUGCAAUACCCACGUUAUCCUUGUCAUUCUUCUUGCAACCAAAUCCUUUUUUGUAAGGUACAAUUUUAAUAAGGUGUUACUCACCUUCCUUGUCCUCGAGCUGCUUCUUGGCACGGCCGAGCUCGUUCUCGGACCAUUCGAGGCUUUGCUUCAAAGUCUUGACCUCCACAGUCAGUGCGGCAGAGGUCAGCAACACAGCCUGCAAUCCCAUAUUGACAUAUUUUUUAUGACUCCUGCAUAUAUCUUUUUAGAUCCUUAGUCCGACUUUUAUUUCCGAACACCGAACCGAGCAUCAGGGGCUACUGUCUAUGCGGUACUAUUUUACAUAUAUCAAAAUUCUUACCUCAAAGCCUGUUAAAAGGCUGCUGCAGGCUUCGGAUAGCCCGCUCUUGGCGAGCUGAACCUUCUAAAUCACUGCACUCAUGACGGUGCGGUGUUCCUCUUUGAUGGAAGCGCUGUUGAGCGCCUCCAGCAAGCUAUCCGACGCCUCUGGUUGGACGGAGGCCGCCGGCGUCACGGUCUUGCCCUUCUUACGAAGGGGCCGCCCGCCGGACUCCGGAGCCACUACAGGUUCCGGUGCGAAGUCCGGUGCAAAGUCCAGGAGGUUGCCCUGCGGCACCUCCGGAGCCACCUCCUCCUGGCGGGUGCCUUCCCGGGAUCCCACCUCGGCAUCGUCCGCAUCACGGGGGGAGGAGGCGGUCGGAAGGGAAUCCAUAUCCGACGCACCCAAGGACCCGCUCGACGAAGCGGGUAGAUCAUCCUUGGGCGGACUGCAGGGUUGUAUGCGGCAUUAGAAAGACACCAUGUGGCGAAAAGAAAAAUCAUGAAGUUGUUCGGGAGUCCGGAUACUUACGAUCUCACCAGGGGCUUGGCCCUUGAAGGCCAAUCCUUGUCGUCGUCGCCGGCGUUGGCAGAACAGUCCGGGGGAAGAGUCCUUCCCUUCUUGGACCCUUCGGCCUCCCUUGUUGGGGAGGCCUUCCUUUUCUUCCCCCCCCCUGCUGGGGGAGAGGCCUCUUUCUUCUCCUCCUCACCUUCGUGGGAGGAGUCUGCCUCAGAGCCACCGGACGAUAAGUUUGAUGACACCUGAAAAUGGGAACUCUUUCGAGUGCCCGUGGCCUUCUUCUUGGCCUUCUUCUCCGGCACCACGUGGGGUGCCGGAACCAGCAGCCCCGUUAAGCGGGCGUCCGCUGGGUCUUCUGGCAAAGGGGCCGGAUAGUUAGUCCGCUCGGCCUUCUUCAGCUAGUCCUAUCAAAGGAGAGGGAGUUUAGAUCCCGCAUAGAGUCAAACUAUGGAAAACAAGUGUCCUGUAAAGGGUAAAAUCGCUUACCUCGCUAGCCGGACGCUGCGAGCUAAAUCCGCGAUCUUUGGUAGCGGAUGCGGGAGCCUCGGCGCCCUUAAACAACACCCUCCAGGCCUCUUCGUACGUAGUGUCGAAGAGCCCGCUCAAAGUCUGGUGCUGCGCCGAAUCGAACUCCCACAUAUUGAAGUCCCGUUGUUGGCACGGGAGAAUCCGGCUGAUGAGCAUGACCUGGACCACGUUAACAAGCUUGAGCUUCUUGCUCACUAGCUUUUGGAUGCAGGCUUGGAGUCCGGUCAGCUCCUCCGAAUCACCCCAUGUCCGGCCACUCCCUUUCCAGGAGGUGAGCCGUAUGGGGAUGCCAGAUCUGAAUUCGGGGGCCGCUGCCCAUUCAGGGUCACGCGGCUCGGUGAUGUAGAACCACCCCGAUUGCCACCCCUCAAUGGUUUCCACGAAGGUGCCCUCGAGCCAAGUAACGUUGGGCAUCUUGCCCACCAUGGCGCCUCCGCACUCCACUUGGCUGCCCUUCAGAACCUUCGGCUUGACACUGAAGGUCUUUAGCCACAAGCCGAAGUGGGGCUGGAUGUAGAGGAAGGCCUCACACACGACGAUAAACGCCGAGAUGUUGAGGAUGAAAUUCGGGGCCAGAUCAUGGAAAUCCAGGCCGUAGUAGAACAUGAGCCCCCGGACAAAGGGAUGGAGUGGGAAGCCUAGUCCACGGAGGAAAUGGGAAAGGAAUACUACCCUCUCAUGGGGCCUGGGGGUGGGGAUGAGCUCCCCCUCGUCGGGGAGCCGGUGCGCGAUGUCGCUGGACAGAUAUCCGACGCUGCGCAGCUUCUUGAUGUGCCCCUCCGUAACGGAGGAGGCCAUCCACUUGCCUCCCGCUCCGAACAUAGUUGGAGAAGGUUGAGGUGAGAUGUGCGGACUUGGGCGCUGGAGCUCGAGUUCGCGGAGAUGGAUAAGCAAAGGAGGAAGAAGGCGUAGGUAGAAGGGUGGAUCUUUAUCCCCUUAUAUGGGCGAACGAAACCAUGCGUGUCACAUCCCUAACUUCUGGUUUGCUCUGAGCUAGCUAGUCAUGUGUUGCAUCAUGUUUAAUUUUUGCCUAAAAUUGUAAUGGGGAUGUUCAAACCCUAGCAUUAAAUCAACUCAACUAGGGUGAAUUAAAAUCUUUUCAAUAAACCCGAAAAGUUCCUAAGAAAAGUUCAUGAUUUCUGGUUAAGGUGGAAACCUCUGCCAAAAAUGAUGAAUAUAUUCUUAGGUCAUUUUUGGAUUUUUGAAUUAAAUCAUAUUGUAUUUGACUUUGGGCAUUUAAACACUAUAAAUAAUUUAAAUGUUCAAAUAAAUGUUGGAAAUUGUUAAGGGUCACUGAAAUAAUUCAGAAAGCACCCAUAAUUGUUUCCAGGAUUUUAUUAAAUGAUUUGGUAUUUUAAAUCAAAUCAAAAACAAAAUAACAGAAAUAGAAAAGAAAUAAAAGAGAGAGAGAGAAGGAAGUUAUCUGGCGCCCACUUACCUGGCCCAGCACGGCCCAGCCCAUCUCCACUCCCCCUGUCGUCUUCCUCCUUGCCAGAAGGACCGAGGCGUGGCGCGCGCCCGAGAGGCCUCGGCCACCUCCUGCUUCCCCUGGCCACCUCCUGCUUCCUCCUCGACGCCCUGGUGACGCCACGCGCCUCCCCGACCCCCUCUCGCUCUCCCUCGCCCUCAUCCUCUCCCCCUGGACCCCAUCCCCUCCUCUGCUCCCCUCUCGUGCACACCACCGAGCGGAGCUCGCCAUCAUCAUCGCCGUACCCGUGGCCACCGGCCACCCCUAGCCUCGCCGAUGCGCUCAAAGGCUCCGCCUCGACCCCCUCUUCCUCUCCACCAACCCAUGCCCCGCCGGACAACCUGCAACGCCGCCACCAUCACCGUUUCCGUCGCCGGCCACCGAAGCUCACCGCCGUCGAUUCGCGACGUCUGGCGCGUCCCCGAGCCCACUGAGCCACCCUGCUGCCUCCCUGUGAGCUUACCGUCGUUUCCCCUCACCUCUCUCUCUCGCGCGCGCCCUGUAGCCGCUGCCCCACGAGCACCCGAAGCCGCCGUCCGCCAUGGCUGGCGAGCUCCGUGCCCUGAGCACCUCUGCCUCGCAUAGCAGCUCCGACAUGCUCCUGCCGCCUUUAGGUGCUGCCUAGCACCUCCGUUCACCCACCUAUGAGCUGCAGCACCGCGCCCGCACUUAGCCGAGCUCCGGCCGCCGCGGAAGUGGACGCCGCCGUUGAUCUGAGCCGUCUCCGGCGACCCCACUAGCACCAGAGGACGCGGACGAGGCUCGGGGUUCCAACGGUGCCAUCCGCGCCUCGAUCCGUGGCCUGUGCUGCGAUUCCGCGCAUCGCCGCCGCCUCGGGCCUCGCCGGCGUCAUGUCGCCGGUGGGUUUGACCCCACCGACCCGGGAUUUGACCCUGUUUGACUUUCCCAGGGUCACUGACAGGUGGGCCCGGCCCCUGCUAACUUUGGUUAAGUUAAUAACUAAUUUCGGCUAAGCCACUGAGCCACUAACAUGCGGGCCCCGCCCGGCUAACUAAGUUAGUUAGGGCUAAUCAUAUUUAGGCUAGUCGCUGACCAGUGGGCCCAAUCCAGUUAGUUAGGGCUAACUAACUUGGUUAGUUGACUGGGUCACUGACCAGUGGGCCCCACUGGUCAGGUUUGACCUGGUCGACGCCUUUGACCUGCUGACGUCACCCCGGCGUCAGGCUGACGCAAUUAAAUCAUUUUCUGGAUUUAUUUUAAUUUAGGAAAUUUUAGAAAAUAGCUAAAACUUCAAUAAAUCAUAGAAAUUCAACCGUAACUCCAAAUUAAAUAAUUUAUAUAUGAAAAAUUAUUAGAAAAAUUCAAGGAAUCCAUCUGUACCAUUUUCAUGCAUGAUAGAACAACUUAUAGCUGCUGUUUAGCACAAAUCAAUUAAAGGGCAUUUAAAUAAUCAUAUAUGGAGUUGGAAUUUGAAUCAUGUAUUCAAACCAACCUCAUUUAAAUCAUAGCUAGGUGCAUUAGCUCAAAACACAUUCAUAUUGCCAUGUCAUGAGCAUGCAUCAUAUUGUGCAUUGCAUUGAUUGUAUUUCUUCUUGUUGCCGGUAUCUGUUCCCUCCCGGUAGACGAUGUUCCGACGUUGUGAUCGUUGACACUGAUGAAGACUCAAUGUUAUCUUCAGAAGUGCCAGGCAAGCAAAAACCCCUUGUUCAUUCCGAUACAAUCCUACUCUCUCGCCCCUGCUCUCUUUUAAUGCAUUAGGAUAACACCGAUUCAUCUGUUACUUGCUGCGGUAGCUGAACCCCUUUAUCCUCUGCAUGACCUGUCAUUGCCACAGUAAAUAGAUGAAACCCACUAGCAUGAGUAGGAGUUGUUUGGGCCCUGUUGUGCCUACUCAUUCAUGCUUAUUGUCAUGCCUGCUACUGCUUAGAGUUGUGUCAGGUCUGAUUCAUCCGGGAUGAAUCAGAGGUGUGUGAACAUGUCCUACUGUGUGUGAGCUAAGUGUGUGAACACGAUUUGGUAAAAGGUGUCGGUGAGAGGCCAUGUAGGAGUACAUGGUGGGUUGUCUCAUUGAAGCCGUCCUCAGGAACUGAGUUCUGUGUUUGUGAUCCAUGAUUCAGCUACUACCAUACAUUGGGCCCUGAAAUAUGACCCCGCUCGACUUCUUAUUCACCCUUGUCCUCUGUCCAGGAGUUGCAAGUAGUUUCUGGUGUUUGUAGUAUGCUGGAGGCUGUGGACAGCGCUGACCGUAGGGGUGGGCUGUGAUGCAGUAGGCACGUGGCCGGGUAUACCGGGCGCCCGUUUGGUGUCACGGAACCCUGUUCACAUCGUUUGGGGCUGUGAGCGAAACUCCGGCCGGAUCUCCUCAUGGAUGGAACCCGAAUAGGCGAUAAACCUGGACUAGAGACUUGAGUGUUUAGGUAGGUCGUGGUCUACACCCACGUCGGCUUUCGCUUGAAGUCUGCCGAGCACAUGUCGUGUGCAGACGCUAAGUGGUGGAAACAUGUAUGAAGAAGUACACCCCUGCAGGGUUAACAUCAUCUAUUCGAAUAGCCGUGUCCACGAUAAAGGACUUCUGGGUUGCUUAUAUCAGUUCAUAGACAAGCGAAAGUGGAUACUCUAAAAUACACAAGAUAAGCGUGAGUGCUAUGGAUGGCGCUCUCGUAGGGAGACGGGAGCGGAUCCAUAGUGAUGUAUUGAUAUGGGGAAUAUGUGGACUCGUGUGCACCACCUCAAAAGAGUUACAUUGCAGUCGUAGUUCAGGAUAGCCACCGAGUCAAAGCUGGCUUGCUGCAGUUAAACCCCACCAUCCCCUUUGUUGAUAAUGAUGCAUAUGUAGUUAGUUCUGAUGUAAGUCUUGCUGGGUACAUUUGUACUCACGUUUGCCUAUUUUAUGUUUUUGCAGAGAGACUUUGGUCUCACUAGUAGUUUCGCGUGGACUUCGACGUUUAGCUUGUUACCUCAGCUACGAUCUUGUGCCCCGGCAGGAUCUGGUAGAUAGUCAGGCUUCUCAGCCUUUUUCAGUUAUAGAUGUCUGUACCCAGACAUGAUAGCUUCCGCUUGUGCUUUGAUUUGUAUGCUCUGAUUGUUGGGUCAUGAGACCCAUGUUUGUAAUAUCUCGCUCCUCGGAGCCUAUUGAAUAAAUUACUUGCGUCGUAGAGUCAUGUUGUGAUGCCAUGUUGUAUUUGCACAUAUCGAGCAUAUUGUGUGUAUGUUAUUGAAAUGCUUGGUAUGUGUGGGAUCUGACCAUCUAGUUGUUUAUCUUUAGUAGCCUCUCUUACGGGGAAAUGUCUCCUAGUGUUCCACUGAGCCAUGGUAGCUUGCUACUGCUCCGGAACACUUAGGCUGGCCGGCAUGUGUCCUUCUUCGUUCCUGUGUCUGUCCCUUCGGGGAAAUGUCACGCGAUGAAUACCGGAGUCCUGUUAGCCCGCUACAGCUCGGUUCACCGGAGUCCUGCUAGCCCAGUGCUACAGCCUGGAUUCACUCGCUGAUGACCGACACGUUCGAUGCUGGGUCAUGGAUGCCUGUCCCUGUAAGUCUGUGCCACUUUGGGUUUACGACUAGCCAUGUCAGCCCGGGCUCCUUAUCAUAUGGAUGCUAGCGACACUGUCAUAUACGUGUGCCAAAAGGCGCAAACGGUCCCGGGCAAAGGUAAGGCGACACCCGUGGGAAUACCGUGCGUGAGGCCGCAAAGUGAUAUGAGGUGUUACAUGCUAGAUCGAUGUGGCAUUGAGUCGGGGUCCUGACAAUGCGUCCCCACCGGCCUGAUAAAACUCACUUAUCUCCCAAGCGCCGCAAUCAAUGGUGCGGUUGGGUUACCCACGUCCGUAUUGAUGGGAAUCCCGGAAUAAGGGGAACACGAUCUCUGCUUCGACAAGACGUGCCAAGGAAACCGCUUACCUAAAUGCGCGGAGGUGGUAUAAUAAAAAUGAUUCGAGUAAAGGCUUGGUUGUGGUGUGACGUCACGCCACAAAAUACGUCAGCAGAUUGAACUUGUGUAAAUAUUAUUCUCUCUACAGUGGUAUGUGGAAUUUAUUUUGCAAAGCCGGACACUAUCCUGGUGUUCACAAUCUUCUAUAAAUUAUUCGGAGGAGGAACCCGCCUUGCAAUGCCGAAGACAAUAUGCGCGCCGGACUCGUCGUCAUUGAAGCCUGGUUCAGGGGCUACUGAGGGAGUCCUGGACUAGGGGGUGUCCGGAUAGCCGAACUAUCAUCAUCGGCCGGACUCCAAGACUAUGAAGAUACAAGAUUGAAGACUUUGUCCCGUGUCCGGAUGGGACUUUCCUUGGCGUGGAAGGCAAGCUUGGCGAUACGGAUAUGUAGAUCUCCUACCAUUGUAACCGACUCUAUGUAACCCUAGCCCUCCCCGGUGUCUAUAUAAACCGGAUGGUUUUAGUCCAUAGGACAAACAACAAUCAUACCACAGGCUAGCUUCUAGGGUUUAGCCUCCUUGAUCUCAUGGUAGAUCUACUCUUGUAAUACCCACAUCAUCAAUACCAAUCAAGCAGGACGUAGGGUUUUACCUCCAUCAAGAGGGCCCGAACCUGGGUAAAACAUAGUGUCCCUUGUCUCCUAUUACCAUCCGCCUAGACGCACAGUUCGGGACCCCCUACCCGAGAUCCGCCGGUUUUGACACCGACAAACACCGUAUGUUGAUGAACACGGUGAUAGGAAGGAUUGCAUCCGCGUAAAGUGAAUUGUAUGAGGCCGCCAGGAGUUUACUGACAGGCUUUGAGGUACGUCAAAAGGUGUACCUAUUGGUAGAGCCGCAUAGAAUGCACCCUGUAUAAAUAGUAGCCCCUGAGACUCUGUGUGCCGUCAAGAGUGAUGGCGCACAGAGGAUCAAAACCCCAGGUAUAAAAUGUUACCUUUUUAUGAAGGUGGCGAGGCGUUCGGUGGCUAGCCGGACUGAUGAAUCUGCCGAGUUAAAGCGGCAACUGGACGUGGCAGAUGCCGACAUCGCGCUUGUAAAUAAGCGGCUAGAUGAGGCACAAGGUAUGCUCCACUGAUAUCUGAUAAGAGGAGUUCGAUGCUCGUUUCUUACAAUAUAUAUGCUUAUUGCAGAUAGUGCUGCUUCCAUGGAGAACCUUCGGGCGGAACUUGCCUGAGCCAAGGAGCAAGCAGGAAAAAGUGAUGCGGCUGCCAUUAAGGCGGCCGAAGAGCUGAAAGCCGAACAUGCUGCUCACUGCCAGAGUAAGGAGGCAAUAGCCGAGAUGGCUGUAAAAUUGAAGGAUGCUGCCGACCGCUGUAAAUUUCUCGAACAAGAAAAAAGGGCGGCUCAGAAGGACCUUGAGAAGAUCACUACCGAGGCCAAGGAUGCUCGCUCUACAAUGAGAGCUAUGAAGGAGGAGCUGCGUCAGGUCGGAGAUAUCAUGGCUGGAAAGCCCUAUAUGCUACGGAUGAAGUUCGGGGAUCCUAGGUAUGCUCCGUUAGACCGGCAGUGGAGUGCAGAAAACACUUAUCUGGAUGUGGCAGCAAGUGCGGCGGACGCAACCGAACACUUCCGAGGUCGAGGCGACCAUAAUUUGGAAGAACUGUUUUGGUUGCAAUUCCACAAGCCAGAGCGUCCACUUUCGGUACCCGACCGUUCGGCCGCCUUUGCGGAGCUGAACAGGUUAUCCGGACUCGCCAUGAAGUAUGUCGCGAGUCGUUUGUGGCCGGGGGAGCCAGAGCUGAAAAGUUAUUUUGGAUUGGUGCAGCAGUUCCUUGGUUCUGUGCCGCAUGUCGAUGCAAUGAAGUGGUCGGCGUGUAUAGAGGGUGCACAAAUGGCUCUUGCCCGUGUCAAGACAUACUGGGCGGAUAUGCAGGCCAGUGUUGUCGCAUCCCAGGAUCCGGACGAAGUCCAGGUGUCUGCCAAGCACUACCUUGAGGAAGUUCUUCCGGGCGCUCGUUUAAUAGAAGCGCAGUGCUCGAAGGAUGUUUUGUUCGAAUAGCAGGUGCUAUUGUAAAAGAAAUAUUUUGAUAGAAUAUAAAAGCUUUUUAUACUUGUGCUUGCAAGAAUUAUAACACCUCCUGUGCUACCGUUAAUGUAUAUGUGUAUAUAACCUGAAAGAUGGCAGUCGUUGGCUUCUGCCCCCAUGCAAAUAAUGCGGGGGUGUUUGCAAAAAAUGUGCCUUUUCACACUUAAUCCAACGUCUUGGUCCUACCAAGGAGGUGAUAGCGCGGCGAACGAGGCAACCGGACUAUAUUGCUUUAUCACUUUCACUUAGCCAUAGGAGUUUGACAUUGGGGCUACUCAAUAGCCCCUGGAGGCACCGCGCUCUCCCGAAUCCGGGGCGCGUGUGUGCCUGACCGGAAGCGGUCCUUCGUUAAUGCGGAGGAAUCCUAGAGAUUCCGAGAGUCAUCGAGUGGUUGACCAGUCUCUCGCUAUAUCAUGACAGUCAGUUUUCGGCUUUCUCUACUAAGGUGCUCGCCUGGCCGAACCGGGGCACAAUCGCAGUAGUUCUCCUGGUGCCGCGUUAGCCGAUAUAACGGAAUGUAAGGCUGCAAAACACAGGAGCCGAGCAAACCCAACAUUUGACCACAGACAUGAUUCGGAGCUGAUGCAUAUAAGGCCUAACUCGCGAUGCCGAACACUCCCUAAGGUAUUCGGUCUUUAUGAAGACGGGCCGAAACAGAGCCCUUGAUAAAAAAGCCCCUGGUGUCCAGGUACGCGCAAAAUUCUGGCGUGGCCAUAUGCCAAAACGCCAGCCUCCUCCUCAGUUAUGGCGAAAACCGGGGGAUGUUUUCAACAAGAGACAGUAAAAAAGGUUUACGCAGGGUCUUAAUCUGAAAAGAAUCCUUGGAACGGGUCCCUACUGCAUGUCUGCGCCUGUGUCUCCGUUGUGCCGUAUCCUGGACGGGCGUAGCACAGUGUUCGUCUGCGAAAAAGAGGAACUUUAGUAAAUAAGCAUGCGAGAAAUCCAUAUUAGAAUAAACAGAACAUAGUUGGAGCAAGAAGUGAGCCGCAUUGUCUCCUGGCGUAAACACGCGGAGCCCCUUAUAUAGGGUUAUGCGGCUAUUAAGUCCAUGUGUGUUAACGCCGGAGUCGUCUAGCCGUGUCCGGAAUAGUAGGGCUAGAUUAGUCUGCGGCUGUCUAGUUGGCUGCACCCUUACCCGUACUUUGGGGGUCAAUUUUCAUUCCCCUGUGAUGAGAUGAUGCCUCGUGGCCCGGGCAUUUUAAGUGUAAGGGAUGCAUAAUGCGGUAUUGCGUUAAUGCGGGCGAAAGCUUCACGUCCCAAUAGCGCUUGAUAGCGACUUACGAAUUGGGCGAUGUGGAAGGUUAGCUUUUCGCUUCGGAAGUUGUCGGGUGAGCCGAACGUGACCUCUAACGAAAGGGAACCCAUACUCUGGGUAUCUGGACCCGGCGUGGCUCCUCGAAAGGAAGUUUUGCCACGGCAGAUUAGCGCUGGGUUUACCCCUAGUUUGUGUAUUGUGUCCUGAUAUAACAGGUUUAAGUCACUGCCGCCGUCCAUAAGGACUCGUGUAAAUUGUAGUCCGUCAAUAAUCGGAUUCAAGACCAAGGCAGUCCAGCCUGCGUUCCGGGCCCCUCUGGAGUAAUCCCGAUGAUCAAAAGUGAUUGGUUGCAACAACCAGUGGAGGUGCUCCUUUGGGGCUAGCUGUGUGGCGCGUGUCUUCAUAAGCGCCGUUCUGUUUUUCCCUUUUGUCAUAUGAAGUGAAUUUACUGUUUUGACUUCUUGUGGGAACUUUUUUGUUCUCCGGUGUUCUGCUUGUGGGGUCCGUCGUCAUCCUCGCUUGGUGUGUCGAGCCCCUUGUGUUCGGCAUUGAGUUUGCUGGACUGAUUGAAAACCCAACAAUCUCUGUGGGUAUGGUUUGCAGGUCUCCCGGGGGUGCUGUGGAUUUGACAUAUUUUGUCCAGGAUUUUGUUGAGGUUGGACAGCUCGUCCCUGUCAUCUUUGGGCGACGGCUUUUUCUGAUUUUGCCGAGAGCUUUUGAAUCCGACAUUGACUGCCGUGCUCGUUGGGCUGUUGUCCUUGAUUCGGCGCUGUUCUUUGUUACGGCGUGGUUUCCCGCUUCCAUCUCUGGGUUCGGAUGUACUCGGGUCGCUGGUGCUGCUUCUUGCCAACCAGCUAUCCUCUCCUGCGCAAAAGCGAGUCAUGAGGCUUGUUAAUGCGGCCAUCGUUCUUGGCUUUUCUUGGCCGAGGUGUCUGGCGAGCCAUUCGUCUCGGACGCUAUGUUUGAAAGCUGCUAGGGCUUCAGUGUCCAGACAGUCGACUAUCUGAUUCUUUUUAGUAAGGAAUCAGUUCCAGAGUUUCUGGGCUGACUCUCCGGGUUGCUGAGUUAUAUGACUCAGAUCAUCUGCAUCCGGAGGUCGGACAUAGGUCCCUUGAAAAUUUGCACGGAAAGCCUCCUCGAGCGCUUCCCAACUUCCCAUGGUGUUUUCGGGAAGGCUUUUAAGCCAAUGCCGGGCUGGCCCUUUGAGCUUAAGGGGUAAGUAUUUGAUGGCAUGAAGGUCAUCUCCUCUGGCCAUGUGUAUGUGGAGGAUAUAAUCCUCUAUCCAGACUCCGGGGUAUUUUGUUCCGUUGUAUGCUUCUAUGUUCACGGGCUUGAAUCCCGCUGGAAAUUCGUGAUCCAGCACCUCAUCGGUAAAACAUAAGGGAUGUGCGGCGCCCCUGUAUGUAGGUGUGCCGCGAUGUUCGGAUAUUUUUUGCAUUGUAUUGCUCGCUGGAGCUUGCUUUCUUGGGCCAUAGAUGGAUCUGGUUGGGCGGUUGUUUGAUGCGAAUCCUUAGGCAGAUCGCUUGCCGUAUUGAGUGCGACGCCCUUUGUCGCUUUAGAUCGAUCAUUGGGUCGUCUAUCCAACCUGGUGGCUUCCUUGUUUUUCGGCUGUGGGGGCAUUAUGGCCUCUUCAUCAAAUUCCGGUAGUAGUUUCCGCUUCGGAUAGCUCUUCGUGUGACGACUGUUGCCGUACUUGUGUGCAGUAUUGAGUACUUUGUUCCAUUUGAUCCUGAGUGCAUCUUCUGCUGUUUUGAGCCUCCGCUUCUGCUUUUUCAGGCUACGUGCCGUGGCGACGAGCCUUUGGUGGAGGUUCUGAUGUUCCAACAAUUUGUCCGGCGUGAGGUCGUCCGGACUAUUAUCUUUUCCGGGGAUUGGUUGUUUGGAUUGCCCGUCCUGUUUGGACGGUUGCUCAAUGGCGUGUUCGUCUUCCGUUGAUUCGCCCUGCUCUAUGGUUGGGUAUUUGUCGAGGUGGGGCUUUGCGUGGCGCUUACGUCGCCGCUUUGAUUGUUUUUCGAGGGAACGAUCCCUGUUUGCGCCCUUUUGAUCCUCGUUGUUAUCCCUUUUGGGUGUGUCCACCAUGUAUACAUCGUAUGAUGAGGUGGCUUUCCAGUGCUCUAUAGGUGCUGGUUCUUGGUCGUCUCCUUCAUCGGCGUCCAUACCGUCGAUGUCUUCGAAGUCAAAGUCGAGCAUGUCAGUUAAAUCGUCGACAGUGGCUACAAAGUGGCUGGUGGGUGGGUUUCGAAUUUGUUCAUCGUCUGUAUCCCAACCCUGCUGACCAUAGUCCGGCCAGGGCUCUCCUGACAAAAAGAGAUACUUUAGAGAGUUCAGGAUAUCGCCAAAGGGCGAGUGCUGAAAGGCGUCCGCGGCGGUGAACUCCAUGAUCGGAGCCCAAUCGGGUUCGAUCGGAAGGGGUGCAGAAGAUUCGGAGUCCGGAAUGGAGUCCGACACCUUGGAGUCACGGGCCUUGCAAAGGACUAGGCUGGUAUCCGGCUCUAUCGCCAUAGAGAUUGCGGCUCCUGGGGCAGCGUCCAGCCGUCCGUCCCUGGUUAGCGCAGUUGGCUCCGAGCUAAUGGUCGGAGCGGACUCCCGAGCGGCACUCUAGGCGCUGUCCGGUGGUAGAGCUAGAUCACGCCCAUCCAGAUAGUGCGGCGCGCUCGGCCGUGGCUCGAAUCCGUCGAAGAUCAAGUCCCCGUGAAUGUCGGCCGUGUAGUUUAAGCUUCCAAACCUGACCUGAUGGCCAGGGGCGUAGCUUUCGAUCUGCUCCAGAUGGCCAAACGAGUUGGCCCGCAGUGCGAAGCCGCCGAAUACGAAGAUCUGUCUGGGGAGAAAAGUCUCGCCCUGGACCGCGUCGUGGUUGAUGAUCGAAGAAGCCAUCGGGCCUAAAGGCGACGACAUAGAGGAGCUCUCAAUGAAAGCACCAAUGUCGGUGUCAAAACCGGCGGAUCUCGGGUAGGGGGUCCCGAACUGUGCGUCUAGGCAGAUGGUAACAGGAGACAAGGGACACGAUGUUUUUACCCAGGUUCGGGCCCUGUCGGUGGAGGUAAAACCCUACUCCUGCUUGAUUAAUAUUGAUGGUAUGGGUAUUACAAGAGUUGAUCUACCACGAGAUCAGAGAGGCUAAACCCUAGAAGCUAGCCUAUGGUAUGAUUGUUGUUCGUCCUACAGACUAAAACUCUCCAGUUUAUAUAGACACCAGAGAGGGCUAGGGUUACACAGAGUCGGUUACAAUGGGAGGAGAUCUUCAUAUCGUAUCGCCAAGCUUGACUUCCAUGCCAAGGAAAGUCCCUAUCCGGACACGGGACGGAGUCUUCAAUCUUGUAUCUUCAUAGUCCAGGAGUCCGGCCAAAGGUCAUAGUCCGGCCAUCCGGACACCCCCUAAUCCAGGACUCCCUCACACAGGAAGAGUAGUUGAAUAUACAAACGCUAUCGACAAAUGGAACACGUAAUACAAAAAAAUGAUAGCAUGAUAUAAUUCACAUACAUGAUGAUUGGCUAAAUAGCAUGGCAUUGCAUAAUUCACAUAUAUAAUGCCUUUGCAACAAGAUAUCAUUGUAUAAUUCACAUAUAUAAUGUCUUGCAAUAAGAUGGCAAUGCAUAAUUCACAUAUAUGGUAAUUAGACACUGAACAAGUGGCAUUCACACAAAGCAUGUCAAACUAAUCAAAUGGCAUAGCAAUGCGAGACACCAUACGCACGAUAUGAGCAACAUAACCCUGCCAAGUUAGAGCAUACACCCCCGAGGGGGAUAGGACUGGUCAUCUAUCUCUGAAUCCUCCUCCGAGGAGCUAUCCAUAACCAGCGAGAUAUGCGCUUCGUCAGAUAGCAUAGUCUGCUCAGAAGACCUUGUUUUCACUCUAGAAUUUGCCAUCACCGUGUCAAAUGGCUGUUGCACACGAAGAGCAGUUGAAUGUACUAACAUUGUUGACAAAUGUAAUAUGUUACGAAAAAAGGAUGGCUUGAUAUAAUUUACAUAUAAGAUGACUGGCUAAGCAGGAUGGCAUUGCAAAAUUCACAUAUAUGAUGCCUGGCUAAACAAGGUGGCGUUGCAUAAUUCACAUAAAUGAUGAAUAAACUAAACAGAUGGCAUUCACACAAAGGAUGUCUAAACUAAGCAGAUGACAUAUUUGAUGUAUAAAGUAAGCAAUGCAAGACACCAUAUGCAUGAUAUAACCAACAUCAGCAUGCCAAGUUAGAGCGAAGACCUCAGGGGGUAAAUAGGAGUUAUCUUAUCCUUCUGAAUCCCCCUCAGAACAGAUAUCUUCCUCUCGAUUACAAUCCGAAAUGCAUGGAGGGGGGCUGCCUUUGCGCCUACCAUGGAGCAACGUCUGUAUGAAAUUAUAUUGCCAUGCAAGGCUCGUCUCUUUUGCUCUACAUGUUCAGUUCCAUUGUUUACAAUAACUGUCAUGCAUAGGAAUAAAACAUAGUGAGAUUAUGUAAGGAGUGCAUGCAUAAAUCCGGAGUGAUGGUAGCAACCUGUAGAUAGACCCAAAACCAAUAAUAGCAGGCAGAUAAUGGCUUCAGUUAAUAAAUAUAGAUAAUGGCUUCUUUACUGUUUGUUUCCCACCCAACAUGAAAAUCAUAGUAGACACCGGAGAUUAACCAGAUAGUAGAUAUAUACUAUUGAUAGCAGCCCCGAUAUGUACCCCACAUCCAUUUAAAAACUCAAGUUUGACCAUUAGUUUGGAGCUGACUCAGAGUCUAAUCAGUGAACAUGACGAUAAAGUAGCAUGUAAUAUUAAGCGAUGCAUAACGUAAGCAGACACGAAAGAGUGCGACCUCUCUUGCGGACCCAUGUAGUCCUCGAGGUCAUCUGCUUGGUUGAUGAUGGUAAUGCAGUUUUCAUGGCUGCCAGCGGCGGGGAAGAAGAUCUGGGGCGGCGAAAGACAGUCUGGAGGCCGGAUCCUACUGUGCUGGACCCUUCUAUCGUUGGAGCAGCUGAGCUGGGGUGGACGACGGCGCAGCAGGAGCGGGACAAAACACGCAAGGUUUUCUUUGACAACUAUCUGUAAGAGAAGUAAUUCUGUAAGGGCUCGUUUGAAUUGGAGGAUUCCAACAAUGCAGGGAUAGGAGAUAGACAAGAAUAGGAUAGGAAUGCACGUGCAAAAUAGAGAAUUUAAAAACACAGGAUUUUUGUCAAUCUGGGUGUUUGAUUCACAACAAUUGGAAGAUCACAUGAUGCAAAUAAGCAUGGUGAGAUUAAGUCAAACCACAAGAAAAUGUACGGUUAUAAUGCUAUUAUGCUACUAUCUCUUAGUCUUGUGCUUCAUGAAUAGGAAUUUGAAAAGGAGGACAAGUGCAAAUUAAAUUUCCUACGUUUUUCCUUUCAAGGAGACACUAAAGGAACAAAUCGGUGUGCUUAGUGGACAAUAUAUAUAACAUGUAGAGUAAAAAAGGGAUGCAACAAGUGUACAACCUCUUUGGCGAAGCCAUGUCGAUCUCAGCAUGAUUGGGUUGGCCGGUGAGGAUGCUCCGACUGAAUUUGCCGUCGGAGGAGGGGAAGAAGAUCUUAGGAGUCUGGUGAUGGAGCCUGAGGUAAUUCUCCGCUGUGAUGGAGGGUUUCGUCAUUGGAGCAGCUCCGGUGAGUUGUACGACGCCGAGGCUGAAGCAGGACAAGAGAGACAACGAACAACGUUAACCUGAGUGGAAUUCUAAUAGCAUCUCCAAUACAUGACGUAAAAUACAUAACCACAAAGUGCCAGAUGUAAAAUACAUCAGCCGCUCAUCUCUGAACUUAAUUGUCGAAACUGAACUUAACUGUCGAAACUGAACUUAACUGUCAAAACUGAACCUAACUGUCGAAACUGAAUUUUGCUAUCGAAACUGAAUUUUGCUGUCAAAACUGAACGCACUAGCAAGGUGAGGCUACACAUCGGUCGACUGACUUUUUCAUCUCUGGUCAGUCGAUUUUGCAGACAUUGGAUAUGAAAUCAAGGGCCUGCAGUUCAUCUUUAACCUCCACACCCCCUGAGCCGCCAGCCACCACCGACCAAACAGUAGCCCCCCGCCGCCCGCGGCCGACGGUGCGCCGCCCCGCCCGCCCCGAAAACACUCCCCACCGCCAGUCCGCCGCCGCCCCGGCCAUCCCUCUAGGNNNNNNNNNNNNNNNNNNNNNNNNNNNNNNNNNNNNNNNNNNNNNNNNNNNNNNNNNNNNNNNNNNNNNNNNNNNNNNNNNNNNNNNNNNNNNNNNNNNNNNNNNNNNNNNNNNNNNNNNNNNNNNNNNNNNNNNNNNNNNNNNNNNNNNNNNNNNNNNNNNNNNNNNNNNNNNNNNNNNNNNNNNNNNNNNNNNNNNNNNNNNNNNNNNNNNNNNNNNNNNNNNNNNNNNNNNNNNNNNNNNNNNNNNNNNNNNNNNNNNNNNNNNNNNNNNNNNNNNNNNNNNNNCCACGCCACCGCCCCACCACCGGCGGCGACCACCGCCCCCAUCCUGAACCCUAAGAUAGAUAGUGGGGUACCUCUCCGGCGAGCCCCCCUCCCUUCUGCGGCUGGUUCUUCCUUCACCCCGGCGAGCCCACCCCUUGAAAAUCGACUGACCCAAAAGUUGAUUCAGUCGACUUAAGUGUAGCCAAAUCGGAGCAGCAUCACAAGCAAGAGCAAGAGCAAGAGCAGCAGCGCGAGCAAGAGCAAUACCAAGAGCAGACCAGGCAGGGGACCGAGAGCAAGAGCAGAGCAGCAGCGCGAGCGAGAGCUAAAGCAGCAGCAACUCCUACUGAUGUGGACGUCACCGCCGAGGGAGCGACUCCGUGGAGGAAGUGGCCGGUGACACUGCCGUGGAUGGAGCCGCGCCGUGUCGGCUCGAGACCGAGCGCCCGCAACACCGUGAGAUCGAAUCAAGAAGAAAAUGCGGCGAUUAGUGUACAACCUCUUUGGUGGCGUUGAUUAGGCCGCAACUUCAUACGAGGAAACAGUGAUGAUGAUGGUCUUCCGGUGGUGCAGGUGAAGACGGCGGUGUGGGAAUGGAGGUGGCACAAAAGACGAGGGGAACAUCGGGGCAGCUCCUUGGAGGUGGAGGACGGGGUGGCUAAACCGGCGGGACAAUGAGAUCGAUGAUGGAUCCUCAUCCGGUACGGUGGAUGAUGGACGUCGAGGUGUUGCUGUGGACGACGUCGUCAGGGAAGAGGCUCCGGCUGGGUGGCGGACGGAGCAGGGUGUGGGGUUUCGUCGUGGGUUUUCGCGGCCUCAGUGUAUGAAUGGGUGGGCGGAUGGGAUGGUAGUGGGGAACCAUGGCUUAGAGACGCGCUUGUCCGAAAUGUGGGGUAAGUUACGAAAGUACCUGAGGGAGUCCCGGAUUAGGGGGUGUCCGGAUGACCAGACUAUAACCUUUGGCCGGACUCCUGGACUAUGAAGAUACAAGAUUGAAGACUUCGUCCCGUGUCCGGAUGGGACAUUCCUUGGCGUGGAAGGCAAGCUUGGCGAUACGGAUAUGUAGAUCUCCUCCCAUUGUAACCGACUCUGUGUAACCCUAGCCCUCUCCGGUGUCUAUAUAAACCAGAGGGUUUUAGUCCGUAGGACGAACAACAAUCAUACCAUAGGCUAGAUUCUAGGGUUUAGCCUCUCUGAUCUUGUGGUAGAUCUACUCUUGUACUACCCAUAUCAUCAAUAUUAAUCAAGCAGGAGUAGGGUUUUACCUCCAUCGAGAGGGCCCGAACCUGGGUAAAAACAUCGUGUCCCUUGUCUUCUGUUACCAUCCGCCUAGACGCACAGUUCGGGACCCCCUACCCGAGAUCCACUGGUUUUGACACCGACAUUGGUGCUUUCAUUGAGAGUUCCUCUGUGUCUUCAUCUUUAGGUCCGAUGGCUCCUCCGAUCAUCAACAAUGACGCGGUCCAGGGUGAGAGUUUUCUCCCUGGACAGAUCUUCGUAUUUGGUGGCUUUGCACUGCGGGCCAAUUCGCUUGGCCAUCUGGAGCAGAGCGAAAGCUACGCCCCUGGCCAUCAGGUCAGAUUUGGAAGUUUGAACUACACGGCUGACAUCCGCGGAGACUUGAUCUUCGAUGGGUUCGAGCCACAGCCGAGCAUGCCUCACUGUCACGAUGGGCACGAUCUAGCUCUACCGCCGAACAGUGCCCAGGAGGCCGCCCUAGUGUCCGCUCCGACGCUUAGUUCGGAGCCGACUGCGCCAAUCGAGGAUGGGUGGCUGGACACCGCCUCGGGGGCUGCAAUCUCUACGACGAUCGAGCUGAACACUAGCCUUGUCCUUUGCGAAGCUCAUGACUCCAAGGUGCCGGACUCCUUUCCGGACUCCGAACCUUCCGCGCCCCUGCCGAUCGAACCUGAUUGGGCGCCGAUCAUGGAGUUUGCCGCCGCGGACAUCUUCCAGCACUCGCCCUUUGGCGACAUUUUGAAUUCACUAAAGUCUCUCUCUUUAUCAGGAGAGCCCUGGCCAGACUAUGGUCAGCAAGGUUGGGAUGUGGACGACGAAGAAAUUCAAAGCCCACCCAUCACCCACUUCGUAGCCACUGUCGAUGAUUUAACCGACAUGCUCGACUUCGACUCCGAAGACAUCGACGGUAUGGACGCCGAUGUAGGAGACGACCAAGACCCAGCGCCUCUAGGGCACUGGAAGGCCACCUCAUCAUACCACAUAUACAUGGUGGACACUCCAAAAGAAGGGAAUGGUGAUGGAACAACGGAGGAUGACCCCUCCAAGAAGCAGCCUAAGCGCCGACGUUAGCGGCGCCGCUCUAAAUCCCGCCAAAGCAAAAACAGCAAUUUUGGCACGGGAGAUAAUAACACCCCGGACAGUGUCGAAGACAACCCCCUCCAGCUGGAUUCAGCACAGGAGGAUUGAGAAACUAGCCCUCAUGAGAGAGCGGCAGACAGAGAGGUAGAGGAUGAUAAUUACAUGCCUCCCUCCGAAGACGAGGCGAGCCUCGACGACGAGGAAUUUGUCGUGCCUAAGGAUCCCGUCGAACAAGAGCGUUUCAAAUGCAGGCUUAUGGCCACGACGAGCAGCCUCAAGAAAAAACAGCACCAACUUAGAGCUGACCAAGACUUGCUAGCCGACAGAUGGACCGAAGUCCUUGCGGCCGAAGAGUAUGAACUCGAACGCCCCUCCAAGAGCUACCCAAAGCACAGGUUGCUACCCCGAUUAGAGGAGGAAGCACCUAAACCUACAUCACCAGCGCACGACGCGGCCGACCGGCCACCUCGUGGCCGCGACAGAGAGGCCUCUUGCCAUCAAUUCAAGUUGCACACCGGUGCCGCUAUACCAAGGCACGGGGAAAUGCGCCGGACCCGCGAGACAUAUUGGAGGACAAGGCAAGGCAAACAAGAUUAAUCUACAGAUCGCAUGGGCGCCCCAUGGCACAUGACAAUAACCGUCAGGCCGGAUAUGGCAAAUACGGCCAGGCCGAACAUAGCAGACAAAGCUCAUUUGAGCUACGUCGUGAUAUAGCCCAGUACAGAGGCGCCGCACACCCACUAUGCUUCACAGAUGAAGUAAUGGAUCAUCAAAUCCCCGAGGGUUUUAAACCCGUAAACAUCGAAUCAUACGAUGGCACAACAGAUCCUGCGGUAUGGAUCGAGGACUAUCUUCUUCAUAUCCACAUGGCCCACGGUGAUGAUCUACACGCUAUCAAAUACCUCCCACUCAAGCUAAAAGGGCUAGCUCGGCAUUGGCUUAACAGCUUGCCAACAGAGUCAAUUGGUUGCUGGGAGGACCUGGAAGCCGCAUUCCUCGACAAUUUCCAGGGCACCUAUGUGCGACUACCAGACGCCGAUGACCUAAUCCACAUCAUUCAGCAGCCAGAUGAAUCGGCCAGACAAUUCUGGACACGGUUCCUAACCAAGAAAAAUCAAAUAGUCGACUGUCUGGAUGCAGAGGCCCUCGCAGCCUUCAAACAUAACAUCCGUGACGAAUGGCUUGCCUGGCACCUAGGACAGGAAAAGCCGAAAUCCAUGGCAGCCCUCACAACACUCAUGACCCGCUUUUGCGCGGGAGAAGACAGCUGGCUAGCUCGUAGUAAUAACAUGACCAAGAGCCCUGGUAAUUCGGAUACCAAGGACAACAAUGGCAGGUCGCGUCGCAACAAACAGAAGAGCCGCAUUAACGGCGACAAUGCAUAGGAUACGGCAGUUAGUGCCGGAUUCCGAGGCUCUAAACCCGGUCAGCAGAAAAAGCCAUUCAAAAGAAGUACUCCGGGCCCGUCCAAUUUGGACGGAAUACUCGGUCGCUUGUGCCAGAUACACGGCACCCCCGAAAAACCAGCCAAUCACACCAACAGGGAUUGUUGGGUGUUCAAGCAGGCAGGCAAGUUAAGCGCUGAAAACAGAGACAAGGGGCUACAUAGUGAUGACGAGGAGGAGCCCCGGCCGCCGAACAAUAGGGGACAGAAGGGCUUCCCCCCACAAGUGCGGAAAGUGAACAUGAUAUACGCAACCCACAUCCCUAAAAGGGAACGGAAGCGUGCACUAAGGGACGUAUAUGCGUUGGAGCCAGUCGCUCCAAAGUUCAACCCAUGGUCCUCCUGCCCGAUCACUUUCGAUCGAAGGGACCACCCCACUAGCAUCCGCCACAGCGGAUUCGCCGCAUUGGUUCUAGACCCAAUCAUUGACGGAUUUCAGCUCACUAGAGUCCUUAUGGGCGGAGGCAGUAGCCUGAACCUGCUUUAUCAGGAUACAGUGCGAAAAAUGGGCAUAGAUCCCUCAAGGAUUAAACCCACAAAGACGACCUUUAAAGGCGUCAUACCAGGUGUAGAGGCCAACUGUACAGGCUCAGUUACACUGGAAGUGGUCUUCGGAUCCCCGGAUAAUUCCGAAUCGAGGAGUUAAUCUUCGACAUAGUCCCGUUCCACAGUGGGUAUCACGCCCUGCUCAGACGAACCGCAUUUGCAAAGUUCAAUGCGGUGCCGCACUACGCAUACCUCAAGCUCAAGAUGCCAGGCCUUCGAGGAGUCAUUACGGUCAAUGGAAACACCGAACGCUCUCUCCGAACAGAGGAGCAUACGGCGGCCCUCGCGGCGGAAGUACAAAGUAGCCUCUCAAGGCAAUUCUCCAGUCCGACUAUUAAACGUCCGGACACCGUCAAGUGCGCCCGGAGUAACCUACAACAAGACCGCCUGGCACGUUCCGUGCAAGCGUAUCAGUGCGGCCCCAACCCCAGCCCUCGCGAAAUUGCAAAACCAGUACCACGCGUACAUAAUUAUGCUCUGGAAAUACCAUGGGCAUAAGGGGAGGGGCACAACCACGGUACGCCCAAAAUACGGCUCAACCGCACUAGGGGCUCCCGAUUUUGUCAUUUAUUUUUUCUUACUUUCAGGACUCCAUUCUCCGGAAGGCCUGUCCGGCAGUACAAUCGCCGAACACACGAUGCAACAGCCAGGGAGGCAGCAAGCUACGUCGAAUGUCCAGGUGGUCUCUAUAACGAGCUAAAUACCUGUCUUACAUAAAGUCUCACAGCUUGCCCCUGGAGGGGGACAUGUCAAAUAAUCCCGUCUCUUGCUUAUCGCACUAUUUGUAUCGUUCUGCUCUCACAUCAGCCUUUUAAUAAACAAUACAUAGCUCUUGUCUAUUAUUGCAUUCACUUUUUAUGUAAAUAUGUUCAUUUAUGACAUUAUGCAACCGUGCACUUUGGUACGGCCAAUACACCAGGGGCUUAAGUACCCCAGAACAUGGUGUGAGAAGUCUGAACACUCUCACGAGUGUGGCACCCCGAACUUAUAGCAUUAUAUGCAUCAGCUCUGAAUCAUGUCUUGGGUCAAUAGUUGGGUUUGCCCGGCUUCCAUGUUUUGGUACCUUACGUUCCGUUAUAUCGGCUAAGGUAGUGCUGGGAGAACUACUGCAAUUGUGCCCUAGUUGAGCUAGGUUAAGCACCUUAGUAGAGAAAGCUAAAACUGACCGUCAUGAUAGGGCGAGAGCCGGCCGCUGUUCGAGAGGUUUUCGAGUCCCUAAAGACUUAUGCCGCUCAGAGCGAGGAGCUGGCUUUGUCCGGCCUAGGCGUGGAUAGCGCCCCGAACUCGGUCUUCCGAAUACUAGGGGCUUCGCCGAAAUUUAAAAUUAUAGAAUUCUAUGGCUAAGUGAGAGUGAUAAAGCAUUAUAGUCCGAUUGCCUUGUUCGUUGUGCUGAGCGCCUCCCUCGAAGGACCCAAGAAUGGGAACAAGAGCGCUCAGGUUUAUCCCGAACACCCGAGCACUCGCGGCAUGGGGGCAGAAGCCGACGACUCUCAUCUCUCAAAUUUAAUAAACGGCCGCACAGAAGGUAAUAUUUUAAAUUCAAAAAGCGUUGCUUAGCGCAUAUGAACAAGUUUUCAAUGCAUAGGAUAAACACGAGCGAGUUUACUCAAAAAUUACAUCCUUGGCACAUUCAUUCGCCACAAGGCGGGCACCCUUCAAGAUGCCCUCAUAAUGCAUCUUGGGCCUGCGAUGCUCCUUCCCCUCCGGUGGCCCAUCUGUCACCAGCUUCUCAGCAUCCAGCUUGCCCCAGUGUACUUUAGCACGGGCAAGGGCCCUACGGGUGCCUUCGAUGCAUACGGAGCGCUUGAUGACUUCAAGCCGUGGACAGGCAUCCACCAGCCGCCUCACCAGCCCAAAGUAACUCCCGGGCAUGACCUCCCCAGGCCAUAGCCGGACUAUUAGGCCCUUCAUGGCCUGUUCGGCUACCUUAUGGAGCUCGACCAGCUGCUUCAGCUGGUUGCUCAAGGGCACCGGGUGUCCGGGCUCAGCAUACUGGGACCAGAACACCUUCUCCGUCGAGCUCCCUUCCUCGGCUCGGUAGAAUGUGGUAGCAUCGGACACACUGCGGUGCAGAUCUGCGAAUGCUCCUGGAGAGCUUCGGACUUGGGUAAGUAACAAGUAAUUCACUUUCACGUGCUUGCUUUGCAUAAAGAAUUCCUUACCCGCUGCUAUCUUCUUCAUCGCCUCAAUUUCCUGGAAGGCUUUUUGGGCUUCGGCCUUGGCGGAUUUGGCGCUCUCAAGGGCCAAGGCAAGCUCGGACUCUUGAGUCUUUGAGUCAAGCUCCAAUCUCUCGUGUUUCUUCACAAGAGCAUGGAGCUCUUGCCGCACCUCCGCCACCCACGCCUCCUGCUUUUCUCGCUCGGUGCGCUCCAUGGCCGCAUUGUCUUCAGCCUUGGACAACGUUUCCUUCAGGGUCGCCACCUCGGUUGUGGCCCCUGUAACACUCACGUUGGUCCUGUCAUUUUUUGCAACCAAGUAUUUUUUAUAUACUAACAUUAGGUACUACUUACCUUCCUUGUCCUCGAGCUGCUUCUUGGCAAGGCCGAGCUCGUUCUCAGACCGCUCAAGGCUCUGCUUCAAUGCAUCGACCUCCGCAGUCAGUGCGGCAGAGGUCAGCAGCGCAGCCUGCAUUCCCAUAUUGACAUACUUAUGUUAGACUCCUGCGUAUAUCUUUUUAGAUCCUCAGUCCGACUUUUCUUUCCGAACACCAAACUGAGCAUCAGGGGCUACUGUCUAUGCGGUAAUAUUUUUACAUAUCUUAAAUACAUACCUCGAAGCCUGUUAGAAGGCUGGCACAGGCUUCUGUCAGCCCGCUCUUGGCGGACUGAACCUUCUGGAUCACUGCACUCAUAAUAGUGCGGUGCUCCUCGUUGAUGGAGGCGCCGUUGAGCACCUCCAACAAAUUAUCCGGUGCCUCCGGUUGGACGGAGGUCACCGUGUCAUAGGCUUGCCCUUCUUACGAAGGGGCCGCCUGCCGGACUCCGAAACCACUGAAGGUUCCGGUGCGGUGUCCGGCCCGGGACCAGACUUAGAGCCCUUUGGGGUUUUAUGCCCUUUGUGCCUGGAAUCCGGAAGGUCGCCUUGCGGCGCUUCCGGGGCUACUCCUCCUGGCUCGUCCCCUUUUGGGACUCCACCUCAGCGUCAUCCGUGGGGCGAGGGGAGGUAGCAGUCGGGAGUGAAAGACUAUUCACAUCCGACGAAUCCAGGGAUCCGCUCGAUGAAGCGUCGAGCUGGGCCUUGGGCGGACUGCAUGAUUAUGUUCGGCGUUAGAAGAUACUGUGCAGUAAAGGAACACCAUGAGUUAUUCUGGUAUCCGGAUACUUACGAUUUUGCCAGGGGCUUGGCCCUGGAUGGCCACUCCUCUUCGCCGUCGUUGGCGUUGGUGGAGUAGUCCGGGAGAAGGGUUUUUCCCUUCUUGGACCCUCCGGCCCUCCUAGUUGGGGUGGCCUUCCUUUUCUUUCCUCCCCCCGUUGGAGGGGGAGAGGCCUCUUCUUCCUCCUCCUCGCCUUCGUGGGAGGAGUGCGCUUUGGAGUCAUUGGACGAGGAAUCUGACACUAGCAGGCGCCGGGAACUCUUUCGAGUUCCCGUGGCCUUCUUCUUGGCCUUCUUCUCCGGCACUACAUGAGGUGCCGGGACCAGCAGCUUUGCCAAGCCGGCAUCUGCUGGGCCUUCGGGCAAAGGAGCCGGACAGUCGAUCUGCCCGAACUUCUUCUGCCAGUCCUGUUAAAGGAAUGGGAGCUUAGAUCCCGCAUAGAGUCAAACUAUGAAAAACAAGUAUCCUAUAAUGGGUAAAAUAAGCUUACCGCGCUGGCUUGGUGCUUUGCGUAGAAUCCACGAUCCUCGGUAAUGGGAGGGUGAACCUCGGAGCCCUUGAAUAGCACCUUCCAGGCAUCUUCGUGCGUUGUGUCAAAGAGCCUGGACAAAGUUUGGUGCUCGGCCGGGUCGAAUUCCCACAAGUUAAAAGCCCGUCGUUGACACGGGAUGAUCCGGUGGAAGAGCAUGACCUGGACUACGGUGAUGAGUUUAACCUUCUUGUCAAUCAGGUCUUUGACGCAGGUUUGGAGUCCGGUCAGCUCUGCAGAAUUACCCCACGACAAGCCCGUCUCUUUCUAGGAGGUGAGCCGUGUGUGGAUGCCAGAUCGGAAUUCGGGGGCCGCCGCCCAUUCAGGGUCACGCUGCUCGGUGAUGUAGAACCACCCCGAUUGCCACCCUUUGAUGGUUUCCACAAAGGAGCCCUCGAGCCAUGUGACGUUCGCCAUCUUGCCCACCAUGGCGCCUCUGCACUCCGCCUACUGGCUGCCCACUACCUUCGGCUUGACAUUGAAGAUCUUCAGCCAUAAGCCGAAGUGGGGCUUGAUGCGGAGGAAGACCUCGCACACGACGAUAAACUCCGAGAUGUUGAGGAUGAAGUUUGGGGCCAAAUCGUGGAAAUCCAGGCCAUAGUAGAACAUGAGCCCCCAAACAAAUGGGUGGAGGGGGAAGCCUAGUCCGCGGAGGAAAUGGGGGAGGAACACCACCCUCUCAUGGGGCCUGGGGGUGGGAAUGAGCUGCCCCUCGUCUGGAAGCCGGUGCGCAAUGUCGUUGGACAAGUAUCUGGCCUUCCUCAACUUUUUGAUGUGCCCCUCCGUGACGGAGGAGGCCAUCCACCUGCCUCCCGCUCCGGACAUGGCUGGAGAAGGUUGAGGUGGGAAGUGCGGACUUGGGCGCUGGAGCUCGAGUGCACGGAGAUGGAUAAGCAAAGGAGGAAGAAGGCGUAAAUGGAAAGAGUGGAUCCUUAUACCCUUAUAUGGGCGGACGAAACUAUGUACCCCCACCAGCCUAGUAAAACUCGCUUAUCUCCCAAGCGCCGUGAUUAAUGGCGCGGUUGGGUUACCCACGCCCGUAUUGAUGAGAAUCCUGGAAAAAGGGGACACGAUCUCUGCUUUGACAAGACAUGCCAAGGAAACCGCCUCGCUAAACGCACUGAGGUGGGACAGUAAAACGGUUCGAAUGAAGGCUUGGCCGUGGCAUGAUGUCACGCUACGGAAUACGUCAGCAGAUUAGAUUUGUACAAAUAUUAUUCUCUCUGCGAUGGUAUGUGGAACUUAUUUUGCAGAGCCGGACACUAUCCUUGUGUUCAAAAUCUUCUAUGAAGUAUUCGGAGGAGGAACCUGCCUUGCAAUGCCGAAGACAAUUGGCGAGUCGGACUCAUCGUCAUUGAAGCCUGGUUCAGGGGCUACUGAGGGAGUCCCGGAUAGGGGGUGUCCGUAUGACCGGACUAUAACCUUUGGACGGACUCCUGGACUAUGAAGAUACAAGAUUGAAGACUUCGUCCCGUGUCCGGAUGGGACAUUCCUUGGCGUGGAAGGCAAGCUUGGCGAUACGGAUAUGUAGAUCUCCUCCCAUUGUAACCGACUCUGUGUAACCCUAGCCCUCUCCGGUGUCUAUAUAAACCAGAGGGUUUUAGUCCAUAGGACGAACAACAAUCAUACCAUAGGCUAGCUUCUAGGGUUUAGCCUCUCUGAUCUCGUGGUAGAUCUACUCUUGUACUACCCAUAUCAUCAAUAUUAAUCAAGCAGGAGUAGGGUUUUACCUCCAUCAAGAGGGCCCGAACCUGGGUAAAAACAUCGUGUCCCUUGUCUCCUGUUACCAUCUGCCUAGACGCACAGUUCGGGACCCCCUACCCGAGAUCCGCCGGUUUUGACACCGACAGUACCCCCCACCGAUUUGAGGCGGUUCUUUCGGUUCAGGGGUACCACGGGCAUUUUGCGUGUCGGUAUUUCACAAGAGGUGGGAGUUUUCGCACGCGUUGUAAUUUCGGAAUAGCAAGGCGCUGGUUGAGAUGGAGGGAUUUGUCGGAGCACAACAAGACAAAGAUAUAUCUUAAAUAUUUCGGGCUAACAAGGCGCGGGUUGAAAUUUCCGGACAAGCCUAAUGUGUACUGUACCAAAUCAUUGCGCACUACAAAUGUCAUUCAAAACUUUGAAUUCAUGUUAUGUUCAAUUAAAAUAUUUCGCUACAUGUAUGAUGCAUGCAACCUACUACUCAAAUGAACGUUUUAGUGCAUUCCAAACGUAUAUACUACCGCUUCAAUAUGAACUAAAUUUGAAUAAGAUCUAUAGUAAUGAUUGUUGUGAAGUCAAAACAUUUGAAUUCGUUUCUCUGUUUUAAUAAGAUCUACAAUCAUCAUUAUUGUCAAGUUAAACCAUCAUUUGUGUAUUAUCUUCACAGCACACCACAUGAUUAGUCUCGAGUUACAUAUGAACUAUGUGUACUAUAUGAACUCGAACUAGAUUUUUUGAAUCCACUUUAUUUUGAUUUCAAAUCACAUUACAUUUCUAGCUCUAGCUAGAUCUUCAUAAUCUAAACCAUGUCUCAUAUGUAUAAUGUGUUUAUCACAUUACGUAUGGUGCCCCGCCCCCUACGCCUACAAGUAUUUAGAUGUGAGUUGCAAACACUGCACAUUACCACAAAUUCAAAUAAAAUGUGAGAAUGUUCGAUAUAUAGUAUUGUUUAGAUUGCUCGAUAUUUAGUUGUAAGCUGCGAACGCCGCACAUUAUCACAAAUUCAAAUAAAAUGUGAGAUUGUUUGAUGUAUAAUAUGGUUUAGAUUGUUCGGCAUUUAGAUGUGAGUUCCAAACGCCAUGCAUUAUCACAUUAUGGUAUAACAUGUGCACGGCACGUGUAUCACCGCUAUAUUCAUGCAUGCAAUGUUUAAAACACUAUGAUCUCCUAUUCAAAUAUAUGAAUCCGCUUUCAUAUCAAAUUAUGAUCUUUGUUAGUCUCUUACACCUAUACAAUCCUCUAACCUUUGUAGCUACCACUAACUUUCUCUCGUGCAUGCACACGCCCUCCUCGCCCUCCCCCUCCCUCGGCAUUCUAUCCACCAGACACAUUCAUUUUUUUCUUUAGGUCAUUCUCCCAGAGUCUCCACAACUCCUUUUCGACACACACCGAUCGAUAAACCUCUCCAGCGAUGCCUGCCUAUAGCAUACACACACAGCUUCAAUCUCCUCCUUUAUGUGUCCUUGCCUCGUGUCUCUUAUAUGGUCAGACACACGUGUAAACUCUCACCCCUCUUUUCAUCGAUCUCACAACCGCACACUCCUCCCCCUAUCUAGCUAGUAGUUGGGCCUCUCGCACCACCUCCUAGCUCCAUUCUCUCUGUCUAUCCGUCUCGCCGGGCCUUAUUUGCCUCUAACAAAUGGACGUACACCGACCGAUCUCUCGCUAUACAUAUAACCAGCUAGGUCCUUAUAACUCAUUUUUACCCACACAUCGAUCGAUCUACCUCAUUAGUUGUGUCUCUCCCUUCCUCCGACAAACAGCAAUUGAUCUACCGAUCUAGUUAGGUUUGCUUACCAAACACAUGGUUCCCCUUCAUCAUCCAUGGAUGCGUCCCGACAGAUCUAUCACGCACAGGCACACACAGAAACACAUCCCCACUCUUAUUGAUAACAUUGCAGUUCCACCCUCAGUUUGUCUAGUAGGCCUCUCCCAACAUCUCCAAGAAGCAACUCCAUCACCCAUCCAGCACUCUACCCCUCUCCCUCACUCUCCCUCCCUCUCUCUCUCUGUCCCAUCAUAUUUCCCGUCCUUCAGUUAUGUAUGGAUGUCGACCGAUCUCCCUCAAGACAUAGCUGGGUCUCUCCUUCUCAACACAUAUACGAAUCGUUCUACCUCUAUAGUUAGGCCUCUGCCUACCCCUCCCCCCACCCCUCCCCCCCACACACACCAAUACAUCAAGCGCUCUAGUCAUGUCUCCCUGCCACACACAAACUUGACAUGNNNNNNNNNNNNNNNNNNNNNNNNNNNNNNNNNNNNNNNNNNNNNNNNNNNNNNNNNNNNNNNNNNNNNNNNNNNNNNNNNNNNNNNNNNNNNNNNNNNNNNNNNNNNNNNNNNNNNNNNNNNNNNNNNNNNNNNNNNNNNNNNNNNNNNNNNNNNNNNNNNNNNNNNNNNNNNNNNNNNNNNNNNNNNNNNNNNNNNNNNNNNNNNNNNNNNNNNNNNNNNNNNNNNNNNNNNNNNNNNNNNNNNNNNNNNNNNNNNNNNNNNNNNNNNNNNNNNNNNNNNNNNNNNNNNNNNNCCACAAAACAAAAAACACUCACGAACGUAGUUUGUAUCUCUCGCACACACCCACGUAGGUGGGGGACGUGCACGAAGAGAAGAGGUUCAUGCACGACACACGUACUCCCGUCUCUUUCCCAAUCACACCAGCGCGGGUACACGGUGGAGCUCAUUUCUGUACGAAAAAGGCAACCCACAUGGUAAUUUGGCACGUGUACUGGUUGUCCACUUGGUGGAGGGAGGAUCGUCUACCACGGGUGAACAAACAAAUUGUGACUUGACGCGUUAUGUUAAAUUAAAAAAAGAGGCAAACCAUGUGGGGCCUACCUUAGAGGCAAGGCUCUAUACACUGGAGUACUUUUGAUGUGUCCUGUCAACUCGCAGAACGAGGAGAAGCUCGCUUAGUACGCCGUCUCCCCCGCCCACGGGCGCGGUGGCUCGCAGGAUGAGGUGAAGCUUGCUCCUCCCUCGCCCAUGCGCGCGGUGGCUCGCAGGACGAGGAGAAAAAUUUACUACUCCCUCCGUUUACUCCUCGUCUCUACUACCUUGGUUAUAGAGAUUAUAUCAUAUUGUUUGGAAUAUAUAUGUCCUUUAGUAGAUUUCAAUAUGAACUACUAGUACAUACUCCAAACACUGAUGUAUAUAGACGUAUUUUAGAUUGUACAUUCACUCAUUUUGCUCCGUAUGUAGUAGCACUCUCCCUCGCCCCUCGACCCUCGCCCACGUGGUGGACGUGCAUCAAUUCAUUCGGUCUCAUAUAGCCAGAACGAUAUAUACUACACUACCAUUAUUGCUCGACUUCCCGAAGAGGCGAAGAGCCAAUCGCAAGGUUAAUAUUUUGGAGAUGCCAAGCGCAAGGUUAUAGGAGAACGAGUAGUAGGUGCCGCGUCAUUUAUAAAUAAUUUUUUUCUUCAGUGGCAUGUACACAAUAUGAUAGGUUCAUAUGGAGAGGAAAGGAAACCGCUCCACUAUAUACAUAGUCAGGACGGGCCAACCUACACGGUUGCUUGCUGGGGUUGCUCUCUUCACACUCUCUCGCACAAAACGACUGUGGCCACAUCUCUAACAUCCCGGCGGAUCACGUCCGCUUGGGGAAGGGGUGGAUGCUUAGUGUAGAUGCGGUGGCCGUCGCCGACGGCGAAAACCCACUGUCGGCACGUCCCGAUCAGGGGUCCCCGCCGUUCUCUCUCACAAAGCCUGUGAGGUUGCCUUCGUCCCUUGCUCACUGCCGCGACGUGGGCAGUUGCCGCCUCCCGCCGCCCUCCUCAAGGUUGAGCUACGUCCCUCAGGUACAACUCCCUUUACAGCCGGCUUGCACCACUGCUCCAGCUGCCCACGUCACUCCCUGUGGAUAGUUCUCUACUUCUUUGCCCCACACAUACCUGAUACCUCUACUGGCUUCUACGUACUAUAUUUGUGAUGAGAUUAUGUCUCAUCAACUACUCCUAGUAAUCUUAUUCUAAUCAUGCUUCUUCAAUUUCUUUGCCACAGGGAUGCUCAUCUCGAUUUUGGUGAAACUGCACAAAAUGAUCCGAUGGUCAAAAGGUUGCAAACUUCAUUUAUUAGGAAGCUCGAACGUUGCCAGCAAAUUGAAGCCUGGUCAGGGUUCACGGUUCAAGGGCUAGGGACUACAUGGACCAUUUUUUCCUUUAGCUGCCUCUGUUCCAAAAUAAGUGUCAACUUUAGUAGUAGUACAACUUUGUACUAAAGUUUGCACAAAGUUGAGACACUUAUUUUGGAACGGAGGGAGUACAUAUUUGCUAUGAUCAGUCAAUCAUUGAGAUGCAAUAGCAUGCAUGUUAGUCUCCUUUGUAUUUGAUGAAAUGUUGCAAUGGGCAACCUUGGACGCAAGAUACAUGUAACAGGAGCUGUAAGCUCCAUAGCAUUGUACAAAUUUAUCUCGCUGAUAAAUUACAGUACGUACUAGUACUAUACUAGUACUUCCUCCAAUCCUAAAUAUAAGUCUUUGUAGAGAUUUCACCAUUAACCACAUGCGGAUGUAUAUAGAUGCAUUUUAAGUGUAGAUUCAUUCAUUUUGUUCCGUAUGUAGUUCACCUAGUGGAAUCUCUACAAAGACUUAUCUACUAGUAAUAGCUAGCCCCCACUACUAGGAAUUCUCUAUCCUCUCCUUGAGCCACAUCAUCAAAAUUGACGUAGCCGUUGGAUGAAGUAAAUCAGUCAUAAUAGCCAUCUGAUCUAGACGUUGAGAGGCUCCGCACUAAGCCACAUGCAAGCAUGCAGAAAUACCAUGGCACAUGCAUGUGAGUGGGUUUUAAAUCACAUCAACAUGUCUGCAUGCAAGCAUGCACCGGUAGCAUGCAUGUAAGCGAGCUUUUAAGUCCCAUUAACAUGUCAAAAAGAAAAAUAUAAUCCCAUUAUGCAGUAGGAGUUGGCUGAUCUUUUUUCCUUAUGUGGGAUGAUCUAAAUGAUGAUGGGAGUUUAUUUAGUUUGGCUACCACAUUUGUCAUGCGGUUAUAGAUUUUUUUAGUUCUAUGAAAUCGAUAAUUUUGCGCAAAGAGAUAUACCGCUGUUCCGCGGCAACGCGCGGGGACUCAUCUAGUAAUAUUUAGGAACGGAGGGAGUACUAUGUAAAGAGUUAGGUGUCGCACGGUGAUAGUGUGAGGUGGGCCAUGUAAUCACUGAGCCUGCGUGUUUUCACUGCUCUUGCACUCCUCCGCUGUAAGAAUGGAGAAAAUUGUAAUCUACUACCUCCUUUCGCCGAAAGCGUGGGACAUCCAGCAGUCCUACCACCUCAGUAAUAAAGACUAAUGAGCCAUCAAAUCACAUAGACCCAGCAGUAAGUUGGACGGACGAAGCAACCGUCACUCUUGCGCUAGUGAGGGGUCGCGUCCGCUCUGCCCGGGCAUGAAUGCGGCACCGAUUCUUUGGAGCGGCACUGACCGUUUCGGGCGGGAAGCGCGCGUGGGCGAUGGAGGGGCUUUGGGUGGGCUAGGCUGGUCAGGAGCGGGCGUGGCAGCUGUCCGCAUGUCCCUACUGGACACGCCCGGAAACGAUAGGAUGCAUCGACUCUCGCGGCUAAAAUCGUACACUACACACCAUAUCUCUGUAGGAGUAGGUCGAUCUGUUGCACUCUCUAACACACACAUGUUGUUAAACACACACAGGCACACGCACGCACCUUGGUCCCGUUGCACCUUCUAACGUGACUUAUUACACCUAGACGGAGGGAGUAGUAAGUAUACGAGAUACGGUGGCACACUGACUUAAGUUGAAUACAAGUGCCCAAAAUUUGUGUGCAUGUUAUAAUAAGGAUUCACUUAAAAUAGUACAUGAGCGAACAGAGGGAUCAAUUGGACAGUGUUCCCGAGUAGUAGCAAGAUGUGUGAUGUAGUAAGAUACACCGCUGGCGCUUUUAAUUUUUCUUAUUAAUUUGUUUGUUUCACCCUCUUACUGGUGGGACCCAACGUACUACAUGGAGAGAGGUAAGGUGACUAAGGCUGCAUUAUUUCUGCACCACUGUGGAUAGUCUUACCACCAAAGCCACAUGACACGAUUAUGAUUGAAAUCCUGAUGACUCCCACACACACAAAAAAAACACGGCAUGCCUGUCACACGAAUGCAGGAAUGUAUAAAAGGUUAUUUUCCUCUCGUUGAACAUAACGGGAGGGUUGUGUAGCUGGUUAGCCUGUUCGCUCAUCAAACUUGAGGUCUCGGGUUCGAUAACUACACUUGAGCAUAAUUUUUGCCAGGAGGAUUCUUUGACUGGUCAAAAUGUUUUCUAGGGUUUGCACGCUUCACACUCUCUCAGCAAUAUAUAUAUACACACUGGAGCCUCAGCGCUUGUAGUUGCUCUCUUCACACUCUCUCGCCCUCUCCCGAUCUAAACAAGACUUUGUUGGCCUCUCUCUCCCCUCACUGCUGCUCAAAGAGCCGGCAGGAUCCAUCCGCCGGGAAGGGAAGGAGGCUUAACGCUGUCGCCGUCGGCAAGGGAGGGAAUCCACUACCGGCGUUGUUGUUCACUUUCCACCCAGCGGCGGCACGGGAGGGCCUCUGACCCCUUCUUCUUUGCCGCCGUCCCGUCGCCCACCGAACCACGCCCCAAGAACCUUAAGGUAUAUUUUACUUACUCCACAUGCAUUGCUCUAGCUGCAUGUAUACCAUGAAUCUAGGACGUGGUUCAAAGAGGAAAGGAGUGGGGGAAAGUAGUGGGAAAAGUUGUAUAUAGCAUGAAUCUAGGACGUGGUUCAAAGAGGAAAUGAAGGGAGAAAGUUGUAUAGCAUGAAUCUAGGACGUGGUUCAAAGAGGAAAGGAAUGGGGGAAAGUAGUGGGGAAAGUUGUAUCACAUAAAUCUAGGACGUGGUUCAAAGAGGAAAGGAAGGGGCAAAAGUACUAGUUCAAAAAGGAAAGGAAGGGACAAGGCUAUAGAGUUUGAGCAGGACUAGAUUUGCUGCGCUCACAUAGGGAAAGGUGUCUAAAGAUAACAAAACUGGGACCAACACAAAUAUGCUCCUUGGUUGUUUGUUCUUUGUUGCAACAGACUGUGCAUGACCACAGUACAUCGGUAGAUGCACAUGGUGUUGGUGCGUCCACUGUCCCGUGCAACUCAUUAGCUAUUGUUAAUCUAAGGCCCUGUUUGGUUAAAAACUCCCAAGUCCCUACCUGCUUGGUUCCAGGGACUAAACAUGGACUAGAGGUUAUUAAAUGACAUGAUAAAAGACCAUGUUACCCCUAGUAAUGAACUAAUAGAAACAAGGUGCGAUGUGUGGCAGGGGCAACUAUUGGAAAAAGUCCCAAAAAGACCCCCUCGGGGUCUUCUUUCUUUAGUCCCAAAUGCCCACUUUUAGUCUCGAAAAGUCCCUCCUGUUUGGUUUAGAUGUGACUGACAUGGAGUUUUUUUCGUCCCUACACGAAAAUGUCCCUGUAAACAAACACCCUCUAAUAAUGCCGCUGGAAAAUUGAUGCAAUGCCACUGUUAAAAGCAAAUUACAUGUUUAACGAAUUUUAUUGUUAAUAUAAUCUCUAUGUUAAUAUUAAUCAAUGCCACCAUUUGAGAAAUGCUACUGUCUUGCUUUCUUUCCCAUUUAGAUAAGGUAGAUGCUUCUUUUUGUUGGCUUCUGUGUCAUCCACCGUUAUUGAUCACUAAUUGUUUCCUUUGCACCUCUGUGUAAAUAGGGUUAUCUACUUCACCUCGUUGCCAUUGUGACCUUUUGUUGCACUACACCAAACACUUUUGUUUUAAGAGUGUUUUGUGCAGUUCAACCAAAAUGUCACACUGACAACAUUGCUUGAUUGCUUGAUCUUAGUGGAACUGCACAAGAGGAUAUCUUACUUCCUAUCCGUUAAGGCGAAUUUGGUUCAGAUCUUCUUCUUGUGAGUUAUUUGAAUUCCGCAUCAUGAGAGGUCAGUACUAGCCUUCUUUCACAUGAUUCUGCAGUGUGCUUUCAUAUGUUGUGCUACUUGUACGAUAAUGUUGCUUGAUUUUAGUGAACUGCCCAAAUGGAGACAAGACUUCCAAUCUAUAUAUGCACCGUAAUAUCCCAUUGAGGUAAGAUAAGGAUAUUUCACAACUGUUGGCCUGUAUUUUGCCACUUCCAUCAGAAAAUUAAUGUCAUUGUUUAGUGCUAUACUUGUGCUCCCUAAUUGACAUGCCAAAUCUUACAUUGAAGUCGAAGCUUGUCUGUUAUUGAACCAAGUGAUGAAGGGGAAGAACAGGCAGAAAAACAAAAAUCAACUCCCGGUGCUGUAAUGAAGCACUGGAACUGUGAUGACACAAGUAAUGAUAUAGUUUUGCAUCUUAAUUUAUUGCUAUGGCUGGAACGAGCAAUUGUUUUGCCACUGAUUUGAUGACACUCUUAAUGUAAUACGUAAUUAUCUCUACUUGAGCAAACAGGGAUCUUCUUUGAAGAUACCAUAUAUUUUAGUGGAACUGCACAAAAAGAUGUUGGAAACAUUAAACUAAUCGAGGAGUAUAUAGUAAGCAUGGCCACCACAGUAGAUAGCUACAGAUGGUUCCGGAGAAGUGUUUGAUUUGUAUGCUCUACACAAUAAGCCUCCUGACAAAGGUUGGUACUCGCCCACUAAUUCAUCCAUAUGAUUGAGCUUUGUCAUCUCUACUGGUGUUGUGCUACUGUUUAGAUACUGCAAUGAAAAAGUGGUAUUGUCCUUGAGAAGUGCUUCAUCGAUGUUGUUUUAAAUAUUUCCUUUCCUUUUUAUCGAGCAAAUAGGGAUGCUAGCAUUUAGUUGUCCUCUUGUCUUUGCACAACAGGAUCAUCUUCCUCUGAAGAAGAAUAUGGAGUACGUGAAGUGACUAGUUCUGAUUAUGCCAGGAUGAAGAAGCCCUGUCUAUCUUCUCAUCAGAAGGAGCAGUUGAAGGAUGGUUACAUUACUCCCCACAAGACCAAACUAACUUCAGCUCAGAAGGACUGACAAAUCUCCAUUUUUUUGCAGUGAUGCGCGAGUACAAUGUUGCUCUAGGAUUCUUUCUGGUGAGUUCCAUUUUUCUAAAAGUGUGCUCUACAUGGACCAUGUAUGUGCCUGUUGAAACUAUCAAUUAAUAGUACAGUUUGCUUUAUACUAAUCACUUUUUUGUAUUUGUGCAAACAGGGGUGCUCAGCUUGAUUUCAACGGGAACUGCACAAAAUGUUCAUGAAUACAUCGAAUCAUUCAUUUCCACCACAAGAAAGGAGGUGACCAUAAGUUCAAGGCGUUGCACAAAAAGAACAACUGGUUUAUUUAGCACGAGGUGCCAUGUCAAUGUCCGAAUUGAUGGCAAACCCUGCCCAUUCCACAAUCGUAGGCAUUUGAUAUUUUGGAAUGGGACAACCUUGUCAAAUUUAGCUCAUUUAUUUUAGCAAGAUAUGCGUUUGAUAUUUUCGAAUGGGACGCCCUUUGCUGUCAGCAGCGGCGAUCAAUUUUUUCUUUAUUCUUUAGUUGUGAAGUAAAUAUUGCCUCUGACAUGUGAGUCGCUGAGAUGCAUAAUCAUCGAUUGUUUUGAAUGUUCUCUAUGAAUUGCCAGGCCUGUGUGUUUGAUUGCAAUGUACAGAAACGCUAAAAAGCUGCUCAAACUCUUUGUACUCCUUCUGUUCUUUUUUAUUUCGCACAUUGUGAAAGUGCAUACUUUUUUGUAUAAGAUUGGUCAAAGUAGAGAUACUUUGACUGCAGACAAAACUUGUAUGCAGACUAGAAAGAACCGGAGGGAGUACAUGUGAAACUGCUGCAGACGUGGUGAUCACCCUGGGAAUAAUGCUAGUACGUAUUGUUUUGCAUGUUCAUCCAAUGCCAGUGAUAUAGGAAUUCGAACUAAUCGAAAUAAAUUCAUUCAUACACGGUCGGAUUUCAUAUAAACAUGCCGAAUUUCAUUACAUUUCAUACAUUCUUCAACUAAAAAGGGGUGUUUGUGGCUGCAUGCAUCUCCCAGAUGCAGAGGCCGGGGGUCAUCCUCCUUUUCUAAAAAAACAAAAAAGGGGUGCGCUGGAGGUAUAAUUAAUUAACCGAAGCUACCCACCUGUGUCCCGCUGAGCCGAACAGAAGCUUCAGUGACUUAACUGCAGGUGCAGUUGCGUAACUGACAUGUGGCAUGUUGGGCCCACGUGUCAGUCAGCCAACUGCACCAGCAGUUAAGUAGAAGCGGCGUUCUUCUCCAGCGCAGCUCUCCAACUCCACGUCGCCGCCAAGAAGCUAACCGGCCGUCAAUGGUCAACCCGCCUAGCUUGGCUUCAACUGGAGGGUAGCAGCGGUGGCCUUACUUGGACCCGAGCGGCGGUGACCUACCGUGUUCUACUCUUCCUUGUUUUCUGUGUGGCGCGGCCUCGUUGGCAGCGGGGCGGGGCCUCGGCAGAGCCGGCGAUGUCCUCUGUCUCAUUGCCGAUGGGCGGCGCCUUAGCGGAGCGGUGGAAAUCUUCCCCACGUUGUCGGCAGGGUGGGGCCUCGGCUGAGCCAGCGAUGUCCUCUGCCUUGUUGUUGGCGGGAGGCCUCGGCGGAGCCGGCGGUGUCCUCUGCCUCGUUGUUGGCGCCGCGGGGCCUCGGCGGAGCAGGGCAUCGUCGACGCCAGCAGAGCGGGGACUCGUCGGAGCCGGCAUUGUCCUCUGCCUCGUCCUCGGUCUCGCCAAACAGCGCCUCGCCCGCUUCAUCGCCCUCUUUGCUAGCCUCUUUGUAGGCGGCCGUAGCCUCCGCUACCUGCAUGCGGUACUGCCAGCGCUCGAGGCAACCCUUGCGGGCGGAGCGGUAUGAGUCGAGCAGCGCCUCCUGCUCCGCCCGCUCCGCGACGAUCUGCGCCUCCGCCUGCAGGUGCUCCUGGAGGAGAUGGUGGUUGUAGGCGGCGUCGGCCUGCGCCUCCCGGAACUGCUCCUCACGCAUCUGCCUCACCCUGUCCAUAUAUUGGUCACGGGCCUCGCCGAUGGUCAUGGUGCAAUGCACCGGUGAGGAUGGCGCGGAGGAGGGGGUUGGCGUCAGAUCGUCGACUACCAUGUUCUCCAUUGGGACGUCGUCGUCCUUCGACUGCCUGCCGGCCAACCGGUCGGCAGUAAUGGCUGCCAUCUCCUUGUGGUCCGUCGUCUGCCCAUCCCGAAGAGCGCUGGAGCACGAGGAAGCCAUGGUGGGCAGUAGUGGUGUGGACAGGAGAAAGGGAAUGAAUGCGGAUGACUGCGGCUAUGGCCGGCGCAUCAGUUUAUAUAGCAAUGGUGGGCAGGUGGAGGGACGGACGUGUGGCGCCGGAGUAGCCGCCUCGGCAACCGCGUAUCAUUAAUGUGUGCGGCAGGUGGACGGACGGACAACACUUGUGUCGUUUGAAGGCGGAGCAAUCGCCUGCACCGGGAAGCGGGGCGGCCGACGCUGACUAUUUCGGGCGGAAAGCACGCGCGGGUGAGGAGAUGACUUUACUUGGAUAGGAUGACAAUGGGGACCCACCAGGUCCAUAGCCUCACGUAUGCAAGUGCCUCCUUAUUAUAUAUAUAUAUAUAUAUAUAUAUAUAUAUAUAUAUAUAUAUAUAACUAUAAUUUAUUUUGCUUCCUCCUGGUUUCCUGACAUCACGGUCCCACAGCAUUGUCAACCUAUGUACUCCCUCCUUUCCGGUUUAUUGGGCUUAUCUCAAAAUUUUAGUUUUUCCAUUUUAUAAGGCUCAAUUUAGUUGUUUUCCAUCACAUGUUCAGAUUCCAAGGUGCAUUAAAUCAUUGCAUGUAAGUAUUAAGAGAAAAUUGACCAAUGCAUGUACUUUAUGCAUGCAUGCAUUACAAUUAAUGCAUUGAUAAACAUAAUAUUUUGAGGAUAACAAGAGCAUUAAUUAGGUGCUUUUGCAAAACUACAAAAAGUAUUCCACCACUCGCCAUCUACCUUGAUUAGUGAGAUUUUUGAAUUGAGCAUUAUAAACCGGAAAUGAGGGAGUAGUCAAUAAACGAGAGAAUUGCACAAGAAGCGGCCGACAGCUGGGACCAAGCAGCUCGAGCAGUAUUUGUGUUUUUGAGGUGUGAGCACUGCAGAGUUUUUCGAUGUUUACCCGAGAUAUUAAUUUUUAUCCUCUGAACAACAACGAAAACAUCGCUGCAGGUAUUAACUAGGCGGGUUGUGGCCCGUCUAGCCCAGGCCAGAUAUCCAGCCCAGAUAUUAAUUUUUGUCAAGCUGAAAAUGGCUAGCCUGGCUAUACUUUUUUUUGAGGAAUACCCAGGCAAGGUCAAGUUGUUAUUCUCCGCCCCGCUGGGCUGCAAAUCUUACCUAGGAGGGAUGCAUUAGGCUUAACAAGAAAAUGGGCUUUAAGAAAUAAUAAAUGGGAUGUAAUUAUAAAAACUGGGUAGUAACUAUAAAAAAAUGCACCAAACAAUGAUUACUUUAUAAAAUAUUAUUUUUGGAAUAUUGAAAAUUUUAAUUUCAUUAAUUGUUGCGAGCGCAAUGUUUUGUUGGAUUUUUACGUAAUAUAAAUUUAUAUGAAAUUGUAUUUAAUCUGACUAGAAAUUUCGGGAUAAAAUAUUCGGAUCCCAUCAAAAUGAGGGAAGUUUUAUUGAAAAUUUUGUUUUGAACGGUUGGUUGAAAUGGGCUGUACUUUUAACAAACUAUAAAUGGGCUCUAGUAAAUUCCAUUAGAAUUCAAAAAUGGGCUACACAUUCUUACAAAUCUCAAAUGGGCUAUAAGUUCUCUGCCACACACUUCUGGCCUUACUAAGUUGACACGUCCCCUAAAGAAAUAGAGUUGACGCGUAUGCAAGGCUUUGUCAACUUAUAGUCAACACACGGUUCUAGCAGCAGUGGCCAUUGGAUGUCCAUCCAACGGAUGCCGUGCUUCUUCUUCAAUCUCGGAUAUUCUAGCUUCAACCGCCCAAAAAAUGAUUCCUCCCCCUGACAUCUGGGGCGCACCGUUUCGGAAGCUGACCUGUGGGCCUACUAAGUUGACGUACCAAGGGCUUUGUCAAGUUAGUCAAUAUAAACGAUUCUAGCUGCAGUGACCGUACGAUGUCCAUCCAACGGCCGUCGUGCUUCUUCAACCUCUGGUCUUCUUGCUCCAGUCGUCCAAAGCAACACCGGUCAUGCCGCCUGCUCGUGCCUCCCGUGGCCGGCUGUGCUGCCGCGGAGGCCUCACCGCCCCCUACUACACCCACCGCUGGCCAGGCCAUACCUCCAGUCACCCACACCCCCUGUUAUUUUGCGGUGACGGCAGCGCAGCCGAACCAGUGAACCCUCGUACUCCUCUCCGCGUGUGCAUCCACUGCCGUGUCUUCCCCGGCUCCAUGUCAUCCCCUUCCUAGGCCUCGCCAUCGUCCACCGCCGUGGUGCUCUCGGCGCGGCGUGGUCAACAUGGUCAAGGAACGACUUCCAUCGGACGUGGACUGUAUGUGGAGAGGCUGACAGCUGGGUCCACGACAGCCGCAAGGAAGUGCCUCCUUAUUACGUGCAAAAUAAUUAUUCCUCCACCUGACAGCAGGGACCCACCGCACGGGCCACCGUAUUUCGCAAAAAAAUGAUUCACCCCCUGACUGCUGGGACCCACGAGCUACAUCUUCCCACGUAAGGAAGUGUGUCCAGGAAAAAAACGAUUUGCCCCCCUGACUGCUAGGACCCACCAGCUACAUCUUCGCACGCAAGGAAGUGCGUCCGAAAAAAGAGAUUCGCCCCCCGACUGCUGGGACCCACCAGCUACACCUUCGCACUCAAGGAAGUGCGUUCGGGCAAAAAAAACGAUUCGCCCCCCUGACUGCUGGGACCCAGCAGCUACACCUUCGCACGCAAGGAAGUGCGUCCGGGCAAAAAAAAAAUGAUUCGCCCCCCUGACUGCUGGGACCCAGCAGCUACACCUUCGCACGCAAGGAAGUGCGUCCAGGCAAAAAAAAUUGAUUCGCCCCCGUGACAGCUGGGACCCACCAACUACAUAUUCACAGGCAAGGAAGUGCCUGACAGUCGGGACCCACCUGGUCGAAGCAUACGUAGCGUUGUCAUCCUAGUUGCGAACGUGUAUGUACAUACUGGUCGAUGUAGAGGCGCGCACGUGUCGUAGUAGAGGCGCGCAUGUAGCAUGUACACGUACGUACAAUGGCCAGGGUGCAAGAAAGAAAAUACGGCCACGUAUGUGUACAUACGGGCGGGGUCUCAAAUGCUUAGUCGCGCAUACGUAUGGUGAGGGCUCGUGUUCAUGGGGAGGCAACAGAAUGCGUCGUGUUCAUGGGGAGGCAACGAAAUGCGUCAUGUUCAUGGGGAGGCAACGGAAUGCGUCGUGUUCAUGGGGAGACAACGGAAUGCGUCAUGUUCAUCGGGAGGCAAUGGAAUGCGUGGGAGCCAACCGGCUUGGACGGAACAAGAGAUGGAAACGAGGCCUGGCGUACCGCAGAACGGAGGAAACGGCCUUGUGUUCGACCGACCACGUUCGGAACAGGGUCCUGUUGACCGGGAGGGGUGUGGCGUACCGCAAAACGGAGGAAACGGACCUCCUAUAGUCAAAACGGGGGUCCUGUUGAUCGGGAGGGGUGUGGCGUACCGCAAAACGGAGGAAACGGACCUCCUACGGUCGAAACAGGGGUUCUGUUCAUCGGGAGUGGUGUGGCGUACCGCAAAACGGGACUCCACAGGAUACUGUUCAUAUCCACCGUCGACCUCCUCCAGCCUCCACGGGCUACCGUCGACCUCCUCCAGCCUCCACGGGCUCCUGUUCAUCCAGCCUCCACCGCGCGCUACUCCACCGGCUACUGUUCAUCCAGCCCUCCACUGUCUACUGUUCAUCCAGCCCUCCAAUGUCUACUGUUCAUCCAGCCCUCCACACCACGGGGCCCUGUUCAACCACCCCUCCACGGCCACCCCUCCACUAUCCACUGUUCAUCCAGUCCUCCACACCACGGGGUCCUGUUCAUCCAGAGGCAACGCCACCGCUCACUGUUCAUCGACCCCCUCCGCAACGCCCACUGUUCAUCCAAUCGAUUGGCUUCAGUUAGCAGCAGUAGCGAAGGAAUCGCUCCAUUGGGUUCAGUUAACAACCAUCGAUCGAUCGCUCGGGUUCAGUAAUGCGUAGCCUGCAGUGCAAUCACUCGGGUUCAGUUAGAGCCCAACGCCUUGCUCGGGUUCAGUUAGAGCCAACGCCUCGCACACACGCGCAUACGUGUACGAGAGAAACGCGCAUUGCUCGGCCCCCGACCUCCCACCGUAACCAGCAACUCCCCGGAAUUUUCCUACCCCUCGCUUCUACCACGGUUUUUUCUGUCAUGGACUGCCCAAAGAAUGUUAUGCAGCUGCGUCUCCGGCCCGCCCAGGACGAAAAGCCCAUUUUCUGUCAUGAUUUUUUGUCAUAGAAGUAGGAGCCCACCACAUCUAUGAUGAUACCGGGUUCUGUCACAACUAUCAUCAUAGAAGUGUCAUAUGUAUGACAGAAUUUUUUUCCGCUCGGCCCAAAAUGUCACGGAUGUGUCUUUUUUUGUAGUGUUACAAGAGGACUGCAGAGCUAAACCUCUUCAAAAGCAUUGGGUUGAUUCUAAAUUUAUGUAAGAGUCCAUCGGAUCUUAUACUGUCCACCAAAUGGACGAUUACGAGGCUAACAUGUGCAGUGAUGCUACAUAAUCAAACAACUAUGAAAGUAAGUAUGGUUAUACAGGGCAAGAGGUACUCACAAGAGUAAUGCAGUGUGCAGUAUAGUUGCAAGAUUCUGUGAUCCCUUGAGAACGAAUGUUCUUCUACUAACAGUUUUCGUACAAGUGAGACAUUAAGGCAAAUGCAGGAAAGUAGUUCAAAUUGUGAUCUGAUAUCAUAGACAGUACCUUACACUGCAGCCGAGACCAAUGUGUAACAAGAUUAUUCCUGUCACCGUUGGAUAAAUGUAGCACCAGAGACUUUACAGAAAUUUCAUUCACAUGCUUGCCAUCAAAGUGCGCUUGCCUCAGGUAGGAAUGAUACUUCAUCAACGAGUGCUUGAAAAGCACAACCAACCCUUGCUCGUCUUCACAAUCCAGUUUGCUCCUCGCCUGUUUAAAAGAAUGAAAUCUUGUGUCUUCUAUCAGCAGAAACAUAUGCAGUAAUGACCAUGAAUAACAUUAGUACAUUACUUAUGCGUAAGUUGCGGAGGAAGACUGGAAAUUGUUCUGUGUUUGCGGUAUAAUCUUUCCUUGAAGGAAAGAUGCACACAAAGUUCCUCAUAACAACAUAAGCUUCGUCUUCUAAACUUGGAAGAAAUGGAACAUCGGUCCUAUUUGCUGCAAAUGGGGCUCUCUCUGGUUCGAAAAGGGAUUUGGCAACUGGAUUUGGUGUACUCUUUGCUGGAAUGGGUUUUUUGCAUCGUAGAGCUAGUGCUAUGUCAACUGGCAUAAUCAUACUGUUUGCUGCAGUUGGGGUCUACUGAGUUGGGGCAUCAGAAAUGACCAGUGUAGUAGGGCUAGAGUCUGCUAGAGUUGGGGUGUUUUGUGGGUCAGGUGAUAUUGCAACUACACCUAAUGGGCUAUUUGAUUUAUCAGGUGCCACUAACUUUUCCAAGUACUUUGCUUGUGCUCCUCCACAUCAACAAUCGCCCUCUUCCUUUUGAAUGCCUGAUACACAAGAAUAGCAUUUGAAUGGAUCAAUAUGGUAUGAUGACAGAUGGAAUAUGUACUGAAAAUGGAUAGGCAGGGCAUAUUCACAUACACGAUGUGUAAACUAAGCUAACGGCAGUUCAACAAAGUAGAAGCAAUGCAAAGCAUCAGUUGCAAGAUAUGUGCGACCAAUGUAACCUUGGAAAGUUAGAGCAAGCACCUUGAUGGGUGAAUAAGAUAGGGCAUCUUCCUCUGACUCCUCCACUAGGGAGCUACAUUGACUUAGGUCUCCCUCUAGCUCAGAAUCACUGUUAGGAUCAUAUUCUGAGCAUGAAUCUGUAGGUGGAGAGCGUUUGCAUUGAAUUGCAUCCAGACUUGAUUUCAGUCCCUUAAUGCCAAGUUUGACAACCAUGGCAUUGUUCUGCUUUAUUCUUUUCAUGCGCGCAAACUCAUAAUCAUUACAAUGCUGUUCAGAUUCUGUGAUUCAUGAAAACAUAAAAAGUAGUCAGAUUAUCUAUGGAAUGCAUUGCGGAUUCAACUCGAAGAGUGUCUCGCUAUAAACCCCUGCAUAUGCAAAGUUCACCCCCCAACCGUGCUGACCAGACCACACACAAAAAUACAAACCCCUUAUGUCUCUAUAACAGGCAGACACAUAUUUCAACACUGAAGUAGGAACAUUAGAAUCAUAUGAAAUUCGUAUUUGAACAAAUAAACUAAGGAAUUAUGAGAGGCAUAAUGUUUAGCUUCAAGGGUGGAGUGUUGGUAGUGCGACACAAAGCAAGUAGGACAGAUUGUAUUCCAUGUAAAAGAUCGAAGCCUAUGUAAAAGCUGGAAAUGACACUUUCUUUCUAUACAAUGCAGUGUUCGUUGCCCACACAUGAUGGAAGAGAUCACAUAGAGAAAUACUAUUCACUCAUGUCUACGGUUCCAGUAUUUAGAAACAGGGUGGUCCACCCUAAAAGAAUAUUGACAACAAAUAUGACAAGGCAAGCAUAGAUGUGGUGAAUCAAUCAUUUACUUGUGAGCUUACUAGGACAAGUAUGCAGAAUUGUAACUGCAGUAAGAGACCAUCCAAAAUCUGAAUGAAGAAGUUUGUCUAGCACUUAUUGUUUGCAACUAAUCGACGUGAAUAUUUGGAUAUUAUAUCAAAUGAGUAAGACAGACAAGUAAAAUUGUCAACAAACCUUUCUUGCAGUAGUAAUCUGGGUCAAUGUCACUACGACCAACAAUCCAAAAUGACUAGUGCCUGUUCCGAGGUCCGGAAUUUUGAAAACCCUGUGAACUUUAGAGGUACUAAAGAUUACCAAAAUACAUCUGAAACAUUAAGUGUAGGUAGCACUGAGCACACAACAAACCCUAAUGACAGUCCUGCCUAAUGACUAAUGAAUCAAUUAGAAAAUGGGUGAUGAGGACUGGCUGUUGAGUGUUGAGGACACAUCUGAAGAUAAAUCGGGUUGGCUUGGUGGGUGCUGCACGCUUGAGCCCUGAACGGACUGGGAAGGUAGGCACGGCGACGCGCCCGGGCAGCGGUGACGUUGUUGGGCGAGCGGCUCCUGACCUCUUGUUAGUCCGGCGUCUCCUCCUAGAGUCAUGCUGUCCAGGGACGGCAAGUCACCGGCAAGGCAGGCGACUGGGUGCGAGUAGAGAUCGGAAGUGCGCAGCAGAACAGAGGGGAAUCAGGGCCUGGGACGACCCAAAAUCCCAGGGUGGGUCGGCCCACCAUGGGCUCCCUGUAGAGAUACACACCCGAGCAGCGAACAUGCAUUUUCAAAACUAAUUCAGGAACAUUUAGCUGACCAAUUAAACGACUCUGUUUUAAUAAUAUCAGAUUCGUAUUUGAAUAACUAAGCUUGUUUAGCUUGAUGGGUGGAGCAGUGUUAUUAUGACACGAAGCACAUAUUCUGCUCGUAUAGUGAUCAUAAAAGGGGGAAACUCCAAGCAUGUUUUUUUAGCAAAAGAAGGUUUCCCCUUCGAUUUCUAUUAGAGAAACCACCACGGAACAAACAUGAUCAAUUAAACCCUAAGCAUGAUCAACUAAACCUUAUUAUGGCUGUGCCAUGGCAGAUUUGAAGCUGCAAACUGAAGAAAUGAUAUUUAGCAUCCAUUGUUUGCUUCAAACUAAGAACUAAAUUCUAAGAGCUGAAAGGAAAGUAGAGUAACCAAUUUAAGAUCUAUUUUUUGGUUGAGAUCAAAAAGAUGAGGAGAUAUGAAGUACCACCUAUCUUGCGGCGCCGUGUAGGCAUCGAGGGUGCGAUGGCUGUCAGUGGUGUUGAAGCGGAUAUGCGACGGUAGACGGGUGCAUCAGGGGAUAAGUCCCGUUGCGGUGGAAGAGAAGGUCGUGUUAGCGGCCCCGACAAAGAGGACGACGACGCCGAUGAAGUGAGAGGAUGCGAUGCAAGGCUAUUGGUCCGUCGCCAUGGAUGAGAAACGUCCAUCUCUAGCGGUGGAUGACGCGGUCUUGGUAGGCGCUCGGGAAUGGUGGAGGACGGUGGCGAUGGAUGUGGUGGAGGACGGCGGCGAUGGAUGUGGUGGAGGACGGCGGCGAUGGAUGGGGUGGAGGACGGAGGCUGGUGUGGGGAUGGUGUUCUAGCACGGAUUUGUUGGGAUCUAUGGUAGGGUGCGUCGACUGCAAAUUAAAAUUAUCAUAUGCGUAGAACAACAGGAACAUGCUACGGAGAUGGAUCACAGUUUGUUACCUCUAGACAUGCAGUGCCAUGCAGUGGAAGAAGAGUUGGGACAGCGCGUCCGCGUGGAUCAUCUCCUCCUCGUCCGAUCUCCCUCGAACAGCUGGUCGUCUGAUCCCACGUACAAGUUCGCCGGAGCGGCGCAAGUGCAUCGCCUCUAACGGUAUCCACGCGUGAAGGAGGAACACCGUGCGGCGGACUGCUAGAUCUGAUCACAUAGUCGGCGGCGAGUGGAGGUGGCUAUUCGCAACACAUGCAAAUCCUAGUCGUAGCGCUGAAGCGAUCAACCGCAUGGGUGUGCCACACCUCCACUUUAUAUAGGCGUCCGUCGCGGGCUCAACACUUGGGCCUCGCACGGACUCUAAAGCCCACAAGUCUACUCAGCCACAAUCCAAAUACAGUUCGGAUUACAUCCGACCAGUGUCCUCAGAUCCGACCUCAUAGGUUCCUUCCCUUAAGCGCGCGACCCCUUAGGUUCAAGUCGGCUUGGUUGCAGUUCGGAUCACCUCUGAACUACACAGUUGGUAGUGGCCUCUAGCAAGGCAUGCCGAACACCAAGCAGACUAUGAAGCUGGUUAGGCGAACCUGUACAACGUGUCACACUUCUGUUCCCUUUGCCACGCUAUAUAUGUUGUCAGGCUCAAGGCGAGAUUGUCAUCCUUGUGCUAGCCCGACCUAUUUCUCAUUCCAGUGAUUCCGACUACUAUCCGGAUUAUCUGAUAAUCCUUGUCACAUGGCCAUGCUUAUCGUGGUCGGAUCACACGAGGGCCCCAGAGUAUAUCUCUCCUGAUCGGAGGGGCAAAUCCCAUCUUGCUCGACCAUGUCUUGCAGCAUUGAACUGGACAAGCCUGAAACCUACCUUUGUAACUACCCAGUGUCGGAGUAGUGUUUGGUCGGCCCAAAGCAGGUCUGUCACCAUCCCGAGUAUAUGCGCGAGCUCAGGUCUUAGGACAUAGAACGUAUGUUGUACUAGAGACUCACAGAUGACAUAUCUUUGCGUCUCAUAGUUGGGUCUGUCCGACUUGGACCUUAUCUUGACUCGGAUCCGACUACGUCGAAUCCGACCGGACCUUUCCAAGUCCAUAUUAUCCGGAGCAUCCAAUGCUCCAUGGUUAGUGAGACCAAGCCAUCGACCAUGUCAUAUGCUAGUCUAGUCGGAUGCGUGUCCACACAGCCCUUUCGACUAGGGACCUUUUUGGACAGUCAUCAUACAAUGCAUAGUUCCAGAAACAAGUCACGUACUUGCUAAUACACAUCAUUGAUAAUGUCCAAGGACUAUAUUUAUUCAUAAACACAUAGGAAAUAUAAUCAUACAUGAUUGCCUCUAGGGCAUAUCUCCAACAGUCUCCCACUUGACUAGAGUCAAUCAAAUAGACAUCAAAUGCCCAUAGCUCUAACGUGCCCCUCAUGCUUGGGUUGUGGAAGCGGCUUAGUCAACGGAUCUGCAACAUUUGCAUCCGUGUGAAUUUUGCAUAUGUCUACAUAACCGUUCUUUACGAUCUUUCGUAUCAGGUGAUAUUUCUGAUCUAUGUGUCUGACCUUGUGGUGAUUCCUUGGCUACUUGGCUUGUGGGAUGGCACCAGAAUUAUCACAAUAAAGGUCCAAUGGUUUUACCGAGGCUGGGAAAAUACCAAGAUCAUCCAGAAAAUGCUGGAUCCAAACACCUUCCUUUGCAGCUUCACAAGCCACAAUGUAUUCGGCUUCUGUGGUAGAAUCGGCCAUCUAUCUUGCUUGCAACUCAUCCAGCUCACUGCUCCUCCAUUCAUGAUGUACACAAAUCCGGACUAUGAUCAACAAUCAUCUCUGUCGGUUUGGAAACUAGCAUCAGCAUAACCACUUAUGAUGAGCUCUUCCUCACCUCCAUAAACUAGGAACAUCUCUUUAGUCCUUUUCAGGUACUUCAAAAUAGUUUUUACCGCUGCCGAGUGACUCUCACCUAGGUUGGGCUGGUAUCUACUUGUUAGGCUUAUUGCAAAAGCAACAUCAGGCCGUGUACAUAUCAUGGCAUACAUGAUGGAUCCGAUUGCCAAGGCAUAGGGAAUCCUACUCAUCCUGCUUCGCUCAUUAGAUGUCGAAGGACUCUGAGUCUCGCUUCGCCUUAUACCAUGUGAGAGUGGCAAGAACCCUUUCUUUGCCUCACUCAUGUUGAAACGCUUCAACACUUUAUCUAUGUACGUGCUCUGGCUUAAGCCGAGCAGCCUCCUCGAUCUAUCUCUAUAGAUCUUAAUGCCUAAAAUAUACACUAGUUCACCAAGGUCCUUCAUUGAAAACUUGCCAUUCAAUGACUCCUUGACCGAGUUCAGCAUCGAAACAUCAUUUCUGAUCAGUAGUAUGUCAUCCACAUACAAGAUCAAAAACACUAUCGAGCUCCCACUUAACUUCUUGUAUAAACAAGCAUCCUCUUCACUUUUGAUGAAACCGAGACCAGUGACGACCUCAUCGAAACAAAUGUUCCAGCUCCGAGAUGCUUGUCUCAACCCAUAAAUGGAUCUCUUGAGCUUGCAUACCUUACUAGUGCUAGUCGGGUCGACAAAACCCUUGGGCUGUAUCAUAUACACGUCCUCGGUUAAAUUUCCGUGAAGGAAAGCCGUUUUGACAUCCAUCUGCCAUAUCUCGUAAUCAAAAUAUGCAGCUAUAGCUAGAAUGAUCCUUAUCGAUUUUAGCAUCGCUACCGGGGAGUAAGUCUCGUCAUAGUCAAUUCCAUGAACUUAUCAAUAACCUUUAGCGACAAGCCGAGCUUUGUGGAUCUGAACAUUUCCAUCCACAUCAGUUUUCUUCUUAAAGACCCAUUUGCAACCAAUGGCCAGUACGCCAGGCGGCGGAUCAACCAAGUCCCAAACUUGAUUCUCAUCCAUGGACUUUAACUCGGAUCUCAUGGCCUCCAGCCAUGCCACGGAAUCUGGGCUCACCAUCGCUUCCGCAUAUGUGGCCGGCUCAUCGCUUUCUAGCAACAAUACAUCGCGCACUCUGCGCAAUCUUUCCGACCUCCAUGGUUCCGGUGCCGCUUCCACUACAGGUUCCCUGACUGACUCCGGAAUGAUCUCAUCACCAGCCGAGCUGUCCUCGAGUGGUCCUCGAAUUUCUUUGAGUCGAACCGUCCUCCCACUGGCCUCCCAACUGAGAAACUCUUUCUCAAGGAAAACCCCGUUCUGAGCAACAAACACUUUGUUCUCUUCCCGGUUGUAGAAGCUAUAUCCCAAGGUUUCCCUCAGAUAUCCCACGAAUAUGCAUUUAUCCAAUUUAGGUGUAAGCUUGUCUGACAUAAGUCGCUUGACAAAUGCUUCACAACCCCAAAUCUUUAGAAAAGACAAACUGGGACUCUUCCCAAUCCACAUCUCAUGUGGUGUCUUGUCUACGGAUUUUGAUGGUACCCUAUUAAGUGUGAAAGCUACAGUUUCUAGAGCGCAUCCCCAGAAUGAUAAGGGUAAAUCUGAUUUGCUCAUCAUAGACCAGACCAUGUACAAUAAGGUCCUAUUCCUCCGUUCGGACACGCCGUUUCCUGUGGCGUACCCGGAGGUGUGAGCUGAGGUACAAUACCUCGGCUUUUCAGACGAUCAUCAAACUCCUGGCUCAUGUACUCACCUCCAUGAUCAGAUCUAAGAAGCUUUAUAGUCUUGCCAAGCUGAUUCUCAACCUUGUUUUGAAACUCUUUGAACUUUUCAAAAGUUUCCGACUUGUGCCUCAUCAAAUAGAUAUAUCCAUAUCUACUCAAGUCGUUGGUAAAAGUCACAAAGUACUGAUAGCCACCUCUGGCAGUUGUGCUCAUUGGACCACACACAUCACUGUGUAUAUGCUCCAACAGCUCGGACGCCCUCUCGCAACUCUUUGCGAAAGGAGACUUAGUCAUCUUGCCGAGCAAGCAUGAUUCACAUAUCUCGAACAACUCAAAGUCGGACAAAGUUAGCAGCCCAUCAUCAUGGAGCUUCUUCAUGCGUUUUAGACUAAUGUGUCCAAGCCGGCAAUGCUAGAAGUAUGUCGAAUUUAUCUCAUUAGGCUUAUGCCUCUUGACAUUCACGUUAUAGACCGGUUCCUGUUCUAGAUUCAAUACAAAUAGCCCACCAAUAAUGGGUGUAUAGCCGUGGAACAUACCAUUCAAAAAUAUCGAACAACCAUUGCCCUUUAAAUUGAAUUCAUAACCUUGACUCAUCAAACAUGAGGCUGAAAUAAUGUUCAGACUAAGUGUAGGAAUGUAAUAACAAUUAUUCAAUUCCAUAAUUGCCACAUCCCUAGUUCUGGUAUGACCUAGACUAGCUAGUCAUUUGUUCAUCAUGUUUAAAUUUUAUUUAAUUCUGAAAUGAGGAUUUGUGAAACCCUCAGGAUCAUCUCUGAAAAUGACCCAAAUAAAAAUUGUUCCAAAAAGGUCCAAGAAAAUGCUCAUGUUGCUCUCUGAAAAUAUUGGACAGAGAUAAAAAUCAAACCAAUAUUUUUAGGAACUCAUAAGUAUUUAUUUUGGGCAUUUGGAAUUAAUGCAUAAUUAUUUACAUUGGAUAUAUAUUUGUUAUAUACAUAAAAUAUGUCCAAAAAAUUAUGCCAUUUAUAAAGGAGCUCUGGAAUAAUAUAACUAGCUUCCAUAAAAAUUGGCAUAAGAAAAUAAAAUGGUUUAGUAUUUUUUUUAAACCAAACAAAUGUCAGAAAAUAGAAAAAGAAACAAAACAGGAGAAAACUUACCUGGCGCUUAGCUCCUCCUGCUUCCCCCUCGCCCAAGCAGCUGCGUGCCCGCGCCGCAGCCGGCCGCGGCCACGCGCCCGGCCACCUCCUGCUUCCCCCUCAUCGCUCUGGAUGACCCGGACAACGCCAGCGACGCCCCGCACCUCUCUCCCUCUCUCUCAUUCCUCCCCCUCCCAUGGUCUCUCUCCCAUGUGCACGACCGAACGCCACAUGUCGCCGCCGACGAGCACCACCGCGGCCAUCACCGUCCCCUCGCCCCUCCGUCGUGCCCAGAAGCUCCGCUGCGUCUCCCUCGUCCUCUCAGACGAGCCAAACAAGCUGUAGCGCCCUGCAACGCCGUCCUCGACGCCUUUUCCAACCGCCGGCCGCCGUGGAUCUCCAUCGCUGCUCGCCGCCGUCAGCGCCUCCCCCGAGCUCNNNNNNNNNNNNNNNNNNNNNNNNNNNNNNNNNNNNNNNNNNNNNNNNNNNNNNNNNNNNNNNNNNNNNNNNNNNNNNNNNNNNNNNNNNNNNNNNNNNNNNNNNNNNNNNNNNNNNNNNNNNNNNNNNNNNNNNNNNNNNNNNNNNNNNNNNNNNNNNNNNNNNNNNNNNNNNNNNNNNNNNNNNNNNNNNNNNNNNNNNNNNNNNNNNNNNNNNNNNNNNNNNNNNNNNNNNNNNNNNNNNNNNNNNNNNNNNNNNNNNNNNNNNNNNNNNNNNNNNNNNNNNNNNNNNNNNNNNNNNNNNNNNNNNCCUCCUCUCCUGCCUCCUCGUGCUCUGUAGCCGCAGCCGCUCGAGCCCGAGCUCCGGCCGCCGCCGCGAGCUUCGCUCCGGCGAGCUCCUCCCACCUGCCCCACCAGAUGCGCGAGAGACCGGGCUACGCCCCGGUGCUCUCCGCCGCCGCCCCCGUGGCCUGUAACACGGACGCUGCCGCGUCCUGAGGUCGCCGCCAACGACCUCGCUGGCCUGACAUGCGGGCCCUAUCGGCCAGGUGAUUAGCUUAGUGCUAAUCACCGCCUAAUUAACCACUGACACUGACCAGUGGGCCCCGGCCCCCUAAUCCUUUUAAUUAAGCAAAUAACCCCCUGUUUAACCCCGUGUCACUGACGUGUGGACCCCACAUGUCAGGUUUGACCCCAGUCAGCCGCAGUUGACUUGUUGACGUCAUGCUUACUCAAUGCUGACGCAGUAAUGCAAUUUUUUGGAUUUAUUCUUAUUCAGGAAUUUCCAGAAAAUGCCCAAAACUUCAAAAAUUCAUAGAAAUUCAACCGUAGCUCAGAUUGAAAUAAUUUAUAUAUGAAAAAUUAUCAGAAAAAUGCAAUCUUUCCAUCUGUACUAGUUUCAUGCAUGACAAACCAACUUAUACAUGCUGUAUAAGUGAAAACAUGUAAAUGGCAUAUAUAAGAGCUUAACUUGGAGUUGCAUUUGAAUCUUUGGUUCAAAUGGACUCCAUCCAAAUAACAGCUAGUUGCAUUAGCUCAAACAGCAUCACAUCUUCAUGCCAUGUUCAUGCAUCAUAUUGUUGCAUAUGCUUGAGUAUUGAUUGUCAACACCGUUCCUUCUCGAUAGGUCCUGCUCCGGAGACCGUUCCAGAGUACCUGUCUGAGGAGCAGUGCCUUCCUUGUUGAUCUACCAGGCAAGCAAAUCCCCUUGUUCAUUCCGAUACAAUCCUACUCUCUCGCUCCUGCUCUCAGUUAUUGCAUUAGGACAACAACGAUUCAUCUGCUACUUUGUGCUGCGGUAGUUGAACCCAUUCCUCUGCAUGACCUGUCAUUGCCACAGUAAAUAGUUGAAACCCACUAGCAUGUGUAGGAGUUGAUUGAAGCCAUUGUUGUGUUCCUACCAUGCUAUGCCUGCUAUUGCUUAGAGUUGUGUCAGGUCUGAUUCAUUGGGAAUGAAUUGGAGUGCAGUGCUCUAUGUUCUGAUGCUGAGAGUGAAGUGUGUGAACACGAUUUGGUAAAGGUAGCGGUGAGAGGCCAUGUAGGAGUACAUGGUGGGUUGUCUCACUGGAACCGUCCUUAAGCACUGAGUUCUAUGUAUGUUGUCCAAUGACUCGAUACUACCACACAUUGGGUUCCGGUAACUCGACCCCUCUCGACUUAUUAACCAACUUGAUCUCUGUCCAGGAGUCGUAACUAGUUUCUGGUGUUUGUAGGUAGUGCUAUUUUUCUACCAAGUGGCACCCGGCAGGGUGGGCUUGGGACAGACUAGGCACACGUGGCCUGGUGUACCGAGUGGCACCCGGAUGGUGGGCUUGGGAACCCUGCACACAUCGUUUCGGGCCGUGAGUGACACCCCGGCCGGAUCUCCUUGCGGAUGGAACCCGAAUAGGCGAUAAACCUGGACUAGAGUCUUGUGUGGUUAGUCAGGUCGUGGCCGACACCCUCGCCAGGCUUCCGCUUGAAGGUUGCCGAGAUACAUGACGUGUACAUGGCGGUAAGUGGCGAGAGCGUGUAUGAAGAAGUACACCCCUGCAGGGUUAACAUGAUCUAUUCGAAUAGCCGGGUCCGCGGUUAUGGACUUCUUGGGUGCUUACAUGGUACAUAGACAACUUGAAGUGGAUACUCUAAAAUGCUCAAGACAAAGUGUGAGUGCUAUGGAUGGCCUUCUCGUAGGGAGACAGGGAUGAAUCCAUAGUAGUGUAUUGUGUGGUGAUUAGUGGACUCGUGUGCGCCAUCUCACCUCAAAGAAGUUCUCGUAGUCGUAGAACAGGAUAGCCACUGAGUCAAAGCUGGCUUGCUGUAACUAAACCCCACAUUACCCUCUUGAUACAAAUGCAUGUAUGAUAGGAUCUGAUGUAAGUCUUGCUGAGUACCUUUGUACUCAUGUUGCUUUAAUUAUGUUUUUGUAGCGGAGACUUCGGUCUUACUAGUGUUCUCGUGGACUUCGACGAGUAGCUUGUACCUCAGCUACGAUCUUGAUCGGACGUUGUAGAUAGUCAGGCUCUUCAGCCUUUUUCAUUUGUAGAUGUCUGUACCCAGACAUGUAAUGCUUCCGCUUGUUGCUUGUAUGCUCUGUAUGAUGGGUCUUAUGACCCCUGUUUGCAAUAAAUGCUAUGAUGGCUCUUUGAGCCUUAUCUAUAUGAGUUGUUGAGUUAUGCUGUGAUGCCAUGUUGUACAGCACAUACUUGCAUGUUAUGCGUAUGUGUAAUGUGUAUUGCUAUGUGUGGGAUCUGACUAUCUAGCUGUUUAUCCUUAGUAGCCUCUCUUACCGGGAAAUGUCUCCUAGUGCUUCCACUGAGCCAUGGUAGCGUGCUACUGCUCCGGAACGCUUAGGCUGGCCGGCAUGUGUCCUUCUUCGUUCCUGUGUCUGUCCCUUCGGGGAAAUGUCACGCGAUGAAUACCGGAGUCCUGUUAAGCCCGCUACAUCCCGGUUCACCGGAGUCCUGUUAGCCCAGUGCUACAGCCUGGAUUCACUCGCUGAUGACCGACACGUUCGAUGCUGGGUCAUGGAUGCCUGUCCCUGUAAGUUUGUGCCACUUUGGGUUUACGACUAGCCAUGUCAGCUCGGGCUCCUUAUCAUAUGGAUGCUAGCGACACUAUCAUAUACGUGUGCCAAAAGGCGCAAACGGUCCCGGGCAAAGGUAAGGCGACACCCGUGGGGAUACCCUGCGUGAGGCCGCAAAGUGAUAUGAGGUGUUACAUGCUAGAUUGAUGUGGCAUUGAGUCGGGAUCCUGACAGCUUUGCUAUCAGAGCCUGACUGCCUAUAGGAUUACCAAGCCAAACUGGUCGAAGUUGAGUCUAGAAAUUCUCUAGUUAUGUAAGGGAAUUGAUUGUGGGAAGGAACGUAAGGCUCUUUUUACUCCUUAUACCUCAUGGCUUUCUGAUCUGAGUCAUCCUAUCUUUCCUGCGGGGUUAAGGAACUAGGCUCUCUCUUCCGUCUAUCAGGAUCACGUGUUACUACUCCAUAGUCCCAUAGGAUUGGUUGAUCAGAGUCAUAUCCCAGUUUUCGAGUACUUCCGGUGUAGCCUGUUUAGUAUGAUCUCAGAACCUUGAGCGGUGAUGUUGAGUAAGUUGCUACCCCAUUGUUGGCAGCAUGUCUCAUUUUGAGCAUUUUACUGCCGUUAUGCUGCCGGAAUUGCCCUAAGAGUUCGAGAGAUACUAAUUUCCUUGUCCCACAUUCUGUAGCCUAUAGUUGAUGCUGAUUCCGUCCUUGGUUUCGUUUCUCAGGAUGUCAUCAGUUAAGCAAAGUUCUGUUGCUCGUAGCCAGAACCACGGAGAUGGUAGGGAUGAGGAUCCUCCCGACCCGUCUUCAUUGACAGAGAUCAUGUUAGAAAUGGAGAGGAACAAGCGUGAGUCUAACCGCUUGUUGGCACGUAUCGAGGAGAACACCGCACAUCAGUUCAAAGGAUCUGUGACCAUUCAUGACUUCAUCCGCUUGCACCCACCCACCUUUCAUCACUCCAUUGAGCCGCUCGAUGCAGAUGACUGGCUCCGUAGCAUCAAUCAUAAGCUGCAUUCCGCAAACGUAGCUGAAAAUGACAAGGUCACCUAUGCCACAUACCACCUGGAAGGUCCUGCUAGUCUUUCGUGGCAGAACUAUGAGGCUAUGCUUCCAGCUGGCCAGGUUCCUACCUGGAGAGAUUUCACUGAGGCUUUUCGCGAGCAUCACAUUCCUGAAGCCCUCAUUGAUCGCAAGAGAGAAGACUUAUGUAGUCUCACCCAGAGUAAGAUGGCUGUUGAUGCUUACAGUAGAGAGUUUGAGAACCUCGCCCGCUAUGCCAGAGAAGAGGUGUCCACAGACGCCAAGAAGCGGGCUAGGUUCCGGAAGGGUCUCAACCCCAAGUUGCGUCGUGAUCUCCACCUACAUCAUUGUGAUACAUUCCAGGCUCUUGUGAACAAGGCCAUUAAUGCAGAGACAGCUCAGCUCACUUACAAGGAGUCUCGUAAGCACACCGGUGAGUUGGGAUCUUCCUCCGGUUCUGGUUCUCAGAAGCGCUGGAUUUGGGUUCCAAACUCCGCUCUUCCUUCCGGUUAUACACCGAGGCCAUCUUAUGUGGUGCCUCCCCCAGCCCAGUCGUGUGUUCCACCCAGGCCUACUGGUAGACCGCUUGUUAGUGCGGGUCCACGUCCAACCUCAGGGACUUGCUUCACAUGCGGGAAGCCAGGACACUAUGCACGUGACUACUCUCAGACUAGUUAUGCUCCACCCCAGCCCGAGGAGUCUGUUGGCCAUGGUAAGCCAUCACGCAAGAUGAUCAGUGCCAAGCCAGCCCCCACUGAACGUGGACGUGUGCAUCACGUCUCAGCUAAAGACGCUCAUGAUGAUCCGGAUGUCGUUCUUGGUACACUCCUUGUCAACUGUCAUCCAGCAUCGGUUCUAUUCGAUACUGGAGCAUCUCACUCCUUCACUUCUGAAGGCUAUGCUCGUUUGCACGACAUGUCAUUUUGUGAUAUGCCAACUCCGCUUGAAAUCCAAACCCCAGGGUCUAGAUGGCAGACCACUAGAAUCAGCCAUGGUAAUGAAAUCCUUGUUGAUAGACUUGUAUUCCUUGCAUCACUUGUAGCCCUCAAGUCCUCAGAUAUUAACAUCAUCUUGGGUAUGGACUGGAUGACAGCUCAUCAUGCCAAGAUUGAUUGUUACACAAGAUCUGUUCAGCUCACACACCCAUCUGGCAAGAUAGUCACUGUCUCCACUAGAGUUGCAAAGCGUCAGCUCUAUUCUCUUAAUGCCAGCCCUCUUCCAGACCCUGAAGAUAUCCCGGUAGUCCGUGACUUUCCGGAUGUAUUUCCAGAGGAACUGCCAGGUGUUCCACCUGACAGAGAUGUAGAGUUCGUCAUAGAUCUUAUUCCAGGAACCGCCCCAAUUUCUAGGAGACCUUACAAGAUGGCACCCUUAGAACUAGCCGAACUUAAGAAACAACUUGAUGAGUCCUUGCAAAAGGGUUUCAUCCAUCCUAGUUCUUCUCCUUGGGCUUGCCCCGUCCUCUUCGUCAAGAAGAAGGAUGGUACGGACAGGAUGGUUGUAGAUUAUCGCCCUGUUAAUUUGGUCACGAUAAAGAACAAGUAUCCGCUCCCCAGGAUCAACGACCUGUAUGAUCAGCUUGCUGGAUCCUCAGUCUUCUCCAAGAUGGAUUUGAGGUUAGGCUACCACCAAGUCAAGAUCAGAAAUGGGGACAUCCCUAAAACGGCUUUUGUCACUCGUUAUGGCCAGUACGAGUACACCGUCAUGUCCUUCGGCCUAACCAACGCCCCAGCCACUUUCUCCCGCCUGAUGAACUCGAUCUUCAUGGAGUACUUAGAUAAGUUCGUCGUGGUUUACCUCUAUGAUAUUCUUAUUUACUCGAAGAACGAGGAAGAGCAUGCCGAACAUCUUAGACUUGUGUUAGAAAAACUCAGAGAGCACCGCCUUUAUGCCAAGUUCUCCAAGUGUGAAUUUUGGUUGCCAGAAGUGACCUACCUAGGCCACGUAAUCUCUGGUAAGGGCAUUGCUGUCAAUCCUGAGAGAGUUAAGGCCGUUCUUGAUUGGACUCCACGUGAAACCGUUAAACAAGUUAGGAGUUUCCUUGGUCUAGCCAGCUAUUGUCGCCGCUUUGUUGAAAACUUCUCCAAGGUAGCCAAACCCCUCACGGAACUUCUCAAGAAAGAUAAAAAGUUUGAAUGGUCCCCACAGUGUGAGUAUAGUUUUCAGGAACUGAAAAGACGCCUGACAUCUGCUCCCAUACUUGUGCCACCGGAUUUCACGAAGGACUUUGUUAUCUACUGCGAUGCCUCACGACAGGGACUAGGUUGCAUCCUUAUGCAGGAUCGUCAUGUGAUUGCCUAUGCAUCUCGACAGUUGCAUCCACAUGAGGAUAAUUAUCCUACACAUGAUCUAGAGCUUGCAGCCGUAGUCUAUGCACUCAAGACCUGGCGACAUUACCUUCUUGGUAAACGUUGCGAGAUCUACACCGAUCACCAGAGUCUCAAGUAUAUCUUCACCCAACCAGAUUUGAACCUUAGGCAAAGACGUUGGUUGGAGUUGAUCACAGAUUAUGAUCUAGGGAUUACCUACACUCCAGGUAAAGCCAAUGUCAUGGCUGAUGCUCUAAGCCGUAAAUCCUAUUGCAACAAUCUCAUGUUGCAGCAAGGCCAACCACUUCUCCAUGAGGAAUUCUGUAAGCUUAAUCUUCACAUUGCUCCUCACGGAUUCCAUUCUACCUUGGUGGCGAAACCUUCUCUUGUGGAUCAUAUCAUAGAAGCCCAGAAGCAUGAUACGAGGAUUGCCGGGAUCAAGAGAAACAUUGCCAAGGGUAUUGCUGGUAGUUUCUCUAUAGAUAAUCGAGGUGUCGUUUUCUUUGGGAACCGCCUGGUGGUCCCCAAGAAGCAACAUCUUCGACAAUUGAUCCUUAAGGAGGCGCAUGAAUCUCCUCUCACGAUUCAUCCUGGUAGUACUAAGAUGUAUUAGGACCUACGCCAGAGGUUCUGGUGGACUAGGAUGAAGAUUGAAAUCGCUCAGUUUAUUGCUAACUGUGAUGUUUGUUGUCGCGUUAAGGCAGAGCAUCAAAGGCCUGCUGGCACCCUUCAGCCUUUAGCUAUUCCUGAGUGGAAAUGGGAUAAAGUUGGUAUGGACUUCAUCACCGGCUUUCCCAGGACCAAGAGAGGGAAUAAUGUUAUCUUCGUAGUCAUUGAUCAUCUCUCCAAAGUGGCGCACUUCCUUCCUGUUCGAGAGGGUAUCACCGCUAGUCAGCUCGCUGACUUAUAUAUUUCUCGAAUAGUGUCACUCCAUGGUGUUCCACUAGAGAUCAAUUCAGACCAUGGCAGUCUUUUCACUUCUCAUUUCUGGGAGAGUUUCCAAACUGCCAUGGGAACCCAUCUUUCCUUCAGUACUGCUUUCCACCCUCAGUCGAGUGGUCAGUUGGAAAGGGUCAACCAAAUUCUCGAAGACAUGCUUAAAGCUUGCGUUAUCUCAUUCGGUAUGGAUUGGGAGAAAUGUCUUCCUUUCGCCGAGUUUGCUUAUAACAAUAGCUAUCAAUCCAGCCUCAAAAAAGCUCCUUUUGAGGUUCUCUAUGGACGAAGAUGUCGAACACCUUUGAACAGGUCAGAAACCGGUGAAAGACAGUUCUUUGGACCGGACAUGAUCCAGGAGGCAGAAGAGCAAGUUCGCAUCAUUCGUGAGAAUUUGAAAAUAGCCCAGUCUCGUCAGAAGAGUCAGUAUGACCGCCAUCAUAAGGAUAUGACUUAUGAAAUUGGCGACCAAGCUUACCUUCGGGUCACUCCUUUGAAGGGUACCCAUCGCUUCAGUAUCAAGGGCAAGUUGGCUCCUCGUUACAUUGGUCCUUUUCGCAUUCUCGCUAAACGAGGAGAGGUUGCCUACCAGUUGGAACUACCCCCACAUCUUUCUCGAGUUCAUGAUGUCUUCCACGUCUCUCAACUCCGGUGUUGCUUCUUGGAUCCUAUCCGCGGAGUGGACCACGAAACGCUUGAUCUCCAAGAUAACCUCACAUACCGAGAGUACCCGGUUCGCAUUCUUGAUCAAGCAGAGCGUGUCACUAGACGUCAGAAUAUCAAGUUUCUCAAGAUUCAUUGGUCUCAUCAUUCUGAGAGAGAAGCUACUUGGGAGCGAGAAGAUCAUCUUCGACUGGAGUACCCCACUUUCUUUCCGUCGACCCUGAAUCUCGGGACGAGAUUCUCCCAAGUGGGGGCGAGUUGUCACAUCCCUAGUUCUGGUAUGACCUAGACUAGCUAGUCAUUUGUGCAUCAUGUUUAAAUUUUAUUUAAUUCUGAAAUGAGGAUUUGUGAAACCCUCAGGAUCAUCUCUGAAAAUGACCCAAAUAAAAAUUGUUCCAAAAAGGUCCAAGAAAAUGCUCAUGUUGCUCUUUGAAAAUAUUGGACAGAGAUAAAAAUCAAACCAAUAUUUUUAGGAACUCAUAAGUAUUUAUUUUGGGCAUUUGGAAUUAAUGCAUAAUUAUUUGCAUUGGAUAUAUAUUUGUUAUAUACAUAAUAUAUGUCCAAAAAAUUAUGCCAUUUAUAAAGGAGCUCUGGAAUAAUAUAACUAGCUUCCAUAAAAAUUGGCAUAAGAAAAUAAAAUGGUUUAGUAUUUUUUUAAACCAAACAAAUGUCAGAAAAUAGAAAAAAAAACAAAACAGGAGAAAACUUACCUGGCGCUUAGCUCCUGUGCAGCCUGGCCGGCCCAGCCCACCUGGGCCCCCUCCUCUGUCUUCUUCCUCCCCCUCGAGAGCUCCUAUGCGACGCUCUCUGCGUCAAGCAGUCGAGCAAUCGCAUAGGGGAUCAAGAGACUGGGCCGGCCCAUCUCUCUCGCGAACAGUAGCUCACUGCUGGAAUAAAAAAAGAUGCAUUGCCAGGACUCGAACACUAGACCAACUGCUUCCGAGAUACAAUUCAAACCAGUUGACCUAGCUAGCUUUCUUAAUAAUAGAACAUUUGCAAAACCUUAAGAAAACUCAAACACCGAUCCGAACAUCUUUCAAAAAUUCGAACACAAAACAUUUUUUUUCAAAAACAAAACGUGAAUGUUUUAUCAAAGGCGAAAAUUAUUGUUUUUCAAUUUUUUUGAGAAAACUCAAACAUUUUUGAACACACAAACGAAUUUUGGAGAGGCAAACAUAUUUUUUAGAACGGAAACAUUUUUUAAACUACCCAAAAAACUGAACAGGAACAAUUUUUCUAAUUUCAAAAAAAAUUGAAACAAGAACAACUUUUGCACACGAACAUUUUCUGAAACCCCAGAACAAAAUUUGGCAAACAAACAUUUUUUCAAAUUUGCAAACAAUUUUGGAAACAGAACAUUUUUCAAAACUCUGAACAAAACUUGUAAAUAUCAAUAUCUUUUAAAAUUUGCGAACAAAUUUUGGAACCGGAACAUUUUCUCAGACUCCCAAACAAAUUUAUGGAAUUUACAAACAUUUUUCAGUUUGUGAACAAAAUUUGAAAACAUGAACAUUUUAUAAAUCCGUGAACAAAUUUGGAAUGCUGGAACACUUUUUGAAAUUCCUAAACAUUUUUGAAUGCAAACCAAAUUUGAAAACAUGGACAAUUUUGAAAAAAGGAACAUUUAUUGAAUCUCACGAACAAAAAUUGAAAAGCGAACAUUUUUAAUAAAUUUGUGAACAUUUUUUGCAAAGUUGUUAAAUUUUAAAAAAACAUCAAGAAAAGAAACAAAAACUAAAAAAAGAAAAGAAACAGAAAAGGAAAAAAAUAAAAAAAUCGAAAAUCGAAAAUAACCAGAAAAAACGCUACAGAAAAAAACCCGGUUCAGGAAACUUUCUAGAAGCUGGCCCAUGUCGGUAGCUCGCGCCGCUCCUCUGUGCGAUCCCUCGACAAUUUGCCGCAGAGAGCAGCGAAUAGGAUUUUCCCGCUUAAGGCGCCAAGGAGGGAGACCUCCUAUAUGCCGCAUUUUGCGACCAAUAGGUCGCGCGACGCACAGGGGACGUGCACCUGGGCCGGCCCAUUCGCUGUCCGUCAAGGAAUGAAAAAUUCGACAAAAUAGAAGUGUUGUGGUGGGGAUUCGAACCCACGACCUUACGGCCAAAAUCAGUAUUUUGACCGUUUCAGCAAACUUUGUCACAAAAUGAACUCGACAUGAAAGUAUUUCACGAUCUGACCCUUUUAGCAACGCCAUAGCCCGCGGCGUUUCUGCCCAAAAUGAAAACGCCGAGCUAGCUAGCGCUCCUGUUCAAAGAAGAAGCGUCGAGGUAGCUCGCGUUGUGGACCAGGUGAGAAACGCCAGAUGGCUUUGGCGUUUCUGCCCCGGACAGCAACGCCAGGAGCAUUGGCGUUUCUGCAAAAGGAAGGCCGCAAUAUUUUUGUACUGUGGAAUAGCUACGCCUAGCUAGCUAGCUAGUCCAUGGAAACGCCAAUGCUUAUGGCGUUGCUAGCCAGGGCAGCAACGCCCACUAGCUUGGUGUUUCUAUGUGGAUCGGCAACACUAGCUAGCUCGGCGUUUGAAUGUGGAUUUGAAACACGAGCUACAUCGGCGUUUCUAUAUGGAGAGGAAACGUCACGGGCUAUGGCGUUGCUAAAAGGGUCAACUCGUGAAAUACUUUCAUGUUGAGUUCACUUUGUGGCAAAGAUUGCUGAAAAGGUCAGAAUAGUGAUUUCGGCCCGACCUUACAUAGGCGUACGCUCUGCUCUAGCCACUGUGCCAGGCUAGUUACUUUGUAAGAAAGGCAGCAGGAGCUUAAAUAAACCGCCACAGCGGCGAAAAGUAAAAAUCAAUUCAGCCAAGUCUCUAAAUUAAAACCAGUUAAGCCAAUUACAAAUUUACAAAACUGCAGUAUUUUUUGGAAUAUGUGAACAACUUUCAGAAACAGGAACAAAAUUAUGAAUUAGUGAAAAAAUUAAACAUGCGGACAAUUUUUUGAAUUUGUGAACAAAUUUUGAAACAUGAAAAUUUUUUAAUACGUGAACAAAUUUUAUGAAAACAAACAAAUUUUGAAUUUCCCAAAGAUUUUUCGAAAAUAUGAACAUUUUUGGAAUAUGUGAACAAUUUUUCAAAGCAAGAAUGAAUUUUGAAUCUUGAGAACAAAUUUGUAAGCGCCAACUUUUUUUGAAGCACGGACAUUUUUUUUAAUCUCGAGAAAUUUUUUUGAAUUGGAGAACAAUUUUGAAAAAUCCUGAACAAAUUUGGAAGCGCGAACAAUUUAUUAAAGCACGAACAUUUUUUGAAUCUGGAGAACAAAUUUUGAAAAAGUACGAACAAAUUUGGAAGCGUGAACAUUUUUUUGAAUAUGUGAAUAAAAAAUUGAAAUCUGGUACAUUUUCUGAAUUUCAAAAGUUUUGAACUUUUUUGUGUAACGGGAACAACUUUUGAAAACAGUAACAGUUUUGAAAAAUUGUUACAAGAACAUUUUCUGAAAUGCCCAAACAAUUUUUUUGAAAUGCGAACAUUUUUUAGAAACACGAACAAUUUUUGAAUUUUCUGAACAAUUUUCAAAAGAAACCAAAAUUAGAAAAAAGAAAACAGAAAAAAAAAAGAAAAACGGAAAAAAAUAAAAGAAACAGUAAAACAAAAGAAAAAAAAGAAAAAACUGGUGUAAAAAUAGAAAAACCGGUUCAGGGAACCUUCUGGAAGGUUCCCAAAACCGGCUGCCUCGGUGUGGGAAAGUGGGCCGGCCCAAUACUUGCGCUCGGGGGGAUCGCCGUGUGCGAACAGUCGACAUUUUGACGCAGUUAGCGUCAAAUAGGAUUUUCCCUCCCCCUCGCCCAAGCAGCUGCGUGCCCGCGCCGCAGCCGGCCGCGGCCACGCGCCCGGCCACCUCCUGCUUUCCCCUCGUCGCUCUGGAUGACCCGGACAACGCCACGCGACGCCCCGCACCUCUCUCCCUCUCUCAUUCCUCCCCCUCCCCUGGUCUCUCUCCCACGCGCAUGGCCGAAUGCCACCCGUCGCCGCCGACGAGCACCACCGCGGCCAUCGUCGUCCCCUCGCCCCUCCGUCGUGCCCAGAAGCUCCGAUGCGUCUCCCUCGUCCUCUCCGACGAGCCAAACAAGCUGUAGCGCCCUGCAACGCCAUCCUCGACGCCUUUUCCAACCGCCGGCCGUCGUGGAUCUCCGUCGCCGCUCGCCGUCGUCAGCGCCUCCCCCGAGCUCGCCGUCGUCUUUUCAGGUCCCCUGUGAGCCCUCCCCCCCUCCCCCCCGCGUCGGUUCCCCCUCCUCUCCUGCUUCCCCGUGCUCUGUAGCCGCAGCCGCUCGAGCCCGAGCUCCNNNNNNNNNNNNNNNNNNNNNNNNNNNNNNNNNNNNNNNNNNNNNNNNNNNNNNNNNNNNNNNNNNNNNNNNNNNNNNNNNNNNNNNNNNNNNNNNNNNNNNNNNNNNNNNNNNNNNNNNNNNNNNNNNNNNNNNNNNNNNNNNNNNNNNNNNNNNNNNNNNNNNNNNNNNNNNNNNNNNNNNNNNNNNNNNNNNNNNNNNNNNNNNNNNNNNNNNNNNNNNNNNNNNNNNNNNNNNNNNNNNNNNNNNNNNNNNNNNNNNNNNNNNNNNNNNNNNNNNNNNNNNNNNNNNNNNNNNNNNNNNNNNNNGCUCCUCCCACCUGCCCCACCAAAUGCGCGAGAGCCCGGGCUACGCCCCGGUGCUCUCCGCCGCCGCCCCCGUGGCCUGUAACGCGGACGCCGCCGUGUCCUGAGGUCACCGCCGACGACCUCGCCGGCCUGACAUGCAGGCCCUAUCGGCCAGGUGAUUAGCUUAGUGCUAAUCACCACCUAAUUAACCACUGACACUGACCAGUGGGCCCUGGCCCCCUAAUCCUUUUAGUUAAGCAAAUGACCCCCUGUUUAACCCCGUGUCACUGACGUGUGGACCCCACACGUCAGGUUUGACCCCAGUCAGCCGCAGUUGACUUGCUGACGUCAUGCUUACUCAAUGCUAACGCAGUAAUGCAAUUUUCUGGAUUUAUUCUUAUUCAGGAAUUUCCAGAAAAUGCCCAAAACUUCAAAAUUUCAUAGAAAUUCAACCGUAGCUCAGAUUGAAAUAAUUUAUAUAUGAAAAAUUAUCAGAAAAAUGCAAUCUUUCCAUCUGUACUAGUUUCAUGCAUGACAAACCAACUUAUACAUGCUGUAUAAGUGAAAACAUGUAAAUGGCAUAUAUAAGAGCUUAACUUGGAGUUGCAUUUGAAUCUUUGGUUCAAAUGGACUCCAUCCAAAUAACAGCUAGUUGCAUUAGCUCAAACAUCAUCACAUCUUCAUGCCAUGUUCAUGCAUCAUAUUGUUGCAUAUGCUUGAGUAUUGAUUGUCAACACCGUUCCUUCUCGAUAGGUCCUGCUCCGGAGACCGUUCCAGAGUACCUGUCUGAGGAGCAGUGCGUUCCUUAUUGAUCUACCAGGCAAGCAAACCCCCUUGUUCAUUCCGAUACAAUCCUACUCUCUCGCUCCUGCUCUUAGUUAUUGCAUUAGGACAACAACAAUUCAUCUGCUACUUUGUGCUGCGGUAGUUGAACCCAUUCCUCUGCAUGACCUGUCAUUGCCACAGUAAAUAGUUGAAACCCACUAGCAUGUGUAGGAGUUGAUUGAAGCCAUUGUUGUGUUCUUACCAUGCUAUGCCUGCUAUUGCUUAGAGUUGUGUCAGGUCUGAUUCAUUGGGAAUGAAUUGGAGUGCAGUGCUCUAUGUUCUGAUGCUGAGAGUGAAGUGUGUGAACACGAUUUGGUAAAGGUAGCGGUGAGAGGCCAUGUAGGAGUACAUGGUGGGUUGUCUCACUGGAACCGUCCUUAAGAACUGAGUUCUAUGUAUGUUGUCCAAUGACUCGAUACUACCACACAUUGGGUUCCGGUAACUCGACCCCUCUCGACUUAUUAACCAACUUGAUCUCUGUCCAGGAGUCGCAACUAGUUUCUGGUGUUUGUAGGUAGUGCUAUUUUUCUACCAAGUGGCACCCGGCAGGGUGGGCUUGGGACAGACUAGGCACAUGUGGCCUGGUGUACCGAGUGGCACCGGAUGGUGGGCUCGGGAACCCUGCACACAUCAUUUCGGGCCGUGAGCGACACCCCGGCCGGAUCUCCUUGCGGAUGGAACCUGAAUAGGCGAUAAACCUGGACUAGAGUCUUGUGUGGUUAGUCAGGUCGUGGCCGACACCCUCGCCAGGCUUCCGCUUGAAGGUUGCCGAGAUACAUGACGUGUACAUGGCGGUAAGUGGCGAGAGCGUGUGUGAAGAAGUACACCCCUGCAGGGUUAACGUGAUCUAUUCGAAUAGCCGGGUCCGCGGUUAUGGACUUCUUGGGUGCUUACAUGGUACAUAGACAACUUGAAGUGGAUACUCUAAAAUGCUCAAGACAAAGUGUGAGUGCUAUGGAUGGCCUUCUCGUAGGGAGACAGGGAUGAAUCCAUAGUAGUGUAUUGUGUGGUGAUUAGUGGACUCGUGUGCGCCAUCUCACCUCAAAGAAGUUCUCGUAGUCGUAGAACAGGAUAGCCACUGAGUCAAAGCUGGCUUGCUGUAACUAAACCCCACAUUACCCUCUUGAUACAAAUGCAUGUACGUUAGGAUCUGAUGUAAGUCUUGCUGAGUACCUUUGUACUCAUGUUGCUUUAUUUAUGUUUUUGCAGCGGAGACUUCGGUCUUACUAGUGUUCUCGUGGACUUCGACGAGUAGCUUGUACCUCAGCUACGAUCUUGAUCGGACGUUGUAGAUAGUCAGGCUCUUCAGCCUUUUUCAUUUGUAGAUGUCUGUACCCAGACAUGUAAUGCUUUCGCUUGUUGCUUGUAUGCUCUGUAUGAUGGGUCUUAUGACCCCUGUUUGCAAUAAAUGCUAUGAUGGCUCUUUGAGCCUUAUCUAUAUGAGUUGUUGAGUUAUGCUGUGAUGCCAUGUUGUACAGCACAUACUUGCAUGUUAUGUGUACGUGUAAUGUGUAUUGCUAUGUGUGGGAUCUGACUAUCUAGCUGUUUAUCCUUAGUAGCCUCUCUUACCGGGAAAUGUCUCCUAGUGCUUCCACUGAGCCAUGGUAGCGUGCUACUACUCCGGAACGCUUAGGCUGGCCGGCAUGUGUCCUUCUUCGUUCCUGUGUCUGUCCCUUCGGGGAAAUGUCACACGAUGAAUAUCGGAGUCCUGUUAAGCCCGCUACAGCCCGGUUCACCGGAGUCCUGUUAGCCCAGUGCUACAGCCUGGAUUCACUCGCUGAUGACCGACACGUUCAAUGCUGGGUCAUGGAUGCAUGUCCCUGUAAGUUUGUGCCACUUUGGGUUUACGACUAGCCAUGUGAGCCCGGGCUCCUUAUCAUAUGGAUGCUAGCGACACUAUCAUAUACAUGUGCCAAAAGGCGCAAACGGUCCCGGGCAAAGGUAAGGCGAAACCCGUGGGGAUACCGUGCGUGAGGCCGCAAAGUGAUAUGAGGUGUUACAUGCUAGAUCGAUGUGGCAUUGAGUCGGGGUCCUGACAAUAAUGAAUCCAGAAGGAAGUUGGAGCUGCAUCGUGCCGACCUCUAACGCAUCAACUCUUGCUUUGUUGCCGACCCUGAUGUCAAUCUCCCCUUGUGCCACAUGCCUAGUUCUUACCAGCCCCUGCAUCGAGUUGCAAAUAUGAACAACCGAUCCGGUAUCAAAUAACCAAGAGCUACUAGGUAUGUCAGCAAGAUAAAUGUCUAUAACAUAUGCAACAAGUGUACCUUUGCCUGAAGAAGCAUUUCCGGCCUUCUUGCCAUGCUCUGCAAGCCACUUGCUAUAGUUCCUCUUCCAGUGACCAGUUUCCUUGCAAUGAUAGCAAACGGUCUUUGAGUCCGGUCUAGACUUCGGCGCAGCAGCGGAGGUUACCAUCUCCGUGCCCUUUGCCUUAGCCUUCUUCUUGGACCAACUCUUCUUGAACUUAGCCGAUUUCUGCACCAUCAACACUUGAUGCGUGCCUUUCUUAAUAUCCUGCUCUAUCACUUUGAGCAUCCCAUGCAAUUCAGUGAGCUUCUUAUCCAUGCCAUGCAUAUGAUAGUUCGAGAUGAACGUCCCAUAGCUAGGCGGAAGAGAACCCAAAACUGCAUCUGUAGCAAGCUCAUCCAAGAGCGGGAAGCCCAAACGAUCCAAAGCUUGCACAUAUCCGAUCAUCUUGAUCACAUGUGGGCUCAGUGGAUCACCUUCCUUCAGCUUGCAAUCCAUCAAGGAUCGCCAGACCUUGAACCUUUCGGUCCUAGCUUGUGUCUGAAACAUGCUCUUGAGACUCUUGAUCAUAUCGUAAGCCUCAACAUUUUCGAAAUGCUGUUGCAAAUCAGGCUCCAUACAAGCUAGCAUCAGACAAUUGAUCUCCGUUGAGUCAUCAACGAGUUUCUGGUAGGCAUUCUUAGUGGUGGCAUUAACAUUAGCGGAAGGUUCCUCUGGAAGUGGGUCCUCUAGAACAUGUUCCUUUUUAUCGUGCUUGAGAACAAUUCUCAGAUUUCUAUACCAGGUGGUAAAGUUUGUUCCAUUCAGUUUAUCCUUUUCCAGAAUUGAUUUCAAUGCAAAGUUGGGUUGAGAAGGUGUUGCCAUUGAUCUACAACAGAAAAUAUGCAAUCACUAAGCAAUGUGUUUAUGUAGAGUAUUUUGAGCCUAAACAGAAAUACUCCCACUGAAGUCAACAUCACUGCUAGCCAACAUACCUAUCCGGUAAGCAACUACUUGCUAAUCGCAUCUCUAUACGACUCCUGUCGGUCGGGAAGGUAUCUCAUACCCCGGCUCCCAACCUCCUUUGCCACAAGGACCAAAACCAUUUUGAUAGCCUUGUCAAGUUAACCUGAUGCAGUGCAUGUCCAUCUCCGACACGAACCCUUCAGUUCAAGGACACCUAGCAGCACCCCAAUUUUAUGAACCCACCACUAGACGUACUUGACGUGCGAAGGUGCAACAUCGGGGAUGGCAAUUCGCUUGAUAUUCAUGAGGGAUCAUUCUACCAUUCUAACAUGCAUAGAAAUAAAGAAGCAUAACAAUCACAUAUAAACAUAUAUUGUGAAAUAGUAUGGUCCUUCAUGGACGUUCUUCCAGGUCGGCUCCAACUCUGAUGACCAUCUACGAACUCCAUCUUGUUUGUCACGCCGGGACGCCAAGCCACCAACAUGAUCUCUAUUAUCCAACUACUACAACUAGUAAUGAAUUUUACAUAGAGUCACAAGUCGACACGCAGGUCGUUAUACAAUAUAAUGACAACACUUUGGCUCCUGCCGGCUGACAAACAUGACACGCAGGCCAUGUAUAAAUUACACACAUGCAUCACAUACACAUGAGCCAUACUAUUCACAUCAAACCUGCAAAAUAGAGUUACUCGCAUUCUACCGGUUUGAGUGAUCGCGUACGAAAUACAAGGCGCUACGCACACGGCGGUCCCGUCGAAUUUUCCGAUCUAACCGAUCUCAUCGAUCAUCGUGAGUCCUAUUCGGAUUUACGUUUCACUGUUAACCCCGAUGGCGGAUUCCGACCGGUAGGGGUAGGUUGUGUCACGACCUCAUCGACUCCGAUCAUCAGAAAACAUAGCCUCAUCGAUCCCCAUGUGCAGUUGAUCUCAUCAACCGUGCACACAGCCGAACUCACAAACAACAACAGAUCUCAUCUGCCGUCUCCAUAUAUCUAAUAUGCAUAUGAUCUGAAUCCAAAUCCUAUAGCAGAGGCUCUGAUACCACUGUUGGGAUCUACGCUAGGGUGCGUCAACUGCAAAUUAAAAUUAUCCUUCACGCAGAACAAUAGGAACAUGCUAUGGGAGAUGGAUCAGAGUUUGUUACCACUAGAUGUGUAGUGCCGUGCAGCGGAAGAAGAGUUGGGGCAGCACGUCCGCGUUGAUCGUCUCCUCCUCGUCCGAUCUCCCUCGAACAGUCGGUCGUACGAUCUCACGUACAAGUUCGCCGGAGCGGCGCAAGUGCGCCGCCUCUAACGGUAUCCGCGCAUGCAGGAGGAACACCGUGCAGCGGACUGCUAGGUUCGAUCACACAGUCGGCGGUGAGUGGAGGUGGCUAUUCGCAACACAUGAAAAUCCUAGUCGCAGCGCCGGAGCGAUAAACCGCAUGAGUGUGCUGCACCUCCACUUUAUAUAGGCGUCCGUCGUGGGCUCAACACUUGGGCCUCGCACGGACCCUAAAGCCCACAAGUCUGCUCAGCCACAAUCCGAAUACAGUUCGGAUUACAUCCGACCAGUGUCCCAGGAUCCGACCUCGUAGGUUCCUUCCCUUAAGCGCGCGACCCCUUAGGUUCAAGUCGGCUUGGUUGCAGUUCGGAUUACCUCCGAACUACACAGUUAGUAGCGGCCUCUAGCAAGGCAUGCCAAACACCAAGCAGACUAUGAAGCUGGUUAGGCGAACCUGUACAACAUGUCACACUUCUGUUCCCUUUGCCACGCGAUAUAUGUUGUCAGGCUCAAGGCGAGAUUGUCAUGCUUCUGCUAGCCCGACCUCUUUCUCGUUCCAGUGCUUUCGACCACUAUCCGGAUUAUCUCAUAAUCCUUGUCGCAUGGCCAUGCUUAUCCUGGUCAGAUCACACGAGGGGCCCAGAGUAUAUCUCUCCUGAUCGAAGGGGCAAAUCCCAUCUUGCUCGACCAUGUCUCGCAGCAUGGGACUGGACAAGCCCGAAACCUAACUUUGUAACUACCCAGUCACGAGUAGCGUUUGGUCGGCCCAAAGCAGGUCUGUCACCAUCCCGAGUAUAUGCGCCAGCUCAGAUCUGAUGAGAUCAACAUGAAAAUCCAAGAACCAGAUACUCAAGAUGUCCAUAACCGGGGACACAGCUAACCAUGAUUAGUUUGUACACUCUGCGGAGGUUUGCGUACUUUUCCCCACAAGACUCGAUCACCUCCAUUGAAUUUCUCGCACUUCAUGAUGUUUGAGAAACAGAUGACCGAGACACAGUCUUUUAGAAACACUAACUCUUUACUCUGGGUGGAGAGUUACACCUACUUUCCCGUACAUCUGCUAGCCCACCACUGAAAAAGGUCAUGCAACCUACUCAACUAUGCUAGAGCCCAUAAUAGCUUGUGGCUUCACACGGAAGUUUCUAGCAUGAAUAAUCUUAUGAUCCCUUUGAGCCAGGGUGGCGAACCGUAGGAUGAUCACACGGGUACUCCAGGAUAUCCUAAGACAACACUAGAUUCGCCAGGUGCCCGCAACCAAUCCACCCAGAUGUGUGGUUAAGUUGCCACCUUAAGUUAACCAUUAAUUAACAAUUCUCACAUCUGUCAUGGAUACACUCACCCAAACCACGUCUACGAGCAUAGCAUAACAAUCCUGAGGAAUCAUAGAAGUAACUCCCAAAGGUUUGAUAAUAAAAAGGCAAUAGGUUCUACCUCAUCAUCUACUUCCCAAACCCACAUGUUAUUCAAAUCCUAACCAUGCAAUGUUUGAGGAUUGAGGCUAAUGCAUAAAAACUGGGCAGUAAAGGGAUAUGAUCAAAGUGUUACUUGCCUUGCUGAUGAUCUGCAAAACCUAGCGACUCAUAGUAGCAUGCUUCACACUCCGAGAAUUCUAUCACAAACAAGCAAUAGCAUACAUAAGCACUCAAACUGGAAGCACGAGUAAAACUCAAAAAAGAAGAUAUAACCAGAAAGUUCAACUGAAGAACUCCGGUUUGCAAAAAGAAUAAAAUCAAACGGAGCAACAAAACUCAAACUAUGAAAGAAACAAGAUUCGUUUACUAAUCUAGACUAAAGUCAAAUUUUACAGUACCAAAAUCAUGUUCAAGUUGGUUAAACAGAAAGAGGGCUUCGAGACGAAGAUUUAGGCGCUUGUUUCAUCUAAUUCGGAUAAAAGAGCGAAAAGUUAUACUGGAACGAAGAUCAAGGAAGAAACCGCGAUAAAAAAUAAUCAUAGAAAAACCCUGGAAAAUAAACUAGAUGAACAGGCUAACGAACGAACGUUCGCUGUCUGCGACUAACCGACAAACAACGUUCGUUAAAACGAACAGACGGACGAACGUCCGCUAAAUAACUAAACCGAAAAAACCAAACUGAUCUAUUAAAAAAACAGAUCUAGGUUUCUAAAAAAACACCGAAUGGUUUUUCUGAAAAAAAAAACAAAACGGUGGCGGCGCCGGCAUCUACCUUCGGCGAGGUUCGGGGGACGGGGCAGCGCGGGGGCUGUGGCGGCGCGGGGCUCCGGCAGUAGGGUGUCAGGUGCGGUGGCGAGAGGCGACGGAGGUGGCGUCGGGCGACUCAGGGCGCAGGAGCGACGACUUGCAUCGACAGCGGCGCAGGUGGCGGCGUCGCGUGCGGGCGGUGGUGGCUGGCGAGGCGAGAGGCGGCGGGGGCAGGCGGCUUUUAAGGGGGGUUAGGGUGGAGGCCGUCUUGGUGGAGGUGGCGGCCGGCGGCGGCUCCGAGCCGGACUCCGAGAGGAGUCCGCCGCGAGCACAGCGGGGAAGGCGGCGGCGCUUGGCGGGCCGGCCUGCUCGGCUGGGCUUCGGCCCAGUCGGGCGGGAAACUCUUUUUGUAAAAAAAUAAAUAAUUUCGCCGAACAUAAAAAAAUCCUAAAAAUAUUAAAAAAAUUCUAAAAAAUGCCAAAAACAAUUUUCACCGUCUAAAUAAAAUAUUUAGCACAAAGUGAACAUUUUUCUGGCCUAAAAUGCAAAUUUUGAAAGCGUGCAAUUUUUCUAACUCAAAUAAAAUAGCAAUAAAAGUCCAAAUAAAAUACUUAUUUGAUUUUAACAUUUUUUCUCCAAUAUUUCUUUUAUUUUGGAUAAGUCAUUUUAUCCCCUCUAUUUUAUUUUAAUAUUUGAAAUAUUCAGAGAACGAAAUCCCCAACUCUCUCCGUGGAUCCUUGUGUUGCUUAGAAUUUCUAGGAUAAACCAAAAUGCAAUAAAAUAUGAUAUGCAUAUGAUGACCUAUGUAUAACAUUCCAAAUUGAAAAUUUGGGAUGUUACAAACCUACCCCCUUAAGAUGAAUCUCGCCCUCGAGAUUCGGGUUGGCUAGAGAAUAGGUGCGGGUGGUCCUUCUGUAGGUCUUCCUCUCGUUCCCAGGUGGCUUCAUCCUCGGUAUGGUGGCUCCACUAAACUUUGCAAAACCUGAUAACCCUUGCUGCGUGUGACUUGGCAGGCAAACUCGAGAAUCUUCAUUGGUUUCUCUUCGUAGGUCAAAUCACUAUCCAGCUGAAUCGCUUCCAGUGGAACUGUAUCCCUCAGAGUAAUAUCGGCCAUCUCCGCGUGGCACUUCUUCAACUGGGAAAUGUGAAACACAUCGUGAACUCCUGACAAUCCUUCGGGCAAUUCCAGCUUGUAAGCAACUUCUCCGGUACAUUCCAAAACUUUGUAUGGUCCCACAAAACAUGGUGCUAACUUUCCCUUAACUCCAAAACGCUUAACUCCUCGAAGUGGGGACACACGAAGAUAUACUAUGUCUCCGACUUUGUAAACUGUCUCCUUGCGUUUAGAAUUCGCAUAACUCUUCUUCCUGGACUGGGCUACCUUGAGUCUGUCGCGAAUCAGUUUAACCUUAUCUUCAGACUCCUUAAUCAAAUCUGGUCCAAAGAACUGACGGUCCCCAACUUCACCCCACAUCAACGGUGUCCUACACCUCCUUCCGUACAAGGUUUCGAAGGGGGCCAUCUUCAAACUGGCUUGAUAACUGUUGUUGUAAGAGAACUCUGCGUACAACAAAUUGUCGUCCCAACUAGAUCCAUAAUCUAGUGCACAAGCUCUCAACAUGUCCUCCAGGAUCUGAUUGACUCUCUCGGUUUGUCCAUCUGUCUGUGGAUGAAAGGUUGUACUGAACUCUAGCCUAGUACCCAAAGUCUCAUGCAACUGAUUCCAGAACUUUGAGGUAAACUGGGUUCCUCCAUCUAAUACAAUGGUCCUCGAAACUCCAUGCAGACAUACGAUCCUGGUCAUCUAUAUCUUUGCCAACUUCACUUGUAUAAGUGGUCUUCACUAGGAUGAAAUGAGCUACUUUCGUCAACCGAUCGACUACAACCCAUAUCGAGUCAUAGCCUAAGCGAGUCCUGGGCAAUCUCGUGAUAAAGUCCAUGUGAAGCUUGUCCCACUUCCAUUCGGGUAUCGGCAAUGUCUGUAGCAAUCCUGCUGGCUUCUGAUGCUCUGCCUUCACUCUCUGACAUACAUCACAUACUGCUACAUGCUCAACAAUAUCCUUCUUCAUUCCUGUUCACCAGAAACUUUCCUUCAAGUCCAAAUACAUCUUAGUGUUUCCAAGGUGAAUCGAAUACGGUGAAUCAUGGGCCUCCUGCAUAAUCAACUUCCUGAUCUCGGGAUCAUUAGGCACAUAUACGCGAUCCUCAAAACAUAAGGUAUCAUGCUCAUCCUCACGAAAUCCUUUUGCCUUCCCUUUGCUCAUCCUUUCCUUUAUCUCGGCAAUUCCUUGUCAGUCUUCUGGGAUUCUUUGAUUUUAUCCAUCAAAGUGGAAUGAAUUUCCAUUGCUGCUACAUAACCUCUUGGAACUAUUUCCAAACAUAGCUCGCGAAGAUCCUCUGCUAACUCCUUGGGUAAUCCUCCGGUCAUGAGCGUAUUGACAGAGCUCUUGCGACUCAACGCAUCGGCUAGUACAUUAGCCUUUCCGGGACGAUAGUGCAACUUCAUGUCAUAAUCCUUAAUGAGCUCCAACCAUCUCCUCUGCCUGAGGUUCAACUCCUUAUGCAUGAAGAUGUAUUUCAAACUCUUGUGAUCCGUGUACACCUCACAAUGGUUUCCGAUGAGAAAGUGUCUCCACGUCUUCAACGCAUGCACUACUGCUGCUAACUCCAAGUCAUGAGUAGCAUAAUUUUGCUCAUGAGGUUUAAGCUGUCGUGAGGCAUAGGAAACAACUCUUCCCUCUUGCAUAAGUACUGCUCCAAGUCCUCGACGAGAAGCGUUGUAAUACACUUGAUAAUCCUUACGUUGGUCUGGAAGAAUCAGCACUGGGGCUGUAACCAAACGGUUCUUCAACUCCUGGAAACUGGCUUCACACUCCUCAAUCCAUUUGAACUUGGUGUCCUUCUUCAACAACUCUGUAUGGGCUUUGCAAUCCUAGAGAAAUUCUCAAUGAACCUCCGAUAAUAUCCCACGAGUCCAAGAAAACUCCUGAUCUCUCCAACUGAUGUGGGUGCUACCCAUUUAGUCACAGAGACAACCUUGGUAGGGUCUACUGCUAUUCCUUCUCCGGAUAUAACAUGUCUGAGAAAUUCAACUUCCUUCAACCAAAACUCACAUUUGCUGAACUUGGCAUAUAACUGGUGUUCCCUGAGCUUCUCUAGAACCAAACGCAAAUGCUCCUCAUGCUCCUCUAAAUUUUUCAAGUAGACCAAUAUAUCAUCAAUGAACAUUGUCGGUGUCAAAACCGGUGGAUCUCGGGUAGGGGGUCCCGAACUGUGCGUCUAGGCGGAUGGUAACAGGAGACAAGGGACACGAUGUUUUACCCAGGUUCGGGCCCUCUUGAUGGAGGUAAAACCCUACGUCAUGCUUGAUUGAUAUUGAUAUUGUGGAUGUUUACAAGAGUGGAUCUACCACGAGAUCAAGGAGGCUAAACCCUAGAAGCUAGCCUAUGGUAUGAUUGUAAUGGUUGUUGUUGUUGUUGUUGUGUCCUACAGACUAGAGCCAUCCAGUUUAUAUAGACACCGGAGAGGGCUAGGGUUACAUAGAGUUGGUUACGAUGGUAGGAGAUCUAUGUAUCCGUAUCGCCAAGCUUGCCUUCCAUGCCAAGGAAAGUCCCAUCCGGACACGGGACGAAGUCUUCAAUCUUGUAUCUUCAUAGUCUUGGAGUCCGGUCGAUGAUGAUAGUCCGGCCGAUGAUAGUUCGGCUGAUGAUGGUAGUCCGGCUAUCCGGACACCCCCUAAUCCAGGACUCCCUCAGUAGCCCCUGAACCAGGCUUCAAUGACGAUAAAUCCGGCGCGUAUAUUGCUUGGCAUUGCAAGGCGGGUUCCUCCUUCGAAUGAUAGAAGAUUGUGAACACCAGGAUAGUGUCCGGCUCUGCAAAAUAAAUUCCACAUUCCACUGUAGAGAGAAUAAUAUAUACACAAGUUCAAUCUACUGACGUUCUUUGCGGCAUGACGCCACGCCACUACCAAGCCAUUACUUGAAUCGUUUUUACUCUACCACCUCAGCGCAUUUAGCGAAGCGGUUUCCUUGGCACGUCUUGUCGAAGCAGAGAUUGUGUUCCCCCUUAAUCCAGGAUUCUCAUCAAUACGGACGUGGGUAACCCAACCGCGCCAUUGAUGGUGACGCUUGGGGGAUAAGCGAGUUUUACCAGGCCGGUGGGGGACGCGUAGACUUCGCCCGCCCAUAUAAGGGAUAAGGAUUCACCUUUUUACCUACGCCUUCUUCCUCCUUUGCUUAUCCAUCUCCGCGCACUCGAGCUCCAGCGCCCAAGCCUGCACAUCUCGUCUCAACCUUCCCCAGUUAUGUCCGGAGCGGGAGGCAAGUGGAUGACCUCCUCCGUUAUGGAGGAGCACAUCGAAAGACUGUGCAGCGCCGGCUACCUGUCCGGCGACAUCACGCACCGGCUGCCCGACGAGGGGCAGCUCAUCCCCACCCCCAGGCCCCAUGAGAGGGUCGUUUUUCUUCCCCAGUUACUCCGCGGACUGGGCUUUCCACUUCACCCCUUUGUUCGGGGGCUCAUAUUCUACUACGGCCUGGAUUUCCAUGAUCUGGCGCCGAACUUCAUCCUCAACAUCUCGGCGUUUAUCGUCGUGUGCGAGGCCUUCCUCUGCAUCCAGCCCCACUUCGGCUUGUGGCUCAAGACCUUCAAUGUCAAGCCAAAGGUAGUGAAGGGCACUCAAGCGGAGUGCGGAGGCGCCAUGUUGGGCAAGAUGCCCAAUGUCCUUUGGUUCGAAGGGGCCUUCGUGGAAUCCGUCAAGGGGUGGCAAUCGGGGUGGUUCUAUAUCACCGAGCCGCGCGACCCUACGUGGGCGGCGGCCCCCGAGUUCAGAUCUGGUAUCCCCAUGCAGCUCACCUCCUGGAAAGAGAAGGGCUUGCUGUGGGGUAGUUCGGAGGAGCUGACCGGACUCCAAGCCUGUAUCCAGAAGCUGGUGAAGAAGCUCAGGCUGGUUAACAUGGUCCAAGUCAUGCUCGUCCGCCGGAUUCUCCCAUGCCAAGAGCGGGCAUUCAAUCUGUGGGAGUUCAAUCCGGAACAGGACCAGGCGCUGAGCGGGCUCUUCGACACGAUGUACGAAGGCGCUUGGAGGGUGCUGUUUAAGGGCGCCGAAGCCCCCGCAUCCGCGACUGAAGAUCGCGGAUUUCGCUCGCAGCGCCAAGCUGACGAGGUAAGUGAUUCUACCCCUUUACGGGACACUUGCUUUUCAUAGUUUGACUCUAUGCGGGUUUUAAUUUCCCCUUUUCCUUUGACAGGACUAGAUGAGGAAGGCGGAGCAGAUUAUCUGCCUGGCUCCUAUGCCAGAAAACCCAGUGGACGCCCAUCUAGUGAGGCUGCUGGUUCCGGCACCGCACGUGGUGCCGGAGAAGAAGGCCAAGAAGGAGGCCACGGGUGCUCGAAAGAGUUCCCGUUUUCAGGUGUCCGACGACUCCGGGGCGGACUCCUCCCCCGAAAAUGAGGAGGAGAAAGAGGACUCUCUCCCAGAGGAAGGAGAGAAGAAGAGGAAGGCUUCCCCAACAGGGGAGGCCGAAGGGUCCAAGAGGGGAAGGACUAUUCCCUCGGACAGCUCCGCCAACAUCAACGUUGGAGAGGAAGAAUGGCCUUCAAGGGCCAGGCCUCCGGCGAGAUCGUAAGUAUCCGGAUUCCUGAAUGAUUUAUAAUUUCUUUUCCUGUGUCACAUAGUGUCAUUCUGAUGCCGCAUGUUGCCUGUAGUCCGGCCAAUGAUGAUCUCCCCGCUUCAUCGAGCGGGUCGUUGGCUCCGUCGGAUGUAGACUCCAUCCCGACCGCCUCCACCCCUCGUGACACCGAGGACGCCGAGGUGGGAUCCCAAGAAGGGACCCAUCAGGGGGAGGCUCUGGAGGCGCCACAAGGCGGCCUCCCGGACUUUGCGCCGGACUCCACAUCAGAACCCGCAAUGGUUCCGGAGUCCGGCCGGCGGCCCCUUCGCACGAAGGGCAAGACCGUGAUGCCGACAGCUUCCGUCCAACCGGAGGCGCCGGACAAUUUGUUGGAGGCGCUGCGGAGCGCUUCCAUCGAGGAAGAACACCGCACUAUUAUGAGUGCAGUGAUUCAGAAGGUACAGCUCGCCAAGAGCGGGCUGACCGAAGCCUGCAGUAGCCUUCUAACAGGUUUGAGGUAAGAAGUUAAAAAUAUGCAAUGUAAUACCGCAUAGACAGUAGCCCCUGAUGCUCGGUUCGGUGUUCGGAAAGAAAAGCCGGACUGAGGAUCUGAAAAAAAAGAAGAUAUAUGCAGGGUUGCUAAAAAAUUAUGUCCAUAUGGGUUGCAGGCUGCGCUGCUGACCUCUGCCGCACUGACUGCGGAGGUCGGUGCUUCGAAGCAGGAGCUCGAGCGGUCCGAGCAAGAGCUGGGUCGCGCCAAGAAGCAGCUCUAGGACAAAGAAGGUGAGUAACACCACUUUGAACUUGUACCUUACAUAAAAGGAUUUAGGUUGCAACAAAAAAUAACCAGGAUAACAUGGGUACUGUAGGGGCCACGAACGAGGUGGCGACCCUGAAGGAGGCCGUGUCCGCGGCCGAACGCAAUGCGGCCGCGGAACGGGCAGAGCGAGAAAAGCAGGAGGCGCGGGUGGCGGUGGUUCGGCAAGAGCUCCAGGCUCUCAUGGAAAAGCAUGAGAGUUUGGAGCGUGACUCAAAGACUCGAGAGUCCGAGCUUGCCUCGGCUCUCGAAAGUGCCAAAACUGCCAAGGCCGAUGCCCAUAAGUCCCUUCAGGAGAUUGAGUUGGUGAGGAAGAUAGUGGCGGGUAAGGCAUUUUUCAUGCAAAGCAAGCAUGUGAAUGUAAAUUACGUGUUACUUACCCGAAUUCGGAGCUCUCCAGGGGCGUUUGCAGAUCUGCCUCGCAGCGUGUCUGAUGCCGCCGCAUUCUACCGAGCCGAGGAGGGGAGCUCAACGGAGAAGGUCUUCUGGUCUCAGUAUGCUGAGGCCGGCCAUCCGGUGCCCCCUAGCGACCAGCUGAAGCAGCUGGUCGAGCUCCACAAGGUGGCCGAGCAGGCCAUGAAGGGCCUCAUAGUCCGGCUGUGGCCUGGAGAGGCCAUGCCUGGGAGCUACUUCGGCCUCGUGCGACGGUUGGUGGAUGCGUGCCCCUGGGUGGAGGUUAUCAAGCGCUCCGCCUGUAUUGAAGGUGCUCGUCAGGCCCUUGCCCGCGCAAAGGUGCAUUGGGGCAAGCUGGAUGCGGAGAAGCUAAUCACUGAUGCGCCGCCAGCGGGCAAGGAAUAUCGUACGCCCGAGAUGUAUUAUAAGACUGUCCUGAAGGGUGCCCGCAAGAUUGCAGAUGAGUGCCCCAGGGAUGUAAUUAUUGAGUAAAUUCGCAAUGUGUUAUCCUGUGCGCUGAAAACUUUGUUCAUAUGCGCUAAGCAACGCUUGUUAAUUUAAAAUAUUACCUUCUGUGCGGCCGUUUAUUAAAUCUGAGAGAUGGCAAGUUGUCGGCUUCAGUCCCCAUGCCACGAGUGCUGGGGUGUUCGGGAUAAACUUGAGGCCUCUUGUUCCCAUUUUUGGGUCCAUCUAGGGAGGCGCUCAACACAACGAACAAGGCAACCGGACUUAUAGUGCUUGAACACUCUCACUUAGCCAUAGAAUUCUAUAAUUUUAAAUUUCGGCGAAGCCCCUAGUAUUCGGAAGACCGAAUUCAGGGCGCUAUCCACGCCUUCGUCGGACAUUAUCCGGAACUUCGCUCGAAGCGGCGUAGGUCUUUAAGGACCCGAAAAGACCUCUCGAACAGCGACCAGUCUCUCGCCUUAUCAUGACAGUCAGUUUUAGCUUUCUCCACUGAGGCGUUAACCCGGCUCAACCGGGGCGCAAUCGCAGUGGUUCUCCCAGUGCUGCCUUAGCCGAUAGAACGGAACGUAAGGUGCCAAACAUGGGAGCCGGGCAAACCCAACUAUUGACCCAAGACAUGAUUCGGAGCCGAUUCAUAUAAUGCUAUAAGCUCGGGGUGCCGCACUUGUGAAAGUGUUCGGACUUUAUCACACCAUAAUGCGGGGAACAUAAGCCCCUGGUGUAUUUGGCCGUACCAAAAUGUACGGAUGCAACAUGUCGUAAAUGAACAUAUAUAUAUAUAUAUAAGGUAAUGCAAUUAUGCGCAAAAAGUGUUGCAUUUUAUUCGAGAAGAUCUGCUAUGAGUGCGGAAUGAUACAAAUAGUGCGGAAAGCAAGGGAUUGGACGAAUUAAAGGCGUCUCCCUCUAGGGGUAGCCGCGGAAUGGUGUAUUUAACAAAUUUAAUGCUCGUAAUGGAGACCACCUGAGUGUUCGUUGCAGCCUUUGUCCCUCCCUGGCUGUUGCAUCAUGAGUUCGGCAGGUUCGCCGCCGAACAGAGUUCUGUAUAAAAAAGAGAAAAAUAAAAGAUAAAAAGAGCGACACACUUGGGAGCCCCUGGUGUGCUCGAAGCGCACUCUGGGUCUGUUGUGGUUGUGCCUCUCCCCCUAUGCCCAUGGUAUCUCUAGGGCGUAAUUAUGUACGUGGAGAGUUUGUCUUACAAUUGUGCAAGGGCUGGGGUUGAGGCCGCAUUACUACACGUGCUCGGAACGUGCCAGGUGGUCUUGGUUGAUGUUGCUCCGGGCGCGUUUGGUCGUGUCUGGUCGUUUAACGGCCGGACUCGAAAAUUGCCUUAAAAGGCUGCUCUGUACUUCUGCCGCGAGAGCCGCUCUAUGUUCCUCCGUUCGGAGGGAGCGUUCCGUGUUUCCAUUGACCGUGAUGACUCCACGAGGGCCUGGCAUCUUGAGCUUAAGGUAUGCAUAAUGCGGCACCACGUUGAAUUUUGCGAACGCGGUUCGUCCGAGCAGAGCGUGAUAGCCACUGCAGAACGGGACUAUGUCAAAGAUUAACUCCUCGCUUCGGAAAUUAUCCGGGGAUCCGAAGACCACUUCCAGUGUAACUGAGCCUGUACAACUGGCCUCGACACCUGGUAUGACGCCUUUGAAGAUUGUCUUUGUAGGUUUAAUCCUUGAAGGGUCUAUGCCCAUCUUGCGCACUGUAUCCUGAUAAAGCAGGUUCAGGCUACUGCCGCCGUCCAUCAGGACUCUCGUGAGGUGAAAUCCAUCAAUGAUUGGGUCUAAAACCAACGCGGCGAAUCCGCCAUGGCGGAUACUGGUCGGAUGGUCUCUUCGAUCGAAAGUGAUCGGACAAGAGGACCAUGGGUUGAAUUUUGGGGCGACUGGCUCCAUCGCGUAUACGUCCCUUAGUGCACACUUCUGCUCCCUCUUGGGUAUAUGCGUUGCGUAUAUCAUGUUUACCGUCCGAACUUGAGGGGGGAAUCCCUUUUGUCCUCUGUUGUUCGGCGGUCGGGUCUCUUCCUCGUCAUCGCUGUGUAGCCCCUUGUCAUUGUUUUCGGCGAUUAAUUUGCCUGCCUGCUUGAAUACCCAACAAUCUCUGUUGGUGUGGUUAGCUGGCUUUUCGGGGGUUCCAUGUAUUUGACAGGAGCGGUCGAGUAUUCGGUCCAGAUUGGAUGGGCCCGGAGUGGUUCUUUUAAAUGGCUUCUUCCGUUGACCGGGCUUGGAGCCUCGGAAUCCAGCGUUGACUAUCGUAUCCUCAUUGCUGUCGCCGUCAAUGCGGCGUUUGUUUUUGUUUUGACGCGACCUGCCAUUGCGGUCCUUGGUAUCCGGACUGCCAGUGUUUUUGCUGAGGUUGUUGCUGCGAGCUAGCCAGCUAUCCUCUCCCACACAGAAGCGGGUCAUGAGUGAUGUGAGGGCUGCCAUGGAUUUCGGCUUUUCCUGUCCUAGGUGCCGGGCCAGCCACUCGUCGCGGAUGUUAUGUUUAAAGGCAGCGAGGGCCUCUACAUCCGGACAGUCAACGAUUUGAUUUUUCUUUGUUAAGAACCGUGUCCAGAAUUACCUGGCUGAUUCGUCUGGCUGCUGGAUUAUGUGGCUUAGGUCAUCUGCGUCCGGUGGUCGCAUAUACGUGCCCUGGAAGUUGUCGAGGAAUGCGGCUUCCAGGUCUUCCCAGCAUCCAAUUGACUCUGCGGGCAGGCUGUUAAGCCAAUGCCGAGCUGGUCCUUUAAGCUUGAGCAGGAGAUAUUUGAUGGCGUGAAGAUCGUCGCCGCGGGCCAUAUGUAUAUGGAGGAGGUAAUCCUCAAUCCAAACCGCGGGGUCUGUUGUGCCAUCGUAGGAUUCGAUAUUAACGGGUUUAAACCCUUCAGGGAUUUGAUGAUCCAUUACUUCAUCAGUGAAGCAUAGUGGGUGUGCGGCGCCUCUGUAUUGAGCAAUAUCGCGACGUAGCUCGAUAGAGCGUUGUUUGUUGUGUUCGGCCCGGCCGGAGUAGUUGUAUCCGGCGCGACGGUGUUCGUCGUGGGUCUUGGGGCGCCCACGUGAUCCAUAGAUAGAUCUGGAUUGUCUUGCCUUGUCCUCCAAUAUAUCCCGCAAGUCCGGCGCGUUCCCCCGUGGCUUCAUGCUUUUUGAGCGAUGCCGGGGUACGGUUUUGGUGGAGGGCUUGCAUGCCUCUCUGUCGCGUCCACGAGGUGGUCGGUCUGCCGUAUUGUGCACUGGUGAUGCAGGUUUGUAUGCUUCCUCCUCUAGUCGGGGGAGCAACUUGCGUUUUGGGUAACUUUUGGAGGGGCGUUCGAGUUCAUACUCUUCGGCCGCGAGGACCUCGGUCCAUCUAUCGGCCAGUAGGUCUUGAUCAGCUUGAAGCUGUUGCUGCUUUUUCUUUAGGCUGUUUGCCGUGGUCAUUAGCCUGCGUCUGAAACGCUCUUGUUCGACGGGAUCCUCAGGCACGACGAAUUCGUCAUCGUCGAGGCUUGCCUCGUCUCCGGAGGGAGGUAAGUAAUUAUCAUCCUCGACCUCUUCGUCUGCCGCCCUCUCGUGAGGGCUUGCUUCUGCCUCCUCCUGCCCUAGAUCGUGCUGGAGGGGGUUGUCUUCGGCACUUUCUGGGGUGUUAUUAUCUCCUGUGCCGGAAUCUCCAUUCUUGCUGUGGCGGGAUUUAGAGCGGCGCUGCUGACGUCGGCGCUUGGGCUGUUUCUUUAAGGAAUCGGCCUCUAUUGCUUCUUCGUCGUCCCCAUCUUUUGGGGUGUCCACCAUGGAUACGUCGUAUGACGAGGUGGUCUUCCAGUGUCCUGUAGGUACUGGUUCUUGAUAGUCUCCGGCAUCGUCGUCCAUACCGUCGAUGUCUUCGGAGUCGUAGUCGAGUACGUCGGUUAGAUCGUCGACGGUGGCUACGAAGUGGGUGGUGGGUGGGCUCUGAAUUUCUUCGUCGUCCGCGUCCCAACAAUCCUGGCCGUAGUUCGGCCAGGGCUCUCCGGAUAGCGAGAGAUGCUUCAGCGAAUUUAAGAUAUUGCCGAAGGGUGAGUGCUGAAAGAUGUCCGCAGCGGUGAAUUCCAUGAUCGGCGCCCAAUCAGAUUCGACUGGCAGGGGCGCAGGAGGUUCGGAGUCCGGCAGAGAGUCCGGCACCUCGAAGUCAUGGGCUUUAUGCGGGACAAGGUAAGUGUUCGGCUCCAUCGCCGUAGAAGUUGCGUCUCCCGAGGCGGUGUCCAGCCAUCCGUCCUCGAUCUGAGCGAUCGGCUCCAGACUAUGGGUCGGAGCCGAUUCGUGUGCGGCCUCUAAGGUGCUAUCCGGCGGCAGAGUUAGGUCGUGCCCAUCAUGACAGCGCGGCAUGCUCGGCUGUGGCUCAGAUCCAUCGAAGAUCAAGUCCCCGCGGAUAUCGGUCGUGAAGUUUAGGCUUCCAAACCUGACCUGACGGCCAGGGGCGUAGCUUUCGAUCUGCUCCAGAUGGCCAAGUGAGUUGGCCCGCAGUGCGAAGCCGCCGAAUACGAAGAUCUGUCCGGGGAGAAAAGUCUCACCCAGGACUGCGUCGUUGUCGAUUGAAGAGGCCAUCAAGCCUAUCAGUGACGACACAGAGGAACUCUCAAUCAAAGCACCAAUGUCGGUGUCAAAACCGGCGGAUCUCGGGUAGGGGGUCCCGAACUGUGCGUCUAGGCGGAUGGUAACAGGAGACAAGGGACAUGAUGUUUUACCCAGGUUCGGGCCCUCUUGAAGGAGGUAAAACCCUACGUCCUGCUUGAUUGAUAUUGAUAUUGUGGAUGUUUACAAGAGUGGAUCUACCACGAGAUCAAGGAGGCUAAACCCUAGAAGCUAGCCUAUGGUAUGAUUGUAAUGGUUGUUGUUGUUGUUGUUGUGUCCUACGGACUAGAGCCAUCCGGUUUAUAUAGACACCGAAGAGGGCUAGGGUUACAUAGAGUUGGUUACAAUGGUAGGAGAUCUACGUAUCCGUAUCGCCAAGCUUGCCUUCCACGCCAAGGAAAGUCCCAUCCGGACACGGGACGAAGUCUUCAAUCUUGUAUCUUCAUAGUCUUGGAGUCCGGUCGAUGAUGAUAGUCCGGCCGAUGAUAGUUCGGCUGAUGAUGGUAGUCCGGCUAUCCGGACACCCCCUAAUCCAGGACUCCCUCAAACACCAUGAUGAACUUAUCCAAAACUCCAUAAACACCUUGUUCAUCAUGUCCAUGAAAUAGGCAGGCGCAUUAGUCAGACCAAAUGACAUAACGGUAUACUCAUAUAGCCCGUACCUUGUGGUAAAAGUUGUCUUAGGUAUAUCCCACUCUCGAAUCUUCGGUUGAUGGUAUCCUGAUCGCAGAUCGAUCUUGGAAAAUACUUUAGCUCCUUGCAACUGGUCAAACAAAUCAUUGAUAAUCGGCAGUGGGUGCUUAUUCUUGAUUGUCAUCUCAUUCAACGCAUGAUAAUCAACAACCAUCCUCAAUGAUCCAUCCUUCUUCUCCACUAGAAGUACUGGGGCUCCCCAAGGUGAAGAACUUGGUCAAAUGUAACCCUUAUCCAGUAACUCCUUAAUCUGCUUCUUAAUUUCCUCCAAAUCCUGUGCGGGCAUCCGGUACGGUCUCUUUGAUAUUGUCCGGUGUCUGGCAAAAGCUCAAUCAAAAACUCAAUGUCUCUAUCUGGUGGUAUGCCUGGCAACUCCUCUGGAAAUACGUCAGGGAAAUCCUUCACCACUGGUACUUCCUCCUGUACAACUCCUAAUAAGGAAUUUAGUUGAGUCCUCUUUGGCACAUGCCGGGAUACAUACUUGAUCAUUUUUCCUUCUAGGGUGGUGAGCAUAAUCGACUUACUGGCGAAAUCGAUGUUUCUCCAUACAUCGAUAGCCAAUCCAUACCCAAAAUCACAUCCAACCCUUGUGACUCCAGAAUUAUUAGAUCCGAGGGUAAAAUAUGCCUACCUAUGGUCAAUGGCAUCUGAAAACAUCCUUGGCUUGCCAUAUGCUCUACUCCUGGCGAGCUUACUAACAUAGGUGUCCUAAGAACUUUGGUGGGCAACUUAUACUUAUCCACAAAUCCCCUUGAUAUGUAUGAAUGCGAUGCACCAGUAUCAAAAAGAACGAUUGCAGUAAAGGACUUAACCAAAAACUUACCUAUAACUGCAUCUGGCUGCUCUUCAACCUCCUCCACACCAACGUGGUUCACUUGUCCCCUGUUGAAAGGGUUGGGCUUCUUCCCAGAGCUUCCAUUGCCAUUUCCAUUCUUUGUUUCAGAACACUCAGUGACGUAAUGUCCAUUCUUCCCGCCUUUGAAACAAGUAAUGUGGCUUAGAUCCUUCUUGGCAGGCGUUGUUGGGUUGGAAUGGUUCUGGCCGUUGCUUCCUCCAUUCCCAUUCCCAUUCUUGGGGCCACUAUGGUUCUAGGAACUUCCUCCAUUAGAAUUAUGGCCUCCAUGGUUAUGGUGAAUGUGUCCUCCCGAGUUCGGGGUAAAACGAGGCCUCUGCUGAGCUCCUGCAUUGUACUUCCAUUGUCCAUACUUCCUCUUGCGGCUAUCUAUCUGCUGCUGCUUCCCUUCAAUCAUGAGAUCUCUAUCUACCAACUCCUGGUAGUUGUUGAAUGUUGCCACCAUCAACUGCAUGCUCAGCUCAUCAUUCAGUUCCUCUAGAAACUUCUCCUGCUUAGUAGCAUCUGUAGCUACAUCAUCAGGGGCAUAACGUGCUAACUUACUAAACUCAUCCACAUACAGGCCCACUGUGCGUCCCCCUUGGUGCAAGUUGCGAAACUCGCGCUUCUUCAUGUUCAUAGCUCCUGCUAAAACAUGGGAAGUGCGGAAACCCUGCUGAAACUGAUCCCAUGUAACAGUGUCAAUGGGGUAAGUGGCUGUGAAAUUCUCCCACCAUGAUGUUGUGGGUCCAUCAAGCUGAUGUGCAGCAAAACGCACUCUCUCCACAUGUGUGUAUCCUGCAGUGGUCAGCUCCCUUCCAAUCUUGCGGAGCCCAUCAUCUGUGACAAUCGGCUCGGUGCUACUAGAGAACACCGGCAGAUUCAGCCUUAGGAAACGGGCUAAGUGAUCAAUAGGUGGUGGUGGUGGUGGGUUGUUGUUGUUGUUGCCUUGAUUCUAAUUCUGAACUAGUAGCUGCAUCAAGGUAUUCUGCUGCUGGAUCAACUGAGUGAGCUCCGGUGGGAAGGCAAAUCCAUUGUCACGUCUCGGAGGCAUCUGAUGGGUUUAGAAAAGAUGAGAAAAUAGAAUAGAACGGGGUCUAAAAGGGAAAACACUACCCAUAUGCACAUGAGACAAAAACAAACAGAUCACACCAAUAAACUCAAACAAGGGCAUACAAUCGGUCUAACUAUCGUUACAAAAGUUCUCAGACUAUACCAUAUACAUGGGGAAAUACUACUACUGAUAUGGUGGUUGACUGGAAGUUUUGAUCGGUAGAAGACUCCAUGAUAUCCGCUCCAGCUUCAUCAACAUAGUCAUCAUCGCUUGCAUCAGGGUCAGAAUCGGUGUUGUCGAUGAUGAUGUAGUCCUUUGAACGAAUUUCCUUGGAAUGGUCAUCAUCUCCUCCUGGCGCGGGGUUUCCCAUGAACACUCCUACCUUCCUUGUCAGGUUGUCAUUCUUCUCCACUAGUAUCGUCAUUUCCUCCUCAUAUCCAUCGCGUGUAGAAUGAGUUCCUCUUCUAUCUCUGUAAUCUUGGUCAUUGCCUUCUUCAGAUCUAUCAUGCUUGCGCACAUCUGGUUCUUCUAGCGGCAAAUGUGCUGGAUUAACUCCUGGAUGGAAGCUGCAAUGGACCUGUCCCUCCUGGUGUUGAUCAUCUCCCAUUUCUCAUCUCGGCACCCACAUAUCUAGUAGAUAGCGUCCUUAAGAUCCAAAUUGGAGGGAGGGCAAAAUUGGUGGCGUGAGUUUUUGAUCUGGAAAAAGGAGUGUGACGCGGAGUGGAUCCUUGUCAGCCCCUCAAAGCGGUGUGCCACGCUCGGUAUGUUGGCCAUACAUAAGCCUCGUGUCAAGUCUGCGAUCAGAUCUGGUAAUUCAUCUCGCAAAAGGCUUUCUUUCGCUACAUUUCAGAACUAUGAUGCAUGUAAGGGUUAUUGUUAUCCUGCUACUCAGAAUUGCAUUGAAUUAGCUGCUAUCUCCGGUUAUGAUUUACCCCGAAGGAACGUGUUGUCAUUCACCCCCCGCCGCCGGUGGAGCUUUAGUGGACGGUUGCCUCGCCGUCGAUCACUUUUGGCAUGGUCGUUCCCAUACGAUCGUCUUUUUCGGAACCACUCGCUCCAUCCCCGGCGAGAUCUUCAGGCGGGGAAGAUCUUGUUUUGAAUGAUGCCAUGUUGGGCUCUCAUGCCAUGUUGGGCUCUUCGGACUCGGUGAUCACUGGUCCAUCGCUCGCAUGCCUCCCCAAGCCUAGUUUUCCUCCUUCAGUUGCCAGCCCAGUUGCAACUGAGCCCACUCCUGCUGCUCAUUCACCUGUUGGGCCUGCUAGUCCUAUUCCGUGGGAUAUUCCAUCUACAUAAGAGGCCAAUGAUGCUUUCGAGACCAUGGUCAAUGACAUGGUGGACCAAGUGCUUACGUGUUCUCGCUACUCUAUGGGGGGCCACCUAUUUGUCAACUGCUCGGUCCCCGUUGGAUGUUUGGCCUGUGGGGAUCUUGGUCAUUCUAGGAAGGACUGCGAGUUUAUUGCGAUAGAAAAAGGUUUAUGUUGGAAACAGAAGCGUCCUGAUAUCUCGGAUAGGCCGGUCUCUCCCUCCUGCAUUGGGAAGCACGCGCUGCCGCCACCCUUGCUGUCCUGCCCCAUCACAUCACCAUUAUCCCCGGCGACCUGCGCUCCACGCACACCGGCUAGCUCGCCUCCACCGACGCCUCCGCUUCCUUCCUCCCCCCCACCCAUGGCCAACUUUGCCAUUGAUCCGAUGCGCUAUGUGCCUGUGGGGCAUCACAUCAUCGAUGGAGGUGUUCAUCGUCUUCCUCGUACCUUCGUCUUGCCUCCGUCGCCCGUGGUUCGUUCUCAUGAACGCGUUUUAAUUGCGGAGGUUAUGCCGGCUCCGCCUCUGGAUCAGAUGGGACAGGUACGUGAGCAGGUGGUUGAGCUUGUUAACCACAUGGGUUUUCAUGUCCGUUCAGCUCAGCCAUGGAUUUCGGGUGUUGGUUUAUUUGAGGUCAGAGAUGCUGGGAGAGUUUUGCUUUGGUUCAGAUGCCUCCUCAAGAUCUUGGUCAGGAUCGUUUUGUUCGUUUUAUGAGAUACGAUCAUGGUGAGGUUUUUUGUGGGGUUCAAGGUUUUUGUCAGGGCUGCCUAAUGUUUUUGGGCGUCCCUCUUGAUCUGUGUAAUGAGGAGAACUUAAGGGCUGCUGUCAAUACUUUUGGAAAAUUCCAUCACUGGAUUAGUGACGAUCCGUAUCUUGUUAGAUCUAUCGUUUUUGCUUCUUUUCCUGAGGACAUCUUAGUUCCCAGGGAUGUGGUGUUCUCUGACUAUGCUGAUUGGGGAGGUGCAAAAGUAUCUUGGACUGCACCUUGCUAUAUACUUGGCGCUAAUUUUGCGGAGCAAAUGCCGCAAGAUGAAGAUCCCAUGCCGAUUGAUGGAAACCCUCACCCCUUGCCUGGGCACUUGAUCCAUGAAGACAACAUUUUUGCUCUGCCACCUUACCCUGCGCUUGGAUGGAAUGAUGUGUCGCCGCCCCCGCCUCCUAUGGAUGUUAAUCAGGGGGGUGGAUGGGGAUGGAAUGACAAUGUCCAAGCUCCAGCAGAUGAUCCAGUUAUUGCAGUUGUUCCUGAUCAGGAGUCUAUUGUCAUAAACCAGCAAGAUUUUUCUGGCUCUGUUAAUCAGUCUGACAGCCCUAUUCAGCUUGCUCCGCCUGUGCUCGUACAUUUGGAUGCUGAUGCAGUUGAGAAUGAUCCCCCUGCUGUGGUAGCCGAGCCUGUGUAGUUGCCCCCAGUGAUUGCUCCAUUCAAUGCUGGGGAUUCGGUGCCAGGCUUGGUUGUGGCUGAUCCUGGUAUUGAUUUUCAGCCUCCUGAUGCUUUUUUGGGAAAUGACCUUCAGAAUGUUGCUCUGCAUGACGACCCUGAUGCUUGGGCCAUUGUGCCAUAUCAGCAGCCUACAGUGCCCCAGCAGAAUCUUAUUGUUGGGCGUUUGAAUGUGGUGUACGGUCCACCUUUGCCGCCGGAGAUGGCAUGGAGAAGGACUUUUGAUACCCUUUUGGGUCGCUGCUCUGCUCUGCAUGUUCCAAAGCAUGUUUUUCAGGCUUCGUUUCAGCCUCUGAUUCUUUCUAAGAGAUCUUGGUCGUUGGCUUUUGAGAAGGUUAGCUGGGUUUCGAAAUUAAUUCCUGAUGAUUCUGCUAGCAUGGUUGUCCCACUGUCAACUGCUUCGCCUCCCAGAGGGCCUUCUCGUGCUCUGUUCGCCGACAGUUCUCAGGAGUUGGAGCUGGGCCCUGGUUUGCAGCCUGUUCCUGCUUCUGAGGAGCAGUUCUCUUUCUCUGCUCCUGCCCCGAAGACGAAGAGAGUGGCCAAACGUGGUCGUGCUCCCAUUGUCGACUCCGACCUACGCCGUUGCACUCGUAGCUCUGCAAAGAGGGAUGGUUUUAAGCCUGUGUUGCAAGCCCUGCCAAUGACGGAGCCCAAGAAGAAGAAGCCCCGCUCCAAACCCCUAGCGGAUGAUGAUCAUGUUCCUAGGUUGACUCCAGUGCCGCCUCCAACACCAAUUCUUCAUAUUCAGCAAAUUGGAGCAGACCUGGGUAUUGCUACUGAAAAGCUUAUUGUGGAUGCUCUUAUGGCGGAUCCUUCCUCUGCUAAGGGUAAUACUUCUGAUGUUUAGUCUGGGUUAUGAAUGUGGGGUGUGGUCGACCCAUAACCAGGCUCUUUAUCAUAGGCUUAUUUCAUAUCUCUUUUGUUGGGGAUUUGUUGAUGAUUGUUGUCAGGGCAUGUUUAUUUUGUUUGGCUUUGUCGCCAGGUUGAACUAUUGUCUGUGCUGCCCGCUACGCGGGCAUGCUUUUAAAGCAUGUAAACAAUAUGUUUUAUGGAUUCUCGAUCUACUAGAAGUUGGUGUGUAAUGUGUUGGAACGUUUGGGGUCUUAAUUCUGACGAUCGCCAACGUGCUGUUCGCAAUAAGGUGGAUGAAAGCAUGGCUUAUGUUGUCUGUCUACAAGAGACGAAAAUGGAGUGCAUUGAUUCCAUGAUUGUCCGAAAAUUUUGCCCCAGACGUUUUGAUUCGUUUGCUUUCAGUCCUUUGGUUGGGGCCUCGAGUGGCAUUGCUGUGUUGUGGAACUCCUUUGUUCUAUCUGGUCGCUUAAUUGAGGUUAAGCAUUUUGGUAUUGUUGUACAAUUCACUUCCAAGCAUAAUAAUGAAACUUGGACGUUGGUCAAUGUUUAUGGGCCGUGCAGAGGCCAAGCUAGGGAUGAUUUUGUGGACUGGCUCUACCAUCUUUCUAUCCCUGACGCUGCUAAUUGGCUGGUCCUGGGGGAUUUUAAUUUUAUUAGAUCAACUGAAAACAGAAACCUUCCUGGUGGUGAUGCUAAUGAUAUAUUUAUCUUUAAUGAAAUUAUUGUGCAUCUUGGUCUGCUGGAAUUACCUAUUAAGGGAAGAUCUUUCACUUGGUCAAAUAUGCAAGAUAAUCCUCUCCUUGAGCAGCUGGACUAGUUUUUUCCUUCUGCAAAUUGGAUCUCCUGUUACCCUUCCACUCAAGUAUUGCCACUUGCAAGGACUGCUUCGGAUCAUGUGCCAUGUGUGGUGGCUAUCAACACCUCUAUUCCAAAAUGUAAUAUCUUUCGUUUUGACAAUUAUUGGGUGGAGUUACAGGGUUUUCUUGAUUGUGUGUCUGCUUCUUGGUCUUCUACUUCAAAUAAAGCACACAUUUCUGCAAAUAUUGCUGCUAAGUUCAAAUCCUUGAGGAGAGAUCUUAAGAGUUGGCAUAUGAAUGUCUCCCAAAUGAAGAUUUUAAUUGCUAAAUGCAACAGAGUGGUUCUCAUUUUGGAUUGCUUGGAGGAGUUGGGGCCCCUAUUCAAGCAUGAGUUCAACUUCAGAAAUCUUGUCAAGCUGCAUCUGGAGCAUCUCUUACACCUACAGUACCUCUAUUGGAGGAAGAGGUGUACUGUUAGAUCCAUUAAAGUGGGUGAGGAGAACACUAAAUUUUUUCAUGCUCUAGCCUAUGAAAGAUAUAAGCAUAAUUCCAUUGCUUCAUUAAGGUUGGAGGAUGGUUCUGUGGUGUCUGAUCAUGAGCAAAUGGCUGCUGCUCUUUGGCUUAAUUUCAAAAAUAGAAUGGGCACUAGUCAUGGGAUUGAAAUGUGUUUUGAUCUCUCCUCUAUUCUGGUUAGGGUGGAGGGUCUGGAUUCCUUGACCAACCCUUUCUCGAAGGAGGAAAUGGAUAACACUGUUAAGAACAUGCCUAUUGAAAAGUCACCUGGCCCUGAUGGAUUUAAUGGCUUGUUCUUCAAAAAGUGUUGGCACAUAAUCAGUAAGGACUUUUAUGCUUUGGCUUCUGCUUUUCAUGAAGGGACUGCUACUCUUGAGAAUAUCAACUAUUCAUACAUCACCCUGGUCCCCAAGAAGAGGUCUCCUGAAUCUGUUAAUGACUUUAGACCUAUCUCUCUUACUGGUAUGGGGGUUAAGUUUCUUUCUAAGAUGGCUGCUAACAGGUUACAGUUGGAUAUCAUGAGAUGUUUGCACAAAAACCUAUAUGGUUUUAUCAAGUCAAGAACAAUUCAGGACUGUGUGGCUUGGAUACUUGAAUACUUGAAUCAAUGCCACCAGUCUAAAAGGCCUAUUGUUAUUCUGAAGUUGGACUUUGAGAAAGCUUUUGAUUCUAUUGAGCAUGAGUCUAUUUUUCAGAUUUUGAGGCACAAAGGUUUCAAUGAGAAAUGGAUUUCCUGGGUUAAGCAAUUCCUUGCUUCUGGUACUUCUUCUGUUCUGCUUAAUGGAGUACCUGGUAAGCAAUUUACCUGCAAAAAAGGUGUUAGGCAGGGUGAUCCUCUCUCCCCACUCCUGUUUGCAAUUGCUGCUGAUUUGUUGCAAUUAGUUGUGAAUGAUAUGUUUCAUAAAGGACUUUUGGAGCUUCCCAUUCCCUGUCAUGACAAGGACUACCCCAUUAUUCAGUAUGCUGAUGACACCCUAAUUAUCUUGCCUGCUGAGGAAUCUCAAUUGGUUGCUUUGAAGAAGAUGUUACUUCUGUUCUCCAAGUCCACUGGGUUGCAUGUCAACUAUCAUAAGUCUUCUAUGCUACCUAUCAAUGUAGAUUCAGUGGAGAUUGCUAGGCUGGCUUCAGUUUUUGGUUGUGUGGUUGGCACUCUGCCUUUUACCUAUCUUGGGCUGCCUAUGGGAAUCAACAAACCCAAGAUUCUGGACUUAAUGACUUUGGUGGAUAGCAUGGAGAGGAAACUUUCUGUAAGCUCUUCCUUCCUUGCACAUGGAGGAAGGCUUCAGUAUUUGAUUUCGGCCCUCUCUUCUGUUCCUAUUGUUUUCCUCUGCAGUCUGGACCUGCCUCCUGGUAUCUUAAAGCAAUUAGAGAGAAUUCAGAGGUAGUGCCUUUGGAGAAAGUAUGGACAGGAGUCUGGUCAGUCUUUGGCUGCUUGGAGUUUGGUUUGCAGGCCAAAGAAUAAAGGUGGGCUGGGUAUUUUGAAUUUGAGGUUGCAGAAUGAAGCUUUACUUCUCAAACAUGUUAGUAAGUUCUACAAUAAAGUUGAUAUCCCCUGGGUUCAUUUGAUCUGGAAUACCUACUAUCAUGGGAGAGUCCCUCAUGCCACAAUCAUUUGUGGUUCCUUCUGGUGGAGGGAUAUUUGCAAGUUAAUGGAUAAGUUCAGGCUGGUCUGUGCUGUGCAUGUUCAUAAGGGUGACACGGUCCUGUUUUGGUCUGAUUCUUGGUCUUUGGGGGACUCCAGUGUCCCACUUGAUCAAAGAUUUGCAAGACUAUUCUCCUUUGCCAUUGACCCUCUUAUUUCUGCUGUUGAGGUUUUUGACAUGUCUGAGCUCACUUCACUAUUUCAUUUACCCCUCUCAGAGAGAGCUUUUGGUGAGUUACAGACUUUGCAAUCCUUGCUUGAAAAUUCCAGUCACAACCACCAGCUGAAUGAUGUUUGGGUUUGGAAAGAGGAUGGAAAGGAUUAUUCUGCCAAGAAAUAUUAUUCUUUCCUGCAUAAGCAUAUAGUGUCCAACCCAAUUCUGUCCUGGAUUUGGGCUAGUUGUUGCACCUUGAGGAUCAAGUUCUUUGCUUGGAUGUUGGUCAUGGAUCGGUUGAAUACCCAGGAUAUGCUGGAGAGAAGGCACUGGAAUGUUUCUGACUCAAAUUGGUGUGUGUUGUGUCCCACACACACCAAGGAGGACAGGGAUCACCUUUUCUUUCAGUGUAACUUUAGUUGCAGGGUCUGGAAUUAUCUUCAAAUCAGCUGGCCUGCUGGAGAUGACAUGAUUGCCAUUGCUUAUCAAGCAGAAGGGAUUUUGCAAGGCCUUUCUUCUCUGAAGUUGUUUUUCUAGCUUGCUGGAAUAUCUGGAAUGUUAGAAAUGACAGGGUUUUCAGGAAUAUCAAACCAUCUUUUCGUAGGUGGAGAUCUUCUUUCAUUUUGGACAUUUCUCUUUUAGUUCAUAGGAUUAAACCUAAGUUCAAAGAUGAUCUGAUUAGAUGGAUCUCUCUUUUGCCUCCUUGAGGUUAGUUUUUCUCCUUUGCCUUUUCUCUUUUAGGGUCUCUCUGACCUUGUAAUUACUGCACAUAUGUAUUUUUGUUUGGCAGUAAAAAAAUUGCUGUGGGGCCUAAGCCCUACAGUUUCAGGUCAAAAAAAAACUCCAACGGCAUAGCUGAGUGAAAGACCACGACCUAUGGCACGUUACUCGUCGUCUGAAAAGUCUGCAACAUGAUAUGUUGCAGCCCGAAACGGGUCAGCACAUGGAAUAUGUUGGCAAUGUAACACAUAGAGUAAUGAAUAGAAUAAAUGCUAUCACUACAUGCAAUAUGGCUGGUGGAAUGCUCUAUGGUUACAAUUUUGCAUAAAGCCAAUUUUUCCCUACAACAAAGGAACAAAUUUAUUUAACUAUCAUGGUAGUUGUUAAACAUUGAGAAGGUUCCUCCAACUCAAUCCCAAUUAAGCAUCAUCAUUAAACCCAAUCAAAUUAAUUACUUUAGAGUGAUGAGAUCAACAUGAAAAUCCAAGAACCAGAUACUCAAGAUGUCCAUAACCGGGGACACGGCUAACCAUUAUUAGUUUGUACACUCUGCAAAGGUUUGCACACUUUUCCCCACAAGACUCGAUCUCCUCCGUUAGAUUUCUCGCACUACAUGGUGUUUGAGAAAUGGAUGACCGAGACACAGUCUUUCAGGAACAAUAAAUCUUUACUCUAGAUGGACAGUUACACCUACUUUCCCCUACAUCUGCUAGCCCACCACUGAAAGAGGUCUUGCAACUUAAUCAACUAUGCUAGAGCCCAUAAUAGCUUGUGGCUGCACAUGAAAGUUUCUAGCAUUAAUAAUCUUAUGAUCCCUUUGAGCCUGGGUGGCGGACCUUAGGAUGAUCACACGGAACCCCGGGAUAUCCUAGGACAACACUGGAUUCUCCAGGUGCCACAAGCAAUCCACCCAGAUGUGUAUUUAAGUAGCCACCUUAAGUUAACCAUUAAUUAACAAUACUCUCAUCUGUCAUGGAUACACUCACCCAAACCACGUCUACGAGCAUAGCAUAGCAAUAUAAUCAUAACGUAGAUGUAACUCCCAAAGGUUUGAUAAUAAAAAGGGCAAUAGGUUCUAUCUCAUCAUCUACUUCCCAAAACCCACAUAUUAAUCAGAUCCUAACCAUGCAAUGUUUGAGGGUUGAUCUAAUGCAACAAAAACUGGUAGUAAAGGGAUAUGAUCAAAGUGUUACUUGCCUUGCUGGUGAUCUGCAAAACUUAGAGACUCGAAGUAGCAUGCUUCACACUCCGGGUACUCUAUCGCAACAAACAAUAACAUACAUAAGCACUCAACUAGAAGCACGGGUAAAACUCAAGAAAAGAAGAUCUAACCAGAAAUUUGAACUUAAGAACUCCAGUUUGCAAAAAGAAUCAACUCAAACGAAGCAACGAAACUCAAACUGCGAAAGAAACAAGAUCUGUUUACUAAUCUGGACUAAAGUCAAAUUUUACAGUACCAAAAUCUUGUUCAAGUUGGUUAAGCAGAAAAAGGGCUUUGAAACAAAGAUCUAGGCGCUUGAAUCGCCUAAUUCUGACAAACGAGCGAAAAGAUAAACUAAAACGAAGACCAGGGCAGAAAUCGCGAUCGAGAAUAAUCGCGGAAAAACCCUGGAAAAAGAAAAUUGACGAACAGGCUAACAAACAAACGUUCGCUGUCUGCGGCUAACGGGUGAACACCGUUCAUUAAAAUGAACGUACGGACGAACGUCCACUAAAUAACUAAACCGAAAAAACAAACCGAUCUAUUAAAAAACAGAUCUAGGUUUCUAAAAAACCAAAUGUUUUUUAAAAAAAAACUGAAAUGGCGGCGACAGCGACAUCUACCUUCGGCGAGGGUCGGCGGGGCGGGGCGGCGCGGGGCUUCGGUGGCGGGGCGUCAGGUGCGGCGGCGAGAGGCGACGACGGCGGCGGCGGGCGACUCACUGCGCGGCGGUGGCGACUUGCGGCGACAGCGGCGUUGGGUGUGGGCGGCGGUGGCUGGCGAGGCGAGAGGUGGCGGGGGCGGGCGGCUUUUAAGGGGGGUCGGGGUGGAGGCCGUCUUGGGGAAGGGGCCGGCCAGCGGUGGCUCCGAGCCGGACUCCGAGAGGAGUCCGCCGCGAGCACGGCGGGAAAAGCGGCAGCGCUUGGCGGGCCGGCCUGCUUGGCUGGGCUUCGGCCCAGACGGGCGGGAAACUCUUUUUUUUCUAAAAUAAAUAAUUCCACCAAACACAAAAAAAUCAUAAAACUCUAAAAAAAACCUAAAAAUGCCAGAAACAAUUUUCACCAUCUAAAUAAAAUAUUUAGCACAAAGUGAACAUUUUUCUGGCCGAAAAUGCAAAUUUUGAAAAUGUGCAAUUUUUCUAUCUCAAAUAAAAUAGCAAUAAAAGUCCAAAUAAAAUAAUUAUUUGAUUUUAACAUUUUUCCUCCUAUAUUUCUUUUAUUUUGGAGAAGUCAUUUUAUCCCCUCUCUUUUAUUUUAAUAUUUGAAAUAUUCAGAGACAAAAAUGCUUAAAACCAAAAUGAUCCUCUUUUCAAUAUUUGAGAAAAUUCAAAUAUGAAAAUAAAUGAGAUCCCCAACUCUCUCCGUGGAUCCUUGAGUUGCUUAGAAUUUCUAGGAUCGACCAAAAUGCAAUAAAAUAUGAUAUGCAUAUGAUGACUUAUCUAUAACACUCCAAAUUGAAAAUUUGGGAUGUUACAACCCAGUACUCGAAGCAAAGUAAAUUUCCUUGUAUGUAUUGACUCUACCGCCACUUUGGUUUUUUGCUUGUGUGGGUGUUGAUUUGCUUCAUGUUGUUGGAUUUUGAAGAUUUCUCUUCUCUAGCCAGGAAGCUAAGGGGGGAAGCUAGGGAUUUCUGGAAGAACCUCCAUGCCCGAUUCAUUCCUCUUUGUCCCAACAUAUACAAUUUACAUUUACAUUUUAACCCCUCUCACUUUCCUAUUUGCAACUAACUUCUCACAACACUCCCCCUCAAGAUGGGGUGAAAAUGUCUAAGAGCCACAUCUUGCCACACAACUUAAAGAAGGAUACAACACUCACGCCCUUUGUUAAUACAUCAGCAAGUUGGUCUCUAGCUUUAAGAAAACCUACUUGAAGUACUCCCGCAUCAAGUUUAUCCUUAAUGUCUAUCAAUUUCGAUUUGUUUUGUUCUAUCAUGCUGAACCGGAUUGUUGACAAUGUUGAUUGCGGCUUGAUUAUCACAAUGGAGCCUGAGUGGUCCUCCUUUAAACAACUAAAGUUUAGUUAAUAGUAAUCGAAGCCAUAACAACUCACAUAGCCAUGAAGCCAUGGAGCGCAGCUCUGCUUCUACCGUGGAUUUGGUGACAACACUUUGCUUCUUACUCCUCCAACUGACUAAAUUUCCUCCUAAGAAGAUCCAAUAACCUGAAGUGGAUAUCCUGUCAUCCAAGCACCCAGCCCAAUCAACGUCUGUGUAUCCCUCAAAUUCUAGAUGCCCAUGGUUGGAAAGGAUAAUUCCUUUUCCAGGAUAACCUUUGAGAUACUGCAGAAUUCUAUUUACUGCAUCUAGAUGACCUGAUCGAGGAUCAUGCAUAUAUCUACUCACCAGGCUUACGACAUAUGCAAUGUCUGGUCUAGUAUGGGAUAGAUAAAUUAAAUGUCCCACAAGUCUCCGGUAUCUCCCCCUAUCAAUAGGUUCUCCUAAAUUGGCUGUAAUACAAAGGUUUGGCUCAAUAGUUGUGGCAGGUGGUUUACUUUCAAGCAUCCUAGUUUCAGCGAGAAGAGCAAGCACAUAUUUUCUUUGAGAGAGAUAGAUACCUUGAGAUCGAUAAGCCACUUCUAUUCCUAGGAAGAAGUGGAGGAAGCCAAGGUCUUUGACUUCAAAUGACCUCGCCAAUAUUUUCUUCAGGUUCUUUAUCUCCACGUCGUCAUUCCCUGUGAUCAUAAUGUCAUCAACAUAUACAACCAAUAUGACAAUUUUAUUUUCAUGGUGCUUAAAGAAAAGGGUAUGGUCAGCAUUGCUUUGUCAAAAACUCAAAGUGCAGACUUCCUUGCAAAAUCUCCCAAACCAAGCGCUAGGUGGCUAUUUAAUUCCAUAAAGUGAUUUCUGCAAUCUACACAAUUUACCCAUUGUCCCAGGCCCACUGAACCCUGGUGGAAUCUCUAUAUAAACUUAUUCUUUCAAAUCUCCAUGAAGAAAUGCAUCCCUCACAUCUAGAUGAAACAACUUCCACUUGUUAUUUGCUGCUACCGAGAUCGUCACCUCAUUCAACGCACGAUAAUCAACAACCAUCCUCAAUGAUCCAUCCUUCUUCUCCACUAGAAGUACUGGGGCUCCCCAAGGUGAUGAACUUGGUUGAAUGUAACCCUUAUCUAGUAACUCCUUAAUCUGCUUCUUAAUUUCCUCCAAAUCCUGUGUGGGCAUCCGGUACGAUCUCUUUGAUAUUGGCCCGGUGCCUGGCAAAAGCUCAAUCAAAAACUCAAUGUCUCUAUCCGGUGGCAUGCCUGGCAACUCCUUUGGAAAUACGUCAGGGAAAUCCUUCACCAUUGGUACUUCCUCCUGUACAACUCGUGAUAAGGAAUUUUGUUGAGUCCCCUUCGUCACAUGCCGGGAUACAUACUUGAUGCUUCUUCCUUCUGGGGUGGUGAGCAUAAUCGACUUACUGGCGCAAUUGAUGUUUCCUCCAUACAUCGAUAGCCAAUCCAUACCCAAAAUCACAUCCAACCCGUGUGACUCCAAAAUUAUCAGAUCCGAGGGGAAAACAUGCCUACCUAUGGUCAAUGGCAUUUGAAAACAUCCUUGGCUUGCCAUAUGAUCCGCUCCUGGCGAGCUUACUAAUAUAGGUGUCCUGAGAACUUUGGUGGGCAACUUAUACUUAUCUACAAACCCCCUUGAUAUGUAUGAAUGUGAUGCACCAGUAUCAAAAAGAAUGAUUGUAGUAAAUGACUUAACCAAAAACUUACCUAUAACUGCAUCUGGCUGCUAUUCAACCUCCUCCACGCUAACGUGGUUCACUUGUCCCCUGUUGAAAGGGUUGGGCUUCUUCCCAGAGCUUCCAUUGCCAUUUCCAUUCUUUGUUUCAGAACACUCAGUGGCGGUCCAUUCUUCCCGCAUUUGAAACAAGUAAUGUGACUUAGAUCCUUCUUGGUGGGCGUUGUUGGGUUGGAAUGGUUCUGUCCGUUGCUUCCUCCAUUCACAUUCCCAUUCUUGGGGCACUAUGGUUGUGUGAACUUCCUCCAUUGGAAUUAUGGCCUCCAUGGUUAUGGUGAAUGUGUCCUCCCGAGUUCGGGGUAAAACGAGGCCUCUACUGAGCUCCUGAAUUGUACUUCCGUUGUCCAUACUUCCUCUUGCGGCUAUCUAUCUGUUGCUGCUUCCCUUCAAUCAUGAGAGCUCUAUCUACCAAGUCCUGGUAGUUGUUGAAUGUUGCCACCAUCAACUGCAUGCUUAGCUCAUCAUUCAGUUCCUCCAGAAACUUCUCCUGCUUAGCACCAUCUGUAGCUACGUCAUCAGGGGCAUAACAUGCUAACUUACUAAACUCAUCCAUAUACUGGCCCACUGUGCGUCCCCCUUGGCGCAAGUUACGAAACUCACACUUCUUCAUGUUCAUAGCUCCUGCUGAAACAUGGACAGUGCGGAAAGCCUGCUGAAACUGAUGCAAUGUAACAAUGUUAAUGGGGUAAGUGGCUGUGAAAUAAUCCCACCAUGAUGUUGCAGGUCCAUCAAGCUGAUGUGCGGCAAAAUGCACUCUUUCCGCAUUUGUGCAUCCUACAGUGGUCAGCUCCCUUCCAAUCUUGCGGAGCCAAUCAUCUGUGACAAUCGGCUCGGUGCUACUAGAGAACAUCGGCGGAUUCAGCCUUAGGAAACGAGCUAAGUGAUCAACAAGUGGUGGUGGUGGUGGGUUGUUGUUGUUGUUGCCUUGGUUCUGAUUCUGAACUAGUAGCUGCAUCAAGGUAUUCUGCUGCUGGCUCAACUGAGUGAGCUCCAGUGGGAAGGCAAAUCCAUUGUCACCUCUCGGAGGCAUCUGAUGGGUUUAGAAAAGAUGAGAAAACAGAAUAGAACGGGGUCUAAAAGCGAAAACACUACCCAUAUGCACAUGAGACAAACACAAACAUAUCACACCAAUCAACUCAAACAAGGGCAUACAAUCGGUCUAACUAUCGUUACAAAAGUUCUCAGACUAUACCAUAUACAUGGGGAAAUACUACUACUGAUAUGGUGGUUGACUGGAAGUUUUGAUCGGUAGAAGACUCCAUGAUAUCCGCUCCAGCUUCAUCAACAUAGUCAUCAUCGCUAGCAUCAGGGUCAGAAUCGGUGUUGUCGAUGAUGAUGUACUCCUUUGAACGAAUUUCCUUGGAAUGGUCAUCAUCUCCUCCUGGCGCGGGGUUUCCCAUGAACACUCCUACCUUCCUUGUCAGGUUGUCAUUCUUCUCCACUAGUAUCGUCAUUUCCUCCUCAUAUUCAUCGCGUGUAGAAUGAGUUCCUCUUCUAUCUCUGUAAUCUUGGUCAUUGCCUUCUUCAGAUCUAUCAUGCUUGCGCACAUUUGGUUCUCCUGGCGGCGAAUGUGCUGGUUUAACUCCUGGAUGAAAGAUGCAAUGGACCUGUCCCACCUGGUGUUGAUCAUCUCCCGUUGCUCAUCUCGGCGCCCACAUAUCUGGUAGAUAGCGUCCUUAAUAUCCUUGUGAUAAACUUCUCCAAUGCGUCCCAUGGCGAUGUGGGCUGCCAUGCUCUUUCCUAGACUCCAGGUUGGUGCAUCAAAGGAAAACUCUAUGGGCUUAGUGACUGGCAUGAGCGUCCUUCCCGGAACUUGAACUCGAAUUCCAACACUCCUCUUAUGGUAAAGUGGCGAUGUAGGUCCCGGUGAAGCUUGGUAUUCCGAUGUUCAGGUACCUAGUAACUUCCUUCAAGUGUCGUCCAAAAGGAGUGUCUUCAUCCGGCUGUGUAAACUUGUUCCCUGAGUCCGCCAUCCUAUAGAGUGGAAAAGGGAGAGGACUCAGAAUUGAGUAGAGAAGAGUGACCUAUGGUUUAACUUAGUGGUCGUGUCCUACAGUCAGCGUGUGAUCUGAUACCAUCUUGUAGUGACCAGACCUCAAACGGUCUAGUCUCUGUGCAUCAGUGUCAUCCCUGGACCGGUAAUGCUGACACGCAUAGUACUCGAGGAUUUAUAACCUUGUUUCAAUCACACACUUAUUACAUCGAAUGUCUCAAAAGAGAACUUAUUACAAUAAAAUGGCUUAAGGCCAUCUAAAUAAGAUAACAGCGGAAGGCUUGGAAGAUAAAGUGAGUCCAUCAAACUCCAACGGCAUAGCUGAGUGAACGACAAUGACCUAUGGCACCUUACUCGUCGUCUGAAAAGUCUGCAACAUGAUAUGUUGCAGCCCAAAACGGAUCAACACAUGGAAUAUGCUGGCAAUGUAACACCAAAGAGUAAUGAACAGAAUAAAUGCUAUCACUACAUGCAUAUAUGGCUGGUGGAAAGCUCUAUGGUUAAAGUUUUGCAUAAAGCCAAUUUUUCCCUACAUCAAAGGAAUAAAUUUUAUUUCACUAUCAUGGUGGUUGUUAAACAUUGAGAAGGUUCCUCCAACUCAUCCCAAUUAAACAAAUUAGCCCACAAAAUUAAUUUAGAGUGAUGAGAUCAACAUGAUAAUCCAAGAACCAGAUACUCAAAAUGUCCAUAACCGUGGACACGGCUAACCAUGAGUAGUUUGUACACUCUGCAGAGGUUUGCGCACUUUUCCCCACAAGAGUCGAUCUCCUUCGUUGAAUUUCUCGCACUUCAUGAUGUUUGAGAAACGGAUGACCGAGGCACGGUCUUUCAGAAACAUUAACUCUUUAUUCUGGGUGGACAGUUACACCUACUUUCCCCUACAUCUACUUGCCCACCACUGAAAGAGGUCAUGCAACCUACUCAACUAUGCUAGAGCCCAUAAUAGCUUGUGGCUGCAUACGGAAGUUUCUAGCAUGAAUAAUCUUAUGAUCCCUUUGAGCCUGGGUGGCGAACCGUAGGAUGAUCACACGGGUAGUCCGGGAUAUCCUAGGACAACAAUGGAUUCUCCAGGUGCCCGCAACCAAUCCACCCAGAUGUGUAUUUAAGUUGCCACCUUAAGUUAACCAUUAAUUAACAAUUCUCACAUCUGUCAUGGAUACACUCACCCAAACCACGUCUACGAGCAUAGCAUAGAAAUCCCGAGCAAUCGUAGAAGUAACUCCCAAAGGUUUGAUAAUAAAAAGGAAAUAGGUUCUACCUCAUCAUCUACUUCCCAAACCCACAUGUUAUUCAAAUCCUAACCAUGCAAUGUUUGAGGAUUGAGGCUAAUGCAUAAAAACUGGAUAAUAAAGGGAUAUGAUCAAAGUGUUACUUGCCUUGCUGAUGAUAUCCAAAACCUAGCGACUCGUAGUAGCACGCUUCACACUCCGGGAAUUCUAUCACAAACAAACAAUAGCAUACAUAAGCACUCAAACGAGAAACACGGGUAAAACGCAAAUAAGAAGAUCUAACCAGAAAGUUCAACUGAAGAACUCCGGUUUGCAAAAAGAAUCAAAUCAAACGAAGCAACGAAACUCAAACUAUGAAGGAAACAAGAUUCAUUUACUAAUCUGGACUAAGGUCAAAUUUUACAGUACCAAAAUCAUGUUCAAGUUGGUAAACAGAAAGAGGGCUUCGAGACGAAGAUUUAGGGGCUUGUUUCAUCUAAUUCAGAUAAACAAGCAAAAAAGUUAUACUAGAACAAAAAUCAGAGCAGAAAUCGCGGUAAAAAAUAAUCGCAGAAAAAACCUGGAAAAUAAACGAGACGAACAGGCUGACGAACGAACGUUCGUUGUCUGCGACUAACCGACGAACAACGUUCGUUAAAACGAACGUACGAACGAGCGUCCGCUAAAUAACUAAACUGAAAAACAAACCGAUCUAUUAAAAAACGGAUCUAGGUUUCUAAAAACCCGCAUGUUUUUUUUUGAAAAAACGAAAUGCCGGCGGCAGCGGCAUCUACCUUCGUCGAGGGUCGGCGGGGCNNNNNNNNNNNNNNNNNNNNNNNNNNNNNNNNNNNNNNNNNNNNNNNNNNNNNNNNNNNNNNNNNNNNNNNNNNNNNNNNNNNNNNNNNNNNNNNNNNNNNNNNNNNNNNNNNNNNNNNNNNNNNNNNNNNNNNNNNNNNNNNNNNNNNNNNNNNNNNNNNNNNNNNNNNNNNNNNNNNNNNNNNNNNNNNNNNNNNNNNNNNNNNNNNNNNNNNNNNNNNNNNNNNNNNNNNNNNNNNNNNNNNNNNNNNNNNNNNNNNNNNNNNNNNNNNNNNNNNNNNNNNNNNNNNNNNNNNNNNNNNNNNNNNNNNNNNNNNNNNNNNACUUGCAAAGACGGCGUCACAGGUUGCAGCGUCGGGUGCUGGCAGUGGUGGCUGGCGAGGCGAGAGGUGGCGGGGGCAGGCGGCUUUUAAGGGGGGGUAGGGGUGGAGGCCGUCUUGGGGGAGGGGGCGGCCGGCGGCGGCUCCGAGCCGAACUCCGAGAAGGAGUCCGCCACAAGCAUGGCGGGGAAGGCGGCGGCGCUUGGUGGGCCACCCUGAUUGGUUGGGCUUCGGCCCAGUCGGGCGGGAAACUCUUUUUUUUUAAUAAAUAAUUCCGCCAAACAGAAAAAAAUUUCCUAAAUAUAUAUAUAUAUAAAUGCCAAAAACAAUUUUCACCGUCUAAAUAAAAUAUUUAGCACAAAGUGAACAUUUUUCUCACCUAAAAUGCAAAUUUUGAAAAUGUGCAAUUUUUCUAUCUCAAAUAAAAUAGCAAUAAAAGUCCAAAUAAAAUACUUAUUUAAUUAUAACAUUUUUCCUCCAAUAUUUCUUUUAUUUUGGAGAAGUCAUUUUAUCCCCUCUCUUUUAUUUUAAUAUUUGAAAUAUUCGGAGAUAAAAAUGAUUAAAACCAAAAUGAUCCUCUUUUCAAUAUUUCAGAAAAUUCAAAUAUGAAAAUAAACGAAAUCCCCAACUCUCUCCGUGGAUCCUUGAGUUGCUUAUAAUUUCUAGGAUCAACCAAAAUGCAAUAAAAUAUGAUAUGCAUAUGAUGGCCUAUGUAUAACAUUCCAAAUUGAAUAUUUGGGAUGUUACAACCCACUACUCAAAGCAAAGUAAAUUUCCUUGUAUGUAUUGACUCUAACGCCACUUUGGUUUGUUUGCUUGUGUGGGUGUUGAUUUGCUUCAUGUUGUUGGAUUUUGAAGAUUUCUCUUCUCUAGCCAGGAAGCUAAGGGGGGAAGCUAGGGAUUUCUAGAAGAACCUCCAUGCCCGAUUCAUUCCUCUUUGUCCCAAUAUAUACAAUUUACAUUUACAUUUUAACCCCUUUCACUUUUCUAUUUGCAACUAACUUCUCACAACACCCCCCCUCAAGAAGGGGUGAAAAUGUCUAAGAGCCACAUCUUGCCACACAACUUAAAGAAGGAUACAACACUCACGCCCUUUGUCAAUAGUUUUAAGAAAACCUACUUGAACUACUCCCGCAUCAAGUUUAGCCUUAAUGUCUAUCAAUUUCGAUAUGUUUUGUUCUAUCAUGCUGAACCCGAUUGUUGACAAUGUUGAUUGCGGCUUGAUUAUCACAAUGGAGCCGGAGUGGUCCUCCUUUAAACAACUAAAGUUCAGUUAAUAAUAAUCGAAGCCAUAACAACUCACAUAGCCCAGAAAACAUGGAUCGUAGCUCUACUUCUACUGUGGAUCUGGCGACAACACUUUGCUUCUUACUCCUCCAACUGACUAAAUUUCCUCCCAAGAAGAUCCAAUAACCUAAAGUGGAUCUCCUGUCAUCCAAGCACCCAGCCCAAUCAGCGUAUGUGUAUCCCUAAAAUUCUAGAUGCCCAUGGUUGGAAAGGAUAAUUCCUUUUCUAGGACAACCUUUGAGAUACCGUAGAAUUCUAUUUACUGCAUCUAGAUGACCUGAUCGAGGAUCAUGCAUAUAUCUACUCACCAGGCUUACGACAUAUGCAAUGUCUGGUCUAGUAUGGGAUAGAUAAAUUAAACGUCCCACAAGUAUCUGGUAUCUCCCCCUAUCAACAGGUUCUCCUAAAUUGGCUGUAAUACAAAGGUUUGGCUCAAUAGGUGUGGCAGCUGGUUUACUUUCAAGCAUCCUAGUUUCAGCGAGAAGAGCAAGCACAUAUUUUCUUUGAGAGAGAUAGAUACCUUGAGAUCGAUAAGCCACUUCUGUUCCCAGGAAGAAGUGGAGGAAGCCAAGGUCUUGGACUUCAAAUGACUUCGCAAAUAUUUUCUUCGGGUUCUUUAUCUCUACGUCGUCAUUCCCUAUGAUCACAAUGUCAUCAACAUAUACGACCAAUAUGACAGUUUUAUUUUCAUGGUGCUUAAAGAAAAGGGUAUGGUCAGCAUUGUUUUGUCAUAAAGCUCAAAGUGCAGACUUCCUUGCGAAAUCACCCAAACCAAGCGCUAGGUGGCUGUUUAAGUCCAUAAAGUGAUUUUUGUAAUCUACACAAUUUACCCAUUGUCCCAGGCCCACUGAACCCUGGUGGAAUCUCUAAAUAAACUUAUUCUUUCAAAUCUCCAUGAAGAAAUGCAUUCCUCACAUCUAGCUGAAACAACUUCCACUUGUUAUUUGCUGCCACCGAGAUUAAAGCUCUGAUGGUGUUCAUAUUUGCAACUAGGGCAAAGGUUUCAUCAUAGUCCACUCCAUAUGUCUUGCUAUAACCUUUUGCCACAAGUCUCGCCUUAUAUCUAUAUACUUUCCCUUCGGGUGUAUGUUUUAUGGUAAACACCCAUUUUCAACCUACCACUUUCUUGGUACAAGGAAGUGGAGUAAUUACCCAUGUAUUAUUCUUGUCGAAAGCAGACAUCUCCUCAAGCAUUGUUGCCCUCCAUUUUCGGUUUAAUUUUGCCUCCCGCCAAUCCCAUGGUAAGGGUUCUUCAAAAUCCAAUGAUACGUCUCCAAUGUAUCUAUAAUUUUUUAUUGUUCCAUGUUGUUAUAUUAUCAUACUUGGAUGUUUUACAAUCACUAGCAAAAGGGCCCGUGCGUUGCAAAGGGGAAAAAACAUAAUGUUCAAUCACGAUGAUCACAUUUUAUUCAUGUCUCAUCGCAUGAUUUCGAAAAUUUGUUCAAAAAUGUAUGAAAAUGUUUCUAAAUUUAUUCACAAAUCAAAGCAAUGUGCACAUUUUUUAAAUAAUAUCAUGGUUGUCAAAAAACUUGGUAAUUCAAAGAAUUAUUCUGAAUGUCAAGAAACAUAUUUUAAAAAACAUACCAUAAUAUUUCAAUCCACCCCGGCAGUUAAUUUUUUAAAAUUCACGCGGGUAUAUAGUCACAAACAUUCAGAAGCAUUAUUGUUUAACUACAUACCUUCGAUCAUUCAUGAACAUUUUUAUGAAUUUGCGAAUAUUUUUAAAAAUCAUGAAAAUUAUUUAAUAUUGGGAUGGUUUUUAAGCAUUUUCUUUAGAAUCGUUGAACAAUUCUAGAAUAGAGGAACAUUUUUUUUGAAAUUCAUGUAUAUUUUCUGAAUUAGCAAACAUAUUAUGAAUCAGUAAACUCUAUUGUAGUUCACAAACUGUUUUGCUAAUCCCGUUUUAUAAGCUCACUGAUUUUUUUCCCAAGGCUACUGAUGGCAAUCGUUUGAGAAAGUAUAUAAACUGAUGGUAAUCAGUUUAACUGAGCAAGGUGGGACUGUUGACCAAAAAAAGACACAUCACAUACAGGCCUACGCUAGUUGAGAAGUUUUUUGAUUCCAUUGAAAGCUGAGACGUGUCUACUAGCCCAUAAGGCCCAGCCAGACGACUGGUUUCUUGUUUAGAAAAAAAAACUGAAACAACUUACGGGAGGGCAUAGAAAACGGGAGGAGCUCGAUCGCCUGCUCGAUCCCUUGCGGGAGAAGGUAGGAUUCUUACAAAAAAACUGAAACAAUCUUUUUUCCUUGAGAAGCAAAACUGAAACAAAUUUUUAAUAGCCGAUACGAAACUUUGCUGUAAAAAUUAGUACCACCGCAUGUAUUUCAUGUAAGGUGGGAUCAAUUGCAGGACGAAACCAAGAAUAGCCUUGCUUGAAUAAUAUGUAUAGAUAUAGAAUACCUUUCUUAUUUAUCCGAGCCAUCUCUUUUAAUAUUGUUGUUUAAUUGCCCAUCAUAUUUGUGAAUCGUGCAUUUUAGGAAUUGUAUUAUAUUAUGCAGGCGUGUCUUAGGAAGGAAUAUCUCUUAAUUGCCCUAUUUAAUUGCCUAUCUUUCUCAAGCAUCCAAUUAGGUCGUCUCUUAAUUAUCCCACAUAGUACCGAUUCCACCUUGCCCCGUUUGUUUGAUUGCCCAGCAUAUUUAUCCUUGGAUGUUUUCUUCCUUUUUCAAGAAUCCUUCUUUUCUUCAUUACUUCCUUUCUGGGCACCCACUCGUCAUCCUCCGAUCACCAAUUGCCAGGCCGACUUAUUAAGGUGACUAGUAAAACGUCCGUGCGUUGCCACAGGCUUUUGAAAAAAUUUAAGAUGCUACUCACGGAGCUAAAAUAACCAAGAAUAAUGUCGUCUCAACUAACUCACAUCUUUUUCUUGACAAUCAGCUAACACACAUCAUACUAUCAUACUAUCGAAGCCUUCCCCACCUUCAGCUAUCAGUUGGCCAUUCACAAGAGGGCGGCGGGCGCGGGCGCUAGACUUGGUCAUCUACGGCGUUGCAGCAGCCGAAGAUCGAGUUGGGCGUGGGGGGUGUAAGAAGGGAAACAAGCAUGCAAGGAGCAGCGGCAUUGCGACGGGCAGUCGUGCCACGGCCUUUACCUUUUCUCGGGCAACAGUGAGAGGCCACCACGCUCCUCGACUCUCCCUCCUCUCUUCCAUGCCUGGCAACAAGAUGGGCGAGAUAGAGAGGAGGCAACCAAGAUGUUUUUCUAUAUGGCGACCAAGAUGCUUUUGUUUACUCGUGCCACGGAUUCCUUACAGCCCCACCCUCGAGCGAAAAAUUAUCUCUUCUUUCCAAAUUUAGCUUCUUUUGCUGCUUGGUUUUUCAUUAUUCUCGUCAAACAAGAAUUGCCUUGCUAUAUAAUCUCGUCAAACUAAUAUCAUACACUUUUAUGGAUCCACUAAUAUGAGUUCAUCAUUAUUUCGUUACUAAAAAGGAUGGAACUCUAAAAUGUUAAACAGCAUGCUACACCAAAUAAUGUGAACUGAUUGUAUAAUCAAACAAUUUAAUGCAAAAUUAAAAGAUCUUAGGCAUGUAAUUACAAAACCAAUGUGUUUGUGUUGAAUGUUAUGUUUGAUCACUUUUGCAACCAAGUUCUUCUUGAUAUAUGUACACCAAUUUUAAAGCAAAUGUAGAGUAGCUGAAACAACCAUUUCUCCCUUUUUCCUUCUUCUAGAAAUCAGUAAUAGACUAAUGAUAUAGACUGCUCUGUUUCCUUUAGAUGUAGGAUCCUCCUUGAUUAUGAUGUAGGGUCUCGUCGGGACAUCGAAGCCUAUGGAAGUAUGGUAUGCUUUCUAUCCAUCACCACGAAUGAACAGAGAAACAGGGAGCAGAAGAACCCAAAAUCGAGACGCUAAAUGAGAGGGAUAGGGCUCACAGAAAGGGUCUUCUCAUUGUAGCAGCAUCGAUAUUUGCUCAAGCCAAAUCUCUCCGGAGUUGCCCAUGCCUUACUCUUCGACCGACCAGACCUCCUCCAAUGGUUGCCGUCAGCUCUCGCCUCCUCAUGCACCCCCCUUGUAUUUUGUGCUUCAGCACUGAACACGAAUAGAAGAUUCAGCUAGUGAUAUUAUAGAUCUAACAAUUGGGGAAUCAUAUAAGUGAACUUACAUCCAUGCUUGACAGAUCAAACCAUUUCGUACCUCCUGGCAACAGUACCGAGCAUCCCAAGAACCUUGUAUAUCAUGUAUGGAAGAAGAGUGAAACAGACAAAGAUUUCAUGACUGUGUAGCAUUGGGAAGUCCCUUUUCCAUGACUUCAUCAAUAACCGCUUCAUAUGUGUGCAAUCCUUUGAAGUAAAGUGUACUUCCAUCCUACAUCUUCACCAAGAAAACAUCACUUCAAGCAACAGAACGUCAACGCACCCGGAUUUAGAAUACACAUACACUUUGUUCUAGCUGUAGAAAUCUAAUAGCACACUGAUCAAAAUUAGUGCAAGGACAUAUCAAACAGGUAAAAAAGAUAUGAAAGACUAACUUUAUCCAAACAAAUAGGAAGAGGAGCAAUAUAAAAUAAUGGGCCAGAUUAAAGGGAGUUGGAUGUGGGAGAGAAGUGUCGAUGAUUACCACGAUUCAGUUGCUAAUCACCGUCGAGGAUCCCAACAUCGACAAACCAUAUCGAUUCAGGAAGAGCUGGAACAAUUCGUGAUAGUGCUGCAUCAGCCUCCCCGCUGGAUGUUUUUAGUGGGAAAAUACAGUAUAAUAUGUAUAUCUAGUCCAGCCUAAUUCUCUAGUUAAUGACCUCCUUUGUUUUGUUUUAUCAGAUUCUAUUUUAAUUCAGACGAUUUUUAUUUUACAUUCAGACUGUAGUUAAUUGCCUCCUUUCUCCCUCUGUCCACACCAUAGACAAGGAUGCACUACCAGCUUUAGGGGCCAAAAUAUGGAUCUAUUGAGUCAGCUUCAUCACCCAGAUCUUCUGAAAAAUAACACGAAAUCAUAAUAUCAUUAUACAACAGUUGAAAAAAUCGUACUGGGCAUGGGCCGUCUAUUAGCUUUGCUAAGUAUGGUGCCGUCCAUUAGGCCGGCUUGAUUAAGAAACUUUAUAUAUACUACUAUAUAUUAGUAGAUGAGUUACAUCUCAUAAGAAAACUAAGUUACAAGAAUUGAAAUCCACCACCGUAACUCUACUUGUAUAUAAUAGAUGAGGUUUAGACAUAAAACAACAUUAAUUUUAUGUCAACAAGGAGGUUCACAGGUCAUCUGGAUUUCUUUCAUUUUUGUGAAUUGACAUGUCAAGUGGUCGGACCGUUCCCCGGACCCUGCGCAAGCGGGAGCUAUGUGCACCGGGCUGCCCUUUGUGAAUUGGCACGUCAAGCAGGAGUGACGUGACAAACUAAUAAACAUGUUCAGUGAUGUAUCACAAAUGCAAGGUAAGAAAACAAAAAAUAUUACUAACCAAGUUUACUAACUAUCAUUCGAGUUUGCCUGCACUGGAGGAAAUGUUGCAGUAUGAUUCCUUGAGUUAGAAGCAAAUAAAGAUAAUUGAUUAUCCACUACAAAAUCUCUAACCACUGUACACAUGCAAUGAUGGUUAGUAGGAAUACACAAUUUUAUGACCUGUAACAUUACUACAAGGUUCGUUGGUCAAUGUCCUUCCAAAAUAUGAACUUGAAUUGUGUGGGUGCAUAUUAUGACCUGUAAAAGAAUGACACGGAUCAUCCACCAUAUAGAUAUCCAUACAUCUACCUGGAUCCAUUUAUGACUGACUACGAAACUAAAUGUCACAUAAAGGACAAGGAGCAGUACACAAAAACCUUUCAACAAGUAUAUGUAUUUAACAUAGGUGUAUAUUAAGUUAUUAACUGCAUAGCAACUUGGUAGCUAAGCAGCUAUGCUAACUUGCUAACUUAAGUUUCUGUUAGCAAAUGUUCGUACAGUUUCAGAAAACCUUGGGAGUACUUGAUAGGAGUUCAUCUUGCUAAUUACAAAUAUUCCAGACUACACUGCGAAAGGUGAAACUUGAAUUACUAAUACACUGGCAAUCCUUUCAAUAACAAGAUAUGAACGAAUAAGCAGAAAACCAAUAUUUCCUUGUAUCAAGACAGCAGACUCAUGACUUACCAUGGUACAGAACAAGAAACUUGUCAGCGUUAAUUUUAAGUUAAUAGGCAAAGCUCACAAGUCAUCAAGAUUUUAUUUCUUUGUAUGGGUUCACCUUGUAAGUAUGUUCGCCUUAUAAGUAUCAAGAAACUUGUUUGCUAACCUGAAUAUAAUUCUCAACUGAUGGCUAAAAUGGCAGGCAGAGAAAGAGCAUAUCUGAACAAAAUACCUGGUAGAGCACCCUACAACAAACCUCCCAAAUGAUUAGCGGCAUUCGAUCAUUUCACAGUGCCUGCAGAAAUAAAAUCGAAAUAGUAAUCAGGACAAUUUUUUUUUUGCAGAAGUGCACUCUAAAUUCAGAUAUAACGUUUUCAAAAAUCCAGUGAUGCUAAAGAGGACAUAUCUUGCACAUAUUUGAAGAAGCCACCAUCAUCCCGCAUUGGUCAUGGCAGUGAGAAACAAUCAUUAGUCCUAAAACAGAGUAGGAUCUAUUAGAGAAAAUUUGAAAAGGUGUGUUAGUAUGUGACCAUAAAAUAAGGUUGUAGACAGACCAGGAAUACUCGUUUAGAUCAUCAUAAUUACACCAUGUUGAAUGUGGUGUUUUUCCAUGCUGGAUUUUUUCUGCUCCCUACCAAAUAUAAGAGAACCAUCUCCAUUACCAAGAAGCUUCUUCCUUUCUUUCAAGAGUAUGUGUUCGACCCAAAGGCAUUUUUUCGCAUCAUUAUCGGAAUCCACUACCCUAAUCUCCUUUCUCUGUAUCUAUCUUUAACAUAUUUACUAGCCCUGAAAUCUGUAGGGAAAUUAGACGCAAACUAUGACAGAAAAGUGUGAAACACAGUGACAACAUAAUUAGCUCACCCCUUCAUACUGCUGUAGAGUCGAGUAUUUAUAUAUGAUCUCUGGUUAGUGUAGUAAGCUGAUCUUUAAUUCCAAAGGCAAGUGCACCAUCGGCAUGUGGUUCUGCAAAAAUCAUCACUGAAGCAAUCAUAUCAGAAAUCCAUGAACUGUCAUGUGUACAACAAGAACAAGGAAAAAAGGACCACAAAUGGGUAUCCAACUCGGCCAGCAGUGGCGACUUUAUACAUUGUUCAAAUCAACCCGCAUAUAUAAUAAACAACAAUAUAAUUUAUUUAUAAACAAAAUUAUUAGCAGCCAAAAGACACUUAAUCUUUUUUCUUAGAGUUUGGCGAGUAGCAGUGGAGGAACUUCUGUUGAAUACCUGCUAUGUCUGAACGGUAGCUGAUAUGCCUAUCCCAUAAGAUAAUCUCCCUGUACAUGACAUAAGCCUUAUAGAUAAUAUCCAUGUACAAUCCUAUAGAUGGAACAAAUUCAGCAGAAUAUAAGUGAGUGGUAGUCUCUCAUUUUGAACUCAAUUCUCCCUUCAUUGGCAUCUUGGUUGUACACAUUGAUUUGCUCUUGUGAGUGGCAGUGCAUUGAAGAUUUAUUUGAUCUGUCGGUGUGUCUUGUGAGUGGUAGGCAUUAAACUGGGUAUUGCUUGGAUUACCGAACAAUGACCAUUCAUGAUUAUGCAACCUCGCAUAGCCUAGAUAAAUGAUGAAAUCAGUUGAAGAUCCUCUGCAUGCAUAUAAAUUGUAGAAGAAAAGUUUUGGUAAAAAAUCACAAAAAACUAACUUUAGAAUGUUGCAAAUGUACUGGUGCCCGGUCACAGUAUAUAUGCAAUUAUGCACGAGUAUAUGAUUCUGCCGCAAGGAUCAGAUAGACAACAAUUUGGAGCAUGGUGUUGUGUGACAUCUCACAAAGUGAGUGUAUGAAUUUUCGAUUGUUACAGAAAAUUUCAUAUAUAGAUUUUCAAUGUAAAAACGAACUUUAGGCCUAUGUUAUUUGUACAUACAAAAUGUAUUUCUUGGUUCCCAAAGAGGUUCAGUAACCAUCCUAAGUAAACAAUCAAACAUACCUUGAAUCACUUUACCGAAAAUAUUGCAGAUCAGAAGUAAGACCAGCCCAUGUCUUAUCAACUGCAAAAAGAUUCCACAGACAAAACUUGCAAAAAAAGGUCACUCUCAUAUCUACUGUUUCAUAUCAAGAAUCUCCUCAAACAUGUCACCAGACAAACCAUUUUUGGUUCAGUUUGAAGGUACAUGGCCAAAAUGAAGACUACUGUGAUAUAAAAGGAAACAAAUACAUCAUAGAAAUGACAUAGGAACACUAUGCAUGCUCAACAAUGAUAUGGGUCUGACAUAUGGAGUUAGCAGUUUCCCUAAAACAACAACUUUCUGAAUAUUAUUGUCUCGCCCAUUAUGCCCACAAAAGGAAAGAGAAACCUGAUGCAAACAAAAUAUUACAGCGAACAAACACAGAGUUUUUCAGAAAAAGGAACACUUACCAGGAAACUUCCAGUCCUUGAAGAAAGGAUAACCUUCCUACAAAUACACCAUCCAAUGCAGAUUCAUACAAUUUUCAUUGUGCACAAAUGAUGCAACAUGCAGAUUCAAGCCAAUGCGACAAAAUGUCCAGUUAACUUAGAGCUAUUUACAUAUCGUUUACUUAAGUAAAAAAACUCAAGUUAUCUUGCUGCAGGCAAUCUACUCAAUGCUGAUCACACAAAUAAUAAUGUCCGAAAGCACUUAGGAACAACCAGACCACACAAGCAUAAAAUUGUGUAACCAAAUAGACAUCAGAGGGGAGGGAGCAUUUUUCAGAAGUACCUCAUUAAGUUUCACGGUUAUUAUGUGAGGAGUAAAGGACCCGAUGAACCUACAAAUCAAAAGAAAUAUCAUAGUCAGCACAAAAAUUGUUCAAAGAAGAUGAUCAAAUUAAAAAUCAUGUAACUGAACAUAUAGAAGAAUCUUCUUAUAAACGUGUGAAAUCACAUGUAAACCAACUAACCAAGAUGGAUGCCCUUUUUAUUGAUAGGCUGAAUAUAAUAAGACACAUGCCCUUUAAACGUGUGAAUUCACAUGUAAACCAACUAACCAAGACGGAUGCAGCCAAAAUUACCCAAGGCAUCUAGUUGUUUCUUUUAGGGUUUAGGGUGUGCAAGUGUCGUUGAGGACAUUACCUGUCCACUGAAUCUAAUGGAAAAUUCAUGGAAUAUAUGAUUGUUCCCACGAAAUUGGAUUCGAACUCAGGUUUAAGACGAACUUGCAUCGCUGGAGACUUCUCCAACUCCUUCAAAGACUCCUGCAACUUUUGCUCAGGGGAUUCACCAUGCCACCAACUUCUUCAGGUGCCAACAACAUGAACAGAUAACGGGGUGGGAGGGGGAAGGGAGAAGAGAGAAGAGGGGUAAAGAGGAAGGGGUGGAGAUACCUGUGAUAACGGGGAGGCGGCAGUGCAGGACCGGAAGACUCACCGCCGGCGGGCAGGAUGAAGAGCCGGCGGCUCCAACCCUAGCUUGCGCGUGAGAACUGCAUCCGUCGCACACAACCAGGGCAUCCAUCGUCUGCCGUCGUGCUCCAGCGAGCCGGCGACCGAGGGUUGCCUGGAGCGAAGGUGGAGGCGACCAGAGCCGGCGGCGACGUGGUGCCGAGGUUGGUGCGACCGCGAGCUCGGGCGGUGAGGCGGAAGCUGCAGGAGACGGCGGCGGGAACCUCGAGGCCGAGCUCAGGCCAUGGCAUCCCUGGCUGCAGAGGCCGUGGCGGCGCCGGACGCAGCAGCGGGGCGAGGAGGAGGCCGGCCGUCGGGGAGGCAGGAGCUCCUCGUCCCCUCGAUCCAGAUCGGGUACGAGGAGGGAGCAACAGGGGUGCGGGGAGUGGGCGACCCGCGGGCGGCGGUCGGGGCGUAGGUUUUUUUUAGGAGUAGAAGAUAAUGAGAUUUUUUUUCUAUGGUGUAUGAUGCGUCUUUAAAAUCUUUUAUUUGUUUCCUUAAAAUCUAUUAUUUGUUUCCUAAAGAAAUUUGUAAUAAUGGGAGGUAUCGGUUGAUUUGGGUAAGUUAGUAAAGUUAGAUCCGUGAUUGCGUGUACGUUUGAAAAGUGCUGAUUUGCAUGGAAAGAGCUGAGGGGUAAAUAAACCGGUGAAUAAGAAACCAGCAUUGAUGGGGAGGUGGGAGGAGGGACGAAAAAAAACCAGACGAAGGUGGGAGGACGAAAAAAAACCAGCGAAAAAUAACCGGCGGACUAUUCACCAACUGCUACAUUAGGAGUAGAGAUGAUGACAGGGGUAACUUGAACGCGUAUAUAAAUUGAUGGUUGUUCUUGUAAAAAGUCGAGGUGGUAUUGUUUGAUAAUUGAUAAUAAGACCAACCGUAUCCAAUCAACAUAGAUGGACAUAGUUCAGUUGGUUGUCGUCAAACGUAUCGGCUGGAAGGUUGCGAGUUCAUUUCCUCUUGCAAGUAUCUUUUUUCUUCCUCGUGUUGUACUGGACCUGGGCCAAGCUGGCCAAUGGACAUCCUGAAGGCCCAAGUACCUCCUCGCAUUGCAGGGCCGAGCUGGCCAACGGACAUCCUGACAAACAUUGCUAUUAAUUAGUACCACCUCAUUUAUAUUAUGAUUUUGUCUAUACGAAUCGUAAAAGCGUAUUACGAUUGGACGGAAGCGUAUUGUGACGGUGAACCCGAAAAAUUCAAUCCAUGCUUUAUUAUUAGGGGGAGAUUUUAUAGUCAUUUUAUAUCAUUUUUUGGUACGAACUUAUUGAAAUAGUGCCCAGUGUCAGUUGCUAUUUUCUGCAUGUUUUUGACAUUGCAGGAAAUCAAUACCAAACGGAGUCCAAACGCAACAAAACUUUUUGUGGAUUUUUUUAGACCAAAAGACAUCUCGUGGGCCAAAGAAGUACCAAGGAGGGGCCCCGAGGUGAGCACAAGACACCUGAGCACGUCUAGAGGCCCAGGCACGCCCUGGUGGGUUGUGCCCACCUUGGUGGCCUCCCGCACCACCUCUUUGCUCUAUAAAUACCCCAAUAUUCCAGAAACCCUAGGGGAGUCGACGAAAAUCAAUUCCAGCCGCCGUAGAGUCCAGAACUACCAGAUCCAAUCUAGACACCAUCACGGAGGGGUUCAUCAUGCCCAUUGGCGCCUCUCGAUGAUGCGUGAGUAGUUCUUUGUAGACCUACGGGUCCGUAGUUAGUAGCUAGAUCGCUUCCUCUCUCUCUUUUUUGAUUCUCAAUACAAUGGUAUCUUGGAGAUCCAUAUGAUGUAACUCUUUUUUGCGGUGUGUUUGUUGGGAUCCGAUGAACUUUGAGUUUAUGAUCAGAUCUAUCUUUUUAUCCAUGAAAGUUAUUUGAGUCUCCUUUGAUCUAUUGUAUGCAUGAUUUCUUAUAGCCUCGUAUUUCUUCUCUGAUAUUUGGGUUUUGUUUGGCCAACUUGAUCUAUUUAUCUUGCAAUGCGAAGAGGUGCUUUGUGAUGGGUUCGAUCUUACGGUGCUUGAUCCCAGUGACAGAAGGGGAACCGACACGUAUGCAUCGUUACCAUUAAGGAUAAAACGAUGGGUCUAUUUCUACAUAAAUAGAUCUUGUCUACAUCAUGUCAUCGUUCCUAUUGCAUUACUCUGUUUCUCCAUGAACUUAAUACACUAGAUGCAUGCUGGAUAGCGAUCGAUGUGUGGAGUAAUAGUAGUUGAUGCAGGCAGGAGUCGGUCUACUAAUCUUGGACGUGAUGCCUAUAUAAUGAUAAUUGCCUAGAUAUCGUCAUGAUUAUUUGAAGUUCUAUCAAUUGCUCAACAGUAAUUUGUUCACCCACCGUUUGCUAUUUUUCUCGAGAGAAGCCACUAGUGAAAUCUACGGCCCCCGGGUCUCUUCUAUAUUAUAUUUGCCUUCGCGGUCUAUUUUUAUUUGCUUUUAUUUUCAGAUCUAUUAAACCAAAUAUACAAAAAUACCUUGCUGCACUUUAUUUUACUUGGCGAUCUAUCUAUCAAUUUAUUGCAACUUUCUCACGUCCACUUGCCAAUUUCUUGAGCCGUUGCCCGAAAGUGAUUGACAACCCCUUUAAUACGUCGUGUUGCGAGUAUUUGUUAUUUGUGUGCAGGUGUCGUUCACGUAGUGUUGCGUGGUUCUCCUACUGGUUCGAUAACCUUGGUCUCCUCACUGAGGUAAAUACCUACCGUUGUUGUGCUGCAUCAUCCCUUCCUCUUUGGGGAAAUACCGAUGUAGCUCAAGCAAACAUCAAAAGGAAUUUCUGGCGAUGUUGUUGGGGAGACAUCAUCAACAUCUACCAGGUUCCUAAUCACAUAUCUCAUCUCCUCACAAUUUACAUUAUUUGCCAUUUUCCUCUCGUUUCCCUCUCCCCCACUUCACAAAAAUUUGUCGUUUUACUCGCCCCUUUUUCGUUCGCUGUUUUCUUGCAGGAUCUGUUUUUGAGUGCAAUCUUGUUGCAUAGUCAUAAUGACUCAAGAGAACACCAAGUUGUGUGAUUUCUCAAAUACCAAUAACAAUGAUUUUAUUGGCACUCCUAUUGCUCCUCCCGCCACUAGUGCAAAAUCUUGUGAUAUUAACACUGCUUUGCUGAAUUCUGUUAUGAAAGAUCAAUUUUCUGGUACUCCUAAUGAGGAUGUCGCGUCCCAUCUUAACACAUUCGUUGAAUUAUGCGAUAUGUAAAAGAAAAAUCAUGUGGACAAUGAUGUUGUGAAGAUGAAAUUAUUUCCCUUUUCUUUCCGUGAUUCUGCAAGAAAUUGGUUUUCUUCUUUUCCUCGCAAUAGUAUUGAUUCUUGGAAUAAGUGCAAAGAUGCUUUCAUCACUAAGUAUUUUCCACCCGCAAAUUUUUCCCCUUAGAACCAGAUCAUGAAUUUCAAGCAACAUGAGCAUGACCAUGUUGCACAAUCUUGGGAAAGGAUGAAAAUGAUGCUAAGGAAUUGCCCAACUCAUGGGUUAAAUCUUUGGAUGAUCAUACAAAAGUUUUAUGCGGGGUCGAAUUUUGUUUGUCGUAAUCAUUUAGAUUCUACUGCGGGUAGUACUUUUAUGGAAACUACUUUGGGUGAAGCCACCAAAUUGCUUGAUAAUAUUAUGGCAAAUUAUUCAGAAUGGCACACCAAAAGAGCUCCUACUAGUAAAAAAGUUAAUUCGGUUGAAGAAAUUUCUUCUUUGAGUGAAAAAGUUGAUGCUCUUAUGAAAUUGGUUGCUAGUAAAAGUGCUCCUAUUGAUUUCAAUGAUAUGCCUUUGUCUACUUUGAUUGAGCAAAAUAGUGAUGCCAUAAAUGUGGAUUUUAUCUCUCGAAACAAUUUCAAUAACAAUGCUUAUAGAGGUAAUUUUAAUCCUAGGCCUUUUCCUAGUAAUUCCUCUAAUAAUUAUGGUAAUUCCUAUGGAAAUCCUUCUUAUAAUAAUAAUAGGAACAUAUAUGAUCUUGAGAAUAAUAUUAAAGAAUUUAUCAACACACAAAAAGUUUUCAACACUAUCAUAGAAGAAAAGUUGAAUAAGAUUGAUGAUUUGUCUAGAAGUGUUGAUAGAAUUUCUCAAGAUGAAAUUUUUUGUGCCUAAGGUAGAGGAAUCAAAUAAAGCUCUUUACGAUUCCAUGGAUGAAAGUAAGAACAGAACCGCUAUGCUUAGAGCUAGAAGAGAAUUUUUAGAAAAUGUGUUUUCAAGUGAUUGCUUUCGUAAAAGUGAUGAAGAUCUUAAAAUGAUUGAUGUUUCUUCUAUUGAUUCCUUGUUUAGUAAAAUUAAAAGUGAUAAUAAAGGGACUAGAGAAGAGUCAACUUUAUAUAGAAGGCGUCCCGAUAAUUCGGAGGGUGGAAAUAUUGUUGAGAAAAUUGAUAAAAGUGGGUUUGAAGAGGUCAAGACUUUUAACUAAUGAUGUGCCCACUCUUUUGGAUUACAAAGACUUUAAUUAUGAUAGUUUAUCUUUGAUUGAUUGUAUUUCUUUGUUGCAAUCCAUGAUAAAUUCACCCCAUGCUUAUGAACAAAAUAAAUCUUUUACUAAACAUAUUGUUGAUGCUAUGAUGAAAGAUUUAGAAGAAAAGUUGGAAUUAGAAGUUUCAAUUCCUAGAAAAUUACAUGAUGAAUGGGAACCUACUAUCAAAGUCAAGAUUAAAAAUUAUGAGUGUUUUGCUAUAUGUGACUUGGGUGCUAGUGUUUCUACAAUUCUGAAAUCUUUAUGUGAUGUGCUUGGUCUUAUCGAUAUUGAAGAAUGUUCUUUAAAUUUGUACUUGGCGGAUUCUACUAUUAAAAAGCCUAUGGGAAGAAUUAAUGAUGUUCUUAUUCUUGAAAAUAGGAAUUAUGUGCCUAUAAAUUUUAUUGUUCUUGAUAUUGAUUGCAAUCCAUCUUGUCCAAUUAUUCUUGGUAGACCGUUUUUACGCACUAUCGGUGCAGUGGUUGAUAUGAAAGAAGGCAAUAUUAAAUUUCAAUUUCCACUAAGGAAGGGAAUGGAACACUUCCAUAGAACAAUAAUUAGUCCACCAUAUGAAUCAAUCACGAGGGCAUCUUAUGGAUCUCGAAACAAAGAUGACAACACGUAGAUCUUUGCUUUAUGCCUAGCUAGGGGCGUAAAACGAUAGCGCUUGUUGGGAGGCAGCCCAGUGAAUAAAAUUUAUUUUUGCCUUUUUCUUUCUAUUCUUGAGUGUUUGCACAAUCAUGCGACUGUUUUGAUUGUGUUUUUUGUGUUUUAGUUAGUGUUUGUGCCAAGCAAAGCCUUUAGGAUCUUCUUGGGUGAUAGUAGUUUGAUCUUGCUAAAAACAGAAACUUUUACACUCACGCAAAUAAUUUUCAUAAAUCACAGAAACGUGAUUUUGCUCUGAUUAGUUUUGCAUAUGAUUAAUAUACAAAUUUCUUAGGUCUUCCUAAUUUUUCCAAAUUUUUGGAGUUUCAUAAGUAUUCGAAAUAUCCAGAUUUCUACAGACUAUUCUGUUUUUGGCAGAUUCUGUUUUCUUUGCCUUUUGUGCUUGUUUUGAUGAUUCUAUGGUCUUAUUUGAUGAGUUUUUGCCAUCAAAAAGUUGGAAUACAAUAGAUAUAAUGCAAAAAUAAAAUAUGAAUUGGUUUUAUACAAUACUUAUAGUAGUGAUUUGUUUUCUUAUACUAACGGAUCUCACGAAGGUUUUGUUGAGUUUUGUGUGAUUGAAGUUUUCAAGUUUCGGGUGAUGUUAUGAUGGAUGAAGGAAUAAGGAGUAAGAAGAGCCUAAGCUUGGGGAUGCCCAUGGCACCCCAAGCUAUUAUCCAAAGAUAAGCAAGCAACUAAGCUUGUGGAUGCCCUGAGUGGCAUCCCCUCUUUCUUCUAACGACCAUCAGUAUUUUACUCGAAGCUAUAUUUUAUUCAUCACAUACUAUGAGUUUUGCUUGGAGCGUCUUGUAUGAUAUGAGUCUUUGCUUGUUUUGCUUUGUGUUCUAAGUCUUGAAUCUUUGCUGGACGCACCUAUUUGAGAGAGCCAAAAUUAUGCCAUGACUUGUUAGAAUUGCUCUCUAUGCUUCACUUAAAUCUUUAUGAGCUAUGGAAUUGCUCUAGUGCUUCACUUAUAUCUUCUUGAGCACGGUGUGCUUUAAUAUUUUUGAAGAAAUACUCUCUUGCUUCACUUAUAUUUAUUUGCAAGUUAAUAACUUUUUUAAGAAAUUCUCUCUUGCUUCACUUAAAUUAUUUUGAGAUAAAGAAAAAAUAUGCUCAUGAUCUUCACUUAUAUUUGUUUGAGCUUAUCAAAAGCAACACAUGGAAAUUAGUUCCAAAUUGAUAGAUAUCCAAGGAGGAUAUAAUAAAAACUUUCAUGAAGAUCAUUAGAGAAAAUAAACUUGAUUCCUUGUAAUAGUUUUGAGAUAUGAUGAUGUGAUAUGUGAGUUAUGUUGAUGAGUAAUUGUGCUUUAGUAAGAAUAUUGGUGUUAAGAUUUGUGAUUCCCUAUGCAAGCAUGAAAGUCAAUAGUCAUGCAAUGAAAUUACAUCCUACUUGUGGUGCAUUAUUCGGUGUUAAUUAUUCUUAUUUCUCGCUUAUGAGAUUAUUCGUUUAUUGGUUGGUCGCAUCUCAAUCUUUUGCUAGCCUUCAUUUUGCACUAAGUAUGAUCACUACUUGUGCAUCCAAAAUCCUUUAAACCAGUUUUGCCACACGAGUCCACUAUAUCUACCUAUAUGAAGUAUUCUGUUGCCAUUCUAAGCAAAUUUGUAUGUGCCAUCUCUAAUUUUCAUAAUAAAUUUCUCUUUUGUGUGCUCAUACCGCUCGUGAGGUGGUGAGGGGUGGCCACCGAAAUUAAAGAUCUGAUGUUGUUCAUCUUUGCAACUGGGGCGAAGGUUUCAUCAUAGUCCACUCCAUAUGUCUGGCUAUAACCUUUCGCCACAAGUAUCGCCUUAUAUCUAUCUACUUUCCCUUCGGGUGUAUGUUUUAUGGUAAACACCCAAUUUCAACCUACCACUUUCUUGGUACAAGUAAGUGGAGUAAUUACCCAUGUAUUAUUCUUGUCGAGAGCAGACAUCUCCUUAGGCAUUGCUGCCCUCCAUUUUGGGUUUAAUUUUGCCUCCUGCCAGUCCCAUGGUAAGGGUUCUGCAGAAUCCAGUGAUACAUUUCCAACGUAUCUAUAAUUCUUGAUUGUUCCAUGCUAUUAUAUUAUCAUACUUGGAUGUUUUACAAUCAUUUUAUAUCAUUUUUGGUACUACCCUAUUUGCCCAGUGCUAGUUGGUGUUUUCUGCAUGUUUUUUACAUUGCAGGAAAUCAAUACCAAAUUGAGUCCAAACGCAGGGAAACAUUUUGUGUAUUUUUUUGGACCAGAAGACAUCCAGUGGACCAAAGAAGUACCAAGGAGGGGGACCGAGGUAAGCACAAGACACUUGGGCACGCCUGGGGCCAGGCGCGCCCUGGUGGGUUGUGCCCACCUCGGUGGCCUCCCGCACCACCUCUUUGCUCUAUAAAUACCCCCAAUAUUCCAGAAACCCUAGGGGAGUCGACGAAAAUCGAUUCCAGCCGCCAUAGAGUCCAGAACUACCAGAUCCAAUCUACACACCAUCACGAAGGGGUUCAUCAUGCCCAUUGGUGCCUCUCCGAUGAUGCGUGAGUAGUUCUUUGUAGACCUAUGGGUCCGUAGUUAGUAGCUAGAUGGCUUCCUCUCUCUCUCUUUUGAUUCUCAAUACAAUGGUCUCUUGGAGAUCCAUAUGAUGUAACUCUUUUUUGCGGUGUGUUUGUUGGGAUCCGAUGAAAUUUGAGUUUAUGAUCAGAUCUAUCUUUUUAUCCAUGAAAGUUAUUUGAGUCCUCUUUGAUCUCUUAUAGGCUUGUAUUUCUUCUCCGAUAUUUGGGUUUUGUUUGGCCAACUUGAUCUAUUUAUCUUGCAAUUGGAAGAGGUACUUUGUGAUGGGUUUGAUCUUACGGUGCUUGAUCCUAGUGAUAGAAGGGGAACCGACACGUAUGCAUCGUUGCCAUUAAGGAUAAAACGAUGGGGUCUAUUUCUACAUAAAUAGAUCUUGUCCACAUCAUGUCGUUGUUCUUAUUGCAUUACUCUGUUUCUCCAUGAACUUAAUACACUAGAUGCAAGCUGGAUAGUGGUAGAUGUGUGGAGUAAUAGUAGUAGAUGCAGGCAGGAGACGGUCUACUAAUCUUGGACGUGAUGCCUAUAUAAUGAUCAUUGCCUAGAAAUCAUCAUGAUUAUUUGAAGUUCUAUCAAUUGCCCAACAGUAAUUUAAUCAACCACUGUUUGCUAUUUUUCUCGAGAGAAGCCACUAGUGAAAUCUACGGCCCCCGGGUCUCUUCUAUAUUAUAUUUGCCUUCACGAUCUAUUUUUAUUUGCUUUUAUUUUCAGAUCUAUUAAAACGAAAAUAUAAAAAUACCUUGCUACACUUUAUUUUAUUUGCCGAUCUAUCUAUCGGUUUAUUACAACUUUCUCACAUCCACUUGCCAAUUUAUGGCGCCAUUACCCAAAAGGGAUUGACAACCCCUUUAAUACGUCGGGCUGCGAGUAUUUGUUAUUUGUGUGCAGGUGUCAUUCACAUAGUGUUGCGUGGUUCUCCUACUGGUUCGAUAACCUUGGUCUCAUCACUGAGGGAAAUACCUAUCGUUGUUGUGCUGCAUCAUCCCUUCCUCUUUGGGGAAAUACCUACGUAGUUCAAGCAAACAUCAUCUAGCGCUGCAAUAAAGGACUUAUAAGAAGGACUAACAAUAUCAUAAGAGACAUAGCUGGAGACAUUACAAGGAUCCAAUUUAGAGGGAAAUUUUCUGGCAUUAGCUUGUGGUUGCUUUCUAUAAGCGAUUGGGACAUCAAGGUCGUCACAUUGAGAAGAUAUGUUACCACUGUCCAAGGAAGGUGUAGUAUCACUAGUUUGAACUUGAAUAUUAUCUUUUUGGUCAGCCUCCUUCUCUUGCUCACCGUGUUUCCCAUAAGCCCCGGGCUCAAGUUCCAACACUUGGAUCUGUUCCUCCUCAAUAUGAUGUCUUCGUGUAUACACCUGAAUCUCCCUUUCCUCAUUUGGUUUUGGCCACCGGAAUGCUUCACUUGAUGUGUCAUACUGCUGCUCAUGUCUUCAUUCUUGCUUUGUUUCCUCUAGAAUUACCCAAAUUAUCAUCUUUUUGGAUCUCGCAUCAUCUUCCUCUUCCUUAUCUCCCCCUGUCUCACAAUCUGCAUCCAAAUUUUCAUUAGCAAACAAAUCAGGGAGGACAUCGGUUAAAUCUGUCGGUUCACCAUAGAAUGGUUCCUGCUCCCUAAAUACCACAUACAUACUCACAAACAUUCUCCUUUCAAAUGGACACCAACAUUUAUAUCCCUUCUGGUUACUAGAAUACCCCAUGAAUACACACUUUAACACCUUUGGAUCUAGCUUGCCAAUAGAUGGUCUAUAAUCCUUCACAAAACAAACACACCCAAAGACCUUAGGUGGAACCACAUAUUUUGUUUCACCCAUUAGACACUCUAACAGUGUUUUAUAAAAAAGUACCCUCGAUGGCAUUCUAUUCAUCAAGUAAGUGGCUAUAAUUACAGCUUCAACCCACAAAAACUUAGGAACAUUCAUAGAUAGCAUUAUGAAAUGAGUGAUUUCCAGAAGAUGUCUAUUCUUCCUUUCGGCCAAAUCAUUCUACUCUGAAGUAGCUGGACAAGUUGUGUGAUGAAUAGUCCCAAAACUGGAUAAGUACUCAUCAAAUUCCCUGUUCACAUACUCUAUGCCAUUAUCAGUGAGAAAUGUUUUCACACAUGCAUUAUAUUGCAUUCUGAUCAUAUUAUGAAAAUCAACAAAGCAUUCAAACACAUUGUUCUUGUUCUUCAACACGUAAACCCAAGUUAAUCUAGUACAAUAGUUAAUAAAGGUAACAAACGAGCGAUAUCCAUUUAAAUACGAAACUCCACUAGGACCCCACACAUCCGAAUGUAUAACUUGAAGUGGUGUGCCACUUCUGUUAUCAGAUGAUGUAUAGGAGCUACGUGUUUGUUUACCAUAUUGACAAGCGUCACAUACUAGACUUCCCUGGUUAAAUUUACUAUAAAGAGCAGGAUAAAUCCUACUAAGGGUGACAAAAGACAUAUGUCCUAGCCUGCGUUUGUGAAGAAGGAAUUCAUCAUGUGGUGAAUGGGACGCAACAACUGCAACCACAGGUGGCACAUUAUUAUCCAGAUAAUAUAGUCCAUCAUGCAUGAUCCCCGUCCCAAGUCUUCUUCCAGUCCCAAGUUCCCAAAACAAGCACCAUGAUGGAAAGAAGAUAGAACCACAAUUAAGUUCAUUUGUGAUGCAACUAAUGGAUAGCAGAUUUAUUGGGAAUGAGAGAACAUGCAAAACAGAUGACAAAGACAUAUCAGUGCUACACAUAAUUGUCCCAGAUCCCAUAAUGGUUUGGGAGGAGCCAUCAACUAUUUUAACAGUUUGCUUAUUUAAAUUAGGAGUAUAGUCAAUAAAAUUUCCGUGGGAACCAGCCAUAUGUCUAGAUGCACCUGAAUCUAAUAACCAUGGUGCAUCCAUGGACUUAUCUAUCAUAGUGUGAGAGUUGUUACCAUCAAAAAUUGCUAACGCAGCAGAGGUAGGCGCUUCAACAGUUGGCUUGUCACCUAGAGAAGGCCCCUUGAAUUGACACCACUUCUCCCAAUCCUCAGCAGUCAUCUCAACACUCAUAUUUGGGUGGUAUUUUCGGUGAUUACCGACAUGUUUGCUUUAGCAGUAGGGCGUGUACCUCGCCCAUGGCCAUGGCCUCUUCCAUGGUAGUCCUGCCCUCUUCCUAUGCCGCCUCCCAUUAACUCAGGGCAUGAAAACUUCAAAUGUCAUGGAUGACCGCACUCGAAGCAUGUCUUCUCAACUGUAUUUGAUCUCGACCUUUGAUAAUUUCCACCCUCUGCUACAUACAGUGAUGAUUGCCGCUGCAUGAUACCUUGCAUCACUGACCUGUCUGCCUCUAAUUUCAACCUGGUUUCCUCACUAAUGAUAGCUAAUAUUGCCUGCUUCAGUGUAGGAACCUUUCCGCCACCAUACAAUGCAAUCCUCUUGUUUUCAUACUUAGAAUGAAGUCCAAUUAGGAAGUCCCUCACACGUCUCUUUUCUGUCCACUCAUUAAAUUUCUCCAUGCACUUUCCACACUCCAUAUCAAUUGGAUCAGAGUAAUCAAUCUCACUCCACAAUCUCUUCAACUCAGACACAUAAUCCACAACUGACUUGUCACCCUCACUCAACCCCUGUAGUUCCUUCUGAAUUUUACAAGCAAGCAUCUCAUUACUCACUCCAGAAUAUGUACUUUUCAGUAGACACCAAAUUUUUGACGCCUCCUUAAUCCUUUCCACCUGCUUAGCAAUUUUAGGUGAGACUGAACUCAGCAGGCAUGCUCUCACUAAUGCGUUGGUCAUCUUCCACUUCUGGCCUUCCUUGGAGUUCUCGUCAGCUGGUUUUUCAAUUGCCCCAUGUAUGUAGCCCUCUAGGCUUCUUGAGACAAGAAUUGUCUCUACAUGCUCUGCCCAACUUGCAUAGGUUUCAGAUCCAUCUAACCUCACCAGGGGCAUUUGCAAUGGAUGAACCUCCUCCUUGACCUCUGCUUUUGGUUUUGGACUCCCUCCUUGCUUGUUCAUAGCCUCGAACAACAAUCUGUAUUUCUCAUCCAUGGCUUGCAACACCGCUACAAGCUCCCCUGCCGUGACUCCCGAUGGAGCGGCAUCCUUGUCACCCAUCAUUGCGAACCUAUCCUUGGUGCGCUGCUCUGACCUGGUGUUUAGCAGCAUAGAAAUCCUCUUGCUUCAGGAUUAAGCACACUUCUGACCUUCGGUGCUUCUUUCUCUGUUGCAACACAAGAGCAGCUCAUGCAUCCUCCCGUACACGAAUCUUUCCCAACAACACCACAUAACCACCUCCAGGGAGCACUCUCCUACACCUCUGCUUGGCACCUCCAGCCUGCUUCCACACCUACAGUUCUUCUUGCCUCCAAAUCAGUGGCUCUCCACCAACUGUUGCCCCAGCCGCAAUUAUUUGUACCCACUCGCUCCAAAUUCCCAGGGUUGUGCAUGACUCCUAUUGGCUAUUUGGCUGGUUUCCUUUUUCAGGACGAAAACAAGGAACGAGUUUUGGGAUUAUGCACUGGUGACGGUACGAACGGAGUAGGACAGUUGGCAAGCAAUACAAUGAGCUCUUCUUAUUGAUAAAGCCAGUAAUAAUCAAACUAGAAAGGAAAAGAAAAAAGAAAAAGAAAAAUAUCUGCAUGAAUCUUCGCGUAACAUCAAUGGCAUAGGAGUACCUAGAUGUGCAUUAUUUAGAGCACAUCUAGAUGUGCUUUAGCAAUACUGUCAAACAAAACCCCUAAUCAUCAUUGCAAACAGCGCAUAGAACAUGGCUAAUGCGACAAUCACAACAAGAUGUAGGAUCUUGAAGUAUGUCUAGAGGGGGGUGAUUAGACUACUUGACCAAAUAAAAACUUAACCUUUCCCCAAUUUUAGUCUUUGGCAGAUUUUAGCAAACUUAGCACAAGUUAAGAAAUCUUAACACAAUUCAAGCAAGCAUGCAAAGAGUAUAUGAGCAGCGGAAAAUAAAGCAUGCAGCUUGCAAGAAUGUAAAGGGAAAGGUUUGGAGAUUUCAAACGCAAUUUGGAGACAUGGUGAUUUUUGAGCCGUGGUUCCGAUAGGUGGUGCUAUCGUACAUCCACGUUGAUGGAGACUUCAACCCACAAAGGGUAACGACUGCGCGAGUCCACGGAGGGCUCCACCCAAGAAGGGUCCACGAAGAAGCAACCUUGUCUAUCCCACCAUGGCCUUCGCCCACGAAGGACUUGCCUCACUAGCAGUAGAUCUUCACGAAGUAGGCGAUCUCCUUGCCCUAACAAACUCCUUGGUUCAACUCCACAAUCUUGUCGGAGGCUCCCAAGUGACACCUAGCCAAUCUAGGAGACACCACUCUCCAAGAAAUAACAAAUGGUGUGUUGAUGAUGAACUCCUUGCUCUUGUGCUUCAAAUGAUAGUCUCCCCAACAUUCAACUCUCUCUUACAGGAUUUGGAUUGGGUGUAAGAAGUUUUGAGUGGAAAGCAACUUGGGGAAGGCUGGAGAACAAGAUUCAUAUGGUAGGAAUGGAAUAUCUUGGUCUCAACACAUGAGUAGGUGGUUCUCUCUCAGAAAUGGUAAGUUGGAAGUGUAGGUUUGUUCUGAUGGCUCUCUCCACGAACGACGAGGAGGUGGCGGGGUAUAUAUAGCCUCCACACAAAAUCUAACCAUUACACACAAUUUACCAAUCUCGGUGGGACCAAAUCAACAAACUCGGUCAGACCGAUUUAGUAAGCAAUGUGACCGUUAGGGUUUUCGGUGGGACCGACAUGCAACUCGGUAGGACCAAUAUGGUUAGGGUUAGGGCAUAACGUAAUCUCGGUGAGACCGAUUACACAAACUCGGUGAGACCGAUUUUGGUAAUAAGCUAACCAGAGAGUUGGUCAGGCAAACUCGGUGUGACCGAUUACACAAACUCGGUGGGACCGAUUUGGUAAUAAGUUAACCAAAGAGUUUGCAUUGUAAUCUCGGUAGGACCGAUUACUCAAACUCGGUAAGACCGAUUUUGAUAAUGGACAUACACAGAGAGAUUACAAUCCCAUCUUUGUGAGACCGAGAUCCCUAUCGGUGAGACUGAUUUGCCUAGGGUUUGUGGUAGUGGCUAUGACAUCUGAACUCGAUGGUGUCGGAUAGAAAGAAUCGGUGGGGCCGAGUUGGACUUUAGGUUUAGGUCAUAUGUGGAUGUGGGAAAGUAGUUGAGGGUUUUGGAGCAUAUCACUAAGCACUAUGAAGCAAGAAACUCAUUAAGCAACACCUCAUCCCUCCUUGAUAGUAUUGGAUUUUCCUGUGGACUCAAUGUGAUCUUGGAUCACUAAAAUGUAAAAUGUAGAGUCUUGAGCUUGAAGCUUGAGCCAAUCCUUUAUCCUUAGCAUAUUGAAGGGGUUCCACAUCCUUUAGUUCAUGCCACUUCAUUAUUGAACUUAUCUGAAAAAUAUACUAGGUAAAAGUGUUAGUCCAACAAGAGAUAUGUUGACAUUAAUUACCAAAAUCACCUAGGGAGCACUUGUGCUUUCAAUCUCCCCCUUUUUGGUAAUUGAUGACAACAUACAUCAAAGCUUUAGAUAGAGGAUAUAUAUAUAUAUAUAUAUAUAUAUAUAUAACUAUUCUGUUACCGGUAACAGAAUAUUAUUCUGUUACCCUCGGUCCCUAUAAGGGUGCGACGCGCAAACACAGUAGAAACUCCCUGACCCAUGCCCAAUUUAACCCGCCUCCUACCGCCGGAGGCAGCUGUCGCGGGCGAGCGAGCGACGGCAGCAGCCGGAGCGAGGGAGCCCGCGGCACCGUGACGGGUAGCUCCUCCGACACGCGCUGCCGCCAGCCCCUCCCCGUGCGCCUUCCCUCCGACGGGCGCCGCUACCUCCGCGCGCACCUCCCCGUUGAUGGGUGCCAGAUCCUUCCUGCAUGCCUCCCCUCCGAUGGGCUCGCCGGCCGCUCCCCGCGAGCCUCCCCGCCGACGGGUGCUGGCCCCUCCCCGUCCGCCACCCCCAGCUUCGAGAGUCAGUGCCCAUCCACGGAUUCAAGCAUCGCCGCCCACCCCCGGAUUGGAGGGACGGCGGCCUUCCUCCCGACUGCCUCCGCCGUGACUCUAGGUACCCACCUCCACUUCACGGUCGUUCACUAACAUGGGCACCACCGCCUCCCCCGUGCUUCCUCCCGACUGCUUCUCCUUGUGUGGUUGGGAACCAGCCCCCGUGCACUGCUUCAGCGCAGUCCCGGUCCAGGUACGGUGCUUACCAAAGUCCAGCUCUACCUCCCUUGCCCGUCCGAGCUCAACAAUUCUGACUACCGAUGCUACAAAUUCGAGUCUAGUGCGCCACUGAGGCUACAAGUUCGAGUCUAGUUCUCCACCGAGGCUACAAGUUCAAAUUACUACAACAAUUCAGAGAAGGGAACCAGAGAAGUUCAAAAAGAAAAACUCACAUCUGAAGUAUAAUCUAGUUUACCUUGUUGGUGCUAUUCCUAUGUAAUCUAGUUUGUUCGGGAUUGGGAUACUAGUAUGUAAUUGUUGAACUAAGAAUUUGGGAAAACUAAUUGGAUUACAUAUGUCAUCUCUUGCUGAAUUGUUGGUGCUAGACCUAGGUCGAGUGCGGAGUGCCGCUCCAGUUGUACUUCGGCGCUGCGGCAUGUGGUAGGGAUGCAGAAGGAACACCUCGGCUUUGGCGGGCAAGCACACCACGAGGUAAUGGAAAGCUCCAAUGCACACCUACAAUGUAUUUUGUGCUGAAUGUGUUGUUCUAAUCUGCUGUCAUCGCAAGCUGCUAUGAUGUGUUGUCACCAUUUAUAAUCUGUUAAUGACUGGUAUGUUCUUGUCAGUCAGUUCAUGUGUGUCCUUGUUGUCAGGUCGUGUUCAUCUUUUAUAUUCUACGGAUGUGUUCUGCUCUCCUCCAUUUUCAACUGAACGUGCUGCCAUGUGUGGAUUUCCCCUCUAACUCCACAACAAGUUGAAUCCCGAAAAUUAUAAUGGUAAGUGCAAGAUUCAGUACUCUCCAUUUUGAUUUUCUAUAAAAAAAAGGCCAAUCAUUCUUGUUGCUUCACAUACACUAGUAUACGGGAGUACUGGAAUCCAUCCACGGAACAAUCAAGCAACCAUAGAUAUCAGCCCACCACCGUGUUGCGUAUUUUCUUAUGCUUACAAGAAUUCUGCACUCAUACUGUUAUGCAUCAGUUCAAGUCGCUUAUGGAGUUUUAGAUAUAUGCAAUUGGAUUAGAGCACCAUGUCUCUCACCUAAAAGUUUGAAAAAUCAUUGCUUUCAGUUCUGGUAACAUAUAUUUUUGUUUUGGUUUUGCUAAUUCUUUCUCCAAUGGCCUUUAUAUAUUAUCUUUCAUAUGUCUUACUAUAUGAAAAAAUGUUGCCUUCAGCAAGCAAUCUUGCUUAGUUUUCUGGUUAGAAAAACAGACAACAUGGAUUACUACCAUGGGAAUUCAAAGAAAUGUCAUAUAUAAAAAUAGUACAAUUUGUGAGCUUCUUGCAGACUAAUGAUGAGUUACUAGAUAAACUAAGGGUCAUCUUUUAUGGGCUCGUGGCCGGAACACGAAGCUCAAGUUGUGGUCCAGUAUGUCAGAAAAAUUCAGCCACCCCGUGUCCAGGAACUUUGCCUCGACAGUACAACAUCACACUCUGUUGUCGGUCGCGAGAAGAGCUGCGUGCAAGCCACCCCGUGUCCGCCCUCGAUCCGUCUCAGUCAUCUCCCUCUCAUCCCCUCUCUCUCUGGUCUGCGUUUCUAUGUGCAGGGAGUGGGAGGUGAUAGAGCAGGGGAGUGGGAGGCCCUUCCAUGGCAAAUUCGUUGGCAUCUUCCAUGGAGAUAGCGACCUCUCUUGAUUUUUGCUUGAGGAUUUCUCCUCUGGAUCUGUCCACUGAAGUUCUUGUAUAGCGGUGUCCUUUUUUCUAGUGUUCCUUAAUGCUAAUGCAUGUGUUUAAUAACCCACUCAUACGAAUUCUAAAAACAAGCUUCAGUACAAGAAAAAUGGGUCGUUCAAUUCAAUUCUGAAUUAUAGGUGUGUGUAAACACAUCCUCCUUACACAGUAAAUAAUUAACUAUGAUACCAUGUUCAGACUUCUACAAAUCCCAAAACUAUGCAGAGUUAGGAUUGUUACUACCUUGUUUCUUACUAUUGAUUCAUUUUUAUACUAUAUUGAGAUGGUGCAUGUAGUUGGACAUCUCAAUAUACUGGUGAUUGCUUCUUGCUGCCUCUGUUUUUAUCAUGAUUUGGUGUGUGCACUGCAGGAGUGUUUUUGUUCCUAGAUCAGUUGCUCAACGACAGAAUUGUGUAUCGCACAGUACAUGUAUUACUACUAUGAAGGUUCAGAAAUAAGAACUCAAAGAAGUAUUGAUAGCAUAGCUACUGUAUAUUCAAGGAGUCGGGUUUUGCUCCUGCGCCAUCUCGUCUCCUCUGUUCAGCAAAAGCCUCUAGAUAAAUUCACACAUAUGGUUUUGUUCUUUCUAUAUUUCUUGAGUCCAGACUCCUUCGUUUUUUGUUCCUGAGAAAUUAAAUAAACGUGUAGAAGUUUGGGGUAUAAAAUUAUGUAUGUUUGAAAUCGGGAAACUGGUAAGUGCAGACAAAAUUAAAACUGUCAAAGAACAUGAGAGUGUUUGUCAAAGAACUGAGGCUUCCCCACGACAGUACAAAAAUUUUAAAUGUUCGAAUUUUGUUACAGCAAAAACUGAAUGGGUGGCAAGAUGAAUAUCAUUAUUAUUAAAAGUUUCUUUUUGAACUUCUCGGGUUAAUAUACAUGAACUUGAUUAUCUUUUUAAGCAGUUAAAUAUACAUGGUUGGCAAGAUGACUAUAGUUGUUAUAGCAAAAAUAGUACAUUUUUUCAAGAAAAGUUUCUGUUUGAACUUCUCCGGUUAAUAUAGAUGAACUCAAUUAUCUUUUUAAUAUGCACUCACAUGAGCUCGUUUGGAUUUGUGUGUAUAUUUGUAACACAAUCAGUUGAGAUCUGGAGAGAUCGUAAGUUCAGUUGGCCUUGGCAUCACGAGCGGGUUCAGUUCGAUCUCGCACAGUGGGCAGGUCCCCGAUGGUGUGUGCGUCAGGUCUACUCGCACGAGUGGACGUCAAAUCACGCAAGUGGGCAGGUCCCCAAUGGUAAGAACUAAGAACUUAUUCAAUUCCUGCUGCUAUCAAGCUGUUUGUUGAUAUGCUUACAAGAAAUGAAAUAUCCUUUUUGAUGUUUCUUUGUUGCCAAAUAAAAAGCUAAUAUUUACGGGCAUGUGCAAUAUAAACAUUUGUUAUGGAGUAGUACACAUUUUAAAACUUUUAUAUAAUUGCAAAAAAACAGGUAUUCUCAUUCCCAAAAUCCUACAAAAAAACAUCAACUUAUAUUGAUAGUUUUGGUUCUAGUCCUUAUGGCCCGGUUCUAGUAACUGUGUCGCCCGUGCAUUUUAGUUUUUUGUUAUCUCUCCUGGAUGCUUUUGAAGAGCUUCAAUUGUUUUUAGUUCAUAUUUUGAAUUCUUUUCAGUACAUCUACUUACCAAUCGUAAGUCAAGUUUCCUUUGUGUUUCCAUGAUAUUUCUAUAGCACAACAGGUGUGUGUGGUUAUGUUAAUGAGCGCAUGUAACAAAGUUUAUUUUGUAAGUUCAAAGAAGCAACGAGGUAAAAGCAAAAUACUAAAACCAUGCAGUUCUUGUAAAGAUAUCUGAAAGUUCAACAAUAAAAAUUAUAUAAGUUUAGUCUCAAGUGGAGAGAAGUUCCUGCAUCUUUGUCUGCCCGUGGAUGCUCGUGUGCUAUAGUUGCUUUCUCCCCUUCUUGCACAUGCUGCUACUCACCUUUUUAUCUCUCUGAUGCGUUGUGUCACACUACUACAGCUCGAUCCAGGAGGUGCUAGCUCAUGCUGGCUGGAACUAGGAUGCAAAACGGUUGACGGAUCCAUGCCGCACAAGCACUGGUGCUCUACUUUCUUCUUACUUUGUGUUCUAAUUUGCUUUCUUCUUAUUGACAAAACGGGGGGUGCUAAUAUUUUUUUAUUGAUGCAUGUUCAUGAGCAGUUCAAAACCUAAUAUUUUUAUUGACAAUUUGAACUUGCAACCUUACUAUCUUGUACUAUUCUAAAAAAAAUGUGCUCAUGCAGGUACUUGAAGGGUGCAGACUUGGCAGCGGAGUGGUUUGUUCAACAACAGUACAAUGACAGAAAGAACAUCAGUUCAAAAAAAUAUGCAAGAGGUUUGGGAGCCAAACAACUGGUAUUUUGUUGUGUUUUAAUUUUUUGGGUGCAUGAUUGAACAAAGAGAGAAGAAUAAUGUAUGAUAUAUAUACCGUUGUUGUAGGAGGUUCAAAGAUUGUCGUGGAGCAAGUUCAAGAGUUUGUUUUCAUGUGAAAAAAUGUGAUUUUUUGGUCAAGAUUUUGCAUGAUUGAUAGCCAUUAGUGGCAGCUGGCCAGCAGUUCAAGCCCGCAUGCGCGAGCCGCCCAUCGUCUUCCACACGUGAUCCUGUUGCUUGAUGAUGCUUGACAUGAACUGAACUAGCUCGAUGGAAUUGUUUUUCUGCAAUGUAAUGUAAAUGAAUAUGGUAAACAAACUGGGACACCAGAUUGUUUUAGAGGUGGAGUUUGUGCUCCAGUUGAGUUCCAGCAGAUUGUGGUUGCUGGUUGUUUCAAGUGAAGGUGGUUGGGCAUUACUUGUGUAGGACUGAAUGAAUCUUGUAUGUAAAGGAAACUGGAUCAAAUAGUCGUCGGUAUUAAGAUUUAAAAUUACAUUUUGAAUCAUUAUCUUGUGAUUUUAGGCUGAACUCCAAUACUUGCAUCCGCCACCCCAACGCCGAUGUGUUCCCUCGGUCCUCUCUCGACAAACCCAACAGUACAGGUUCUCCGAUGCGCCAAGUAUUGCCUGCGGUGAUGCCUGCAUCAUGGCCCAUUUGAGGAGAUCUUGUGUAUUCCACAUAGAAGAAAUAUUGUUUGUUCAUGAAUAUUCUCGCCAGGUAGGAUGUUUUGGAGAGGAAAACAUAAGUUUUUAAAAGAAGGAAUGGUAAAAAUGUAAGUCCGUUCAACUAUAUAAACCAUAAAAGUACGAUGGUGAUGACAUUGACAGUAAGGAUAAGGAUGAGAAAGAAAAUUAAAAACUAAAACUAAAAGAACAUUGAGUGAUUAUUUUUUGAGAAGUACAAACUCUCUAGUACCAUAAGUACCAUAAAUUAAAAAUUAAAAAUUGCCUAAGUUCUGACUGAAGGGGACAAAUUUGCAAAAAAAAUCAUAGCAGUAAAGGUUCGAAGGAAAAAAGCAACUUAACAAAUGGAAAAAACGACAAUGGAUUUAUAUUAUGUUAAUCACCGGUGUGCUCUUGUUUGUCAGUUCAUGUGUGCUCUUGUUAUCAGGUCGUGUGCCAACUUGUUAUUAAUUUUGUGUGUGUGUGAGUUGGUAAACCAAGUGUAGAUGCUGCAGAAAAAAGGCAUGGGAUGUGCUGCCGUCGGUUCUCUCUUGACAAAUCCAGCACUGCGGGUUCUCUGGUGCGCCAAGUAUUGCCGGCGGCGAUGCUUGCAUCAUGGCCCAUUGAGUAGAUGCAAUUUUCCUGAUUUUCACAGACAACAUGGAUUUUAGUUCAGCUACAGAAACCACGCAGGUUCAAUGAUAAUGAUACCAUAAGUUCAGACAAGAAAACAAAUAAGAAUUAAAACAGAAAAUUUUAAAUUAUACAAGUUCAAGUGCUCAUCCACACAUGAUAAUUCAAGUUGGUAAAAGUUUAAAAUGGUAAAAAGUUCAAGUUGCAAAAACAAGAGAAAUCUAGAACAUUCGUUGCAAAAAAAUUGACUUCAAAAAAAAGAAACACGCUAAAAAAAUUUGGCAAAAAAAUAACAUUCAGUUCAACAAUAAAAACCAUGCAAGUUCGGGCUAGGAUACAGUACACUGUUGAAAACUUACGAGAAAAAAAUUACCCAAAAACAGAGCAAAAUCUAAUUAGUGAAAACACGCUUAGUACAAACCCAUGCAAACAUGAGUACAAGUAUAGUUUUUUGGAACCAUUCAAAAUGACUGUACAAAAAUAGCUCAGUACAAACAUACACAUAUAUCAGUACGACUACUCUAUUUUUCAGACGAGAAAACAGUAGGAUCCGUCACGCCGUAUUCGAAAUUACUCUUAAACGGUUGCGAAGUAAAGAAAACGUCCAACAUGACUAAGUUUCACAUUUUCGAUAGCUAUCCAACGGUAUAUUAUUUGCCCCAUUUCGACAAACUUUUUAAAAAACCACGUUCGAAACCAAUUUUAACCGUAUUUUAAUUCGUAUUUAAACCAUAAGGAAUUAGAAAAAACUUUCUAUACGCAAAAGUUACGCAUUUUCCAUAGCUUUCCAAUGUCGCAUCAUUUGCGUCAACCGACAAACCGUUUGCAAAAAAUAGGGAAAAAACGUUUCCCCAGAAUUUUACCGUUUUUCAAAUUACUUUUAAAUCAUAUAGAAUUUGAAAAAAUAGUAGAUAUAUGGAAGAUGCGAAUUUUCACAAGCUUUCCAACGCCGUCUCAUUUGCUCAAUUCCGACAAACCAUUUGAAAAUUAGGUCCAAAAUACGAUUCGCGUUUUCGGUUUUCAAAAAAACGGUUUUUUCAAAAUUGCUCUUAAAUCAUAAUUUUUUUUGUAAAAAACAAAUUAUAGGAUUGUAAUGUGGAUGUCAAGAGCUUUCCAACGAUAUAUUACACGCCCCGUUUCGACAAAAAAAAUUACAAAAAAAUUUGAACUAAAGAAAACGAUUUUUAACAUAGGUAUAACAAUAUCGGGACGUGAAGCACAUAGGUAUAACAAUAAACCAAUCAUAGAGCAAUAAACCUUUUGAUCAACCGGUUCACCAUCUUUGGUCAAACCAAGAUGUCCACUAAUAGUCAUGGGUGUAGCCAUACCUUUGCAUUCUUGCAUAUUGAACUUCUUGAAUAAGUCCUUCGUCUACUUCGUUUGAGAGACAAAAGUACCUUCCUUAGUUUGCUUGAUUUGCAACCCAAGAAAGAAUUUGAGUUCACUCAUCAUUGACAUCUCAAACUUCUCCGACAGUAGCUUUCCAAACUUCUCACUAAAAUGAGGGUUAGUUGAUCCAAAUAUAAUAUCAUCAACAUAAAUUUGGCAUACAAAUAAUUCUCCAUUAACCCUUUUAGUAAAAAGUGUAGAAUCAAUUUUCCUAAUUUCAAAGCCUUUUUCAAUAAGGAACUUGGUUAAGCAUUUAUACCAAGCUCUAGGAGCUUGUUUAAGACCAUAAAGAGCUUUGCGAAGUUUGUAGACAUGAUUGUGUUUCUUAGGAUUGAUAAAGCCGGGAGGUUGUUUUACAUAGACUUCCUCCUCUAUUUCACCAUUUAGAAAAGCACUUUUGAUGUCCAUUUGUUACAAGGUGAUAUCAUGGUGAUUAUCAUAGGCAAGUAAUAUGCGAAUGGAUUUGUGACACUCCAAAAUUUUAAUUUGGUUUUCAUCAAAAAAAAACUUUGUGGUUUUUGAAAAGAGGCCAUUUAAUUUUUUUUUCCAGAAAACCUUCCUCUUAAAAACUUCCUUUGCUUUGGCAAGGAUUUUAUUUUUUUCAGACUUUGGUGUUUGAUCUUUUGAAACUUCUUCUCUGUUGGUUCCCUCUCAAAUUAUUUUGGGAGUUUAAUUUGUUUUUCUUUUAAAAUGAAACUCUAUGAAAAUUUGGGAUUUUCAUAUCUUGGAAACCACCCAUGACUUGGCAUUUUUGCCCAUGUGGUAAACCCCCUCCAAAACCUCCCCUACUCCUUGUAAUCAGCCUAAAUUCUCUGUCCCAACUAAUCCAAGCAAGUUUUGGAUUUUAUUCUAAUUAUUUUUCCUCUCAAAUCAAUUCUAUAAAUUAUUUUGAGCCUUAGUGAUUUUCAAAGCAAGUACCACUUUGCCUUUGAGUUUUUAUCCCAAACCAACUGUCCUGGAUAGUCCUUUGUACCCACAACCCAGAACCAUCUUGAUCCACUCCUCCUCUUUUCAAAUUUUUCAAAAUUCAGUCUCUGCAAGUUUGGACCAGAUUUGCCAAAUUUGAUGAAAUUCAUAUCUACACUCCUCCAAAAAUUCCACCAAAAAUCAUGCAGCCUACUGGAGCAAUGAGAAGCCACUCCACCAAAAAUCAGCUCAAGGAAAAAUCACCAGAGGCCAAAUUCAUUCUGUCGAACACCUUGCAUGCACUGUUGCUAUUCAAAAUUCAGAAAGAUUCAGAAUUCAGUGUCAUUUUUCGUUCGUCAGCUUCACUCACGCGUUCACAGUGCACUUGGCACGUUCCUCGCCGCCUCUUCCUACUGUAUGGAGCACCACACGCGCACUUGGCCUCUUCCUAGCGUCGGUGGCACGCUGGCCCGCCCUCGCCGGCGUCUUCUGCGGCGUCGGGACCUCCCGCGGCGGCCGACAGGGGACGGAACGGCGGCUCAACGCCGUUCGGCGCCGCCCAACGCCCGUCUGCUCUCCGCGUGGCCUCAUGCAUGCCAGCGCACGCCCGUGGCACCGUCGCCGUGGCCCAGCAAGCACGGAACAUGCUCACUGCCGGCGACGGGCCCGCGCCGUCCCGUUCUGUCGAACUCGCCCCUAGUACCAAAUCCCAGGCCGAUUAGCACCUAAAUGGAACCGGUGGACCUCAACGGCGUUUCCCAAGCCCCUAAUCCCACUGCCCAACCACAACGCCGCUGUAAUCACUCGCCGGACUUAUCCCGUUCGCGGCAACGCCUCGGGCCGGCUAUAUAUAGCGCCCCUAAGCUCCCUCUCGCCCCCGCACACCUCCACCACCUCACUGGACCCCGACCAGCAACUAGAAGAGCCUCGAGGGGCCCUUCUUCCUCGACUCCGGCCGCCUCGCUCCGCCUCGGCCACCAGCUCGAUUCGCUCCGGUGAGGCCGUCUCCGGCGCCCAAACCCCGUCCGUUACCCCCUCUAGCUACCAGAAGCCUAACCUACUCUUCAAUUUGAUCUUCACAGCUCUCUCCGAUGAAGUCCGCAACCACCCGAGCCGCCGUCCGCCGGAGCCAGGCUCGCCGUCGACGUGGUACUCACCGGCGACCACCACCACCACCAACCGAUGCGGAAUGGCACCCUGAACUCGGAGGUACCCUCCGAUCCCCCUGCCUCGCCGUGCAUCGCCGCCGGCGACCACCGCGGCUCUCGGGCGCCGACGAGCUUCAUUUCCCCCCUUUUGAAAGUUCAAACCUGACAGGCGGGACCCGCUGUCAGCCUCUCUGUCCUUUCUAAACGAAGCGUUUUUUGAAAACGCCUUCUGCCAAAUUCGCUUUCCCUUUGGGCUGGCGUAGUUUCUGCCGAAGCGUUUUCUGUUUUUAUAAGCUAGCCCCUGGAAAUCUUCUGUUUCAUUACAGAUGAGUCCCUGGACAAAAACCCUUAUAACUUUUAAACAAAAAAGUAUUUUUGAUUGAUUCUUUUUCUGUUCUCUUUAAAAUUUUGUCUAGUUUUUUAUCAGAUUUAUUUGAAAAUAUUUGGAAUACUUUUUGUGCACUCCUUGGUAUUUACGAUAGCGCAUAUAUUUUCUUUAUACCGUAGAUACCGAAGGAGGUGACGGAGCCGCGAACUUCACCGAGCUAGGAUCCGACUACUCUGAACCAGGCAAGCAUGUUUGAACUUUUGAUAUGAUGAGUGUCUUGGCAUGUUUUGCAUUUAGUUAGUUUCAUGACAUGUUGAGGAGCAUAUCGAUGAACGUUAUUUUAUGCAAUAAUGAGGUAAGUGAGUUCGAUGAUCCAUAAGUGGAUGGAUGUGAGUAUGAAUGGCCAUGUGUUGGCAUGAGGAUGGGUAAGAUGGCAGUGUCGUAGCAUGCCAGUCUUAUGCCAGACUAUGUGACUUCACUGUCAAACCGUAUCGGUCCAGUUCCUCUCAUUUCCUUCCCUGUACUACCACAUGUUUUCCGCAAGGAAUAUGGUUUAGUAAGUUGCAAACCGCUUUUCUGGUACACACCAAAAGGAGAGGCCGUGAUGAUGGUUCCAUGGCCCUGGAUUAAAGCCAGUCAUCCGGUCAGGGGGCAUGGGUGUUUCCAGUUGGGACCGAGAGGGGGGCACCCCUUAGAGCGCGCGUAUAUAAAUUUGAUCCCAUGCUAUUCGAGAUUGUGAUCUCCCCGUCUCAAAAGUUUUUCUUGGACGAUGUCUAGGGUGAUUCCUAGCAUCGAGAGGUAGGAUGGGUGUGUACUGGUUAGCUGUGUUUUCUUCCGAAAUACCGUAAACGGAACUAGUCCUUCGGGACUACGGAAAUCCGUUAGCUGUGGGAAAAAAUUUGUACAAACUCUGCAGAGUCAUAUAUUCCUCCAAAUCAUCUAUUCCAUGUCCUAGAUCGAUAUUAUCUUAUCCUGAUCAAAUGUCAGUUUUGAUGACAGAGACUCCGGUGAAUCGCAUGAGUGCUAAGUCCGGUUAAAUGAUUAUUCCUGUGGAUGGACUAACCCAUUUAUUCUCAUGAAUUGAACAUUUAUUAUGAGUAUUAUUUUCUUGCGAAUAAAAGCCCUUUCUGUGAUGUCGCCCCGAUGUCCGACUGUGGCAUUUCUUUUAAAAGUCCUUUCUGUGAUGUCGCCCCGACGUCCGACUGUGGCAUUUCUUUUAAAAGCCCUUUCUGUGAUGUCGCCCCGACGUCCGACUGUGGCAUUUCUUUUAAAAGCCCUUUCUGUGAUGUCGCCCCGACAUCCGACUGUGGCAUUUCUUUUAAAAGCCCUUUCUGUGAUGUCGCCCCGACGUCCGACUGUGGCAUUUCUUUUAAAGCCCUUUCUGUGAUGUCGCCCCGACGUCCGACUGUGGCAUUUCUUUUAAAGCCCUUUCUGUGAUGUCGCCCCGACGUCCGACGGUGGCAUUUCUUUUAAAGCCCUUUCUGUGAUGUCGCCCCGACGUCCGACUGUGGUAUUUCUUUUAAAGCCCUUUAUGUGGUGUCGCUAAGACGCCCGACUGUGGCAUCAUUUCCUUAUAUUUAUUUAUUCACCUUUCGAGGCGUUGCUUCAGACACCCGAUCGGUAGUUAUUUAUGUUUUGUUGGGAUUUCAGGCGGACUACCGCCGUUUCCCUUUUACUUACCUUGUUAUGCUAAUUUUUGAAUGUACAUUGGUGAAUUAUUCAUGACGCAUCCAUGCAUGCAUUUGUUAUAUCUUACGUCCGAACUGUCUUGCGAGUACUUUCAAAGUACUCACUGGCUUGUUGAUUUGGCCAGAUGCUGACGAAGGCGAUCUCAUGGAUGAAGAGUUUGAUAGCGAGUCCGACACCUAGAGGAGUCCCAGUCAGUCUCGUGCGACCCUGGAUUUGGUCACUGUUUUAUAUCCGCUUCCGCUACCAAAUAAAUUCAUCGAGCCUCACCUCGACGCUCGAUGAGAUGACAGACUUAGAGUCUUGUAUUUCUCUCCCCGCUGUGUUUCUCCACCACCGCCCUAUCCUCGAGUCAGUAGUAUGCCUCCACACCACUGUGUCAUGUCCGCCAAUAUGUAUAUUUAUUGGCGUGUUUAUAAUAAUCUGGUUGAGCAACCGUAGUUCGACCCUGUAAUAUAUUUUAUGCUACUGGCUUAUUGUAUCAAGAAUUUGUCUACCAAUAAGGAGGAUUUCUCUCAUACUGGACUCAAAAGAUUGGUUUCUCAAUAAAUAUUUUUAUUGGAAAACCGGUCGUGACAAGCUUGGUACCAGAGCCAGGCUGACUGUAGGAAGCCACUAGGUGCGAUCGCUAAUUGGUUAUUAGCAUGAUAGAGCUAAUUUAUAUUUUUUUCAAUUGUAGUCAUUUUCUGUCAGUCAGCAUAAAUUUAUGAUCUGACCAUGCAGAAUUUUUGCCUACUUUUGUAGAUGGCCGACAACAGCUGCGAGUCUCAGACCUUCGCCAACGUGCCCAAUGGGUUCGUCAAGCUUCUUUCCUUCAUCGUUCAGGUCACGAUGGGGCCAUCUGUGCGCCCAGUUUUCACACUCUGCCAGCACCGAGUCAACGAUAGUCUGACCAUGCACCAGGCCGCGGUGCAGUUCAAGGGAGGGCGUGGUGAGUUACGCCGCUUCCGGUUCGUGGGAAGAGCCAUGCCUACGGAGAGGCAUGCUAUGCAGAUGGCAGCCCGCGAGGCGAUAGCUCGUCUCAGGGAUGUCCUCCCCGUGAUGAAGACUCGUCGUUACCAUUAUCUUCCGUGCCAUGUGCCUUACACCUGUCACUAUGCAUACUCCUGCCCCAGAGGAGAACGAGACGAGGCUUUUGAGAUGCUCAUUGAGUAUCUCCGGGCCCUGGAGGCAGCCUUUGACAACCUGGUGGACGACUUCGUAGCUACCCGCAUGGACUCAGUUCAUGGCUGUGCUGCCAACAGGAGGGAGCUCCUACCCAUCGCACCGCCACUGACUUUGGUCUCGUCCUCAGCAUCUUAUACGCCUACUCGUCGCCUGCCUUCUACUGAAGAAUUCAACCAACUCAUUGCGCCCACCCCAGCGCGCACUGCACCACCCUUCGCACCCACUCCUGUACGUAUAGCUCCGCCCCUGGCAACCGCUCCGUCCACUCUGCGCAACACUACACGUAUGGAGCCCAUUAGCGAGGAGGAAGUCGAGUCCCCAACCUCGCUACGCCUUGCCCUCAGCAGGGCAAAGGAGGUCGUCAACAUCUCUGCCUGAGUACGCCUAGCUGCCAUGUAAUGUACCGCUUUGUAAGAUAUGUACAUAGGUUGUGAGAAGUAGCCUGUUUGCGCAUCAUGUAGGAUCUGGAGAAGUGCACUAGCCUAAAUAACAUGUCAGGAUUAUGUAUGCAUAUCCUGAGUGAUGUAUUGUAUAAUUACCGCCCGCGUGUAAGAUAUGUAAUGAGCAGUCCUUCUCCGUGCGCAAGUCGAUUUGUUUUUCUUAAGUAAGCUUGGUUAUUUAAUUGUAUUUGCCAACUUUAUGCAUUUUAUGGAUUUGUUUUUGUGACUCUUUCCGCUUUUCUUAUGGGGUUUACAAAUAUAUCCCCAGAGUGAAAAAUGUCUCGUCCUUGGACUCGCUCCAUGCCAAUUCCACCAGAGGAAAAUUUUGAUGCACAACCCAGCAACGAGUUCACUCAGGGACAGUCAAGCCAACAGGGCAGUGAAUCGGCACUUUCACAAAUGUGCCGCCUUUAUGAGCAGAGUCAGCAACAACAUCGGGAAAUGAUGAACCAAGUCAUCAACAUGGGAAAUCACCAUGGACAGUAUCAGCAGCAUUCCAAGUUAUCUGAGCUACAGAAGACACGUCCUCAAACAUUUUCUCACACUGACAAACCUCUUGAAGCCGAGGACUGGCUUCGAGAUAUGGAGAGAAAAUUAAUUAUUGCAAAAUGUUCAGACCCCGAAAAGGUAUUAUAUGCUCCGCACUAUCUCACAGGAGCAGCCGCAUCGUGGUGGGAGAAUUUUCUGCACAUGCAUCCCAACGAAAAUGACAUAACCUGGGAUGAUUUCAAGGAAGGUUUCCGUGGUGCACACAUUCCUAAGAGUAUUAUGAAAAUCAAGAAGAGAGAGUUCGAUGACCUCAAACAAAGGAACAUGACAGUGUCAGAUUACAACAGUCAAUUUACUCUAUUGUCCCGCUACGCCAAUGAAGAGCGUAUGACUGAAAUCAAGAAGAUGGAGAAAUUCCUUGAUGGUCUAGCGCCCGCGCUUAAAUGCCAACUGGUCGUGCACACCUUUCCUGAUUUUAAAACACUGGUGGACAAAGCCAUUACUCUGGAAAAUGAGAGACGCAGUCUGGAAGACAUCCGCAAGCGAAAAAGGGACCAGACUAACCAUGCUCGCAAUCACCGAAGCAAGACAGAUUUUCAAAAGGGUGGGACACACAAAUCCUCAUCCAAUGUCUCACGCCCAAUCAAGAAUUUUCAUGCAAGGGACAAGGAAUUCACCUAUCGCCCCGGCGUUACUUGUUACGCUUGUGGAGAAGAAGGGCACUAUGCCAAACAGUGCCCCAAGCCAAGGAAUUCAACCCCAAAGCCGAACAACGGCGGCAACAAUUCCGCGCCCAAGAGAAACAAUUUCAAUCCCAACAAUAACCACAGGAAGGGUCAUCUGAACCACGUAACCAAAGAGGAGGCACAAAAUGCUCCGGAUAUCGUACUCGGUACGUUUCCUGUCAACACAAUACCUGCAAUGGUUUUGUUUGAUUCUGGAGCUUCUCACUCUUUCAUUUCAAAAAGUUUUGCUUUGCAAAAUAAUUUUUCGAUGCUUCCCUUGGAGAAAUCCAUGACCAUCAAGUCCCCUGGGAUUCAGCAAGUUACUCAGAAUUACUGUCAGAAUGUGGUCAUUGAGUUCGAAGGAUUGGAGUUUCACGCAAAUCUUAUUGUGUUGGAAAAUAAAGGACUGGAUGUCAUCCUAGGGAUGGAUUGGCUAACCACCAAUAAGGGUUUUAUCGACUGUUUCAACAGGACCGUAAUUCUCACACACCACCAAGGGAAGACAAUAAGAGUAUCAGCCAAGGAAGGAAAAAUACCCCGGCAACCGAGAUUAAAUAAGGUGGACGUUUCUGAGCUAAACAAGGUUCCAGUAGUGUGUGAAUUUCCAGAUGUAUUCCCUGAAGAACUACCAGGCAUGCCACCAGAUCGAGAAAUAGAAUUCCGCAUUGAGCUAGCACUAGGAACCACCCCCAUAUACAAGAAACCAUACAGAAUGGCACCAUCCGAGUUGAUCGAGUUGAAGAAACAAAUAAAGGAAUUACUGGACAAGGGAUACAUUCGAGCCAGCUCCUCACCUUGGGGAUCACCAAUUUUAUUUGCCAAAAAGAAGGAUGGAACGCUGAGAUUGUGUAUUGACUAUCGAGCACUUAACAUGGUCACAGUCAAAAACAAAUACCCGAUGCCAAGGAUAAACGAUUUGUUUGAUCAACUCGCUCAGGCCAAGGUAUUCUUAAAAAUUGACUUAAGGUCAGGAUACCAUCAAUUGAAGGUACGAAGGAAGAUAUCCCCAAAACAGCCUUCACCUCCAGAUAUGGACUGUACGAGUUCACAGUGAUGCCAUUUGGAUUAACUAACGCCGCAGCAUAUUUUGUUCACCUCAUGAACAAAGUAUUUAUGAAGCUUAUGGACAAGUUCGUCGUGGUAUUCAUCGACGAUAUUCUGGUAUACUCCAAGACACCAGAAGAGCACGCAGAACAUCUCAGGAUUGUGCUAGGAGAGCUAAGAAAACACCAAUUGUAUGCCAAGUUCAGCAAGUGCGAAUUUUGGCUAAGACAAGUAGGCUUUCUAGGCCACGUGCUGACCCAAGACGGUAUCGCAGUGGACCCAGAGAAAGUCAAGGCCGUACUUGGCUGGAAGUCACCAGCCAGCGUAACGGACAUACGGAGUUUCUUGGGAAUGGCAGAAUAUUACCGCAGAUUUAUUGAAGGAUUCUCCACCAUAGCCAAGCCUAUGACACAGUUGCUCAAGAAAGAUAAGAAGUUUGAAUGGACAGAAGCCUGCGAGAAAAGUUUCCAAGAGCUAAAGCGGAAGUUAACGACAGCACCGGUAUUAAUUGUACCCGACAUACACAAGAAUUUUGAAGUAUAUUGUGACGCGUCCAGAAAGGGUCUCGGAUGCGUGUUGAUGCAGGAAGGCAAGGUUGUCGCCUACGCUUCAAGGCAACUUCGCAAGCAUGAGGAAAACUAUCCCACUCAUGACUUAGAAAUGGCAGCAGUUAUUCAUGCACUCAAGGAAUGGAGGCAUUUCUUACUUGGGAAUCGAUGUGAAAUAUAUACGGAUCACAAAAGUCUCAAAUAUAUUUUCACACAGCCAGAACUAAACUUACGGCAACGACGUUGGUUGGAGUUAGUAAAGGAUUAUGAUGUUGGUAUCCAUUACCAUCCAGGAAAAGCAAAUGUAGUGGCCGAUGCUCUUAGUCAGAACCCCAGCUCCGACGAAAACAAGCUGCACAGCUUGAGGCCCGAAUUCCAACAAGAAUUUGCCAAGCUCAACUUGAUAAUGGUAGCAGAAGGCACCAUAUCAAACUUGGAAAUAGAACCCGACCUUGUGGAGAAAAUCAAAGAAGCUCAGCCCGGUCACACCAGCAUCGAAGGCAUCAAAAGAAAGUUGAGUAUGGGCAAGGCCUCGGAAUUCGUCAUAGACAAUGAAGGAAUAUUAUGGUACGGAGAAAGGCUCUGCGUGCCAAACAUAGAAGACCUUAAACAGCAAAUUUUAGCUAAAGCACACACCACUCCAUAUUCAAUCCACCCUGGAGGAACCAAAAUGUAUAAGGAUAUUCAGGAAAGAUUUUGGUGGCACGGUAUGAAGAGGGACAUAGCCACCUUCAUUGCAUGUUGCGACUCAUGUCAACGCAUAAAAGCUGAGCAUCAGAGACCAGCCGGACUACUGCAACUGAACAAAAUACCUGAGUGGAAAUGGGAUGAAAUAGGGAUGGAUUUCAUUGUCGGACUACCUCGGUCACGACACGGGAAUGAUGCCAUAUGGGUCAUCACUGACAGGUUAACCAAAGUGGCACACUUUAUUCCAAUAAAGACGACCUACAACACUCAGAAGCUUGCCAGGAUUUAUCUCUCCCGUAUAGUAUGUCUGCAUGGAGUCCCGAAGACUAUAAUAUCCGACAGAGGCACUCAGUUCGUCUCGAGAUUUUGGGAACAUUUACAACAGGCUCUGGGAACCCAACUAGCCUUCAGUACCGCAUACCACCCACAAACUGAUGGACAAACAGAACGCGUAAACCAGGUUUUAGAAGACAUGCUGAGAGCAUGUGUCCUCACAUAUGGAACCAGUUGGGAAGAAAGUCGUCCAUACGCCGAGUUCGCGUAUAACAAUAGCUACCAGGCCAGCCUACAAAUGGCACCAUUUGAGGCUUUAUACGGACGAAGAUGUCGUACCCCGUAAAAUUGGUCAGAGACCAGAGACAGCCACAUCUUCGGACCAGACAUGCUUAGAGAAGUCGAGGAAAAGGUCAAGCUAAUCAGAGACCGACUUAAGACCGCUCAAAGUCGACAGAAGAGUUAUUAUGAUCAGAAACAUCAUAGGGUCAGCUUCGAACCCGGUGAGUUCGUAUACUUGAGAGUAUCCCCUAUGAGAGGCCUGCAACGGUUUAAGAUUAAAGGAAAGUUAGCACCAAGAUUCAUUGGACCAUUCUGCAUAGUGGCACGAAGAGGCACUGUAGCCUACCAGCUAGACUUACCCGAGGAAUUAUCCGAUGUCCACGACGUGUUCCAUGUCUCGCAAUUGAGGAAGUGCGUAAGCAACCCAGAGAAACAAGUAUCCCAUGAAAACAUUGACGUGCAGCCAGACCUCACUUAUCGGGAACGUCCCGUAAGAAUAUUAGAGGAGUCUGAAAGGAGGACCCGACAGAAGACCAUCAAGUUUUCAAAGUCCAAUGGAGCAAACACAACGACAGUGAAGCAACUUGGGAAAGCGAGGAUUUUCUUCGGACAGAGCAUCCACACUUAUUUAAGGAUCAGCUGAAAUCUCGGGGACGAGAUUUUUCCUAAGGGGGUAGGUGUUGUGACACUCCAAAAUUUUAAUUUGGUUUUCAUCAAAAAAAAACUUUGUGGUUUUUGAAAAGAGACCAUUUAAAUUUUUUUUCUUCAGAAAACCUUCCUCUUAAAAACUUCCUUUGCUUUGGCAAGGAUUUUAUUUUUCUCAAACUUUGGUGUUUGAUCUUUUGAAACUUCUUCUCUGUUGGUUCCCUCUCAAAUUAUUUUGGGAGUUUAAUUUGUUUUUCUUUUAAAAUGAAACUCUAUGAAAAUUUGGGAUUUUCAUAUCUUGGAAACCACCCAUGACUUGGCAUUUUUGCCCAUGUGGUAAAACCCCUCCAAAACCUCCCCUACUCCUUGUAAUCAGCCUAAAUUCUCUGUCCCAACUAAUCCAAGCAAGUUUUGGAUUUUAUUCUAAUUAUUUUUCCUCUCAAAUCAAUUCUGUAAAUUAUUUUGAGCCUUAGUGAUUUUCAAAGCAAGUACCACUUUGCCUUUGAGUUUUUAUCCCAAACCAACUGUCCUGGAUAGUCCUUUGUACCCACAACCCAGAACCAUCUUGAUCCACUCCUCCUCUUUUCAAAUUUUUCAAAAUUCAGUCUCUGCAAGUUUGGACCAGAUUUGCCAAAUUUGAUGAAAUUCAUAUCUACACUCCUCCAAAAAUUCCACCAAAAAUCAUGCAGCCUACUGGAGCAAUGAGAAGCCACUCCACCAAAAAUCAGCUCAAGGAAAAAUCACCAGAGGCCAAAUUCAUUCUGUCGAACACCUUGCAUGCACUGUUGCUAUUCAAAAUUCAGAAAGAUUCAGAAUUCAGUGUCAUUUUUCGUUCGUCGGCUUCACUCACGCGUUCACAGUGCACUUGGCACGUUCCUCGCUGCCUCUUCCUACUGUCUGGAGCACCACACGCGCACUUGGCCUCUUCCUGGCGUCGGUGGCACGCUGGCCCGCCCUCGCCGGCGUCUUCUGCGGCGUCGGGACCUCCCGUGGCGGCCGACAGGGGACGGAACGGCGGCUCAACGCCGUUCGGCGCCGCCCAACGCCCCUCUGCUCUCUGCGUGGCCUCAUGCAUGCCAGCGCACGCCCGUGGCACCGUCGCCGUGGCCCGGCAAGCACGGAACGUGCUCACUGCCGCCGACGGGCCCGCGCCGUCCCGUUCUGUCGAACUCGCCCCUAGUACCAAAUCCUAGGCCGAUUAGCACCUAAAUGGAACCGGUGGACCUCAACGGCGUUGCCCAAGCCCCUAAUCCCACUGCCCAACCACAACGCCGCCGUAAUCACUCGCCGGACUUAUCCCGUUCGCGGCAACCGCCUCGGGCCGACUAUAUAUAGCGCCCCUAAGCUCCCUCUCGCCCCCGCACACCUCCACCACCUCACUGGACCCCGACCAGCAACUAGAAGAGCCUCGAGGGGCCCUUCUUCCUCGACUCCGGCCGCCUCGCUCCGCCUCGGCCACCAGCUCGAUUCGCUCCGGUGAGGCCGUCUCCGGCGCCCAAACCCCGUCUGUUACCCCCUCUAGCUACCAGAAGCCUAACCCCCUCUUCAAUUUGAUCUGCACAGCUCUCUCCGAUGAAGUCCGCAACCACCCGAGUCGCCGUCCGCCGGAGCCAGGCUCGCCGUCGACGUGGUACUCGCCGGCGACCACCACCACCACCAACCGACGCGGAAUGGCGCCCUGAACUCGGAGGUACCCUCCGAUCCCCCUGCCUCGCCGUGGAUCGCCGCCGGUGACCACCGCGGCUCUCGGGCGCCGACGAGCUUCGUUUCUCCCUUUUUGAAAGUUCAAACCUGACAGGCGGGACCCGCUGUCAGCCUCUCUGUCCUUUCUAAACGAAGCGUUUUCUGAAAACGCCUUCUGCCAAAUGCGCUUUCCCUUUGGGCUGGCGUAGUUUCUGCCGAAGCGUUUUCUGUUUUUAUAAGCUAGCCCCUGGAAAUCUUCUCUUUCAUUACAGAUGAGUCCCUGGACAAAAACCCUUAUAACUUUUAAACAGAAAAGUAUUUUUGAUUGAUUCUUUUUCUGUUCUCUUUAAAAUUUUGUCUAGUUUUUUAUCAGAUUUAUUUGAAAAAUAUUUGGAAUACUUUUUGUGCACUCCUUGGUAUUUACGAUAGAGCAUAUAUUUUCUUUAUACCGUAGAUACCGAAGGAGGUGACGGAGCCGCGAACUUCACCGAGCUAGGCUCCGACUACUCUGAACCAGGCAAGCAUGUUUGAACUUUUGAUAUGAUGAGUGUCUUGGCAUGUUUUGCAUUUAGUUAGUUUCAUGACAUGUUGAGGAGCAUAUCGAUGAACGUUAUUUUAUGCAAUAAUGAGGUAAGUGAGUUCGAUGAUCUAUAAGUGGAUGGAUGUGAGUAUGAAUGGCCAUGUGUUGGCAUGAGGAUGGGUAAGAUGGCAGUGUCGUAGCAUGCCAGUCUUAUGCCAGACUAUGUGACUUCACUGUCAAACCGUAUCGGUCCAGUUCCUCUCAUUUCCUUCCCUGUACUACCACAUGUUUUCCGCAAGGAAUAUGGUUUAGUAAGUUGCAAACCGCUUUUCUGGUACACACCAAAAGGAGAGGCCGUGAUGAUGGUUCCAUGGCCCUGGAUUAAAGCCAGUCAUCUGGUCAGGGGGCAUGGGUGUUUCCGGUUGGGACCGAGAGGGGGGCACCCCUUAGAGCGCGCGUAUAUAAAUUUAAUCCCAUGCUAUUCGAGAUUGUGAUCUCCCCGUCUCAAUUUUUUUUCUUGGACGAUGUCUAGGGUGAUUCCUAGCAUCGAGAGGUAGGAUGGGUGUGUACUGGUUAGCUGUGUUUUCUUCCGAAAUACCGUAAACGGAACUAGUCCUUCGGGACUACGGAAAUCCGUUGGCUGUGGGAAAAAUUUUGUACAAACUCUGCAGAGUCAUAUAUUCCUCCAAAUCAUAUAUUCCAUGUCCUAGAUCGAUAUUAUCUUAUCCUGAUCAAAUGUCAGUUUUGAUGACAGAGACUCCGGUGAAUCGCAUGAGUGCUAAGUCCGGUUAAAUGAUUAUUCCUGUGGAUGGACUAACCCACUUAUUCUCAUGAAUUGAACAUUUAUUAUGAGUAUUAUUUCCUUGCGAAUAAAAGCCCUUUCUGUGAUGUCGCCCUGACGUCCGACUGUGGCAUUUCUUUUAGAAGUCCUUUCUGUGAUGUCGCCCCGACGUCCGACUGUGGCAUUUCUUUUAAAAGCCCUUUCUGUGAUGUCGCCCCGACGUCCGACUGUGGCAUUUCUUUUAAAAGCCCUUUCUGUGAUGUCGCCCCGACAUCCGACUGUGGCAUUUCUUUUAAAAGCCCUUUCUGUGAUGUCGCCCCGACGUCCGACUGUGGCAUUUCUUUUAAAGCCCUUUCUGUGAUGUCGCCCCGACGUCCGACUGUGGCAUUUCUUUUAAAGCCCUUUCUGUGAUGUCGCCCCGACGUCCGACGGUGGCAUUUCUUUUAAAGCCCUUUCUGUGAUGUCGCCCCGACGUCCGACUGUGGUAUUUCUUUUAAAGCCCUUUAUGUGGUGUCGCUAAGACGCCCGACUGUGGCAUCAUUUCCUUAUAUUUAUUUAUUCACCUUUCGAGGCAUCGCUUCAGACACCCGAUCGAUAGUUAUUUAUGUUUUGUUGGGAUUUCAGGCGGACUACCGCCGUUUCCCUUUUACUUACCUUGUUAUGCUAAUUUUUGAAUGUACAUUGGUGAAUUAUUCAUGACGCAGCCAUGCAUGCAUUUGUUAUAUCUUACGUCCGAACUGUCUUGCGAGUACUUUCAAAGUACUCACUGGCUUGUUGAUUUGGCCAGAUGCUGACGAAGGCGAUCUCAUGGAUGAAGAGUUUGAUAGCGAGUCCGACACCUAGAGGAGUCCCAGUCAGUCUCGUGCGACCCUGGAUUUGGUCACUGUUUUAUAUCCGCUUCCGCUACCAAAUAAAUUCAUCGAGCCUCACCUCGACGCUCGAUGAGAUGACAGACUUAGAGUCUUGUAUUUCUCUCCCCGCUGUGUUUCUCCACCACCGCCCUAUCCUCGAGUCAGUAGUAUGCCUCCACACCACUGUGUCAUGUCCGCCAAUAUGUAUAUUUAUUGGCAUGUUUGUAAUAAUCUGGUUGAGCAACCGUAGUUCGACCCUGUAAUAUAUUUUAUGCUACUGGCUUAUUGUAUCAAGAAUUUGUCUACCAGUAAGGAGGAUUUCUCUCAUACUGGAGUCAAAAGAUUGGUUUCUCAAUAAAUAUUUUUAUUGGAAAACCGGUCGUGACAGGAUUUAAGUCUAGCAAUGGGAGCAUAAGUCUCACCAUAGUCCAUACCUUUAACUUGUGUGUAACCUUGGGCGAUGAGACGUGCUUUAUUGCAAACUACUUGUCCAUCUUCAUCUUGCUUGUUGCGAAACACCCGUUUGGUACCGAUGAUGUUGUGGUUGUUGUCGGGCUUCUCAACCAAUGUCCACACUUGAUUUCUCUCAAAGUUGUGUAGCUCUUCAUGCAUGGCGUUUAUCCAAUCCGGAUCUUCCAAUGCUUACUCAACCUUCAUAGGUUCAAUGCUAGAGAUGAAUGAAUAGUGUUCACAAAAGUUAGCCAAACGAGUUUUAGAGCGAGUGAUUCUCCCGGUUGGAAUAUCAUUGUAGAUUUGCUCAACAGGGUGGUCUUUAGAAAUUCUUGCUCGAACUCGUGAAAGCUUUUGCUUGGGUCUUGGUUGAACAUCUUCUUCAUCUUGUUCUUCUUCUUGGCCUUCUUCAUUAUUGGCGUUGUCAUUCCCUUAGCGUGGUGGAGAAGGAGGUUGUUGACGUUCUUGAUGUACUUCCUCGUUUUCUUCAUCUUGGUGUGUCCCACUUGUGGAUGCUUCCAUAUCAACUCUUGGUUCACCUUGUCGUGAGGUAGAAGCUUCCACUUGGACGGACGAGGUACUCUCCUUCACCUCCGUUGGACGAAUCUUGCCAAUAGACAAGUCUUGGAUUGCUUCCGAGGGGUCUUUGUCUCCUACAUCAAUUGGCAAUUGCUCUACUUACGAGCCGUUAGAUUCAUCAAACUUCACAUCUACCGUCUCUUCAACCUUUCGGGUGAAAUUGUUGUAGACACGGUAUGUGUGAGAGUUUGAGCCAUAACCAAGUAGGAAACCUUCAUGAGACUUAGGAGCAAAUUUAGAACGACGAUGCUUAUCAAGAAUGUAGCACUUUGAGCCAAAUACUCGAAAGUAUCCAACUUGGGGUUUUUUACCGGUGAGGAGUUCGUAUGCCGUCUUGCCGAGUAGCUUGUGAAGAUACAAGCGAUUUGUUGCAUGACAAGCUGUCUCAACCGCUUCUGCCCAAAAGUGCUUUGGCGUCUUGUACUCAUCAAGCAUCGUUCUUGCCGUUUUGAUGAGCGUCUGGUUCUUCCUCUCAACAACUCCAUUUUGUUGAGGUGUGUACGUAGCCGAGAACUCAUGUGAAAUCCCUUCUUCAUCAAGAAAGGUGUCCACAUUUGCGUUCUUGAACUCCAUUCCAUUGUCGCUGCGAACCUUCUUAAUCUUCACUUCAAACUGAUUUUGAGCCUUCCUGGCGAAGUUUUUGAAGAUCUUUUGGACCUGCGAUUUGUCAUCGAGAAAGAACACCCAUGUAAAUCUUGAAAAAGCAUUAACUAUAACUAGACCAAAUGAAUUUCCACCGAGACUUUUGUAGGCGUUGGGACCAAAAAGAUCCAUGUGAAGUAGCUCAAGUGGCCUCCUUGUGGUCAUGAUGUUCUUCACGGGAUGCCUUCCUCCAACCUGUUUACCUGCUUGACAAGCACUGCAAAGUCUAUCCUUAUCAAAUAUGACAUCGUUAACACCAAGGAUAUGAUUCCCUUUAAUAAGCUUGUCAAGAUUUCACAUGCCAACGUGACCUAAUCGUCUAUGCCAUAACCAACCUUUAGAGGAUUUAGCAAUGAAGCAAGUUCUAGGUUGAGCCUUUUUAGUGAAAUCAACAAUGUAAAGAUCACCUCUGCGUAUACCGGUAAAGACCAUUUUAUGAUUGUCUCUAUGAAACACUUGACAAUCUACUUCAGUAAAUAGGACAUUGAAACCGAAAUCAGCAAGUCUAGAUACUGAAAGUAAGUUGUAGCCAAGAGAUUCAAAGAGCAUAACAUUUUGAAUGGAGCUAUCAUGUGAGAUGGCCACCUUACCGAGGCCAACCACCUUACCCCUUGAGUUGUCACUGAAAGUGACAUACCUUCAAGGACCAUCAUUUUUAGCAAGCUCACGAAACAUGUCUUUAUCUCCGGUCAUGUGAUCGGUACAUCCACUAUCAAGAACCCAUUCCUUUCCUCCUUCCAUAUAUCCCCGAAGAUUUGCCAUAAAACCAAAGUGUCUCAUUGCAUCAUCAAGAUCAAAGUCAUCAUCAUCAUCCUCAUCAUAGUAUCCAUGUUUGACAUCGUCAUGUGGUGGAUCAACUCCUAGCGAGGGUGAUUCAUUAGUAUGAGUUUGACAAUGAUCUCCUUUAUGAAGUCUAGUAGCUUCAGAAAUAAUAUUGCUAAUAAUUCCAACAUUUCCUUUGGCACGCAUAAGAUUUGUAAGUUCAAAUAGACAAUUACCAAACAUAGGAUCAUUGGAAUUCAUAUUACUCAAGGCAAUAGACUUAUGAAGAAUUUCAUCCAGAUUUUUUAAAGAAUAAUUAGGAAAUCAUUCCUCAAGAAAUUUCCAUAUAGUGUAGGCACACUCAAGAGUAGGCAGUUUUCCAAUCAAGUUUCUAGGCAAGCCUCUAGUGAUAAGAUUAACAGUUCUAACAUUCCUAAUCAUGUCAAUCGACUCAUCAAGGACUAGCAAUGACUAGGAUGCAUAGGAUCGACAUGAGGUGCACAAGGACUAGCAAUGUACUUGUUCAAAUGAUAUUGAUUGAAAAUUACAAGCAUCUCAUUUUUUCACUCAUGAAAAUAUUCUCCAUUAAGUAUAGGCAUUGUAUGUCUAAGACUCCCCAAAGUAGACUCAUCCAUCUUCCUCCAAUGGUGAUUAAACCAAAGCAAUGGAGACCAAGCUCUGAUACCACUUGUAGGAUCUUGAAGUAUGUCUAGAGGGGGGGUGAUUAGACUACUUGACCAAAUAAAAACUUAACCUUUUCCCAAUUUUAGUCUUUGGCAGAUUUUAGCAAACUUAGCACAAGUUAAGAAAUCUUAACACAAUUCAAGCAAGCAUGCAAAGAGUAUAUGAGCAACGGAAAGUAAAGCAUGCAACUUGCAAGAAUAUAAAGGAAAAGGUUUGGAGAUUUCAAAUGCAAUUUGGAGACACGAUGAUUUUUGAGCCCUGGUUCCAAUAGGUGGUGCUAUCGUACAUCCACGUUGAUGGAGACUUCAACCCACGAAGGGUAACGGCUGUGCGAGUCCAUGGAGGGCUCCACCCAAGAAGGGUCCACGAAGAAGCAACCUUGUCUAUCUCACCAUGGUCGUCGCCCACGAAGGACUUGCCUCACUAGCGGUAGAUCUUCAUGAAGUAGGCGAUCUCCUUGCCCUUACAAACUCCUUGGUUCAACUCCACAAUCUUGUCGGAGGCUCCCAAGUGACACCUAGCCAAUCUAGGAGACACCACUCUCCAAGAAGUAACAAAUGGUGUGUUGAUGAUGAACUCAUUGCUCUUGUGCUUCAAAUGAUAGUCUCCCCAACACUCAACUCUCUCUCACAAGAUUUAGAUUUGGUGGAAAGAAGAUUUGAGUGGAAAGCAACUUGGGGAAGGCUAGAGAUCAAGAUUCAUAUGGUAGGAAUGGAAUAUCUUGGUCUCAACACAUGAGUAGGUGGUUCUCUCUCAGAAAUGGUAAGUUAGAAGUGUAGGUUUGUUCUGAUGGCUCUCUCCACGAAUGAAGAGGAGGUGGAGCGGUAUAUAUAGCCUCCACACAAAAUCUAACCAUUACACACAAUUUACCAAUCUCGGUGGGACCGAAUCAACAAACUCGGUCAGACUGAUUUAGUAAGCAAUGUGACCGUUAGGGUUUUCGGUGGGACCGACAUGCAACUCGGUAGGACCGAAAUGGUUAGGGUUAGGGCAUAAUGUAAUCUCGGUGAGACCGAUUACACAAACUCGGAGAGACCGAUUUUGGUAAUAAGCUAACCAGAGAGUUGGUCAGGCAAACUUGGUGUGACCGAUUACACAAACUCGGUGGGACCAAUUUUGGUAAUAAGUUAACGAGAGAGUUUGCAUUAUAAUCUCGGUAGGACCGAUUACUCAAACUCGGUAAGACCGAUUAUUAUAAUGGGCAUACACACAGAGAUUACAAUCCCAUCUCGGUGAGACCGAGAUCCCUAUCGGUGAGACUGAUUUGCCUAGGGUUUGUGGCAGUGGCUAUGACAUCUGAACUCGGUGGCGCUGGAUAGAAAGAAUUGGUGGGGCCGAGUUGGACUUUAGGUUUAGGUCAUAUGUGGAUGUAGGAAAGUAGUUGAGGGUUUUGGAGCAUAUCACUAAGCACUAUGAAGCAAGAAACUCAUUAAGCAACACCUCAUCCCUCCUUGAUAGUAUUGGCUUUUCCUAUAGACUCAAUGUGAUGUUGGAUCACUAAAAUGUAAAAUGUAGAGUCUUGAGCUUGAAGCUUGAGCCAAUCCUUUGUCCUUAGCAUCUUGAAGGGGUUCCACAUCCUUUAGUUCAUGCCACUUCAUUGUUGAACUUAUAUGAAAAAUAUACUAGGUAAAAGUGUUAGUCCAACAAGAGAUAUGUUGACAUUAAUUACCAAAAUCUCCUAGGGAGCACUUGUGCUUUCACAACACAUGCUAGUUCCUUCUUAUUUCUUGCUUUCAUCUGUUGCAUGUGAUUGAUUCUUUCUUGCUUCAUCAUACUGAUUGUACAUUCUAGAUCAGCCAGUUUCUUCUUCAGUUUAAUGUUAUCUUCUGCGAGCUUGGUGAUAACACUCCGAGACCUGCCAUGCCAUUCUUCAUCCAGCCAGUUAACAAAGGCAUAAGCCUCAUAUCCCUGCCAAUGUUAAAUAGUAUUCAGGAUGAGCGGUGGCAUUAACUCAAGUAAAAUGAUGAACUUAGCACUAACCUCUAAGGGGAAAUUGAGAAACCGCCUGCCAAUGUCGAAUCCCUCCAUGCAUACACGUCGAGCGGGAGUGUGCCCAUGCACACAACUCAGCUUUUUGGUACUUCUCGGUGGCACAAAACUCGGAGUCGAACUCGUGCUGCGAGAGUCUAGAGUCAUUCUCCGGAUCCGGCGGCAGAUUGCUUUCCUAGGGGGGAUUCAAUUCAGGACGGAUUCAACAAGGAGCUACUUUUGGACAUGCUAAAAAAGAUCGAGAUAGAUUGGAACCUGAGAGGACGAUUUGUUAGUACACCUGCCUUCUGAUGACCUUAGGCAAGUGCUCAGUGCCGACCACCGUUGUGGCGGCGAUACGAGCAGGAGCAGCCGCACCGAAACCAUCAGCACAACUCGCCCACAUUCCCCCAAUGUCAGCUCCACGCGAGGGAAUUUGGAAGCUAUGUAGAGAUUUGGGGGAAAUGGGGAAACUGUGGGGAUAAGCUAACAGUCGGGAACUACUUAUGGCACUAUAUGUUGGAGUAUACGGCACACUGUUUAUACAUGUCGUUUGUGUCAGGUAUUACAACGUCACACAUGAUUUGUGCACCAAACCGUGUGAGAAGACAACGUAGGUGAGACGCGGUUGUCGUUACAUAACCGUAUGUGAUGUACUACCCUGUACAUAUAAUUGAGUUACAGUGAUACGGUGUAAACAGCCGCUCUGCGGAUAUCUGUAAAAAACAGCUGGUACGCAUCUAUAGAUGGCAGCGGCGGCCUAGGCAAGAGCUACCAGAGAAGAGGUCAAUCCUGGGUUGGUGGGCAGUGGAGGUGUCAUAGGAGGUCAAUCAUCGGUCUACGGCGGGAGAUAGGAGGAGCUCAGCCGUCGAGGUUGGCAGUGGCGUGAUUCGAGCACAUCCAUCGCGGUUGAUGGCAGGAUAGUGGAGGUCGAACUUCAGGCAGUAGCUGCACUAAGCUUUGCUCCUCGACCCUGCUGUCUCGGUGUGCUGCCACAUCGCGCUUCUCUGUCUGCUGGGUGGAGGUCACCGUGCGGCUACUUAAUUAAGGUAUUCCUUUCGUGAGUGGCUUAAUUAAGGUAUUUAAUUCCUAAGGGUAGUGUUGUACUAGUACUCUGCGUGUAAAUUGACUGGCCAUGAAUUUUUGUCAUUGCACAUCUGGAUAACAAUAUGGAGCGCCCUCAAUAAUUAUGAAAAUAAAGCCUUGUGAUUUAUGCAUGCAUCAUUGGGCAGCAGUUGAUCCGUGUAUCAAUGUUGUUGUUUUGUUUUUAAUUACCAUUUAUGUGGUGCAGAUGGAAUGAUUUGAAUGGAUGAAGGAUUGUAAUACCGUGGAUUUUAUUACUGGCAUGACAGAGUUCAUGAAUUUGGCUGAAAGUACAAAGAAGAGAAUUGGUGAUGCGGAUUACAUCCUGUGUCCAUGUGUUGAUUGUGCCAAUACAAAGUCACGUGUAGUUACAGAUGUUCAGUGGCACUUAGUCUCUCUGGGAUUCAUGGAUGGAUAUACACGUUGGACUAGAAACAAUGAAGACGAGGUCAUGGAUGAAGAUACCCAGGGCUGCGAGAUGCCAAACCCUGAUCAAUGUCACUUGGAUGUUGAAUCUAACAUCGGGGCAGAGGCGUCAAGCUACCAAUGGAACACCGGAAAGCCGAAACGCCCACUGGAAAACCAAGAUAUCAACGCAGAUGACGAUGAUCUUGAUAUGCCAGAUUUUGCUACUAUGAUUGCAGAUUUUGAGGGCCUAGACAAGGAUAUUAUUGGGUACAAGGACCUGCCAACCAUUAAUGCGGACUCCAAGAAAGAAUUGUAUCCAGGUUGCAAAAAGAAAUAUUCCAGGUUGAGUGCCUCCCUAGCGCUUCUCAAAUUUAAAGCAGCAAACGGUCUAUCAAACAAGGGCUUCACAGAGAUGUUAGGUAUUUUCAAAGAAAUUCUUCCGGAAGAUAAUGUGCUCCCCAGAAGCACGAAUGAAGCGAAGAAAAUUGUUUACCCAUUGGAACUUGAAGUACAGAAGAUACACGCUUGUGUGAAUGACUGUAUAUUGUACCGUGGUGAUUUCAAAGAUUUGCGUGCAUGUCCCGAAUGCAAGCAUGCAUGAUACAAGCACAGGAUAGCAAAGGACAAGUAUAAAUUGGACGAUGAGAUCAAGAUAGGAAUCCCGUUCAAGGUCGUUUGGUACUUUAUUCCAAGGUUGAGGCGAUUGUUUGCAAACCCUAGAGAGGCAAAGAGGUUGUGGUGGCAUCAUGAUGAGCGAAUUGCGGAUAAGUAUAUGAGGCACCCAAAAGAUGGGGCUCAAUGGGAAUUAAUCGACACAAGUUUGAAGACUUUGCCAAGGAUCCUAGAAGUAUAAGGCUCGGGGAGUGUACUGACGGGAUGUAUCCUUUUGGCGAUAUGAGCACCAAUCACAACACAUGGCCGGUGCUUUUGUGCAUAUAUAACCUAACUCCUUGGUUGUGUAUGAAGAAAAAAUACAUUAUGAUGUCAAUGAUUAUCCAAGGCCCGAAGCAACCUGGAAAUGACAUCGACAUUUACUUUCAACUACUGUUAGAAGAACUGCUGACAGUGUGGAUAGAUGCACCUGCCGCAAAAAUGUUAUGAUGCUUACAAAAAGGAGAUUUUUGAUCUACAUGUGAUGCUGGUGCACACCAUUCAAGAUAUGUCAGCAUUAGGCAACACAUCAGGGCAGAAAACAAAGGGAGAUGUAGGGUGUGUCACAUGCAUGGAUAGGACAGCUAGCAGAAGACUUCCCAACUCGUGCAAAACCGUGUAUUUGCGUCAUUGUAGGUUCUUACGGAAAAAUCACCCAUACCGAAAGAUGAAAGCUGAAUUUGAUGGUACGACAGAGGUAGAAGUGGGCCCAAGACCCUAUGAUGGGGAGUUGGUCCACAACAUGGCCAAACAAAUUAAUGUUGUGCUUGGCAAGAAUCACGCUAAGAUGGUGAAACAAACACCCAAGGGUCAAGUGUUUAAGAAGAAAUCCGUGUUCUGGAAAUUACCUUACUGGGAGAUUCUACGUGUAUGCCAUUACAUCGAUGUCAUGCGCGUAGAGAAGAACGUAUGUGAAAGCAUCCUUGGUACUCUGCUCAAGAUUAAAGGUAAAAGAAAGGAUGGUGAGGAUUCACGGCUCGAUAUGCUUGCUGAUCAAUCAAAAGGCAAGAGUGAAGCAGAAGAUGAUGAAAAAUUCAUCAAAGCUCGCCAGAGUUACAAUUUCAAUAGAAAAGAAGCAACACAGUUCUUCACCUAUUUGUUGUCAGUUAAUACACCCUCUUCCUCCUCCGCAAACAUCAGAAGUCUCAUGGAUGUGAGCUCAGGUAAAAUGAAGUUGGGACACAUGAAGUGACAUGAUUGCCAUGUAAUUUUGACACAAAUCCUCUCGGUGGCCAUCAGGAAUCUGUUGGACAAAUAUAUAAGGAACACACUCAUUGAGCUCUGUGAUUUAUUGUGACAGCCUGGAUUUUGCCUUCUCUCUUUUUUCGGACUUGCCUUCUCUCUCUUUCUGGACUUGGUUUUAUCGUGGUUUUUGCCCUGAUUUGAUUUGGAGUUUGAAUCAUUUCAAAUGGACUUGUCACUUGGGCAUAUCCUUGGCUUUCACCCAAGUGACCUAUCUUCUUUAUUCCACUGGUCAAACCUCAAAAUAAUCAAAUGAAUAUUUUUCAUAAAAGAAAAAUAUUCAUUUCUCGCUUUGAAACUCACUUCAGAAUCUUGUGCUCCAAAGCAACCUCAAUUUUUCUUGCUUUGAAAAAUUUGAGAUAAAUCCCAAAUAUUCUCAAAACCAUGGCACAACUUCCCAUGUAAAAAUAUUGCAUCACUUUUUGCAAUAUUUUUGCUGUAGAAAAUCUUUUCACUUCUGGACCAGGAAUGCAUUUUGUACAGCAAGUGCAUUUUCCUUGAGCUUUUAGCCUUGAUCUUUCUUGAGCCUAAACACCCUCCUAAGAAACCCUAAACCCCAGGAGAUUAGCCCUAAUGGCCUUCUAGAAGCUGGCCAAACUUGGAGGCCAAGCUUCUGUACAGGAACUUGUCAGCUUAGUGAAGUCUAAUCUGGUCGGCCUGGGCUUGAGCCAUCAACUCCCCUAGACUAAACAUUGCACGGUCGAGAGCGUGGACAAGGUUUGGCAGCUCCUGGGCGUUGUUUUGACCAUGCCAGCUUGGUGACCGCGUGUGGACACGGCGCUUGGCAUGCGUUCGGCGUGCUCUAGCUGGCACCUCGCACUCUGUUUCACGUGUGCUCGUUCCAGCGCUCGCCGCACGACUGCCACACCGCGCCACCAGCCUCGACCCAUCACCCUUGACCGCUCCCUGGCGCUCGCCGAUGCCGGAGCCGCCACAGCAAGCACGGGCACGUCGCGACCAAAAGGCCACAGUGCGCGCAUGCACUUGUCCGCUUCUCCAACCACCUCGUGUGCUCAUCCGCGAGCAUGGGCAAGCUUCUGCAUUGAUGCAGAGUGUUUUCCCCCUCUCGUUGGAGCUUCUCAUCGCCGUUUGUCGCAUGUCUAGAGAGCUCCGACGGCGACAUGUUCCCCCCUCCGCUCCGGCUAUAUAUAGCGCCCCCCUCCUCAUUUGCUAGCCACGCACCACUCCACACCACCUCCGCGAACACGUAGACGAGCAGAAGCCCGGGCGGGCAGGCCUCUGGCCGUCGCCCCAACCAAAGGACUCCGGCGAUCCCCGCAGUCCAGCCGCCGCGCUCCGGUGCCUCUCGAGCUCAAGCAGCUACUUGGGGCGGGGCAUUGGGGGUCUGCUGGUGCUGCCUGGACCCCAUGGAGCCCUCGGAGCCGCCUCUAGCCAUCGUCUUCUUCCUCUCCGGUGAAUCACAUCCGGCACCGAAACUUGCGAGCUCGACCGCGACCAGCUCCGGCCACCUCUCACCAAGCCACGGGUACGAGCAGGUGCGCCUCGAGCCUCGCUUCAUUUCUCUCCCUCUUGUUCAGCCCCAAACCCCCUCGUCGCCGGCGUGAGCUCCAGCGAAGCCCCGCCUCCCUCUGAUCUCUCUCUCUCUCUCUCUCUCUCUCUCUCUCUCUCUCUCUCUCCUGAUGCGCAGGACCCACCUGUCGGUCUCACCACUCAUGCCCGAAGUGGUAUGAGUGGAGGCGUAUUUCUGUUAUAAGCCUUCGACGUCACCCCCUCCCCCAGGAAUUUCUGUUUAAUUCAAAUUUAUUCAAAAAUUUGACCAAACUUUGACCAGCCACCAUUUCUAAACCACAAGUACAAAUGAGUUGAUUAUUUUUGCAUUGUCUUUGUUACAGAAAGCUCUAGCAGAACACCAGAAGGUGGAUUUUUCCUUGCUGUCUAGAAUUUCUAGUGAUUUUUAGAAUGGGUUUUGAUAAUUCUUUUUGUGGUUUAAAUUAUUUUUCAGAAGGAGAAGCUUGUCUUGAAGCCAACUAAGAGGGGUGUGAUCCACCUCUACACUAAAGCAAGCCACACCAACAUUUGGAUGGUGUUAUUUCAAUAUCUAUGAUUUUCUACUUGAAUAUGAGUUAUUAUUUGCAUUUAAAAUUUGAUAAAUAACUUUGGUUAAUUUCUAGUUACUUUACCAUGCUUGAUAUACUUGUUUUAGCUUCUGGUUGAAUGCAUGAACUUGUUUGGCUAAGUAGAGUAAUAUUUUGCACUAUGAAUAUUGUUAUGGAAAUUAAUGAUAGUUAUUUUACUAGUGACAGUUUUAUUUAAAUAAAGAACUAAUGAAAAUAUUGCUUGGUUAUAAAAAUGAGUUAUAACCAGAGAAUUUUGAUUCUUAGUAUUGCAAGAUGCAUAUGUUGUUAAGUUUGAUCCAUGAUUCUGAGUUGUUUGAUUUGCAUGACGAGUAGUUGCAUGAUCAUUUUGAUUAUAUGAUUUUGAUGAUAAAAAGUUUUUAUCAAAGUUAAACUUGAUUAAGUUCAACGUGAAUAUGAUGUUGAUCACAUCAUGGUGCCAUUGAAUCGGGUUUUUAAUUCAGUGCGACCACAUCUACCUUAUGGGAAGGUCUUGAUUCGGUCCUUUGUUGUGGCUCUCACUGGUGCCUCCCUCGAGGGAAGGUUAUGGGCGUGCAUACCCUGGCCCGGUAGGCAGACAUAACCUUGUGUGCUCGUUUUGUUUUUAUGGUACCUUGUCCCCGUUUGGGACCGUUUUGCCACGACGGUGGCUGUUGGUGUCUUUGGUAGACACGGGGCCACCCAAGACCUAGCCCUAAGAGGGAGUUGGUCGGAGUGGCCGGGGAGAGUGCAUAACAAAGGGAGGGUUUCAUCGGAAUGCUUUGGUCCACCCGAACAGGAAUGCGGGGCUAGAUAUUCUGUAGUGUGGGUAAAGUGCACUACCUCUGCAAAGUGUAAAUUAAUCUAUCAAUAGUCGCGUCCUCGGUUAUGGGCAAAACUUGGAAGUAAGUCUCACCAUGGAUCAACUUUUCUAAUAACCUUGCAAACUAAGUGAGUGUUGCGAUGCAUUAGUUCGUGACAAAAGCAUGAACACUUGAGGUGUUCAUGAGUGAUUGGUUUCAGUUGUGGCCCAGGUAUGGUCACCAUUUGGUUACGUGGUAACCGUGUGGUAAGCGAGUCCGUGGGACUCAUUGCAUGAAAUGUUUGUUUUGGUAAUAGUAGUUUUGCAUUGAACUAAUCUGUUUAAACGUCAUGAUAUUGUUUGUCAUUGGGCUUAUGUUUGUUGUGAGCUUGCAAGUACAUUCAAUGUACUGACCUGGCGUGUUAUGCCAGCUUUCAGGCAAGUCAGUUCGCAUCGGAGCGCAUCUCGUGUCUAGGCCAUGUUCACGUUGGUGUCCCUGUGCUAUGGAGUUCCUCUACGUCGUUCUUCCGCUGCCGUGUAGCUCAUUCAAUCGAGGCCCCGUCAUGUUCAUUAAAUAAUGUACAUACUGUCCAGCAGCACCGUGUGUGCCGCUUGGCCUCGAAUCUUGAUGAAAUAUCAGACCUAUGUAAUCUGCUAGCAUUAAUAAAGCGGUUGUUUCCGUACCAUGUUGUUGUGUAUUGCCAGAAGACUUGAUCUCUGGGCUGGCAAUGCAGGGUAAACCGGUCGCUCUGAGACGGGGUGCCACAUUUCUUCAACCAACUAUGGCAGAAAGUUGUAGAUCCUGAAGAGCUAGAUCAUAUGCAAGAUGAUAUUGCAAGAAUAUUGUGCAACCUAGAUAUGUCUUUACCAUCGUCAUUCUUUGAUGUCAUGGUAAAUCUCACUGUGCACCUUGUUGAUGAGAUAAAGUAUUGUGGUCCUGUGAUUCUUCACAACAUGUAUCCCUUUGACCACUUCAUGGGAAUACUGAAGCGCUUUUGUCAGAACUGAAGCCAUCCAGAGGCAAGCAUCCUACAAGGUUAUACCGCAGAGGAGGUGGUUGAGUUUUGCACCGAAUACAUGAAACAACGACCUAUAGGUUUGCCCCUCUCUCGCCACGACGAAAGGUUGAAAGGUAAACCCAUUCUUGCUCGCAUGCAAAUGGCUGCACUCGGAGAAUUGGCAGAGAAACCCCAUUUAACUGUACUGCUUAACAACCCAGUUCUCACCGCUUACGCUGAAGAACACUUGGCGGAGAUACGCAAAAGCUUCUUACCAAUGGUGCCUUCAUCAGAUGUGGAGAUGAAGGAGCACACUAAGAACUACGCCGAAUGGCUGAAGAAGCAUUUGGCACAAGGAUCCAUCAAUGACAUUGCUACAUGGUUGGCACAAAAGCCAUCACCUACGGUGUUGACGUACCAAGCAUAUGACAUAAAUGGAUACACGUUCUACAUUGACGAACGUGAUGAGAAGACCUCAUAUCAGAACAACUCUGUUCAAAUAGAAUGCAUGACUGUAGAUGAAGCUGAUAAAAGGGUAUAGAAUGGAACCAUCAAAGAGAUUUGGGAGCUUGACUAUGUGAAAGUUAAUUAAGGUGGCAUUAUUCAGGUGCUCAUGGAUCCCUCUUGGUCAAGUAAAGGUUGAUGAUUACAGGAAGACAUGUGUUAACAGGACAACGAUGGCAUAUCACGCGGACCUGUUCAUUCUUGUCAGCGAUGCUACACAUAUUUUCUUUGCGGAAGACCCUUUGCAUAAGAAUGGCCAUGUAGUGAUGCAUGGGCAGAGGAGGGUACUGGGUGUCGACGAUGUUGCCGAUGAGGACGAGUACGAUGAAUUUGAUGAGUUGCCAUCCAAGGGAUCACGCAACCCUGUAACAGAGAAGCAUAAAAUCAUCAAAAAAAUGAAGUUCAUUCGGGGUCAACUUAAUGAUCCCAGUUACCCCAUGUACAUGGGAAUUAAGCCGUAAGACUAGUCUUUAUGCCUACCCUGCAACUUAAUUCGUCAAUUUAGAACUGUCGUGUGUACUGAACUUGUGAGUUAUGCCUGGUUUUCUGUUGAAGUAAGAACCGUUAAUAUGUUGACCUUGAUAUGUUGUCAGCUUAGGGAAUGAAUAUGAACUGUCUUUUGUUAUUAUUAUUAUUAUUAUAUCAUAGAGGUAGCACACUCAAUUGAUCUCACUACAGUAUGUGUGAACAAAAAUAUGUAUGCAAUCUGGAUUGCGAAUAUCACACGGUUCAUUGAUGAAAGUCGUGUGCCGACAAAACCCCACCCACGAUCUGAGUCGUGCAUUCUGAUUGGCCAGAUUCCAAACCCCACGGAUCGUACGUUUGCACCGUUGGAUGCUCCCAUAUCGAACGGCGAUCCUCACCCCUUUCGACAGCACAUGCAGUUCCGGUUGUAAUUUUAUUUUUAUGCACAAAAUGCAUGUUAAACUCAAAAAAAUGUCUUAAAUAUAGCUAACGAUACCCAAAAUGCGCCAGAAAAUAAAACCCGUGGUAUAAUGGUGAUUGCGUACCGUGGAAAUAUUUAUGAGGCCAAACGAUGAAGUCAAUGGCCACACAAGUUUGAAUUGACACAUCUCCUUUGGGAAACCAUGAUCCUUCAUGUGAGAUGCUCCGGUUUGGAAGGAACGAUCGUCAAAACUUGUGCCAAACUUUACCAUUUUUUCCAUGGGGUCGUGAUAGCACGCCAUAGGCACACAUCGAUUUUGAUGAGAUGUCCGGACUCCAUCUGAAUUUCUUGUAAUUAAAAUAUCAACUAGACCUACGCCAGUGGCCGCACCUCGCGGCCGAAAUGUUUGAAACUUCUCACCGCUUCUCGGACAAACGGAUGAAAACUCGCAAAGCGAUGCACAAAUGAUCUAUACGCAUUCUUUGCUAGGCCGGUCGUAAUGGGAUAUCAUAGCUAGUAUCAUGCCAACUAGGCAAUUUUGAUGAGCUGUCAUAGAAUUAAAUGAAGAAAGAGAGGGUUAAGUAUCAUAUCAUGAAACCGUGUGUCAUAAUAAAUGCUAUAUAUGCUACUAUGUGUCAUGCCUGAUAAUAGUAUAUGAUUGAUACUCCCUCCAUCUGGGUUUAUUAGGCCUAAAGACAACUUCUCUUAGACCAAGACACAUAGUAAUUUGCUCACAUUAAUUAUUCCAUUCCACUCCCAAUGCACUCUCUCACAUGCAUGCAACCAAUGAAAACGCAUGCAUGAAGUGUAUUAAUUCUCCAACCAUGGCACCAACAACAAUGGCUUUCAAUGCAACCAAUGAAAUGGUUGCAUGCAAGCACCUUUCCAAAGCGGGACCUUAUAAAAAGGGACAUGCAUGCUUGUGUUACUGAGAGGCCUAAUAAACCCGGACGGAGGGAGUACUAGCUAGCUACCUCUUUAAUGCGCGCAUAGUAUCAUAAGUUAGACUACAUAUACCCAAAGUGCGAGUAACAUAGGUAGUAACAUCACACAUAUCUAGAUAAAAUAGAUGAUGUGGCAAGCAAUAAAUGAAGAAAGAGAGGCAUGUGGUAACAUAGCUAGUUACUAAUUAAGACUAGCCACAGUGCAUUGUAACAUACACUAGUAACAUACACAUAUGCCUAGCCUAUGUUACUACCUUCAUAAUGGGUAGUAACAUAAGUGUGGUGUCAUGCAAAGCUUCAUUUAUUAGGUUAUAGACUCAUAGUUCACUGAGACAUGUGAUAUUACGGUAACUAGCUAAGUUACUCAAACUACCUCUCCUCAUUAACUCAUUGCAAAUAAGCAUAUUUGCUUAGUUGGACUUGAUGUUACUGUUGAACUUACUCCCAUUGUGGCUAGUCUAAUAGUUUAAGUAACAUCACACAUAUCAAGGCAAGAUGAGUCUAUAUCUUAAUAAAUGAAGUGUUGCGCAUGUUAACACACAUAUGUUACUCCCGAGUAUAGAGGUAGUAGCAUGGAGUAGUAACAUGGGCAUGUUACACUACCCAUUGUGGCUAGUCUUAGUAUCUUAGGUUGCCUUAUUAAUUGUCAUGCAUGACACAAAAUAGUACAACAUUUAAUAUGUGAUACAGUAUAUCAUGAUAUGAUACCCGACCCACACCCUCUCUUUCCUCAUUUAACUGUGUGCCACAUCAUCCAAAAAGUCUAGUUGGCAUGCAUAUGAUGCCACUUGAUACUCCCAUUAUGACCAACAUUAGGGGUGGCCAUAGUGGGGGUAUCAUAGCCGGUAUCAUGCACUUGAGAAUAGCAAAUAUGAUGAUGUGUGGCAAAAAAGCAAUAACAUAGAUACUGUAACAUAUAUAAUAUAAAUUUUAUACUACUUUGUGUCAUGCACAUGGCCAUAAAUACGGUCAUCUAUGGUAUAUAUAUACUAGCUCAAUGAUACAAUAUAUAUGCACUAUAAGAAGGUAUGUACAUAGUAUCAUACACUAUAUAGUAUCAUAUGCAUGAUACUAUAGUAUAUAUGAUACUUCCCUACUAUACAAAGGCUGGCCAUAGUGGUGGUAUAUAUAUAUCAUAGCUACACUCGGGAAAAUAGCAAAUAUGCUGAUGUGGCAAAGAAUUAAAUAUAGUGAGGGUUAGAAUGUUAGAGUAACAUAUAGCUAGACACAAUAUCAUGUUAAAUGCGAUGUUAAUUUGUGUCAUGCAUGGCAAUAAAUAUGAACUAUGAUAUUUUAUAUANNNNNNNNNNNNNNNNNNNNNNNNNNNNNNNNNNNNNNNNNNNNNNNNNNNNNNNNNNNNNNNNNNNNNNNNNNNNNNNNNNNNNNNNNNNNNNNNNNNNNNNNNNNNNNNNNNNNNNNNNNNNNNNNNNNNNNNNNNNNNNNNNNNNNNNNNNNNNNNNNNNNNNNNNNNNNNNNNNNNNNNNNNNNNNNNNNNNNNNNNNNNNNNNNNNNNNNNNNNNNNNNNNNNNNNNNNNNNNNNNNNNNNNNNNNNNNNNNNNNNNNNNNNNNNNNNNNNNNNNNNNNNNNNNNNNNNNNNNNNNNNNNNNNNNNNNNNNNNNNNNNNNNNNNNNNNNNNNNNNNNNNNNNNNNNNNNNNNNNNNNNNNNNNNNNNNNNNNNNNNNNNNNNNNNNNNNNNNNNNNNNNNNNNNNNNNNNNNNNNNNNNNNNNNNNNNNNNNNNNNNNNNNNNNNNNNNNNNNNNNNNNNNNNNNNNNNNNNNNNNNNNNNNNNNNNNNNNNNNNNNNNNNNNNNNNNNNNNNNNNNNNNNNNNNNNNNNNNNNNNNNNNNNNNNNNNNNNNNNNNNNNNNNNNNNNNNNNNNNNNNNNNNNNNNNUAUAUAUAUAGUCGCAAAUAUACGUGCGUGUUAGCGCAAGAUCAUUUGGGUGUCGCUUUGCGAGUUUUCAUUCAUUGUGCGAGAAACGGGAAAAAACUUCAAACAGUUCGGCCGCAGCGUGCGACCAGAGGCGUAGGCUUGUUGGUGUUUUAAUUUCAGGAAAUGCAUAUAGAGUCCCGAAAAUAACGAAAAUCAUUGUGCCACUGUGGCGUGCCCCUCAGAAACUUUUUGGUAAAGUUUGGCACAAGUUUUGGUGCUCGCACCAUCCAUACCGGAGCAUCUAGAAAGAAGGAUCAUAGUUUCCAAAAAGGAGAUGCGACACUUCAACUACAAAUCAUCAUUUACUCUACAUCGUUCCGCCUCAGAAAAAAAAUCAUGGUAAACAAUUGCGGAUAUACCCCUUGGUUUGAUUUUCCGGCCCAUUUAGGUCGUCUACUAUGUUUAAGUCAUUCUUUGCACUUACCUCUUGCAUUUUAGUGCAUAUAAAGUCAAAAACCCUAUUAUGACUACAUGUGGGUGUUUUAGUUAGGCUAUACUUAAUUAAUUAGUAUACUCAUAGUGGAGAGUGUCGUAUACUAUAUCAUGCAUGAAAUAUAGUAUAUAUAUAGAAAUUAAACGAGAUCUCUUUUCUUUUUGCAUAUAUUCAAAGUUUGAGAUUGCUAGCAAGGCCUGCCGCCUGGUAAAAUGUACCAGAAAAUUGAAACAUAGGGUACACUCAUGAUUUCUUACCGUGGGAAAAAAAUUUGGAGGCAAAACGAUGAACUCAUGUUUUCAUUAAAACAAAAAAUGAAGUUAGUUAAUGUAAAUGUUUUCAAAUAGCACAUGCUUCACUGACGAAAGCCGUGUGUCCACUAAACCGUGGCUGAUGCCCCUCUUCCACGCACGCGAUCUGAGUCGUGUGUUCUGAUUGGCCAGAAUCCAAACCCCACGGAUCGUACGUCUGCACCGUUGGAUGCUCCCAGAUCGAACGGUGAUCCUCAUCCCUUUCGACAGCAGAUGCAGUUCUGGUUGUGAUUUUUUUAUUCAGUUCCUCCUCCUUCGACGACUCCUUCACCACCUAGUUACGUUGUUAGUUAAUGUAAAUGUUUUCAAAUAGCACACGGUUCACGAAAGCUGUGUGCCUACCAAACCGUGGUCGAUACCCCCCCUUGCUGCGCGCGUGAUCUGAGUCGUGCAUUCUGAUUGGCCAGAACGGAAACCCCACGGAUCGUACGUCUGCACCAUUAGAUGCUCCCAGAUCAAACGACAAUGCUCAUCCCUUUCGACAGGAAAUGCAGUCCGCCUAGGAAUUGAUUUAUAUGCCAAAAUGCAUGGUAAAUGCCAAAAAAUGACUUAGACCUGAAAUGCGCCAGCAAAUCAAACCUGUGGUAUAAUGGUGAUUGCUUAACGUGGGAAAAAUUUAGAGGCGAAACGGUGAACUCACGUCUUCAUUUCAAAAUUAGUACGUCUUCAUUUCAAAUGAAAUUUUUCUCUUUGUGCACACGAGCGCUUAGAGGCAACCGUUGGCAUAGGCCUUUCCGCGCGACGACUGGGGAUAUUUUCCACCCUUUUCACCUAGGCUGCCAACACCCCUCCCCCCCCACACACACGGCCCGCCCGCAUUUCACUCAACUAGUCCACCCAAUCUCCAUCGCCAGCUCUCCCUCCCCCAGAUCCACAUCAGAACCCUCUCUGGCGCUGGCGUGCUUACCCCGGCCGUGUGCUCGCUCUUCAGCGUCAAGCCUACCUCCACUGUUGUUCCCAACACGCGGUUGCCCGCGCCUCGCCAUUAUCGUUUGCUCGCCAGCCACCCUCGAGCAUAUCGAUGUUGUAAUCCUCGCCUCUCCUGUGGUCCGGCCGGGUUUGCAUUAAGAAGCCUGUUAGUUACUACUCUCCAUCGCGGUGAGGCAUAUUUCCUCGCAAUCCCUCUUCCUAUUUCGUUCCGUAUGUUCCCAAAUUGGCUGUAAAAUAACGGAGAGCAUAUAUAUGUUAAUUAUCUACCUUCCUAACUAGUACAUAUAAGUUGUAUUUGUUCCAAUAAGUUACUGCCGAUUUACAGAUCGCGGGCGCCCGAGUCACACAAACUUAACAAAUUAGUCAUACAUUUUCUAAAUUAUUGCAUGACAUGUUUAGAAAGCUUGAUACCAAGUUGUUAGUUUUAUGCUUAUCCUCCUUUCCUGAGUUUCGCGUGUGUUCUCUGUAGAUGCUGAAUAGCAGCGACUACACUCAUGCUUCAGGCGAUGUAUCUUCAUCUGAUUCCGACAACCCUAUGUCUUCAGAAGAUGGUGAGGGAUCAAGUAAUCUUGAACGGGAUAGAGCUGCAGCAAUUACCCUUUCGGUCAGGACACGGAGGUACGCUCCAAGGAAGCCCACACACAAGCCUAAUGGUGUAUAUGAAGUAACUGAGAUCGAUAUAAAGUCUUGAACUCCAACUAAACCAGAUAAAGCACGCACGAGGUUCAGGAGUGUGUGUGGAUUUGUUGGCAGGGCAAGGCUCAACAUAAAUCUGCCAGGGUUUUGGAAGGCUGAAACAGAAACACGGCGACGAAUAGUUCAAGAGAUCAUGGAUCACUUCAAUGUUCUAGAGCAGUGGAGAAUGUAGGUGGAAUACGCUGCACUAAAGAAGGCUAGGGAUGCUUGGAGAAAUUGGAAGCACGUGUUGUACAAGAAGUACUUGAGUGAAGGCAAGGAGUCAAUACCCGCAUACCCCCAAAUUACAAAGUCAGACUGGGUAGAAUUCAAAAGGGUUAGGGCAACUAAAGAGUUUGCUGAGAAGAGUUUCAAGCAAUCGAAACUUCAGAAGAAUAACACACACACACACCGUAUGGGUGUGGCAGGAUACUAUGGCAUCAAACCGAUAUGGGACCAAGAAGACAAAGAAGCAGUAGCGGCGGGUGGGGAACCGACCUUUAGUGAAAUCAGGGGCGAACGCGCCAGAGAGUACUUGCGGGCACGUGCAAUGAGGCGUGAUGACGGAACUUAUUACUCUAAAAACUCACAUGACGAAAAACUGUAUCAAGUGAUGGUAGAGGCUUCCAAGAUCCCUGGAAGGUUCUAGAGGAACUCAGGGCCAUGCGACAUUCUGUCCAUUGCUCUGGAAACAAAAGAUCUCCCUGGUUGUGCAAGGGGUAUAGGUGUUAAUGUCACACACAAGAGGGCUUUCACACUCAGCAAAGAAGAGAGGCUCAGCAUGAAAAAAGCAAAGAGUGAAAUGAAGAAGAAUGAAUUGUAUGAAAGGUUGAAGAAGGAAAUGUAUUCGGCUGUUCAAAAGGAUCUUGAGCAGUCAAUGAUGAUUGGGAAGAUUGUAACACUGACAGAUAGCCAGCAGAAGGGAGGGGAGGCGGGCAUGGAGGAUGCUGCUUAUUGCGCGACAACACAACACAAGAGUAGUCGUGCAUUAGCUGACCCCAGCGACACUGAGACUGUAGCUGCUCAUGAUGAUGCUAUAUCUGAUCUAUCUGGAAUGAAAGAUAGACUGAAGGGUGUGCUUACACAUUAUGAAGGCACAUUAAAAUGUGCAACAACCUGGGUUGCCCACCCUUCUUGGAAGAGGUCCUCUUGUUGGACAAUGUGCCAUUGAAGCCGGGCUGUGUGAAGUGCUACGUGUCUGAAGUAAAGCCUGGAUUCAAUGAAUUUGCCCUCAAGAAUGUCCUAGGAGACCUUCAUGAGCAAAGGACCUUGGGAGAAACACUGUUACAUCACAUCUAGUGGCCACAAAAGGAAAUAGAGUUCAUCGAUGAGAUCCUUGAAGCCCCGCCAAGAGCAACCAAUGUCUCCCCUCAACCAGUGACGCUCUCCUUGCCACAGCAGCUCUCACGUGCUUCCCCCAAAGAACCUAAUACUCGUAAUCUGACGGCUGAUGCAUCAACCUGUGAUCAGCCGGCCUGACUUUGUGGCGUACAGGCCAUGUCAUCCUCCACCCCAAAGCAGCCAGUGGCAAGGCUUACAAUUGUUGAAGAUGCACCACCGAUUCAUAUGCCGGCCAUUUAAGCAGCGGGGGGAGACCCAGCUGCAGCACAUGCUCAACAGACCAACCUGGUGGAACGGACUGCUAAGCAGUCUGAUGCUUCGGAACCGCCUGCUAAGAAGUCUUUAGGUCCAGAAUCGACUGCUCAUCAGUUUAUCGAUCUGCAGUCGUGUGAUCAGCAUACCAAUGUGUCAGCACUUCCUGCUCAGCAAACCAACGCGUUGGCAUGGCCUCCUCAGCACACCGACAAGUUGGCACCACCUGUGCAGAAACCAAACUUAGCUUCAAUGCAUGGUCAGCAGUCCGAUGCCUCUGCUCCUACAUCCCAGUAGUCUGUCACAGCAGCACCGCCAGCUCAGCAGUCCGGCAAAGAUAAACCGUUUGCUAAGCAGUCCGUUAAAGCUUCACCGUCUGCUUGGCAAUCUACCUUGCAGGCAACUAUAUGUUCUGCCAGAAAUGCUUCAAAGUACCAAGAAGGAAGUGUCCAAAAAGCCUACACCCGUGACAAAGCGCGGUGGGAGAGUGAAGAAGAAAGAGAAUGAUUACCUCUUGCUUAAAGCACUCAUCGCCCGAAACCAAAUUAACAGCAGGUAGUUCGAAUCGGGGAGUAAUAUUAUUUCUGACGAGAUGGAUGAUGAAUAAGUAGAAUUGGUGCUUGCUAAAAGUAAAGCAGAUGUACUUGAAGUACGCAAUUAUGUCCAUGGCCAUCCAUUUCUUGUUGGCGAAUACUUUGAUGAGUGCAGCUCCAGUUACCGCAAGUUACAUGAAUAUUGCAUGGAUCAAAUGUCAAUAGGUCUUCAUGGUUUGCUAGUCCACUUCAACAGAGAUCAUUUACGACACGAUGCUGGUUCAUUCGAUGUGAGUUUCGAGGACUUACAUCUCUUCUUCAACUUCAAUGAGCUUGAUGCCACUAUGCCUGAUUUUGUAAGUACUUAACAAACUCUGAUCAACUUCUCCAUACAAGGCUGUAAAUGAUAAACAACUAACUGCAUUUUAUUCCUCUCAGGGGAUUGAACACGCAGAGAAGAAAAAGGGAUAAUGUGUAUUUCAUAGAUCCUACAUUAGCGAAUGGCACAACAUUACAUGGUAAGGACGAACGUGACUGAGCCAUUAACACGGUCGUCCGUAUCUUCGAAAAAACGUCCCAUGCAGAAUCAUUUUUUUGGCCAUAUCAUGAAAGGUGAGUCAAGUAAACAACCACGCAUACACUUAUUGUCUUUCAGAUUUCGACAUAAUUCGUAAGUUCAUGGCUUUCUUAAUAUGUAGCCGUCACUGGAUAUUGGUAUUCAUUGUUCCAAACAAGAACACAGUUUACUACAUUGAUUCUCUUAGAGAGUCAAUAAACACUCAGGAUCUGACGCAUCUUCAGCAAUUCAUGGAUAGGUAUUGAAUUAUAUGAUGUUGAAAUUAAUUUGCAUUCAUAUCUAGUUCAAUAAUUGAUGUUGUCAAAAUUCACCUUCAUUUGUAGUGUGCUCGCAUUGUGGAAAACUAAACCAGGGAACCUGUUCAAGAGGGAACUACCUCUACAGCACGAGAUCAUUUCUAUGGUAACACACCGAAAUUCGUUAUUUUCGGAAAAUUUAUCCAAUAGUCUGCAAAUACCUUUUCUUACGCUAGUCAAAUGUUCAAGCUUCUAAUAAAACCUCUUUCUAUUUUGUCCAAAGAAAAAAUAAUACAUCUAACACCGGUUAGGUUGUUCCUAACAGGACAAAUACAUGACUAAUUUUGUACAAAAAAAUUUAGUGUCCUCAACAGGAAGCAGGGACCAACCUUUGUGGAUACUAUGUUUGCAAACACAUGAUCUCCAUCUGCAAAUCUGCUGAUAGUUGUGAUGAUCCUUGUGAAUUAGUACCAGUAAGUCUAUCUUAAUUAAUAUCUUCUACUCCACUCAUAUGGCACAUUCUGAUCUUAAAAAUACCGCAGCUCAUCUUAGAACCGAGGAUCCUUGAACAGCUCCCGGCUGGUGAAUUGCUGAUGGUUUGGUGAUUUAUCAGCGACUUCUUCCUAAAUCACUACAUCAAUCCCACUGGUGAUAAUGAAGAUUUCAGCAUGCGUUCUCUUGAAACAUUGAGUAAGAGUUACCGCUAAACAUAUACGCAUGGAUCCAUUGGUUUCCAUCUGAUGAGGUCUUCGUAUUUCGUACACUAUGAUUAAUUAUGUAAUGCAUAUAUGUGUGGACAAAUCAUUGGAAUUUAGCUACCAUAUGUUCAAUUGCAAUUGUUGCGAAAUCUGAUGAAUGUUCUUCCUGUGGACACUAUUUGUUCAAUUGAAUAUUGUGGCGAAUUUGUUUUUUGCAUGUCGAUUCAAAAUGGGAUAUUCUUUAUUAUUUGUUCAAUUGAAUAUUGUGGCCAAUUUGCUUUAUGCAUGCCGAUUCAAAAUGGGAUAUUUUUGUUUAUUUGUUCAAUUGAAUAUUGUGGCGAAUUUGAUUUUUGCAUGCCGAUUCAAAAUGGGAUAUUUUUGUUUUAACCUGGCAAUUGCUCCGCACACUGUUCAACUAAAUGAGUGUGUGCGAUCCACAUCGGAAAGCAUACGUCAAUCAUAGCGGAACCGUCGGUGAUACACAGUAGAUCACAAACGAUUUGCAGCGCUACUACGUGUGUGUAGGCUCUCCGGAACCAUUUGUGAUAUCGAGUUAUCGCACACGGGAACUCGAAGUAAACCGUGCCCAAUGUAAAAUACAAUCCCAGUCAUAAUUUUUCCGGGAAACGUGUGGGAUCCUAAACAAAAAGCACAUGUCACUCUAGUUGCAACCGUCGGUGAUACACAACAAAUCACAGACGGUCUACAACACUUGUAUCUGUGUGAAGGGGCUCCUGAACCAUUUGUGAUUGAACCUUAUCGCAGACGGUAAAUGUUGGGAGAACGUGUGCGAUGGAGUCUUGCAUGGCAGACGGGUUCCACAGAAAACUCGUGUAUGAUAGGGCACAUAUCGCACACAGUUCAUAUGUUGGCCCGUGUGCCUUGCAUACUAUUUCCCAAACGGUUCAUUAUGACACACCAUUUGGUUUCACUGCGUCAUUAGAAACGUUUAAUCACUGAUCCUACACGUGUGGAAGAAUUUAGUGUGUGCUGCAUCGCACAUGAUUAUGUUUUGCAAGGCCUCUGCAUCAUGGCUCCAUAUCCCCGAUGGUUUUUGGGUCAUGUGGGAAGGACCCCCUAUCGCCCACACUCACUUGGUGACGGUUCCAAAUGCCGUCGCGGAAAGGGGUUUAAAACCGUUUGUAUAGCAUCGACACGUACCAGUGUAUCUAAUGUAUUCCAACUUCUCCAUGGUUCAUACCCCCUGAUACUACCCAUAGAUUCAGCAAAAUAAGCAAGCAACACAUAGAAAAUAGAAAACAGAACAGUCUGUAGUAAUCAGUAAACUUCGUAUACUUCUGUAAGUCCAAAAAUUCUGAAAAAUUAGGACAAGAAAGGCUAUUCAUAUAUCAAUCUUGUGUAAAACAUUCAGGAUUUUAUCACAUUCCAGCAGCUUAGAUCAAUUAUGUUUCUGGGUGCAAAAGUUUCUAUUUUUCAGCAAGAUCAAAUCAAUGAUAUACCAAAGUAUCCCAAAGGCUUUACUUGGCACAAACACUAAUUAAAAAUACCAAAACACAAUUACUGCAGAGGUAAUAAUGUGUAUUUAUUCAAAAACAGUAGCAAAAACAAAAAAGACAAAAAUAAAAUUGGGUUGCCUCCCAAUAAGCGCUAUUAUUUAACGCCCCUAGCUAGGCAUAAAACAUAGAUCUAGGUAUUCUCAUCUUUGGUAAUAAACUCCUCAAUUGCACACUUAUAACCCUUAGGAGAUUCUUUGGUUUUACAAUAAUCACACUCCUAGGCAAGAAAUUAAGAAAUUCACUCAUGGCAAUUGGUUCCUUAAUAAUAUUAAUAAAGUUAGGGCGAACACUUAUCAUCUUGAGAUCUUCCUUUCCUUUACUAGAAGAUUCACCCUUAUUUUUAGGAACAUAAAUAAACUUUGUAGAUUUAGUAGGAGGAAAAUUUGGACUAGUUUUAACAGAGGCAAAAGCAGAACCCAAGUUAGUUAUCUUCUAGUUUGCCAAUUCUAGUAGAAUCUUGAUCUAUCUUUUCAUUAACUAUGGGUUCUUUUCCCCUAGAUUCUUUAAAGUGACUCCUACCUUAGAUCCAUAUUGAGUGAUAUGAUUAUGAAUCUUUUUAUCCAAGUUUUCAAUGAGCUCUAUGGUAGCAAUUUUAUUCUCAAUAAUAUCAAGCCUUUGCAUCACAUGUUCCAAAGUUAAAAUUGUUUCGUUAACCUCGAGAGAUGGUGAGCCUACCAAAUCUAUCAUAGCAUUAUAAGCAUCCGAAGUAUGGCUCCCCAAGAAAUUACCCCCAGUAAUGGUAUCUAGCACAUAUCUAUACCAAGUAGUAACACCCACAUAAAAAUUAUGGAGGAGAAUGGUAGUAGAUUGCUUACGAGUAGAUCUAUUUUGAGCAUUGCAAAUUCUAUACCAAGCAUAUUUUAAAUUUUCUCCCUCCCUUUGCUUAAAAUUAAGAACCUCACUCUCAGGGGUACUAGCAACGGUAGAAGGACUAGCCAUGAAAGCAAAUCAAGCGAUCUAGCACACAAGCAACCAAAAAGCAAACGGAAAGACGAACGGAAGAAGGGCAAAUAAAAAGGAAAAUCUUUUUGUAUUUUUCUGAAAUAAUUUUAGUAGUGGGGGAGAGGAAAACGAGAGGCAAAUGGCAAAUAAUGUAAUGCAAGAGAUGAGAGUUUAUGAUGGGUACUUGGUAGGCUUGAUGUAAAUCUCCCCGGCAACGGCGCCAGAAAUUCUUCCUGCUACUUCUUGAGCUUGCGUUGGUUUUUCCCUUGAAGAGGAAAGGGUGAUGUAGCAAAGUAGAGAUAAGUAUUUCCCUCAAUUGAGAACCAAUGUAUCAAUCCAGUAGUACAUACAAGCAAGUCUCCAAUCUAUGCACGUGCACAAACAAUCAAACACUUGCACCCAACGCGAUAAUGAGGUUGUCAAUCCCUUGACGGUCACUUGAAAAGGUGAGAUCUGAUAGGGAUAGAUAUAAAAGAUUGCUAAAACAUAAAACAAAAUAAAAGUAAAUAAAUUGCAGCAAGAUAUUUUUGGCUAUUUUGGUUUAUAGAUCUGAAAAUAUAUGAUGGAAUAGACCCGAGGGCCAUAGGUUUCACUAGAGGCUUCUCUCUUGAAGGGAAAUAAUACGGUGGGUGAACAAAUUACUGUCAAGCAAUUGAUAGAAAAGCGCAAAGUUAUGACGAUAUCCAAGGCAAUGAUUAUGAAUAUAGGCAUCAUGUUCAUGUCAAGUAGACUAAAACAAUUCUGCAUCUACUACUAUUAUUCCACACAUCGACCGCUAUACAACAUGCGUCUAGAGUAUUAAGUUCAUAAGAACGGAGUAACGCCUUAAGAAAGAUGACAUGAUGAAGAGGGAUAAACUCAAGUAAUAUGAUGAAACCCCCAUCUUUUUACCCUUGAUGGCAACAAUACAAAUACGUGCCUCGCUACCCCUACGUUGUCACUGGAUGAGGACACCGCAAGAUUGAACCCAAAACUAAGCACCUCUCCCAUUGCAAGAAGAACCAAUCUAGUUAGCCAAACCAAACCGAUAAUUCAAAGAGAAAUACAAAGAUAUCAAAUCAUGCAUAUAGGAAUUCAGAGAAGAUUCAAAUAAUAUUCAUAGAUAAACUAAUCAUAAAUCCACGAUUCAUCGGAUCUCGACAAACACACCGCAAAACAAGAUUACAUUCGAUAGAUCUCCAAGAACAUCGUGGAGAACAUGGUAUUCAGGAUCAAAGAGAGAGAAAAGGCCAUCUAGCUACUUGCUAUGGACCCGUAGGUCUGUGGUAAACUACCCACGCUUCAUCGAAAGGGCAAUAUAGUUGAUUUAGAAGCCCUCCAUGAUCGAACCACCCUCCGGGAGGAUGUCAGAAAAGGUCCCUAGACGGGAUCUCACAGGUAUAGAAGGUUAAGGCGGCGGAAAAGUAUUGUGGUGGAAGCUUUUGGUCAUUUGGGAAUAUUUCUGAAUUUAUAGGCCAAAGAUUAGGGUUGAAGGAGUCCCGUGGGGCCCACAAGCCAGGGGCGCCCACCUAGGGUGCACCCUGAGGGCUUGUGGAGCCGUCUGGACUCUUCUGCCUUCCUUUCCAAGUCCCACAUGUAUCUUUUGGCCCAAGAAAAAUCGUCGCAAAAGUUUUAUUCCGUUUGGACUUUGUUUGAUAUUUCUUUUUUGUAAAACUCAAAACAAGGAAAAAACAAAAACUUGUACUGGGCUCUGGGUUAAUAAGUUAGUCCCAGAAAUAAUAUAAAAUAGCAUACAAAUGCAUAUAAAACAUCCAAAACAGAUAAUAUAAUAGCAUGGAACAAUAAAAAAUUAUAGAUACGUUUGAGACAUAUCAGACAUUGGCUUCUCUAAUUGGUCUAGGACAUCAUUAACCCCAUCUAUUCAAAAAGGGCAAAAGAUAGUGUUCUUCGGAGUCUCAGGAAGUUUUUUGGUUACUUUUUGAGUUGUAGGAAAUUCGCAUUAUUAAGAGGAGACGCGGAACUUAGGGAGUUGGAGAAAUCAAUCAAACUCCAUGUACAAAUUUCCCUAAUUAUUUUAGACACUUCGGAAGGGUUUUUCCCAAGUGUUAUUGGAGCCCCACUCAGAGGACCGGGUGUGUGCAUCCCUUAUGGUCCGGAUGCUCGGAGGCACCAAAGAGGUUUGCCUCUGCCUUUGCCGUGUCCGAGUGCCCGAAGCUAGUGCUCCGGCUUUGGAUAGUCCGGGUGCCCGAAGUCCUACCCCCUGAGUGCCCGACCAUCUGUGUUCUACCGUGACUGUUUUGUACGGGUGCUUGGGGCAGGUCAUGGUCUCUUUGUUGUGUUCGGGUGCUCAGACCCAUUUAGACCGGGUAUUCGGGGUUGUAGCUCUUUCCACCUGAGGGGUAUAAAUGCCCCCUUCAUCCACCUCAUAUUCCAAUCUUCCUCAAGCUUUUCCUCACCAUUGCCAAACCAGAAAAGCUCGAUCUCUCCAUCCCCAUCCACCCAAACUCUUCAAUACUUUGGAUUGGAGGAGAUUCAUCCGAUUUAUGUUCCUACCAAACCAAUUUGAUUCCCUCGACUCUAUUGUCUUCGUCCACUUGUUACUAUUGGGUGUUUCGGCACCCUAGAGGGCACCGCGGAGCCACAUUUCAUUGUCGUGAAGCUUUGUUGUUGUGUUGGGAGCCUCCAUUUUAGUUGUGGAGAUUACAUCAACCUUGUUUGUAAAGGUCCCGGUUGUCGCCUUCAAUGUCACCGGUAGUGGAUUGACGACACCUUGAUUGUGCAAGGGCUUGAGGAGAAUAGGAUGAUUCCUUGGGAUGCUUGGGGAGCAUUAUGCCUCCCCCAAAGGAGGGACCUUGUGAGGUUACUUCUACCCUUUACUUUGUGCAAGCUAUUACCUUAUGUUUACUCUUGCUUUCUUGUGUUCUUUGUUCUGCUUGUCAUAUAGGUUGUCCACCUAGUUGCAUAUCUAGGAAACCCACUUUAUUGUUGAGCCUAAAAUUUGCAAACAUAGUUAAAAAUUGGUAGUCACCUAUUCACCCUUGACAGUGUCCUGGACUAAGGGGUGCCAACCAAGAUGGCCUGUAGUCCUCACUCUCCGUCGGAUGGACUUCAGAAGCUGCAUGCCUAGACGUAAUCAAGAUUGCCUCUGUCGAAGACUUGACGUAUACUCCAAGACAUCUCCUACCGCCUCCAUGCGAUCCCCCGGAUACCGACCAUGUAACCCUAGAUGCCCUACCUGGUGUGUAUAUAAGCCAAAGGGUUUAGCCCAUAGAAGGGACCGAAUCACAAUCACAUUCACCUAGCCCUAAGGUUAGAACACAACUUACAAUCUCUAGGUAGAUCAAGCUUGUACUCGAUACAUUUCCAUCCAUAUAAACAAGAGGAGGACAUAGGGUUUUACAUCCAUCAAGAGGGCCCGAACCUGGGUAAACAUCGUCUCCCUUGUUCAUGUUACCACCGAUCCGAGAUCCACAGCUCGGGACCCCCUACCCUGAGGUCUGCCAGUUUUGACACCGAGAACCCUCCAGUCGACCAUACUAAUCCUUUCAGUGCACCUUUUCUCUUUGUAUAUGUACUCCACCUAGAGUACAUGCAUGUGGGUGGAGGAUACAGCGACCUAGAGAGAUAUGGCGUGUGUGAUAGAGUCGGUAGAUAGUGGUAAGUGUACGUGUGUGCGCGAGUGAUGUCUCCAUAUGCACGGUAGAUAGAUAGAUGGGGGUAUGUGUCAAUGUGUGUGAAAGAGAGGUCUCAUAUGUAUAGUGGGGCGACCUACAGAAAGAGAGGGAGGGUGAUCAUAUGCAAUAGAUAUGAAUAGAGGGAGGGAGCAUAUGAGUGCGAGGUCAAUAUAGAAGGAGCGAGUGUGUGUGUGUGUGCACACACACACACGCUAGAGAGAUAGAGAGAGAGGCCUACUAGAUGGGAAGGGGGAGAGGGUGUCUAUGUGGGAGAGACCUAAUCAGAGAGGCAGAUUGACCGAUGUGUGUGGGAGAGAGACCUAAUUAUAGAGGGAGAUCGAUUGGUGCCUCUAUGUAGGAGAGGAUGCCCAUACACACACACAUCGAGAGAGAGAGAGAGAGAGAGAGAGAGAGAGAGGGAGUCCUGGAUUGAGGGGUCCUCAGAUAGCCGGACUAUUAACAUGGGCCUGACUGUUGAACUAUGAAGAUACAAGACCAAAGACUUCUUGCCGUGUCCGGAUGGGACUCUCCUUUGCAUGGAUGGCAAGCUUGGUGAUUCAGAUAUGUAGAUUCCUUUCUAUGUAACCGACUUUGUGUAAACCCUAGCUAGACCCCUCCGGUGUCUAUAUAAACCGAAGGGUUUAGUCUGUAGAGACACACAACAAUCAUAAUCAUAGGCUAGCUUCUAGGGUUUAGCCAUUACGAUCUCGUGGUAGAUCAACUCUUGUAAUACUCAUAUUCAUCAAGAUCAAUCAAGCAGGAAGUAGGGUAUUACCUCCAUAGAGAGGGCCCGAACCUGGGCAAACAUUGUGUCUCCCGCCUCCUGUUACCAUUAGCCUUAGACGCACAGUUCGGGACCCCCUACCCGAGAUCCGCCGGUUUUGACACCGACAUUGGUGCUUUCAUUGAGAGUUCCACUGCGUCAUCACCAGAAGGCUUGAUGGCUCCAUCAAUCAUCUACAACAACGCAAUCCAGGGAGAGAUCUUCCUCCCCGGACAAAUCUUCAUAUUUGGCGGCUUCGCACUACAGGCCAACCCACUUGGCCAUCUGGAGCAGAUCGAUAGCUAUGCCCCUGGCCAUCGGGUCAGAUUUGGAAGCCUGAAUUUCGUGGCCGAUAUCCGGGGAGACUUGAUCUUUGACGGAUCCGAGCCCAUGACGGUUGUCCCCUGCCACCACGAUCAACAUGACCUAAAUCUGUCAUCAGACCGUGUUCGGGAGACAAUGCCCAUAACCGCUCUGGCCUUAGAUCUGGAGCAAACCGCGCCGUUCGAGGAUGGGAAGCUCAACCCCGCCAUGUAAGCCGCAGACUCAGCGGCGUUCGAGCCGCACAUAGACCCAACAUCAAGCUGGGCUCGUGUUACCGGAACCUUAGAUUCGUCUCCGGCUAUAGGUUCCAGACCGCAUGCAUCCGCGUCCAUCAAACCUGAUUGGGCACCAAUCUUGGAGUUCGACUCUACGGACAUCUUCCAGCACUCACCUCUAGGCGAUGUGUUAAACUCAUUAAAAUCCCUCUCCUUAUCAGGAGACUCUCAGCCGAACUAUGCCCGGUUUGAAGUGGAAGUAGAGGAUGAAUUCCGCUUCCCACCCACCACCCACUUAAUAGCCACCGUCAAAGAUUUAAGCGAUCUACUUGACUACGCCUCCGAAGACUUCGAAGGGAUGGACCUCGAGGCCAGAGAAAAUCUAGACCAAAACCCACCCGUAACCGGGCGGUGGACGGCUACGUCCUCAUAUGAUAUAUACAUAGUGGACACACUUAAAGUGAACGAGGCCGACGGCGACAAAGAUAAACCCGUCGAUGAACCUCCAAAGCGUCGGCAUCAUAAGCGCAGACCUUGAUCCGACAAGGGAAACAACAGCAACACCAUCACAGGAGAAGGUAAUACUCCAGACGAUGCCGAAGACAAUGAAGACCCCACAGAUCCAGUGAUGGAGCUGGACAAGCAAGAAGAUGGCAAACACAUUCCGGGGCCGCUGUACGACCACAACGAUGCUGAAGUACCAACUAUCAACCCGUCUCCGAAGAGGAGAUCAGUCUGGGCGACGAUGAAUUCAUCGUCCCGGAAGAACCUUUGGAACAAGAGCGCCUCCACCGGAGACUCAUCGCCACUGCGAGGAGCUUGAAGAAGCAGAAGCAGCGGCUUAAGGCCGCACAAGAUACGCUCAAUGACAAAUGGAACGAAGUGCUAGACGCUGAGGAAAAAUACGGUGGUAAUCGCCAAACAAAGAGCUAUCCUAAGCGUAAACUGCUGCCCAAAUUCGACGACGAGGCUAUUGUGCCCAUACCGUCGAAAAACAAUAUGACCGACAAACCGGACCGACCACCUCAUGGACGGGACAGAGCAGCUAGCAACGGCACACACAAGCCCGCACCCCCUCCCCGUAAAGGAAGGGAUGUUGCGACUCAGGACCAGAAACACGAUCUACGUGAGGACCUGGACAAAAAGGCUGGCAGAACCAGGUCCAUCUAUGGAUCCAGGGAACAUGCUCCUACACGGGAUCAUGAUUAUCAAACCAAAUAUGCUGGUCAUUUACCAGUUCGGAACCAACACCAAACAUUACAACCGUCGGACCCACGCCACGACACAGCCAAAUACAGGGGUGCUGCACCCCCCCCCCCCCCCCCCUGCUUCACCGAUGAGGUGCUGGAUCACAAAUUUCCAGAAGGGUUUAAACCCAUAAAUAUCGAGGCAUAUGAUGGAACGACGGACCCUGUGGUCUGGAUAGAAGACUUUAUUCUUCACAUCCACAUGGCUCGCGGAGAUGAUCUCCACGCCAUCAAAUACUUAUCCCUCAAACUGAAAGGACCAGCUCGGCACUGGCUGAAAAGCCUCCCUGAAAAUUCCAUUGGAAGCUGGGAAGAACUUGAGGAUGCUUUUCGGUCCAAUUUUCAAGGGACCUAUGUCCGACCUCCGGAUGCAGACGAUCUAAGCCACAUAAUCCAACAAUCCAGAGAAUCAGCCUGUAAACUUUGGAAUCGGUUUCUCACUAAGAAGAACCAAAUCGUCGAUUGUCCGGACGCCGAAGCCUUAGCGGCCUUCAAGAAUAGUGUCUGGGAUGAAUGUCUUGCCAAACACCUUGGCCAGGAAAAACCUAGGACAAUGGCAGCCUUAACCACACUUAUGAUCCGUUUUUGCGCGGAUGAGAACAACUGGCUAGCUCAUAGUAGCACCAGCGAUCCUAGCACAUCCGAAGUCAGGGAUGGAAAUGGAAAGCCACGACGCAAUAAAAACAAACGUCGAAACAAUGAAGAAAGCCCAGACAAUACAACGGUAAACGCCAGAUUCAGGGGCUCCAGACCCGGUCAGUGGAAGAAGCCAUUUAAAGGCAAUAAAGACGGUCCAUCCAGCUUGGAUAAAAUUCUAGAUAGGCCCUACCAGAUCCAUGCACCCCCACUAAACCUGCAAACCAUACCAACCGUAGUUGUUGGGUCUUCAAGCAGGCCGGCAAACUCAAUGCCGAACACAAGGGGAAGGGACCGCAGAGCGAAGAUGAGGACGAAUCUCGCCAGCCGAAGACGGGGGGACAGAAGAAAUUUCCACCAGAGGUCAAGACAGUGGACAUGAUCUAUGUCACUCACAUCCCAAAAAGGGAGCGCAAAUGCGCAUCCAAGAUGUCUACGCUGUUGAGCCCGUUGCCCCCAAAUUUAACCCAUGGUCGGCAUGUUCAAUCACCUUUGAUCGCAGGGAUCACCCGACUAGUAUCCAUCAUGGGGGCUCGGCUGCCCUAGUGCUCGAUCCAAUAAUCGACGGAUACCACCUCACUCGAGUCCUUAUGGACGGCGGCAGCAGUCUCAAUCUGAUAUAUCAAGACACUGUACGCAAGAUGGGGAUAGACCCAUCAAGAAUCAAGCCAAGCAUCACAAAUUUUAAAGGCGUUAUACCAGGCGUAGAGGCCCACUGCACUGGCUCUUUAACAUUGGAGGUCGUAUUCGGCUCUCCUGACAACUUUAAAAGUGAAGAGCUAAUCUUCGACAUAGCUCCGUUCCGAAGUGGCUAUCACACAUUACUCGGAAGAACGGCCUUCGCCGGCUUCAAUGCAGUCCCGCAUUAUGCCUAUCCAAAGCUCAAAAUGCCUGGACCGCGCGGCAUCAUCACGGUCAGUGGAAACACGGAGCGCUCUCUUCGUACAAAAGAGUACACGGCAGCUCUGGCAGCCGAAGCCCAAAACGGCCCAUUCAAGCCGAAUAGCAUAUUGGUUGUUAUGACCGCGGACACAGCUAAACGUGUCCGGUGCACGCCUUAGUGCGGUAGCUCAAAUAAAUCUGAGCUUGAUUAGCAGUUAUGCCCCCAUCGACUGCCCAACAAGGUGAUGGCAUACAUGCCUCGUAUACAAAAGUAUACCCUCAAAAUUCCUUGCGGCAACGGGGGCACACUGCAUACAAAUUGUCCAUAGUUCGGCUCGACCCUAUUUGGACUCUAUAAACUAUAUUUCAAGGCUCAUUAAACGAGCCAGCUAUGUCUAUGGCCACACUGAAUUCCUUUUUACAAGCUUUUUCUUCUUUUUUCUAACAGCUGGCCAUCACACCCCUCCCUUCUUGGACACAUCACAAAGGAUAAAAUGGUGCAGACAUGCAGCAGGGCCCCGCACUAAGCUUUCUUUUUAGAUUAAGCCCCUGUGUAAACCUUUUUUUAUCUCUUUUUGUUUUAUACUUUCCUGGCAUGUAAAAUGUCCAAGGAAGAUAUCGGCACUAUCUGUAAGAAUACGACUUGUCGUCUUAAUGAUGGAUGUUAUAGAAGCAGCGUGAUUCAGAAUGUGUUUGGAGUUUUAUUCUCUCACCACUUGCGUUCUUUCCCCAUGCCAGAUUGCCACAUGUGCCUUGAAACCAGGGUCCAUUACCAGGGGCUGUCGUCAGCCCGGUAUAUGUUGUAAAGUCCGAACACCUUAGGGAGUGUUCGGCGUUCCGAGUUUGGCCUUAUAUACAUCAGCUCUGAAUCAUGUCUUUGGUCAAUAGUUGGGUUGCCCGGCUCCUGUGCUUGUUGCCCUAUGUUCUGCUAUAUUGGCUAGGGUAGUAAAGGGAGAACUACUACGAUUGUGUCCUGGUUCUUCCAGAUGAGCACCUCAGUAGAGAAAGCCGAAAACUGACUGUCAUGAUGCGGUGGGAGAUGGUCAACCACUCGAUGACUCAGUGGAAUCUUAGUGAUUCCUUCCGCAUUAACGAAGGACCGAUUUUCUGGUCACGUAUGUAAAUGCACCAUAUUCGGAUAACUGGGUACGUACCAGGGGCUAUAUCGUAGACCCACCCUCAAACUCCUAUGGCUAAGUGAAAGUGUUAAAGCCCUAUAGUCUGAUUGCCUGGUUCGCCACAUUGACACCUCCUUAACGGACCAAGACGUUGGGUCAAGUGUGAUCAAGUGCUUUUCUGAACACUUCCGUGUUACACACGAGGGGGCUGAAGCCGAUGACAGACAAACUUUCAGAUUAUAUAUAUAUAAACGGCCGCACAUGAGGCACCAAAACUUUUUGGGCAAAAGUAUAAAAAUAUAGCCUUCAAACAAUCAUAAUAUUGUUUUUACAAUUCCAGUACACUUCACUCAAACAUAAUAUCUUUCGAGCACUGACCCUCUAUCAAGCGGGCACCUUCUAGGACAUCUUCAAAGUAAUGUUCUGGCAUGAUCGGGUCCUUGCCUUCGGGUGGACUCCGAGCCACAAUAUUGGUGGCCUUCAUCUUCGCCUUAUACGUCUUGACACGGGCAAGAGCCAUCCGUGCACCUUCUAUGCAUGUUGACCGCUUAACAGCGUCGAUACGCGGCACCGCAUCAACAAGUCGCUGCACCAAACUAAAAUAACUAUUCAAAAUUGGCUCAGUCGGCCACAGCCGGGCUAUGACGUCCUUCAUGGCAGUUCCGGACAUCUUGUGGAGCUCGGCCCACUGUGCCAUCUAUUCGUUCAACAGUGGACACUUCGGCGUGUCAAAUUGCGACCAUAGUAGCUUUUCCGUCGCAUGUCCUUCUUGCGCAUGGAAAAACUGAUUCGCAUUGGCAGCACUCUUCGGCAGGUCCAAAAAGGUGUCUGGGGAACUCCACAGUUGAUUAAGCGGAGCAUACUUUGGAUCGCCAAACUUAGUUUGCAAUAAAAAGGGCUUACCAGCCGCGAUCUUCCUAGCCCGUCGGAUCUCCUCCCGAGCUGCUCUAGACUCAGACCGAGCUUCCUUCGCCUCUUGUACGGCCUUGUCAAGAUCGGCCGCUUUGGCUUUGUUAUCUUUCUGAAGAACUUGGCAUCGACUAAUGGCAUCCUUUAGCUCAAGUGCCAUAGUAGAUAUUCUCUCCUCGCACUGACGCCGGGCAGUCUGCUCGGCCUUCAAAUUAGCAGCCGCCUUUUCGGUAGCCGCAUUACUCAUCCUGGCUUGCUCCUUGGCCCGGGCAAGCUCAGCCCGAAGGGUCUCAACGGCGGCGACACCAUCUGCAGUUAAACAUAUUGCAAGUCCCAGCGUCAUGCUCAUAUUUCUAAUAUUUGUAUAUACUACCUGCCCCAAAGACAUACCUUGCGCCUCGUCGAGCCCCCUGUUCAUGAGUGUGAUGUCAUCAUCCGCUACUUCAACUUUCUGCUUCAGAUGUGUUACUUCUGUAGCUUGAGCAGUCACCACAGAUGUAAUAGCCUAUGUUUAAAUUAGUCAGACUAUUUUUUGUAUAUAUUUAUUGACCCUCUGUUGCCUCCUUUUGGAUGCCAGUCAGAGUCUUAGGGGCUACUACCUAUACACAGGCGCAUUUUGCGUUUAUGGCAUUUUUUUAAAAUACUAUAUUAUGUACCUCGAAGCUUCCUAGCAGGCUCAUAAAGGCUUCGUUCAAUCCAUUUUUUGUGGACAGAACCUUUUCAACCACCGUACCCAUCAAGGUACGAUGUUCCUCUGAGAUGGAUGCAUGUCGCAAUGUGUCCGUCAAUGUAUCCGGCACCUCCAUAUGCGGAGCAGUAUGCGCUGUCCCUCGGAAGCCGGAUAGUCCGGGGCCUUUGUUGUCGUUUCUUGUGUUGUCCGCACACCCUGGACCCUGGGCAGCCGAAGUACCAUCUUUGGGCCCGGUCCUCACUGUCCCUCGCACCGCCUGUUGAUCGGGUGUCGUCCGCCUUAUCAGGCAAGGAGAUUUGUGGAGGUGUCUCACUUUCCAUCAUCUCUGGAAGAAGAUCCCCCGAGGAGGAGGACUGUUGAGAAAGGCGGCAUGCCGGACUGCAAACAUAUAUUUUGAAAUAUUAUUCUGGCAACCAAGAAAGAACAAGAUAUGUUUAAAAUACCAUUGAUCACUUACGAUUCCGCUAGGGGCAUUCCUUUAUGGAGAGACUGCGUGUCAACGUUGCCUCUCGGACUAGAGCCCCCUGACAGGGAUAUUCUCCCUUGCUUAGAAGCCCUUAUCUUCAGGUCUUCGGAGGCGGUCCUUUUCUUCCCACAAGGAGAAGGGACGUCAGUUUUUCCUUCCCUUCCGUCUUCAGAAGAGGGAGUUCCGAUCUCCCCAGACAUGAUGCCGGGUGAGCCUCUAGAAUGAGGGGCUCCUUGGGCCUCCUUGCUCUUUUCCUUGUCUUCCCUUACCGGCGCUUGAUAGGGUGCCGGAACCAACAUCCUAGCUAACACCGGAUCCGCUGAGUCCUUGGGAAGAGGGGCCGAACACCUGAUUCUCUCCGCCUUCUUUAUCAAGCCCUGGCAGAUUACAUUGUUAUGAGGAAUUAGACUAAACUAUGUUUGGGAGUUAAAUGCUUACCGAGGUAUCCGGAUGAUUGCAGUCAAGGCCGAUGUCUUAUGUAGUAUCUGGCCACUAUUUUCAUGCGCCGAAGAAUAAUUUCCACAUCCCUCUGAGCAUCGAGCCAGAGAAGUACUGAAGGGUCCGUGGUCCUUCCGGAUUGAACUCCCACAUACGGAGAGGACGUCGCUGUCACAGAAGGACCCGCCAGAUUAGCAUUACUUGGAUUACAUUGAUGAGGCCGAUAUCCUUUUCGAUAAGGCUCUGAAUGUGGCUUUGCAGCAUCCGCACCUCAUCAAUAGAUCCCCAGUCCAGCCCUUUGUUAACCCACGAUGCGAGAUGUGGCGGAGGGCCAGAUCGAAACACAGGUGUAGCUGCCCACUUCUUACCGCGAGGUUCAGUGACAUAAAACCACUCAUGUUGCCAUAGGUCAGAAGACUCUGCGAAGGAACCCUUUGGCCAAGGAGAAUUGAUAAGCUUGUUUAUUGAAGCACCUUCGCACUCCGCUUGUUUCCCAUCUACUACCUUUGGUUUCACGUUAAAGGUUUUAAGCCAUAAGCCGAAGUGUGGGGUAAUGCGGAGGAAGGCCUCACACGUGAUGAUAAACAUUGAGAUGUGAAGGAAAGAGUCUGGAGCUAGAUCAUGGAAAUCUAGUUUGUAAUAAAACAUGAGCCCUCGAAUGAAGGGAUGAAGGGAAAAACCUAGCCCUCAGAGGAAGUGAGAGAUGAACACGACCCUCUCAUUGGAUCUGGGAGUAGGGAUAACCUGCCCUUGAGCAGGAAGCCUGUGGAGGAUUUCCGCAGUCAAGUAUCUUGCCUCCCUGAGCUUCGUGAUGUCCUCCUCUGUGACAGAAGAGGCCGUCCACCGGCCUUGAAGGCUGGAUCCGGACAUGGCCGGAGGCCCGAAGCGACUGGAUUAAACCUUGGGUGUUGGAACUUGAGGUGGGAGGAGGAGAGGAUUAGCAUGGAAGGAAAAAGAAAGGUCCUGGCCUCUUUAUAAAGGCGACGAAUAUCAAACGUCCCCUACGUGGCCUUAAAACAUGCCUAUUCCCAAGGAAUCAUACCAACGGAAUGGUUGGGUUACCCACGCCCGUGUUGAUGAGAAUCCCGUGAUAAGGGGACAUGAUCUCUGCUUCGGCAAGGCGUGCCAAUAAAACCGCCUCGCGAAACAUGGAGUAGCAGGCUGGAAAACGAUCCGAAAUAAUGGUCGGGCGAUGACGUAAUGUCGCCUUGCAAAAAUUUGUCAGUGGAUUGGACUCGUGAAAAUAUUAUACUCUCUACGGUUGUGUGUGGCAUUUGUUUUGCAGAGCCGAACACGUUUUUGGUCCGAAGACUAUUGUGGAGUAAUCGGAGAAGGAACCCGCCUUGCAAUGCCGAAGACAAUCUGCACGCCAGACUCAUCGUCAUUGAAGCCUGGUUCAGGGGCUACUGAGGGAGUCCUAGAUUGAGGGGUCCUCAGACAGCCGGACUAUUAACAUGGGCCGGACUGUUGAACUAUGAAGAUACAAGACCGAAGACUUCUUCCCGUGUCCGGAUGGGACUCUCCUUUGCGUGGAUGGCAAGUUUGGUGAUUUGGAUAUGUAGAUUCCUUUCUCUGUAACCGACUUUGUGUAAACCCUAGCCCCCUCCGGCGUCUAUAUAAACCAGAGGGUUUAGUCCGUAGAGACACACAACAAUCAUAAUCAUAGGCUAGCUUCUAGGGUUUAGCCAUUACGAUCUCAUGGUAGAUCAACUCUUGUAAUACUCAUAUUCAUCAAGAUCAAUCAAGCAGGAAGUAGGGUAUUACCUCCAUAGAGAGGGCCCGAACCUGGGUAAACAUUGUGUCCCCCGCCUCCUGUUACCAUUAGCCUUAGACACACAGUUCGGGACCCCUACCUGAGAUCCGCCGGUUUUGACACCGACAGAGAGAGAGAGACACACACACACACACAGAGAGAGAGAGAGAGAGAGAGAGAGAGGAAGGAGACCAGGUCUGAGAGGGUGUGAUGUACCUAGGUAGCAACUACCAUGUGUUUGUGUGUGAGAGAACAAGAGUGCAGAGCUCAGACUCCCACACCGAACCUUCUCAAUCCAAUCUACAUCCGCGUGCUAGCGAUUCGAAGAACCGAUGCUCGAGGGGCGUACGAGGCCACAACCCGACCAAAGUGCUCCCGACGGGAGUACAUGGAAACAUUACCGGUGGUACGAGGAUCUUUACUGAAAGGCGGCGGUGCUAGGGUCGCCCUUGGGCCGCCUAGGUCACUCAUUGUUUCCCCCUUUAUCAAUCUGUUCCACAAAAGGUCUGAAACCUAGAAAUUAUUUUGCAUUAUGGCGGUGUUUAUUCAUAAACAUGUCUAUCAUUGAGUUAUUUUGUAUUUCGCAAGUUGAUUAUUUGGUGUCAUAUAGAAAUCAACUUAUUUUCUUUAAUGAAUAUUUCGCUAUUAUUCCGAUCUGUUCCGAAUUGAGUAAACAUCCGAUAUGUGUCCAUAUUCAAACAAUACCUGCUCCACAUUCGUAUCCUAUAACAUUUAUAUUCACAUUUGUACCUAUUUUUUACGAAAAACAGUAAUGGGAAGAAGAUUAUUUAUUUUGAGAGUAUGGAAAUUGCGUAUCAUAAUUUUAUAGAAGGCCGAGAAUAUGUUACAAGAAAUGCUGGAAGCAAAACAAGCUAAGCCACUGACAAGCAUCCGCACACGCACUAGAAUAUUACAUGCUACUCUAUCAUAAAGAUUUGAGAACACCUAGCUCCUCCAAGUGUGAAUCUUGUCAAGAAUGUGGUUUACAAAUUGAGGGAUAUUGUGUUGCUGAGACACAUUCCCGAAGACCCUCGCUCGUUUCUUUGCUUCUGCAGGCUCCAAGCGAUAAGAGUAGUUAGUGAAUCAAAACUCUUUCUGAUUGGUUUCAGCAAAGCUUGGCGCGUAGGAAGCCACCACUCCUCCAGGUUGUCCUCCACUGUCGGGAUGCCAACAUGGACAACCAGUGUAGUGAAAUAUGCGUGCCAUGUCUGUCAUGCAUAAACACAUUGCAUAAGUAUGUGGUCCAGAGUAUCUUCUUCCUAGCAGAAAUUGAAGCAAGGGGAGGUAGCGUCUUGUAGCCCAUGCCAGAAUUGAUGGGCGGAGGUCCAGACUCGAUAUUGCAUAACAAACCAUAUGAAAAUUUUGCAUUUAAGCGACACCCAGCUUUUUAAGAUACAAUGAGCAGUGGCAAACAAAUCAUGCACUGGCAUGGCAUUUUGUAUGGUGAUUGCGCCGAGUACGGUUCAGUCGAACUCCACCUCCAUGAGAAAACAUCCAGGAUAGCACUAUUUAGUUGUAUGUUCCUAACGACAGACCAAAAGUUCGAGAAUUGUUGUAGACCUUGCGGACCGGCACUCAUGUAGAAGAACACUAUUCAAUUGGCACCCGAUCCGUUUUCAGUAGGCCUAUUCAUGAGCAACCCGACCCGACGAGCCUGACCUGAAAGCCCGACAUCCGGUCUAGGCAUGGGCUCGACGUUUUCGUCCGAAGCCCGAGCAAAGGCCGAAUGAGUUUUAAAUAAUUGUUUUAAUUUAAAAAUUGCUAUAGUACUAUAUUUAAAUAAACUGAAAGUAAUAACUUUAAAUAAGAAGUGCACUUUUUUUACUGUUCAAAUGUUUCUGGCCGGGCCGAAUCGGGGUUUGGGAUUCUUGCUUCGGGCUUUGUCAAGCCCGGCCCGUCCGAGGGCAUGAUCUGGUUCUAGGAAGAAUGCUUGAUUUGCAGUUAGGGAGUGUGUCCACGUCAGUGAUCCGAGGCACUGACCCCUCCACCAAUCAGCGCCCACCUCUCCUCCCCAUAAAACCCAGCCCUGACCCCGCUCCAUUCCCCACACCAUCUCAGUCCCCACUUCCUGCUUCCAACAAACUCACACAACCCACCACCGAAGAUCCCAACUCCACCCGAAGCGGCAGCCAUGGCCCCCAAGGCAGACAAGAAGCCCGCGGCCGAGAACAAGGUCGAGAAGGCGGCGGAGAAGACCCCCGCGGGCAAGAAGCCCAAGGCCGAGAAGCGGCUGCCGGCGGGCAAGACGGCGUCCAAGGAGGCCGGCGGCGAGGCGAAGACCCGGGGCAGGAAGAAGGGCAGCAAGGCCAAGAAGGGCGUGGAGACGUACAAGAUCUACAUCUUCAAGGUGCUGAAGCAGGUGCACCCCGACAUCGGCAUCUCCUCCAAGGCCAUGUCCAUCAUGAACUCCUUCAUCAACGACAUCUUCGAGAAGCUCGCCGGGGAGUCGGCCAAGCUCGCGAGGUACAACAAGAAGCCCACCAUCACCUCCCGGGAGAUCCAGACCUCCGUCCGCCUCGUCCUCCCCGGGGAGCUCGCCAAGCACGCCGUCUCCGAGGGCACCAAGGUCGUCACCAAGUUCACAUCCUCCUAGACUGACGGCGUGUUGUUGGUUUCUGCAUCUGUAGUGUCGACUCUGCUUAUCUAUCUAUCUGCAAGUAGUGGUAGCAGUAGUAGUACCUGUGCUGGGUGAUUGCCAACGCUUUGUUGGCUCGUUGGUUGAUUGUAAGAACUGAAGUUGCUGCUCUGGCAAACUGAAAUCUAUCUAAGAACUGAAGUUAUCCUUCAGAAAUGUCUGCCUGAUGUUGGCUUUUUACCCUUCUGAAAUGUCUGGCCAUUUGUAUUUUGGUUGCUGAACUCUGGUUAUCUGCAAACAGAGCUACUACUGAAUUUGUUGGAAUUUGGUAGUAGUAAGAACUGAAUUCAG
rnacentral:lncRNA from 1 species